CAAUAUCGCGUAUGUAAAACUCUAUCUAAUUAUACCUAAUACAAAAGUGUUUUUAUUCUAAUAAAAAUACACAAGGCAAUUCCGAAACUGAAUGGGUUUCCAAAAGGUCAAAAUUCGCAGUUGACUUUCUCCCCUGUUCCUGGGCUGUUUCAGCGGGCUUUUUAUAUCUGGACCCAUCUAGAAUGAUAGAAAAUUAAAUUAUCUUCGCGUGGGCUGUUGAAUCGCCCAAAUCCGACUUCUAGAACUCAAGAUAUGGCCCAAACAAUAUUCUGAAUGCGGGUAGCCCAAUAGUUGCGAAUUUUCUUCUAAUUUGUCCAAAUCCUUUCCAAUUUAGAAUUCCUUGCUCCCUACAAUAAGAUAUUAAAAUAUAAUUAAUAUAUGUCCAAUUAAAUGCAAAAUAUAACUAAUAUGAGAAUAAUUAUCAUCUAAAAUAUAUAUAAAUAUAUACUCUAUCAAAUAUCCCCACACUUAGCAUAUUGCACGUCCUCGGGCAAACAAAGAAUACAAAUAUUACUAACUAACUACUAACAUCACUUUCGUGGAUGACACGAUUGCAUUGAGCGUAUGCAACAAGCCGUUAAACCCCUAGGCAGCCCUAGUAGGACGAGUGUUGUCUCGUGAGGGUUUAUAGAAGAUAUACCCACAAAAUCAAAUAUUUUUAAUCACCAAGUCUCAAGCACUAACAACAUCAUCGUACCACAUAUGCAACCUUCAAUUACAUAACAAUCUGAACAAGUGUGAAAGUACUAGUACUAUCACUUAUGCACCAUUUAUACACAACAAUCCAAGCGUGCACACAAUGUCUAGAUAGACAAAAAUAUCAUGAAAUAUACAUCAAAGUCGCAUCAAAUAAGUAAGCAUGCUAUGGAUAGAAGAUCUCACAUUACUCUCAAUUCACACAAGUGUUUGGGUGUAAAUAUUUCACUCAAAUUCAAUCAAUAUGGACAUGCACUACCAUAAACUUGGUUGUCUACCAAAUCUCCACUACUUUGUAUAUAUGCACGCACAAAUCAAAAGGACUUUGUUAAGGGUUGUAACGAGGCUUAGGCAGCGGCAGGAUAUCAAAGAAAAAGGCUAACAAGUGGCUAACUCGAUAACUAAUAGAGCACAAUGUUCACUUUUGAUUAAGCACUCAACAUGAAAUUUGAAUCAUGUACAAGGUGAUCAGUCUUUCACAAGCAUUAAAGCCCCAAGCACAUAUGUACUUCCCAUCUUUCACAUUGUAACACCAAUGAACACAUUCUCCACUUGAUAUUUUUUUUCUUCUUUUUAAAGUCAAGUUAUUCUCCAGUAACCAAGGGCAGUGAAGAGUCACCAAGAAAAAUAAGAGGAAAUAAGUUAAUCCCCUUAAUUUCUAGUACAAUUGUGCUUAAUACCAACACGUGCACAUGGAUCGUCCUUUUCAUAUGACAUUGCAAUUGUCACCCAUUGAUCUCAAAGGAGUACCUGAUACUUUUUUUUUUUCAUAUCUCUUUUUUUUCUUGAUUCCCACCAAACUUUCACCCUUUGACAAAGAAAUCCCCACACUUGAAUGUUAACCACUGCUCCAAUGAAUCAAAAAAUGCUCUACUAGUCAUCAAGACAAGAAUAAACAAGUAGGCUCAAAAUUCAUAGAUUGGUGAUCAACAAAAAAAAAUGGACACAAGCUCAAGGGGGUUCACUAAGGAUAUACNUUUCAUCUCAAUAAGGUUCAAACCAAGUUCUAGAGCAACAAGCCAAAUGAUGAACACCACUCAACAAAAGAAUUAGAUUGAUAAAAAUAUUAUCAAUCAUAAAUUAAGCUCAAAAUCUCACAAGGUGAAAGCAUGCUUUACUCAUAGAAAUUGACUAAGAUGCAUAUCAAGUUUUAAAAUUUUCGCAAGCACACGCAAGGAAUUAUCAUGCAUUGAAUGAUUUUUAUCAUGGAUAUGAUACUCAGAAUUAAUCAUGCACAUUAGUCUACAAUAUGUGUAUAAGUACUCACUAAACAUGCUUUGAGACAAGAUAAUUAUAUACAAUUUUUUUUUUGAAAAUUUCAAUUUUUUUGGAUUUUUAAAAUACAUAAUAUUAUUUUUUUGAAAAUAAUAUUAUUCCUAAGAACACCUCCCCACACUUGGAUGGUUCAUUGUCCUCAAUGAAUAAAAUAAAAAAAAUAAUAUCUAAAUAUAUUAUAAUAUAUUUAACUAUGUAAUAUAAUAAUUAAUUAGAAAAACUAAGUAAGAAUACUCCCCUGAUGUGCAAGUCUCAGCUCCUGGCAAACUUUUAUAACUAACUGCAGUAUCUAGAGAUCAAACCAGCAUGAUUGGCCUAGUGGUUGGCACUUCAAAUUUUUAAUUGAGAAGACAUGGGUUCAAUCCCCACCGCCAGCAACUAAGUUUUACUUUUACAAAUUUAAGCAGCAAUGCAGUAACCACGUGAAAAAGAAGCAUCACGUGAGAGAGAAGCAUUAUCCAGGAACAAAUACAACACUUGGGCUUCAUGGUUGGGCCAGUUGGGCCUAAAGAUUGGGCCGGUUGGAUGUGUUAAACACAAAUAAGCUCAGCAAGUGAAUUGAAAUGAUGCGCGCACGAGAAAAACUUAAGUGCGCGUCGGGCGAGAAGAAAAUUAAUAAGGAACAGACGCUCAAAACGCCCGAUCUAUUGAAUGUAAGCGCCGGUAUUGCGCUUCUGGGAAAGCGCCAGGAAACUGAGACGCUGGUCUCAUCAAUUGAAUUGUCCAAUUUCAGAAUCUGUCAUUGUCUCCAGUUUCAUUUUUUUCUCUUCCUUUUUUUUUUCCCAAAUAUUUUCACACCAUGUCAUCACUAAAAAUUCCUGAAACAAAUAUGCUUGGGUUGCCUCCCAAGAAGCGCUUUUCUUUUACGUCUUUGGCUAGACGUUGUGCCCCACUUUCUCGCUGAAAGGUAUAUGAUACCUAAAGUGCGUUGGCAAAGGCUUCCACUCGAGCUUAGGUACAUCUUGCAACACCAAAAGAAACCCCAACUCCUUCAAAAUUUUGUGUAUCCCCUCAAGAGCAACAUUUUCAAAUUCAAGAAUGAACGAAGAAGUUGAUUUAUCAGUAGCGCAUAUAGGAGUCAUAGAAAUUACUUCAACUCCAACAAACUUCACCUCUCGCAAAUCUUUAUUAUCUUCUCGAAAAACCACNCCAUUCAUCGACUCACUGUUGGUCGUUAAAGACCCAUCAGAAUUGAAAGAAAAUUGAGGGGCUCCUCCAUGUCUCCCUGGAGCUGCAGAUGGUGAGCUUGUAUCCUUGGACUUGGGUUCCUCGUGAUUUUCUUCCGGGAGAAGUGCGGACNUCUCGCAAAUCUUUAUUAUCUUCUCGAAAAACCACAUCUUCCAAUUUUUCUUCCACUGCUUCAGAAUCUUGUUGCACAGUGCUUUCUUUUCUAGUAACUAUCUCUGUAUCCAUAUGAUGUUCCUUUUCUAUCUCAUUUAUCUUUGUCUGCAUCAAUCUAGACGGAAAAGGAACACGAUGAAAGCGACUUUUAAAAUCAACUGGAUAAGAAAAGUUAGGAGACCUCUCUUUGGGUACUGUUUCAACCACUUCUUCAUUGUUAUUCUGCAGAUUACUAUCUCUAUCAGGUUCAUCAAGUAUGUCACUAACUUGUGAAAUAGAGCUUCCUUCACCUAGUGACUUGUAGGUAGUAAUGACAUUCACAUGCUCAAACCUUGGUCGUGGCUGUGUAGUUUCAUGAAUUUCAACAAACUCAUGCUUUUGAUUGACAUUGUUACCCACAUCCCCAAGUUGUGUUUGCACUUUCUUGAUGCCUUGAGAAUCUUUAGAACAUUGAUUUUGCAUCUCCAACUGUCCCUCAACUAAUUUGGCCAAUAAUUUUUCAAUAUUGCUUCCACUAGUUGAAUUCUGAUGGAGUGGUCCCGUCCGCUGAAAACCUGAAUGUGGAGAAUUGUCCCGAAACUGAAAUCCAUAUAGAGCACCAUUAGUAUCUUCAUACCUCAUGAGAUCUCCCAUCCUGGAAUUAUAUGUAUCUAAAAAGUGAUUUGCUUCCUGAUUUCCAUAACUAAAAGAUGGACAAGACUCGGUAGAAUGUUUUGGAGUUGCGCAAAAAUCGCAUACUUGAAUUUGAGGUGUUCUUCCAAUUUGCAUUAAUGCACUCAACCUCUCCAAGUUUUGUUCAAUCUUUGUCAAUCUUUGAUCAGAUUCAAUUCCUAGAAUUGAUUCCGACCUUGCACGACUCCCAUAUUGAAGCUCAUUGGCAGCUCUUUUAGCAAUCAGUUGUUCAGCAGCAUCAUGAGACAUAUCAAUAAAAGCACCUCUAGCAGAAGAAUCCAAUAAUCUCCUUUCAUAUUCAUUCAGACCUUGAUAGAAGAAGUGUAAUAGACUCCCUUUAGAAAAACCAUGUUGAGGACACCUUUUUUGUAACUUUUGGAAUCUCGCAUAGUACUCAGCAUAUGUUUCAGUUGCAUACUGUUGAAUUCCAGCUAUUUGACUUCUCAUGCUUAUAACUCUAGUUGCUGGAUAGAACUUCUGCAAAAAUUCAUGUACUAGCUUCUCCCAAGAAGUAAUGAAACCCAUAGGCAAAUCUUCGAACCAAUCCAAAGCUGCUCCAUCAAGUGAAAACGGAAAAGCUUUCAUCUUUAAAAUCUGAGGAUCCGCCAUAUCAGGUCCCAUGCAUUCAACAAUAGUCACAAAUCUCGAAAGGUGUUGAUUUGGCUCUUCUGUUGGAAGAUCAUGGAAGACAGGUAAUCUCAUUAGAAGAUUCUGUUUGAGCUCGAAAUUACUACUCUUCCCUGCAAUCGGCUCAGGAUACACCAUACAAGAAUUUCCAUAACUAGCAAUCGACACUGCAACAUCAUCACGAAGUGUUGGAAUUGCCAUGUCAACUACUCAAAAAUUUCCACCUUAUACCUGAAACAAAACAAGCAACGGCGGAGAAAAGAAAAAAAAAAGAAAAAAAAUAUGUACAAAAAAUAAAAAACAAAAGAAAAGCAAAAUUCAAUCCCCGGCGGCGCGGCGCCAAAAAUUGAUGUGAACCAAUUUAAACCCUUUUUCUGUCGUUUAUAAUAUAGGAUAAGCAAGGGUAUCGUUCAACGCCAAGGAUCAAGGGCUCACUUCUCUUCUGUUUUUCUAAACAAAUAAAUGAUUUGAUUUUGUUUUUUUAUAACUAAUCUAAAUAUAAAUCUAAUAAAAAUUAUAUUAAAAGCAAUUAAAUAAAUAUGUUGGAAAGCAUGAAUAUCCACCACUAAACCUAUGACACAACUCUGAAUUCCUUUGAUAUGUUAAGAAAGAUACUUAUAGAGAACUUGCCAUGGACCGCAUAGAAACAAGCUCUGCUAUUCGCAUAACCCCAUGGACCGCAUAGAAAGGCUAAAACGAAUUACACACUAAUACAAUUAAUCCCAUGUCCGCAUAGAAAGAUUAAUUGACUUUGCAGAGAUAACAAUCACAUAACAUAUUGGGAUGUCCGCAUACCCUAGUUAAUUCAAGCAUCUCUACAAGCAUUGACGUAUAUAUAAGCACAAUCAAAACAAAUCUCCAUAACUCAAAACUGUAUAAUUGUCAUAAGGUUCAGGGCUUCAAAACAGCCCUCCAACAAUGGAGGUUUAGCCAAGCAUAAUCAAGAUAAGACAAGUAAGAAUCAUGAAAAGAAUAGAAUACGAUACAAAGUGUUGAUCCUUUCUCUUCUUCUCCGUGGCUCUCCUCAAUAUCGCGUAUGUAAAACUCUAUCUAAUUAUACCUAAUACAAAAGUGUUUUUAUUCUAAUAAAAAUACACAAGGCAAUUCCGAAACUGAAUGGGUUUCCAAAAGGUCAAAAUUCGCAGUUGACUUUCUCCCCUGUUCCUGGGCUGUUUCAGCGGGCUUUUUAUAUCUGGACCCAUCUAGAAUGAUAGAAAAUUAAAUUAUCUUCGCGUGGGCUGUUGAAUCGCCCAAAUCCGACUUCUAGAACUCAAGAUAUGGCCCAAACAAUAUUCUGAAUGCGGGUAGCCCAAUAGUUGCGAAUUUUCUUCUAAUUUGUCCAAAUCCUUUCCAAUUUAGAAUUCCUUGCUCCCUACAAUAAGAUAUUAAAAUAUAAUUAAUAUAUGUUCAAUUAAAUGCAAAAUAUAACUAAUAUGAGAAUAAUUAUCAUCUAAAAUAUAUAUAAAUAUAUACUCUAUCAUUUGUGCAUCGGUGGAAUGGCUUUCCAUCCAUCUUCCCAUGAAGGCCAUUUGUGCAUCUUCAUUCUGCUUAGCCAACCUAGUCACAUGAAAAUAUAUUUAUGUCAGUAAUUUAUCUUCUCGAAAAAAAUAGCCGUUUUUCUUGUAGCUUAUACUUGUAUUACUUGAUCAUAAUUCAUAGUUUCAUACCAUAUAUCAGGGUAGGCAUGUAUGGUAGCGAAGUCGAUCUCCUUGAUGAGAUGGUUGCUGAUAAAAUCAGUCCCGACUUGGUAACCUGGAUUGAAUUGCUUCUUUUCCGGCAUUGUGUCGCCAUAGAAUCCCUCCAUGCCUAUUUCCAACAAGUGUUUGUUAUCGAUUGAUUUCACGAAGCUUGCCAUCUCUUGAACCCAACCCUGGAAAUCAUAGCGACCAAUCAAUUUCACAACAUACGACAAUAUAAUAUGAUUCUGAUAUGCUCUCCUCCCAACAAUUUGAGAUUUUAGAAGAUCGGGUCACUUAAUUUACACAUAUUUGUACUUACGUUUACUGUUCUCCCGGAGUAAUCCGCUUCGCAACGAGGUUCGUUCAUGAGCUCCCAUGCCAUGAUUGUUGGCUCAUCCUUGUAGGCAACUCUAGUUAUGGUGUUAAUCCUUGUAAUUACUCUCUGCAAACAUGCAUGUCAGUAGGAAUGUAGAUAUAGAGAGUGAUCUAUAUAUGGUUGUGCGUGUACAAAGUUAAUACCUACCUGAACGUGGUUUCUGUAAUACCCUUUGACUACCGGAUGUGUAUAGAAAUCGUCAUCGUUGUUUACUUGCACUCCUGCAUUUCGAGCCCAUUGCACGUACUGUGGUCUGCCUCCAUAGUCCUUGUUGUUCACAAAACUCAAUAUCAAAAAUAUGUUGAAUCUUCUCGCUUCCGAAACAACAAAAUCCAAGCCCUGCAUGCAUGCCACAGUUAAGUAAAGUUCUUGAACUAGUAAUUAAUUGCUUCAUGAAUAAUUUCUAAUUAGCACAAUUGAAUAGUCCAAGGGCACCCGGGUUCGACUCUGACUCUAACUCAUCCCCAUAAGUAUUACAACAACAAAAAAAAAAAGAAAUAAUUUAUAAUUAAUUAACCUGAAAAACACGCUCAUCGUAAGUUCCUGGUGAUAACUGGAGUGCAUUACUACUGCCAUCAGCGAAAGCCCACGUCCUGCAAACAGACAUGCCGGCAGCCGAGGCAUCUCGAAACACUUCGGUGACUUGGUGUGUCUUACUAGGGUCUGCGGCGACGGUCAUCAUCCAAUAGGCAUUGAAACCGUUAAACAGAAAAGUAGAGCGUCUGAGAACAAACUGAGAUCCCUGUAUCCUGACAAAUUCAGGAGUGCUGGAAUGAUCAACAGGAUCCAGCACUCUAGCUCUGGAUACAAGUGCUAGGGAAAGAACAAGUAUGGCAACAUGAAUGCAGUUGCUAGUGAAACCCAUUGGAAAGUAGUUUAUGUUUGGUGUUGCUAAGUUGUGAUCUAAUGGAGUGGAUGAAACAGGGUAUUUAUAAGGAGGAGGGAACAUACAGGGUUUACAAAAUGCAGAAAGAAUUAGUACCAUGAACAAUGUAAUUGGUCCCGUCUUAUUUAGUGAAAACAAGGUCUUAUUUCAGAAGAAAAAAAAAAAAAAACUUCAUAGCUCGUACAGAAAAAUACUAUCCCAAUUUUUUUUUUUCAAAUCCAAUUGAUAAUGUAUGAUUGCUUGCUCUCGCAAUAUAUAAUAAUAAUGAGAUUUUUUAUAUGCACAUCAAUCAUCCAACUAAAAAUAAUCAUAUAUCUGUUACCUUAUUUGGAAAAAAGUUUUAGAAGCCAAUUUUGGGGUACGUGGAAUUAUCGUUUCGUAUAUUACUUUUUGACGUGGAGUAUUUAAAUUAUUCAAAAAUUCUAAAAAUAAUAUACAUAGUUUUCAAAAGAGAUGUUUCAUGUUUAUUUAUAUAUCAAUGUCGGAAAUAAGUGACUUAUUUUUGAAAAUAAAAUAAGUAACCGCCCAAUCGACUGGCUUGCAAGAGACAGUAAUUUGCAAAGGGGAUGUGCAGAUAUGGUAGUUAGUUAGUUGAUUCAACUUUGUACACUAGGAGGGGUGUAUUGGAUUGGGAUUUUAAAGCAUUUUUUUGCAUUCAUGAAAUCCGAGGGUAUUCGAUUGGGAUUGUUUGAAAUCCAUUAAAAUCUUGAGGUAUUCAAUUGGGAUUUUAAACUAUGCUACAAAAUCUAGUGGUAUUCAAUUGGGAUUUUAAAUUAUGCUUUAAAAUCCGAUGGUAUUCAAUUGGGAUUGUUUAAAAUCCAUUAAAAUCUGAUGGUAUUCAAAUGCUGAUGGAUUUUUUUUCAUUUCAUAAAAUGAUGGAUUUUGUGGCAUUCUUCAGUGUAUUUUAAGUUUUUUGAAAUCCCACCAAAUUCAAUGGGAUUUCGAAGCAUUGUACCUAAAUCCUAUCAACUCUGCGACAUUUCAUCAAGAAUCCGCAAAAAAUCAAAAUCCCAUACAAUCCAUUAAAAUCCAUAGACUAAAAACAAUGCAUUAAAAUUCCAAUCGAAUACACCCCCGUAGACCUCUCUCACUUGCCCCUUGAUUUGCUCACCCUUUCUGUUCCUCUUUAUCCAUGCAUGUUAGGAUCACAACAGAAAUAUUACACUUUAAUUCUUGUUAGUCCUGGGCAGGGUAUCUAACAUUUUCCUUUUGAAUACUAUAUGUCAAUAAGAUUUGAUGAUAAAUUGUUGGUCAAGUAAAUUAGCCAAAUAUCUGUUCCCAACAAUCGGUGGUAUAAAUAAAUAUAAUAAAACACCGAAAUUGACUAAACAAAGAUAGGGUUUGAGUGAUUGAUGAUGUAGCUCAGAGAGUCCCCAUGCAUAACCUAUAUUAUAUGCUCAUCUUGAUGCCAGAUCAAGUAAACUCGACCUAAAGGUAAUUCACCUACUACUUAAAAAUGCGUUUAAUCUGUACAGUGUAGGUGGUUAUAUAUUUUAGAUUUGUCUACGUUGGAGAAAAAGCAGUUUGAUGCAGUUAUUUUAGAUCAUAUUACAUAUACAUAUGUGGAAUAUUUACGUGUAUUAGGUCACAUGCAUGCACUAGGCUUAUCUUGAAUACGGUUAGAGGUGGCUACUGGCUAGGGAUCAGUUGCCACUUGAAAACAUACAGGAUGAAUUUCACUAGCUAAAUAUCAUACCGUUCCUCUAUUAUGGAUCUGCACCCCUGGGAUCGAUCAACCAUGGUUGGGGUCAAAAUUAAUACAGACGAUUCAUGUAUUUAUUCCGAUUAAUUGCUCGUAAUUUUAAGGAAAUAAAUUAUCUGUGAUUAACGUAGCCGAAGCUUAAUCGGAUAUGAAAUGUUGAAAGCUUGGAUAUGAUUGAGAAGAGGGAGAUAUGUAUGGAGAAUAAUUAGUUAAAGAAAGAAGACAGUUGAAAAACAAAACAAAAUGUAAGUUGAUGAAAAACAUGUCGGAUAUGUUGAUGAGAUCGGUGAGAAGUGUGGUUCAAGUAAGAGUGUCAGACACGUGCAAUGUGCAAAUGCAUGCAUGUGGUUAGUUUCACUGCUGAUGUCUUAGAAUAUUGCUUGCGUACAUUGAGUCGAUCUCGACAUGAACAAAAGGACCGGUUGCAAGUAGAGUGGUUCGCGAAUAAGCUCGAGUUCGGCUCGAUAAAAGCUCGAUUCGUUAAGAACUCGAGCUCGAACAUGUAAAUGUGUUCGUUAAGAAAACGAGCUCGAGCCGAGCUUUUAGUGUGUUCGGCUUGAGUUCGGCUCGAACUCGUUCGGCUCGAGCUCGGCUCGUUAAAAUUCGAAAAAAAAUCAAUAUUUUCAUGAUAAUUUCGUAAUAUAUAUAUGUUAUUGAACGCCGAAUUUAACAUAUAAUAUAUCAAAUCGAUCAUGAGGAUAUUAACACACUAAAAAUUUUAUUUGGCUUGCUAUUUUAAGAGUAAAGUAGCGGUUUGGCCUUAUUUUUCUCUGGCUCGGCUCGGCUCGACUCGUAUUUGUUCGUGAACAAGCUCGUUUUCGGCUCGUUAGUUAACGAGCUCGAGCUCGAACACACUUUUUUGUUCGAUAAGAAAGCUCGUCUCGGCUCGACUCGGUCAAAACUCGGCUCAGCUCGGUUCGUGAACAGCCCUAGCUGCCAGAUCCCGGAUCGGUCUUUAAAAAGUACUUAAAAUCUAUAUAAAAUAAAUAAAUUCAGAACCACUAAAUUUUAUUUAAUUAUUGAUAUUAUUAAUUGAUUGAGAUUUUACCGUUGUAGGUCGCUACAUAUGCGUUUAGCUAUUCAACAUUCAAGCCCUUAGUUUAGCGUCGGAUUCUGACCCUCCAAAUUUAACAAUGCUGAAUAAACAAGAAUUUGAUAUCACAUAAUAAAACAGUUCUAUUUCCCCCUUUCAUCGAAAAUGGUAUUUUGAUAACCAUCUGUGAAAGUGGAAUAUUUUAUUUAUAUUUUUAAAUUUUAUACAAUCAUUAAGCAACGCCUUGUACCUCAACCGAAAAAACAAGCAAACCAAAGAUAAUGAAAUGAAUUAUCCCAAACAAGAAUACGUCUGACUUCCACACUUUCUGUUUCAAACCGAGGUAUCCUCUUUCUUCAGUUUCUUGUGCUAUUGGAAGAAGCCCAACAAGCUUUCCAUCAUUGCCCUUCAAGAAUGAAUCAAUUCAAUAGCUCUUCAGAAAGGGACAUUAAACUGAAGCUACUUAGAUUGAUCAAUAAAAGAGUCUAAUCCAUCUCUCGAAAAGUAAAAGAUAUAAAUGAAAAGAAUGGAAUAUAGUUCUAUACUACAGUAAACAGCUAAAGCUUACCAUAAACAAUUAUAUUUUUAUGAUGAUUAUAAUAAUACCCAAAUUAACCAUGCUACAAGCACUUUUCGCUCCAAUAAUCAUAUGAUGCACGAAAAUCGUUUAAUUUUUUUAUAAUUAAAAGUAGAUGUAUAAUUAAAAGUAGAUGAUAAAUUAAAAAUAUUAUUAAUAAAAGCCCGUGCGAAGCGGGCACAAAUACUAGUAAUUAGUUAAAGCGUGCAACUCAGCUCUAUAGACUAUAGCUAUAAAUAUUUCUGAUUUUAAUUUUUUUGUUUUUAGUUCAAUAAAUGUUUUAAGUCUAGCACAAAAAUAUUUUAAGCUUUCAAAUUCUUUCAAAUAUGCCAAAAAUAAGAACUUUGUUAUCAUUCUGUGUACCACAAACAAAAUACACUUCUCACACUUGUUAGUUGUUACAACGUGUUUGAAAAUUAGUUUAUCAAUCAUCACUUCCUCUGUUGCUCCUUGCCCCUUGGUGCUCCAACUUUGCUUAAACCUUCUUAAACCUUUGACAAGUACGUGUUAUUUACUUUUUCAGUAGUUCUUAAUUAUUAUGUUUUUUUAAUUUAAAAAGAUAAUAUAACUAAACAUCAAGAUUUAUAUUUCUUUAUCUUUAACAAAUUAUAAAAAUUGUAAUUUUAUUUAAAAUUGUUGAUAAGAAACAUACCUCGAACAUUUACAUUAGUUUCUUUAGUAUUAUAUCUGUAAUUUCACAUCUAUACACGUCAGUUAGGGGUGGGUUGAAAUUUUGACAACUAUGAUCAUGAGUACCAAAUACGAGAAAAUCAUAUAAAUUACAAAUCAUACGUACUAUCUACAACUUGUGCAUUAUUUCAUUAUAACUUUAAGAUGAUUAACAUUGCAAUAAUAUACAUUUUUUUAGUUAAAAUAGCAUUUUCUUUGUAAUAAUUAAUAAACAUGUCUAUUUUAAUAUUUUUAUUAAGUAUGCUAAAUAAAUGUUCUAAUUUAACACAUUAAAAAAAAUUAAUAAUUAGGCAUUAAAAUGCUAACUGAUAAUUAGCCCAAAGACAUACUAUAUUUUAUGAGAAAAAUUAAAUGUAUUUAAUUAUAAUAAAAAAGAACUAUUUAAAAAGACUAUUAAAACAUGUUACUAAUUAGAAAAAUCCAUUCGUCCAAAUACCGACCGACCAUAACUACCAAACUUUAUAAUAUUUUGACUUUAAUAAAAUAGUAUAGAUGUUAUAUUUUAGCUUUCAGGUUUGCCCAUUUGUAAAAUUAAUAUGUUAUUUAAGAGAAUGUUUUUUAAACUUCUAGAAAGCUUCAUACUAGCAUACUUAUUAUUUUUUUGUCACUACUACUUAUAUUUACCAAGAUUAAGAAUAGAAAAUUCACUUAAAUAUAGUAAAAAGCUGAUGCGGUCAGGUUCAUUUAAGAAAUGUGGCUUUAUAAACUCCUGCGAACCAUAAAUGGAGGAACUCCAUAGAAACAAAACAACAUUUUUACCAGUGGCCAUGUCAGGUUUUCUUCCCUGAAUGCCAUCUGAAUGAAUACCAUCUGAAAUCUCAGAUAGAAUAUAUCCCAAUGAUCUCUACGGAAUUACAAGAGGAUAUCCCAAUGAUCUCUACGGUUUAAAAGAGGAUUAAACAAAACUUCCCAUUUUCUCUGAUUCUUAAUGAUAAAAAUUCAGACUUACUUUUCAGUAGACAAGAAAUAAAUACGGAGCAAGGAAUUAUAACAUGGGCUGGUAAAAUCUUGACUUGUUAGUCAGCUAAAGAUUUGGUAAGCUAACUAUAAGUAUCAUUUUAGCAGAUAUGAGGAAACUUCAAGAAAUUAAACUAAUGCUUCCAAGGGUUCACAUAUUCUGAAAACAAAGUGCCCAGGAAUAUUGCGGUGAGGUUUCAUCAUAUCUCAGUGACAACAUAUUACAUUUCCGAGUUCCCUUGAUAGGCUUGUAAACUUACAGUGCAUCAAAAUACAAUUGAUCAAGUCCACGACAACAUAUAAUUGAUCAACACAAUUAUAUUGACACAACAGAUUAGCACAUAAAAUUUUCACAUCAACACCAUAGCUAAGUCACUUUCUAAUACUAAACGAUUAAGAUUGGUCUCUUAAUGAUUAGUAGUCAUAGAUCAAGGACCAAAUCGUUAAGCUACUUGUAUUAUUUUGUGGCUCUACCUAGAUCUUGUAGUACUAUCAAACGCUGACCCAAAAAGUCUUCCACCAUUAUAAGUAUACCCAUUCCGGUCAGAUGAUCUAGGACGAUUAUAUUCAUGAGAAACACCAGGGGGUGUUCGCACUGAAUGGAAAAGAAGGUAUUAGGGAUAUCAGAGCAAGCACAUCAAGACAGGAUGAACUACGCCCUUAGACGUCAUAAAAAGUAUGUACACAGAGAGAACAUAAAUAGGAACAAAAAAAAAUUAGAAAUGAAAAUCAUAUCACCUUGAGCAUAGCCUGAUCGUUGCGAUGAGAACAUAUAUGAUGAAUGCGGUGCGGAGUGUGGAGUAAUAUCUUCAGAGUCAUUAUACUGUCUUACUUUGGGGGCAGAGCCAAAUGCAGGCUUGUCUUGUCCAGAAAUCUGUUUUUCAUGGGUUCCAUCAUCAAUAAACAAGAAUGAAUAAGUUAUUCUAGACUCCAGGAGCAAAACUAGUAACUCUCAACAUAUUUCUAAAUAAAUUUAUCUUUAGACUCAAAGAGAAGAACUAGUAACUCGAACAUAGCUUCUAGUAAUGAGGGAAGCAGUGGCUGCUCGCCAAAGUCUUCAAAUAGGGCUGAGAAAUAACGAGGCUAUGUAUCUUUAUCAAACCUCAGUUCUGUCUGAGUCCAUUUCCCGAAACUAAUUUUGGACAAUAUUUUGUAUUUGUAUAUGAUAAAUAGGGAUUGAGUUUAGCAAUCAAAUCAUAUUUCUUAGGUUCUCGUUUUGUUUAACUAUCAAGUAUUAUACACAUAACACUAGGGAUCAAAACAACUUAAAGCUAGACUCAGCUAACAAGGACUAAAAGCCGAGGACAUUUAAACUGUUAUUAGAGAAUGUCAAACUCUCCUCAGCUCAUUUAGAAUCAAAAUAGCUUGCUUGACAAAAGAUUGGACUUCAUAAGACUCUAUUACAGUCCUGCUGCAGCAAUUAAUGUAAGCUAGUAUGCAUCGUAGUCCAGAAAAAAUUGGAAACUAAAAUUCAGAAAUGCAUUUUACUGAUGUAGCUAAUAGCAAUGUGCCCCAAACAGUACAAGAGUCAGUUGGCAACUUACAAUGUCGAUAAGAGCUAACAAGCAUCAUUGUGCCAACUGAAGCUUUCAGAUUCGUAAGUUUGUAAUAUAUAAGGUAGCUAAAAAGGCAAAGUAAAAGGGGAUACCGCAAAUCUAAGAGUUCGGUUGUAGAGAGUGACAAGCCCGGAAAAUAGCCUGACAGCAUAGUCUGCAAUCUCCUGCGUUUCAUAUUCAGCAAACGCGAAGCCCUUGGGUCGAUCAGUUUCCCUGUCUCGGGGAAUAUACAAGUCCACAACACGGCCUGCCUGAAUUAAUAUAUCAUACAAAACCCUGUCACUCACUCGUUCAUCCAGAUUGCCUGCCAAGUAUAAACACAAAAAGCAAACCUGAAUUAGCCUAAACAUCUCAUCUGACUAAUACAACAAAAACAAUGACUUAAUUGUUGAAUUUUAACAUAGGCACAUUGUAAUUACAUAAGAUUGCAACAUCUACUUGUGUAAUUGGAAACAAAAAUUGAAAUUACAACAAAUAAAUCAUCAGGAAACGAUAAGAUACACAAAACGAAAGAAAAACAAGAGAUGGAUAGAGAAAGGACCUAUGAAAACGGUGCAAUCACCGUCGCCAGACAUGAUCAAUUCAAUUGCUUCAAGGGGCUAGGGUUGGGUUUAUAAACCACCUGCCUGUAAUUGUCGAUGUAACUAAUACUGGCUUAUAGCCCGUGCAAGGCACGCGUGAUCCGUAGCGGUUGCGGGAUCCUAGGUUAAAAAAAAUAUAUAAUGUGAUUUAAAUAUUUUUCAAAAAAUUUAUAUGUUUCUAAAUUAAAAUUGAUAAACAUAAUUUGUUUUUAAAUUAAGAAAAAGAUUCAUAAACAUGCAAUAAGAAGGUAUAAUCUAUUUUGGAUUAAGAAAAAGUUUUUGUAUUUGCUAAUCACAUAAAUCCGGCUUAUUAAUUUUAAAAUAUAUUAUAAAAAAAUUGUGACGGUGAGAUUUAUAUGAUUCUACGAAUAAAACUGGUAGGAAAUAUUUAUUUGGGAUUAAAAAAAUCAUAUACACGUGAAAGACAGAAUUUGGUUUGGAUUCAGAAAAGGAAUUAUAAAUAUGCAAGGUGAUAUCAGUUGUCUUGUAGAACAGAAGUUAAUUUUCCAAUCUAACGGUGCUUAUUUGUUCAAUAUAAGAUCCAACGGAUGAUAAGCUUUUGGACCAGAGGACCAUGCGACCAAAUUAUCUCGCUUAUUAUAUAUAAGUAUAUAAUUUCCCAAGAUUAUAUGCGACUUGUUUGCAAAUAUUUUAUUUAAAUAUUUAUGAUUAAUUCGUGAUCAAUUUUUAAAAAAUUAUGUAACUUUUUUCAAAAAAAAAUAAAUAAAUAAAUUAUGUAACUAAAUUAUUGAUUAUAUUUUGAUUUAAUUAUAAAAACUGAUCUAUUAAAUCGAUAAAAUCUCAAUAAAUUUUAAACGGUAGGUCAGACGAUUAGUUUUGAUUCCAAUAUAUAUAAGAUUUGACUUACAAAACCGUUUAAAUUUAUUGCUUUUACUUUUUUAAUAUUUUAAUGUUUAUUCUCUUUUUCUGAAAGUAAUGUUUUAAUUUCAAACAAACUAUUUUUUUCCAAUAAUUUCUUAUUCUAUAUGAUAUCUUCUUAUUAUCAUACUUUACUUUAUUAAUCAUACUUAUGUUUUUCUACCUGUCUAUUACACAAAUAUAAAAUAUAUCUUAUUUAAAUAUUAUUAAUUAUUCCCGCAAACUCAACUGCAUCCGACAAAUUAUUUUUUAAGGAUAAUUUCUAUGAAAUCACUGUAUAAUUGACUUUCUCCAUUGGUAUCAUCACAUUUUUAACUUCUAUAUUUGAUAAUCUUAUAUAUUUAAUUUUUCAUGUUUUAGAUUGUAAAAUAAUAGUAUAUAUAAAAUUUUGGGAAAUCUACAAAACUACCUACCUUUUCUUUUAUUGUUUUCAAAAAUACUACCUUCCAGAAUUAUUUUUAAAAAUACCUUUUCAUAAAUUUUUUUUUUCAAAAAUACUGUUUGCAACUUUUGCAACCUCAUUUGCAACUACAGGCGGCGCCAGCCGUGUUGCAACCUGAUUUCAAGUUCCAGUUUUCAAAUGUCAUUUUCGACCUCAUUUUCGGAAUCGAUAUAUAUAUAUAUAUAUCGAUUCCAAAGAUGAGCAUUCAGUUGAUUCUACUUGUAAUCUAAUGGCCCCGCCAGGGGCACACCAUACAUCUGUUGUUACUUACAGUUUUCAGUUGCAUUUAGUUGCAACUGAGGUUGCAAAUGAAGUUGCAACUGAGGUUGCAAAAGUUGCAACUGCAGUUGCAACCUCAUUUGCAACUUUUGCAACUUACAGUUUUCAGUUGAACUAGUUGCAAUUGCAGUUGCAACAGUUGCAACUUUCCAUUUUUAUUUGCAACUUUUGCAACCUCAUUUGCAACUUUUGCAAACUCAUUUGCAACUUUUGCAACCUCAUUUGCAACUUUUACGGCUGCGCCGCCCAAGGUUGCAAAUGAGGUUGCAAAAGUUGCAAAUCGUAUUUUUGAAAAAAAAAAAUUUAUGAAAAGGUAUUUUUAAAAACAAUGAAAAAGAUUGUAGUAUUUUUAAAAAAAUAAUUUUACAGAUGGGUAUUUUUAAAAAGAUCCCUAAAUUUUUUGUAAAAACUUGUAUAUCUAAGUCAUGAGUUGAGUGGGUACACGGUAAUUUUUGAAACUGUUAUGUAUAGUGUGGAUGACUCUUGUGUUAUCCUCACCUUUUGUAUUCUCUCAUCAAUAGCCAACCUUUGGCUUUUCACUAUCCUUGUAACUUAAUCAAGAGGGCCUAUAUAUAGAGCCAUUUGUGUAAGUUUGAGAGGUACAACAAUAUGAUAAUACAAGUCUUCCAUCUCCCUCUUUUCUAUACACUUUGAGCUAGUUAUAUUGUAGUUAUUUUCAUAACACGUUAUCAGCACGAGUUGCUCCCGUUUUCGUUACUUUGAUUGUGCAUCUUAUGUUUAAGAAGUCCAACACUUCAACAUUUGUUUGUAUCCAAAUUUAAGUGGUUAAGGUUCGCUCUAGUACAAGGUAUGGCUUGUCCUUAUUAUCAAAAGAUCGGAGUUCCCUUAUUUCAUUUCAAAGUAAAGAGUUGUUGGAGUGAUUAAUCUGAAAAUCGGUCAUGACUAUAAGAUUAUAAGGUACACAUCUUUAUCAUCUUCUUUUAUGAGUAAUGUUUUAAGUCAUUAUGUUCGACUUGUGCUUAUUCAUUUUUUUCCUAAAAUUCAUAUAUUUCUUUAACAAAGAAAUAUUUCUGUCCUGUUAGAAGUUUAAUGAUCUUAAAAGUUUAAAUUGCAUUCUGACCGGGUUCUGAGUUCUAUAUUAUUUUGGUAUUCCGUGAUUUAUUGUGAAAUGGCUACAUCUUCAUUUUUUAUGAAUCUUAGCAUUUUUAAAGAUAAAUGAGCUAUUUAAAACUUUUGUGAUUUGCAUCUUUUCAUGUAGAUUAUUUUGGAUGAUGUUAUUAAUGUACCUUGUGUUAUUUUUGGAGUAUGAUAAUGCUUUAAGUUCAAUACAUGUAAUUUUGUUGGUGAUGUAUCUUUGCGAAAGUUUAAAAUUUUUAAUGAUGAUCAUAUUAUUUAGAUAUAAACUUGUAUUUGUGUGUUUCUUAUUAUCCCUUGGUAGAACUCCUGAUAAAUUUUAUAAUUAUUGUGAUUUAUGUUAGAAUGAUUCAACAAGAAUUGAUUAUGCACAAAAUAUGUUAGAAUUGAUUAGUUCUACAAGAAUGAUUUAUGCUAGAUUGAUUUAUGUGAUUUUUGUAAUUUGAAUGAGACAUCUUGUGACACAUUUACAUAAAUCUGUUAACACUACCAUUAUAUCUUUGGCACAUGUUAGAAUGUUUGUAUUAUGCAUGAAUCGAAUAUUUAUGAGAUACUUGUUUUUAUUAAUAAAAAUCAUAAGUUAUUAGUGACUCUCUAAUCCAAAAAUUCUACAUGAUUAAUAGAUAGUAAGUUGCCCUAAUCUUUAAGAGAUCAUGAGUCAUAUGUGUUCCACUUUAUUCUAAAAAAUGAUUUUUCUCAAGUCAUUAUUAUCUAUUUCAUAUGAGUUUAAAUGGAUAGUAAGCUUAAUUAAUGACUUAGCUAAUUUUUCUAUGAGAGAGAUAAAAAAAAUUCCAUAUCAUUUUUAUCUAUAUGCAUUAUGUAUGACCUCACCUCUAGUUUUUGUCAAUAUAUCUCUAAUUAAUAUAUGCUACAAAUAUUUGUUUGUCCAUAUUUAAUCUUUCUAUUUCAAAGACACCCCAAAUUUUGAGAUAGUCAAAACUUUAUAUAUUAUGGUUUGAAAGAGAUGGCUUAUGCGCACACACUAUGUCACUUAUAUUAAGUUGUCUUGCUCACUUAUUAAAGUGUAUUACAUCUUAUGCAUGAUUCAAAUACGUGAUAUUUCGAAAUCUUUAUAUGAUAUCUUGAUAAAUGAUAAAAUCACUAUGUGCCUUUGUGAUUUAAACUUAAGAUUUGUAAAAGUGAUUUUUAUCCCACUUGAGCUAAAUGAUGUUGGUAUUAUCAACAACACCUAUUUGACGUUUUUUUUUAAUAGAUUGAAAGGCAUAUGUUCAGCCUAUUUGUAUUUAAAGAGGUACAACUCAACUCAGAUCAGAAAGCUCAGUAAAUAGCAAGUCAUCGGAAUCAGUACGAAGAACGUCACAUGAUUUAUGGAAAUCAUAUGUCAGAUAAGUUCCAGGAUGCUGCUGCACCACACUGAAAGAAGUUCAUUAAUAUGUUCAAGCCUCAGUGCACAAAUAAUCUUUUGUGGCACGUCCAGGAAUUCAGAAGACAUAAAGUUUCUAUACUUUAUUUCAUCAGAAGAUUCCAUUUAAUGAAGAUGUACGUACAAGACGAAGACUCGACGAACUAACCAAAUUCUUAUUGUUUAUUUGACGAAGAAUAUUUGAUUUAACUAGAUACAGAUGAACCAGACAGUACAUCUGUGUAUCAGUUAUUCAAAUUAAAUAUUUGAAGUCAAGCAGAAGUGGUAGUUCGUUCGUUCGACAAAUCAAGAAGAAGUUAUUAAAGUUUAAAGAAGACAGAAAGCAGUUCUACUGAAGAUUGGGUGAUUAAAUAUUUAAUAGACUAUUAUUUCACUUCUCAAAUGGUUAUAUUAAUUAUGUAAUUUAUUUAUUAAAUUAAUUCACUCUCGAAUUAAUUUAAUUUAUGAAUUUAUAUGAUUAACUUAAUUAAGUGAAUAAUUUUCUAUUUUAUAUUUACUAUAUUAUUACUUUUUUAAUCACCAAAACAGCCCAGCAAGACAAUCUGUGAUUGUCUUGCCGAACUGCCCACUUGGAAUGGAAUCAGUGUGCAAGACAAUCCAAUUGUCUUGUCUUGCCGAGUGUUUCAGUGGUGUGCAAGACAAUUCAACUGAAUUGUCUUGCCGAUGGACUUGUGUGGCAGCAAGACAAUCCUGUUGUCUUGUCUUGCCGAGAGUCUCACUUUCUGCAAGACAAUGCAGUUGUCUUGUCUUGCCGAAUGCAAGGAGGUGUGCAAGACAAUCCCCAAUUGUCUUGCCGUUUGUAGUGUUUGUCUUUCUGACAAAGAGAUUGUCUUCCCUUCCCUUUGAUUGUCUUUCUGACUUGGUUGAAGCUUGGUAGACAAUCUGAGAUUGUCUUCCCUUGCCCCUUUUUGUCUUGCCCAAGCCUAGAUUGUCUUACCCUUCUUGUAAUUGUCUUGUCUAGCAAUUGUCUUGCAUGUACAAUGCUUUGCCUAUAAAUAUGGCAUCCAUUCUUCAUUUUCAAGUGUUCAUUCACUUGUAUUCAAAGCAUUUGUAAAGCUUUCAAGUUGUUAGUAACUUGCUUGUUCGUUAUAUCCACAGUUUUCUGUGCUUUGAUAACCCGGUUGUUUUAAUCACUAAAUCUAGAAUAUACCCUGUCGAAUUUAUUCUACGAACUUUAGUGGACAUUAAAACUGAACCAUUUUAAUUAUAUAACGACUUCAAACAUUGUUAUAUUAAUUAAUUAUAAUCUGAUUAACAAAUCAUAUUCAAUCAGAUUCACUUCCGCGACGAUUUGGUACUGAUUGUAUUCAACCCCCCCCUUCUACAAUCAUAUCUGGACCUAACAAAUGGCAUCAGAGCGGUUGAUACCAUUUUUCCGUAUCAGAUCCUAUACACACUCUGUAACGUCCAAAUAUUUUUUAUUCGAAUUAAUUUUAUUCCAAAAAUUAAUUUUGAUUAAAAAUAUUUUUCUUUCAAAAAUCUAAAUCUCUCCAAACACUAUUCACUUUAAAUCUAUUGUCUUCCCUUGCCCCUUUUUGUCUUGCCCAAGCCUAGAUUGUCUUACCCUUCUUGUAAUUGUCUUGUCUAGCAAUUGUCUUGCAUGUACAAUGUAUGAAGGUCAUAUUAGCACACGAAGAGGAUGGUGUGUUGAUACCUCAUCAGGUCAUUCCGAAAGAACUUUCUGAGUACACAGACGAAGAGAGUGAUCAGAUGAACUUAGAUGAUGCUCUUCAACUAAUCUUGGUUGAAUCUCUAAAUUCAGUAAUGUACAAUGCUGUUGUAAAUUGUACGAACGCCAAGCAAAUCUGGGAUACAUUAGAGAUUAUCAAUGAAGGCUCAGAGGAAGUUAGGGAAAACAAGAAAGAGAUACUGAUGGCUCAGUAUGAACAGUUUGGUUCCCAUCCCGGUGAAGGGAUUUCAGAAGUAUUUAUCAGACUUAAUAAUUUGAUAAAUAAUUUAAAUCUGAAUGGGAAAUUCUACGACAAGAAAGAGGUCAACAUGAAGUUUCUCUUAACCCUUCCCGAACAUCUGGAACACAGAAUCACUGCCAUCAGGGAAAGCAGAGAUCUCAAUGAGAUUUCUCUGGAAAGACUCUACGGAGUUUUGAAAACUUAUGAACUGGAGCAAGUUCAGAGUAAACAGAGAUAUGGCUGGGGUAAAACACAGAACCAUUCGAGAGCUCUAGUUGUUGAGUCACCUGUACUGGAAGAAAAGAAGAAGGAUGUUGUUGUUCCUUCUAAGACUACUCAGGAAUUUGUUGUACCUGAGAUGGGUCAGACUGCUUCUUCCAGUGGUGACGAAGAGUUCUAUACAAUGGAAGAGCUUGAACAGUUAGAAGAUCAAUCUCUAUCACUGUUUGCCAAGAAGUUUGGAAACAUGAGAUUCCGGAAGAACCCUUCCUAUAAAUACAAACCUACUGUUAGUAAGUUUCAGAAGGGAGGCUAUUCAUCUUCAACAAGCAAAGGAGGAUACAAGACUGGGAUGGUGGACAGAAGUAAAUUUAAAUGUUUCAACUGUGGUGAACCUGGACACUUUGCAACUGAGUGCAAGCAGCCCAAGGUUCAAGGAAAGAGAAAGGAUUCGUAUGAUGAGCUGAAGCAGAAGUAUGAUGCCUUAGUAAGAAAGCAUCAUGGUACUUCUGGAAGUCAAAGCUUCAAGAGCAAAUCAUAUCUAGCAGAAGGGAAAAGCUGGGAUGAUACAGAUAGUGAUGAAGAAGAGCAGAUUGGGAAUGUUGCUCUCAUGGCUAAUGCUGGAUCAUCUUCACCUCCUCCUGCUGGAAGCUUUCAGGUAGAUCCUACAUGCCCUAAACUGUUUAUGCAAUUAGGACUUGAAAGAGAUGAUGCUAUUAAAAAGAUGAAAGCUGCCAAUCUUAAAAUUGAUACUUUAGUCUUAGAAAUUCAUGCUUAUAAGAUGAAUGAGAUGAAAGUAUUAAAACCUAAAAUAGAACAAUUGACUAUGGAUUUAGGAUUACAAUGUGCUAAAGUCAAAGUUCUAGAGAAAGGUGAGAUUGCUUUAAGACUUCAGCUAGACGAAGAGAAAGUGAAAUGUAAAGCCUUUAAGGAUGCCUCCAUGAUAGUCAAAGAACUUAAUGAUAAACAAGAGAUCAAGAGAACUGUUGGAAUAGGUUUUGACUAUAACAAAUCUGUAGGUAAGGCUAGUAACAUUACUCCUUUUAAGAAGAGUGCUGAGGAGAGAGGGAUUCCUUUUGUUUUGAAAGAUUCCCUUAAACCUUUGUUUAAAACCUCAGAAGCUGAACCUCUUUUAGAGACUCCUGUUGUCAUUAGAUAUGAACUCAAACAGGAAGACCUUAAAAUGAAAGAGAGUAAUGAGAAGAGAGAUGAGAUCCUGACAUCACUGAAACCAAUCAAAGUGAAAGGCAAUGUUAGGUUGCCUAAAGCUGGUUUAGGUGUCAACUCUGAGAGAACUAAAUUCAACAAGCCUAAUAAUUUUGUGAAUAGUAAGAACAAGAACAAUAGAUGUCAUUCUACUGAGAACUUUAAAUCUGAUAACAAGGUUAGAGUAGAAUCUAUUGAUGUUCCUACUACUAUGACUGAUACUCCUGUUGUUCCUGCUUUUGAUGCAUGUCAUAAAUCUUGUAGUGUUGAUAAUUGUAUGACUUGUGCUUUCAAUUUGAUGUCUGCUUAUUUUAAAAAUUUGCAUGCUAAAAAUGAAAACACAUCACCUAGACAACACACAAACAACAAGCAUGCUAGAUCAAAGACUGCUAGUCCUACUCGUGUUAGGAAGGAGACUUAUGUUCCAAAGCCUAAAACUAAGGUUUAUAAGGCUGUUGUUAAGGAAGUAAGUUCAGUCAAGUCUGAACCAAGUAUCAGUCCAAGAGGCUCUGUUGUUACACCUGAUAGAAAUCAGUUCUUUAAGUUUGCUGGACCCAAUCAAGUGUGGGUCCCAAAGAAUGUUUAAUCAAGUUGUCUUUUGCAGGGUGCCAGUGGAAUUGUUCGUGUUACCUGGGUGCUUGACAGUGGAGCGUCAAUGCACAUGACUGGCAAUAAAUCCCUGCUGGAAGACAUAAGAGAAGGAGCUGGCCCUACAGUCAGUUUUGCUGAUAAUAGCAAAGGUCGUACUGUGGGAUAUGGCAAGUACAAAAUUGGAAGGAUCAUCAUAGAAGAUAUUGCAAUAGUUGAAGGACUUCAACAUAAUCUCCUGAGUGUCAGUCAAUUCUGUGACAAAGGAUAUUAUGUUCAUUUUGAAAAGGAGAUAUGUAUCAUUAAACAUAUCAAGGAUAAGCGUCCUUCACUAUGUGGCAUAAGGAAAGGCAAUAUAUUCGUAGCUGAUUUGUCUUCAGGACCAGGAAACGAAGUUCACUGUUUCUACGCCAAAGCGUCUGCUGAAGAUAGUUGGUUAUGGCAUAAGAAGCUCUCACACCUCAACUUCAAAACCAUGAACUCUCUAGUCAAGAGAGAUCUAGUGAGAGGGUUGCCUUCCCUGGAAUUCUCAACUGAUGAUCUUUGUGAAGCUUGUCAGAAAGGAAAAGCGAAGAGAGCAUCUCACAAAGGCAAAACCAUCAAUACCAUUACAGAUCCACUUCAUUUGUUGCAUAUGGAUCUGUUUGGCCCUGUGAAUGUUGCAUCCAUUGAUGGAGGAAGAUAUGCCUUGGUUAUUGUGGAUGACUUCUCAAAAUUUACUUGGGUUUACUUCCUGGCUUCUAAGGAUGAAACCCCGUUGACAGUGAUUGAUCAUAUAAAGUUAGUUGAAUUGGAUAAAGGUGUGCCAGUCAAAGCUGUAAGGUCAGACAAUGGCACAGAAUUCAAGAAUCAAACUCUAAUCAACUUUUACUCUGAAAAGGGAAUUAGAAGGCAGUAUUCAGCACCAAGGACUCCUCAGCAGAAUGGAGUCGUCGAAAGAAAGAAUCGUACACUGAUCGAAGCUGCAAGGACUAUGAUUGCUGAAGCAAAGCUUCCUCUGUACUUUUGGGCUGAAGCUGUGUCUACUGCCUGCUAUACCCAGAAUAGAACUUUGAUCAACAAGGAUCAUAUGAAAACUCCAUUUCAUCUGUAUAACAACAAGAAACCUUAUGUCAAACAUCUUCAUGUCUUUGGAGCCAAGUGUUAUGUUCUCAAGGAUGGUGAAGAGAACUUGAACAAGUUUGAGCCAAAGGCAUCUGAAGCAAUUUUUGUUGGUUAUACAAAUAAUGCUUAUAGAGUUUUUGUAAUUGAUACUCUGUCAGUGAAAGUUAGUGUCAAUGUAACAUUUGAUGACACUAAACUACCAAGUUUACAAUCUGCUGAUCCAUCUGAAUCUCUGAAGUUUGACAACUAUCCAGAUUCUGAUUCAGAUGAUGAUGUGCCACCUGAGGUUGCAACAGGUGAUGACAACAAUGAUAAUGAUCCAGGCAAUGGUGGAGGAAAUGGCAAUAAUGCUGGAGAUUCCACUGAUGCUAGUGGUGGAUCAUCAAGUCAACCUGGCAACAACUCAGGGGGAGCUGGUGGAUCAACUAGUCAUACACAUCAGCCUAAUGAUAAUACUGCUGAAUCAUCAAGGACACAACUUCCAAGGGAAAGGAUUUGGAGCAGAGAUCAUCCCUUUGAUCUGAUUAUUGGUGAUCCUGAUGUUGGUGUAAGGACUAGAAGUGCUACGACAAAUGAAUGCCUAUUCUCUGGGUUUCUAUCUCAACAAGAACCAAAGAAAAUAGAAGAAGCACUUGCUGAUCCUGAUUGGGUUCUUGCCAUGCAAGAAGAACUCAAUCAAUUUGAGAGACAAGAAGUCUGGGCCCUGGUUCCAAGACCAAAAGGAAAAUCUACAAUUGGAGCUAGAUGGGUCUUCCGUAACAAGUUAGAUGGUGAUGGCAUUGUUGUGAGAAACAAAGCCAGACUGGUUGCAAAAGGUUAUUCACAAGAAGAAGGAAUUGAUUACGAUGAAACCUAUGCUCCAGUUGCUCGUCUUGAAGCCAUCAGAAUAUUUCUUGCAUUUGCUGCACACUCCAACUUCAAGGUAUAUCAAAUGGAUGUGAAAAGUGCAUUUCUGAAUGGAAAGCUAGAAGAAGAAGUAUAUCUGGAACAGCCCCCUGGCUUUGAAAAUCCAGAGUUUGCUGAUUUUGUAUACUUCCUAUUCAAAGCUGUCUAUGGACUCAAGCAGUCACCAAGGACAUGGUAUGACACUCUCUCUGAGUUUUUAAUUGAAAACAAUUUUACUAGAGGUGUCAUAGACAAAACUCUCUUUUACAAAUUGCAUGAUAAGGAUAUGAUAUUUGUACAAAUAUAUGUUGAUGAUAUUAUAUUUGGUUCUACUAACGAUAACUUGUGCAAGAGAUUUGCUAAGUUGAUGCAGAGUAACUAUGAGAUGAGUAUGAUGGGUGAGCUGUCCUACUUCCUUGGUCUUCAAGUAAGCCAAAAGGAAGAUGGAAUAUUCAUUUGCCAAUCCAAGUAUGUCAGAGAUCUUCUUCGAAAGUUCAAUCUAGAAGACUCUUCACCGGCAAAGACACCCAUGGCCACUGCCACAAAGCUUGACCAGGAUAAAUCUGGUAAGAAAGUUGAUAUCACAAGCUAUCGUGGUAUGAUUGGCUCUUUACUUUAUCUUACUGCAAGUAGACCAGAUAUCAUGUUUGCAACAUGUUUGUGUGCUAGGUUCCAAGCUGAUCCUAAAGAAUCACAUCUUAUAGCCGUCAAAAGAAUCUUUAGAUAUCUUAAGGGUACACCUGGAUUAGGUAUUUGGUACCCUAAGAAUACUGGUUUUGACUUAACCGGCUAUACAGAUUCUGAUUAUGCAGGAUGCAGGAUUGAUAGGAAGAGUACGUCUGGAAGCUGUCAAUUUCUAGGACGUCGGUUGGUUUCCUGGUAUAGCAAGAAGCAGCACUCCGUGUCUACCUCUACUGCUGAAGCUGAGUAUAUAGCUGCUGGUAGCUGCUGUGCUCAGAUCUUGUGGAUCAAGAAUCAACUGAAUGAUUAUGGUGUUGUAGUAAACAAAAUUCCUAUAUUUUGUGAUAAUACAAGUGCCAUAGCCAUUUCCAACAAUCCGGUUCAACACUCAAGAACCAAGCACAUUGAUAUCAGGUAUCAUUUCAUACGAGAACAUGUCAUGAAUGGUACAGUGGUGUUACAUUUUGUACCCACGACUGAGCAAAUUGCUGACAUCUUCACGAAACCACUAGAUGAAUCCACUUUCUCUAAGCUGGUUUGUGAGUUAGGGAUGUUAAAUAUGACAUAGUUCUCUUGUAUAUAUCUUUCAUAUGUAUCAUAUGUGUUUGUAUAUUUUUUGUGAAUUUUCUGUGUAAUUAUAUCUAUAUUAUAAGAUUUUAUAUGAUUUCCUGUAUAUUAUCUGAUAAUAUUCUAAGUAAUUAUGCAUGCUUGUAAAUUAGUAAAUGAUUUCCUAAGUGCUCAUAUACUCCCCUGUAAUAUUCUCUAGGCAUUUAGAUAAUUAUUUGUAAUUAUUUUGUAUUUUUCAAAAUUAAUUAAGCAUAAAUAUUUGAUUUUAAGUUAAUUCAUUUUAUUGAAUUAAAGUUAAAGUCAUAAGUAUUUAUAUUUAAUUAAAGUUGAAAUUUACAAAAUAUUUGUGUAAUAUAUAGUAUUAUUUUUACUAUAGAUUUUUGAUUUUAAUUGCAAAAUGUUUUAUCUUUUAAAUUAAUCAAAAAUCAUAUUAUUAUUAAUUGUUUUUUGGGUUUACUUCCUGGCUUCUAAGGAUGAAACCCCGUUGACAGUGAUUGAUCAUAUAAAGUUAGUUGAAUUGGAUAAAGGUGUGCCAGUCAAAGCUGUAAGGUCAGACAAUGGCACAGAAUUCAAGAAUCAAACUCUAAUCAACUUUUACUCUGAAAAGGGAAUUAGAAGGCAGUAUUCAGCACCAAGGACUCCUCAGCAGAAUGGAGUCGUCGAAAGAAAGAAUCGUACACUGAUCGAAGCUGCAAGGACUAUGAUUGCUGAAGCAAAGCUUCCUCUGUACUUUUGGGCUGAAGCUGUGUCUACUGCCUGCUAUACCCAGAAUAGAACUUUGAUCAACAAGGAUCAUAUGAAAACUCCAUUUCAUCUGUAUAACAACAAGAAACCUUAUGUCAAACAUCUUCAUGUCUUUGGAGCCAAGUGUUAUGUUCUCAAGGAUGGUGAAGAGAACUUGAACAAGUUUGAGCCAAAGGCUUCUGAAGCAAUUUUUGUUGGUUAUACAAAUAAUGCUUAUAGAGUUUUUAUAAUUGAUACUCUGUCAGUGAAAGUUAGUGUCAAUGUUACAUUUGAUGACACUAAACUUCCAAGUAUACAAUCUGCUGAUCCAUCUGAGUCUCUGAAGUUUGACAACUAUCCAGACUCUGAUUCAGAUGAUGAUAUUCCACCUGAGGUUGCAACAGGAGAUGACAACAAUGAUAAUGAUCCAGGCAAUGGUGGAGGAAAUGGCAAUAAUGCUGGAGAUUCCACUGAUGCCAGUGGUGGAUCAUCAAGUCAACCUGGCAACAACUCAGGGGGAGCUGAUGGAUCAACUAGUCACACAUUUCAGCUUAAUGAUAAUACUGCUGAAUCAUCAAGGACACAUCUUCCAAGGGAAAGGAUUUGGAGCAGAGAUCAUCCCUUUGAUUUAAUUAUUGGUGAUCCUGAUGUUGGUGUAAGGACUAGAAGUGCUACGACAAAUGAAUGCCUAUUCUCUGGGUUUCUAUCUCAACUAGAACCAAAGAAAAUAGAAGAAGCACUUGCUGAUCCUGAUUGGGUUCUUGCCAUGCAAGAAGAACUCAAUCAAUUUGAGAGACAAGAAGUCUGGGCCCUGGUUCCAAGACCAAAAGGAAAAUCUACAAUUGGAGCUAGAUGGGUCUUCCGUAACAAGUUAGAUGGUGAUGGCAUUGUUGUAAGAAACAAAGCCAGACUGGUUGCAAAAGGUUAUUCACAAGAAGAAGGAAUUGAUUACGAUGAAACCUAUGCUCCAGUUGCUCGUCUUGAAGCCAUCAGAAUAUUUCUUGCAUUUGCUGCACACUCCAACUUCAAGGUUUAUCAAAUGGAUGUGAAAAGUGCAUUUCUGAAUGGAAAGCUAGAAGAAGAAGUAUAUCUGGAACAGCCCCCUGGCUUUGAAAAUCCAGAGUUUGCUGAUUUUGUAUACUUCCUAUUCAAAGCUGUCUAUGGACUCAAGCAGUCACCAAGGACAUGGUAUGACACUCUCUCUGAGUUUUUAAUUGAAAACAAUUUUACUAGAGGUGUCAUAGACAAAACUCUCUUUUACAAAUUGCAUGAUAAGGAUAUGAUAUUUGUACAAAUAUAUGUUGAUGAUAUUAUAUUUGGUUCUACUAACGAUAACUUGUGCAAGAGAUUUGCUAAGUUGAUGCAGAGUAACUAUGAGAUGAGUAUGAUGGGUGAGCUGUCCUACUUCCUUGGUCUUCAAGUAAGCCAAAAGGAAGAUGGAAUAUUCAUUUGCCAAUCCAAGUAUGUCAGAGAUCUUCUUCGAAAGUUCAAUCUAGAAGACUCUUCACCGGCAAAGACACCCAUGGCCACUGCCACAAAGCUUGACCAGGAUAAAUCUGGUAAGAAAGUUGAUAUCACAAGCUAUCGAGGUAUGAUUGGCUCUUUACUUUAUCUUACUGCAAGUAGACCAGAUAUCAUGUUUGCAACAUGUUUGUGUGCUAGGUUCCAAGCUGAUCCUAAAGAAUCACAUCUUAUAGCCGUCAAAAGAAUCUUUAGAUAUCUUAAGGGUACACCUGGUUUAGGUAUUUGGUACCCUAAGAAUACUGGUUUUGACUUAACCGGCUAUACAGAUUCUGAUUAUGCAGGAUGCAGGAUUGAUAGGAAGAGUACGUCUGGAAGCUGUCAAUUUCUAGGACGUCGGUUGGUUUCCUGGUAUAGCAAGAAGCAGCACUCCGUGUCUACUUCUACUGCUGAAGCUGAGUAUAUAGCUGCUGGAAGCUGCUGUGCUCAGAUCUUGUGGAUCAAGAACCAACUGAAUGAUUAUGGUGUUGUAGUAAACAAAAUUCCCAUAUUUUGUGAUAAUACAAGUGCCAUAGCCAUUUCCAACAAUCCGGUUCAACAUUCAAGAACCAAGCACAUUGAUAUCAGGUAUCAUUUCAUUCGAGAACAUGUCAUGAAUGGUACAGUGGUGUUACAUUUUGUACCCACGACUGAGCAAAUUGCUGACAUCUUCACUAAACCACUGGAUGAAUCCACUUUCUCUAAGCUGGUUUGUGAGUUAGGGAUGUUAAAUAUGACAUAGUUCUCUUGUAUAUAUUUUUCAUAUGUAUUAUAUGUUUUUAUAUAUUUUUGUGAAUUUUCUGUAUAAUUAUAUCGAUAUUAUUAGAUUUUAUAUGAUUUUCUGUAUGUUAUCUGAUAAUAUUCUGAGUAAUUAUGCAUGUUUGUAUAUUAGUCUGUAAUUUUCUAAGUGCUCAUACACUCCCCUGUACUAUUCCCUAAGCAUUUAGAUAAUUAUCUGUAGGUAUUUUGUAUUUUUCAAAAUUAGUUAAGCAUAAAUAUUUGAUUUUAAGUUAAUUCAUUUUAUUGAAUUAAAGUUAAAGUCAUAAGUAUUUAUAUUUAAUUAAAGUUGAAAUUUACAAAAUAUUUGUGUAAUAUAUACUAUUGUUUUUAUUAUAGAUUUUUGAUUUUAAUUGCAAAAGGUUUUAUCUUUUAAAUUAAUCAAAAAUCAUAUUAUUAUUAUUUGUUUUUCUGUUAGACAAUUACAUUGUCUACUGAUUGGCUCGGCAAGACAAUUGAAAUUGUCUUGCUGAACCGGUUUUUCAGUAUAGUUUCAAACAACUCGGCAAGACAAUUAGAUUGUCUUACCGAGCAUGCAUUGUAACCGCCUGUUGUAUCAGUAAGACAAUUGAAAUUGUCUUACUGACACUUGAUUUGUCUGCUUCGAUAAAUCUCGGCAAGACAAUCUUAAAUUGUCUUACCGAGACUUAAUUAGCGUUUGUCUUGCUGUUUGUAUAUAAUUGUCUCAAGGCAAUUCGAGCAAGACAAUCUCGUUUGUCUUGCCCGUUGCCUUCAUCUUCUACACUGAGCAUAUACACACACGAUCACAUACAUACAUACACGCUUUCGAACUGGGUUUUCAAGUUUAUACCUAAAACUUGCUGAGAUUCGUGUUUUUCAAGCAUUAAGCUUGCUUUGUUACUUUUAAUCCGUCGAUUUUGAGUCGAAUCUCUGUCGAUUUUUUUUUUGGAUUAAGUUGUUCUGAGUUUGAGCUUUUAAGGAUCGUUCUUGGCUGAUUCUUGACCGUGUGUUGUUGACUGUGUGCAUCUGCUACUGAAACCGAAGAAUCGAGUUCGUGAUUGCUUGGAUUUUGAAAUUAGGGUUCUUGGUUUUUGAAUUUGGGGAUUUUCUAAGUUAAGGGCUUGUUUGGCUUGUGAUUAUUUGAAUUUGGGGUGUUUAAUCUUAAGGCUGCGUUUGGCAAAUCUGGGUUAUUUGGACUUAAGGAUUUGUUUGGUGAUUAUCUAGUUAAGUUUUAUUUGAUUAGUGCCAUUUAAAUUAAUUAACUUUUAAUUCGAUAUUAUUCUAAUAUUUCGAAUUAUUAAUUAAUUAAUUAAGCUUUAAUUAAUAGUUGAAAUUUGCGAGACAUUUGAGAAUUCACAUUUAAUUUGAAAAAUUCUCGCUUAAUUCAAUUUUUAAUUAUUAAAAAUGGCCGGAGAGUUUGUGGUUGCUGAGACUAACUACUGUGCCAGCCUCAACCCUGAUGAUUGCUCUGAUAGAUUCCGGACUUGGGUCAGAUUCCUUUCAAGACAGAGUUUAGUCAGUACAGCAAUGACUGCAGAUAUUCCGAUCAAGCUGCAACCUCUGUUUGACUUCUACUCAAAUGCUGUCAACUCUACAACCCUGGAGAAUUACAAGAUAAUAGGGGAUUUACCUAACCGGAAGAGGAUUGUAAUCACUGUCGAUGAUGUGAACCGGAUCUUAGGACUUCCAAGGGACAAUUUUGAGCCAGAUCCCUCAGAGGAUGAAUUGAGACAGUUCUUUCAGGAUAUUCACUAUCAAGGUCAGAUUUUUCUCCCGAAGAUGUCAAAGGGAAAUCUGAAAGCUGAAUGGGAUGUGUUCUUUGACACCCUUGCCAAGGUGUUUGCUCCCACUAAUCGAAAGAACUUUGGGAAUAUAUCUUCAAUGCUGCAAAUCUUUGGAUUCAGCAUAGCUUAUAACCGUCGAAUCAAUUUUGGGAAGAUAUUGCUGAGGGAGAUUAUCAGAAAGAUGGGGUCUGUUACACAGAGAUCAAUUCAGAGGAAUGACAAAGUUGAAUGCUUCUACCCCAGAUUCCUGAUGUUGUUUAUGAAUGAUAAGAUGAAUGCUGAUGAUAGGCACAUGUACGUCGAUUCUCCUGUUGUUCCUAUUCAGAGGACUUGUGCCAAGAUCCAAACUAGGCUGGUCAACAAGAAAAAGCAUGAUAAUGUACCACUGGUGGUGACUCCAUUCAUGCUCGAACAAUUCAGUGUUCCUUUUCAGCCUGUACAAGUUCCAGAACCACUACAACAGCAACAAUAUCAAUCACAACAACAACAAGCUCAACAACAAGAACAACAACAACAACAAUCACCUCCACGUAUCAAUCAACCACUUCAACUCCUCCAAGACUAUCAAUCAUCCAGCCAAUCCUCACAUUACUCUCCCUACAACCCUCCUUACAAUUCACCACAACAAUCACCUCACCAAUCAUCAUACAAUUCUCCUCACCAAUCUCAACACCAAUCCCCUCCACAAUACAACUUCUUCCCAGACCAACAAGCCUCCAUUCUUCCCUCUCAAUCUGAACCAACACCUUCACCUACACAUCCACAUACCAUUCCUCCACCACAAUCCACCUCUCAGCCUCUGCCUGCUGAUUCUGCUAUCAAUCCAGAGCUACAGGACUUCAGGACAGAUUUACAGGUAGCUCAGGUACUUUCUAAUCUCACUGAUACCUUUAAUAUUGAUAUUGCAGAUUUUGAUUGUGAUAUUGGAUUUGAUUUCCAGACUCCCAGCAUUGAACCUGUAAACACCCAGGUUCAUAACCAAGCUGACGUUUUCGUUUCAACAACUGAUUCUUCGUCAAACACAUCAACCGACACUACUCAUACACCAGUUGUUCGAAAGGUAGCCCGGAAACGGAGUGGGAGUGCAAUUCUGAGAGAACCCGCAGCUCUGUCUCAUAAGAAGCAAAGGGUGGCAGAACCGGAGACAACUGCAGCCGCAUCCAUUUCCUCCCAAAAGGAUUUGGACACUGACAUGGUAAAUAUACAGUCUCUAGAUUCAUUCUCUCCACAGAAUGCAUUUAUUGAAAUUGGCCGUCCGACCGCGGUAUCCUGUAAAGAGUCAAGCACACAACUAGCACUCACGCUAGUUGAACCUUUGUCUUUUAAUUCUUCACUUAGAGAGAGCACAGAUAUUCAAAAAUUGUCAUAUGAAAAACUUUCUGAUCACUCUUUCUUUUUGGAUCAGGCUAUACUUGGCAACCUGCAAGUACAUCAGCCUUCACAGGCAUCUGAAGGACAAUUUGUUCCUUCACAACCUACAGUUCCAUCUCAGGGAACUAUGGUUGUAUAUACAGGUACUGGUGACGGUGUGAAAACUACGAGUGAAAUCAGGCAAACACCGAGCGAAACACAUGCACGAGAGGAUAGUGAAAAAUCUUUGAGUGUUCGUGAGGUGAGUGCACACACCAACACAGAUCUGUUACAGGAACAAAUGGCUGCUCUCAGGGCUGAGAUAGAAAGGUUGAAUGCUGAGAAUGCAAGAUUCAGAAGUGGAGAGUUGGUGACUCUACAAGAAAAGGUUGUUGAUCCUUCAUUCUCUUCCCUCAAACAGGAAUUAGAUGCUCAUGUCAAGGGUAUUCACUCUAGGAUGGACAAAUUUGAUACAACUCAGGAGCUCUGUCUGACGAAGCUUGACAACUUGGAGCAAACUUUGGCUCAAGUUGUUCAACACUUAAAGAUCAAUCCGUCAACAUCUCAGUCUACUCCAGAGGAUCCCUCAACUAAGGGGGAGAAGGAUAAGGAUGACAAAGAUAAGGAUGACAGCAAUGCUGGUGGUGGUGGCAAUGGUGGUGACAAGGGUGGUGAUACUGAUAGGAGUGAUAAGGGUGGAGAAGGAGCAAGUGAAAAGGACUCUUCUGCAGCUAGCAAAUCUAAAGGCAAAAUGCCUGAAACUGAGAACAUCUUCACUAAUCAGGAUUAUGACAACAUUCCUGAAGAUGUUGAUGAUGAUGAUGCAUUUGACUCUGCUUAUUUUGAAGCUGAGGAAGAAGGUCGUUUCGAGGAAGGCUUUCUUUUCAAUGAAGAUCAGUCUGUAGAUCCUGAGCACAUGGAAAAGGUCAAGAUGUUUAAAGCUCAACAUGAAGCUAGCAAAGCAAAGCUUCAGGAACUGCAGAAACUGGUAGAUGAAAAGAGGACAACUGAUGAGUUGGUCAAGCUGGAGAAACAGAAACUGUGGGAUGCUAAGUGCAAGGAAAAGAGAGAGGAUAUCUCCAGGAAAGUUGGUGAAAGCUGGGAUAUUGCAAGGCAAAUCCUCUCUGGACCUCAAAGGGAACCUUUCAAUGAUGGUAAAUUCAAAUCCUUCAUUUAUGACCUGAGAGAGGCUAACCCUAAUGAAGAUAUGUUUAUGCGUGCUCUUGCUCUCGAGUUAGAAUAUAUAACUAUUGGUGUCAAGAAUCUUCUCAAUGAAUGGGAGAUCAUUAUUUCUACUCAGAGAAACGGAACAUUCAGGGUUUCAAUUGAUUUAUUCAAGUUUCUAUCUCUAACUGAAAUCUGGGUGAUUCGUAACAAGAUCAGACGCAGCUCAAAUCUGAAUGAACUCCUUCGUGACAGACUUAUGGAUUGUGCUAUUCAUAACAGUCCACAAGUUGUCAGAAAGCCUUACUGUGUCAAGUUCAUUCACGAGAGAAAAUUUGGAACCUUCUACCUGGACCACCAACAUCUUCUUAAGUAUGAUGUGAGUCAGUUGGUUCUUGUAUCUACAAUUCUACGUACCAAGGGCUUCGCUACUAAGGCCAAAGCUGAUGCUGAUACUGAGAUUGUAAACUACUGCACAAGGAGAAAUAUUCAACAAUACUUCAGGAAGAUGAAGUAUAUCAACCAAUCUCAGCCAGCAGAUUUCAUCGAAGACCCUGUGGAUAUAGAGGUUCAAUAUUAUCUUUCAUUGGCUCGUGAAAGAAAGAAGCGUGGAGAAUCCACUGCAGCUGAAGAGCCUACUCAGAAUGAGCCUUCUACUCCAAUUAUUCACUGUUCAGAUGCUGAAGAAGGAGAAGUCACUCGUUCUGAGUGAAUAGAUUGAUUAGGAUAUUUGUUAGAUAUGUUCAAGGAACAUCCUUUUGUAAUCUAUUUAUGAUCAUGGUUUAAUGUUUAAUGCAAGCCAUAAACUUUUGCUAUUUACAUUCCAUUGUUUAAAUCUUUGUCUUAUCUGUUAGUUGAGUUAUCCUCUAGGAAAUUUGCAUGUUAUGUUAACAAACAAAUAGGGGGAGAUUGAAAGGCAUAUGUUCAGCCUAUUUGUAUUUAAAGAGGUACAACUCAACUCAGAUAAGAAAGCUCAGUAAAUAGCAAGUCAACGGAAUCCGUACGAAGAACGUCAAAUGAUUUAUGGGAAUUAUAUGUCAGAUAAAUUCCAGGAUGCUGCUGCACACCACUGAAAGAAGUUCAUUAAUAUGUUCAAGCCUCAGUGCACAAAUAAUCUUUUGUGGCACGUCCAGGAGUUCAGAAGAUAUAAAGUUUCUAUACUUUAUUUUAUCAGAAGAUUCCAUUUAAUGAAGAAGUACUUACAAGACGAAGACUCGACGAACAAAUCAAAUUCUUAAUGUUUAUUUGACAAAGAAUAUUUGAUUUAACUAGAUACAGAUGAACCAGACAGUACAUCUGUGUAUCAGUUAUUCAAAUUGAAUAUUUGAAGUCAAGCAGAGUUGGUGGUUCGUUCGUUCGACUGAUCAAGACGGAGUUAUUAAUGUUUAAAGAAGACGGGAAGCAAUUCUACUGAUGAAUGGGUGAUUAAAUAUUUAAUAGAUUAUUAUUUCACUUCUCAAAUAAUUAAAUUAAUUAUGUAAUUUAUUUGUUAAAUUAAUUCACUCUCGAAUUAAUUUAAUUUAUGAAUUUAUAUGAUUAAAUUAAUUAAGUGGAUAAUUUUCUAUUUAAAUAUAAUCUACAAAUUACAUUCAAUCAUCCACUUAAGCUCAGCAAGACAAUCUGAUAUUGUCUUACCGAAUUUUCCAACUGCCAAGACAAUACAAAUUGUCUUACCGAAGCUAAGCCUGCAAGACAAUCCUGAUUGUCUGACUGAAGCUUACAAGACAAUUCUCAAUUGUCUGACCGAAUGGUUCUCAGCAAGACAAUCUUUGAUUGUCUGCCCGAGUAUGCUCUGCCAAGACAAUGAGAUUGUCUGACCGACUGGAUGCUUGCAAGACAAUCUUAAAUUGUCUGGCCGAAUGCAUUCUGUCAAGACAAUCAAAGAUUGUCUGACCGAAUGAAGAUCAGCAAGACAAUCCUUGAUUGUCUGACCGAAUGGAGAUUGUCUGACCGAGCUCUGAAUUGUCUUGCUAGCUUUAAAAUUGUCUUUCUGCUGUGUCUUGUGCUUGCAAGGCAAUCUAAAAUUGUCUUGCCCUUUCCACUUUGUCUUUGCUACUUACAAUUGUCUUGUCUUUCAAUUGUCUUACAAGUACAAAUGCUUUGCCUAUAAAUAUGGCUUUGCAUUCUUCAUUUUAAGUGUUCAUCACUUUGUAAAUCAAAGCAUUUGUAAAGCUUUCAAGUUGUUCGUAACUUGCUUGAUCGUUAUAUCCACAGUUUUCUGUGCUUUGAUAACCCGGUUGUUUUAAUCACUAAAUCUAGAAUAUACCCUGUCGAAUUUAUUCUACGAACUUUAGUGGACAUUAAAACUGAACCAUUUUAAUUAUAUAACGACUUCAAACAUUGUUAUAUUAAUUAAUUAUAAUCUGAUUAACAAAUCAUAUUCAAUCAGAUUCACUUCCGCGACGAUUUGGUACUGAUUGUAUUCAACCCCCCCCUUCUACAAUCAUAUCUGGACCUAACAAUUGGCAUCAGAGCGGUUGAUACCAUUUUUCCGUAUCAGAUCCUAUACACACUCUGUAACGUCCAAAUAUUUUUUAUUCGAAUUAAUUUUAUUCCAAAAAUUAAUUUUGAUUUAAAAUAUUUUUCUUUCAAAAAUCCAAAUCUCAUCCAAACACUAUUCACUUCAAAUCCUUAAACAUGAGUACACAAAAGAUCAGUAGCAUUAAAAUCCCACCGUUCAGCAAGGAACACUUUGGCCUAUGGAAGAGGCACAUGUUCCUAUUCCUCCGCACUGCGAACAGAAAAUACAUCGGGAUUUUGGACAAAGGUGUUACUACUCCGAUGAAUGUCAUAUUAGCACACGAAGAGGAUGGUGUGUUAAUACCUCAUCAGAUCAUUCCGAAAGAACUUUCUGAGUACACAGAUGAAGAGAGUGAACAGAUGAAUUUAGAUGAUGCUCUUCAACUAAUUUUGGUUGAAUCUCUAGAUCCAGUGAUGUACAAUGCUGUUGUAAAUUGUACGAACGCCAAGCAAAUCUGGGAUACGUUAGAGAUUAUCAAUGAAGGCUCAGAGGAAGUUAGGGAAAACAAGAAAGAGAUACUGAUGGCUCAGUAUGAACAGUUUGGUUCCCAUCCCGGUGAAGGGAUUUCAGAAGUAUUUAUCAGACUUAAUAAUUUGAUAAAUAAUUUAAAUCUGAAUGGGAAAUUCUACGACAAGAAAGAGGUCAACAUGAAGUUUCUCUUAACCCUUCCUGAACAUCUGGAACACAGAAUCACUGCCAUCAGGGAAAGCAGAGAUCUGAAUGAGAUUUCUCUGGAAAGACUCUACGGAGUUUUGAAAACUUAUGAACUGGAGCAAGUUCAGAGUAAACAGAGAUAUGGCUGGGGUAAAACACAGAACCAUUCGAGAGCUCUAGUUGUUGAGUCACCUGUACUGGAAGAAAAGAAGAAGGAUGUUGUUGUUCCUUCUAAGACUACUCAGGAAUUUGUUGUACCUGAGAUGGGUCAGACUGCUUCUUCCAGUGGUGACGAAGAGUUCUAUACAAUGGAAGAGCUUGAACAGUUAGAAGAUCAAUCUCUAUCACUGUUUGCCAAGAAGUUUGGAAACAUGAGAUUCCGGAAGAACCCUUCCUAUAAAUACAAACCUACUGUUAGUAAGUUUCAGAAGGGAGGCUAUUCAUCUUCAACAAGCAAAGGAGGAUACAAGACUGGGAUGGUGGACAGAAGUAAAUUUAAAUGUUUCAACUGUGGUGAACCUGGACACUUUGCAACUGAGUGCAAGCAGCCCAAGGUUCAAGGAAAGAGAAAGGAUUCGUAUGAUGAGCUGAAGCAGAAGUAUGAUGCCUUAGUAAGAAAGCAUCAUGGUACUUCUGGAAGUCAAAGCUUCAAGAGCAAAUCAUAUCUAGCAGAAGGGAAAAGCUGGGAUGAUACAGAUAGUGAUGAAGAAGAGCAGAUUGGGAAUGUUGCUCUCAUGGCUAAUGCUGGAUCAUCUUCACCUCCUCCUGCUGGAAGCUUUCAGGUAGAUCCUACAUGCCCUAAACUGUUUAUGCAAUUAGGACUUGAAAGAGAUGAUGCUAUUAAAAAGAUGAAAGCUGCCAAUCUUAAAAUUGAUACUUUAGUCUUAGAAAUUCAUGCUUAUAAGAUGAAUGAGAUGAAAGUAUUAAAACCUAAAAUAGAACAAUUGACUAUGGAUUUAGGAUUACAAUGUGCUAAAGUCAAAGUUCUAGAGAAAGGUGAGAUUGCUUUAAGACUUCAGCUAGACGAAGAGAAAGUGAAAUGUAAAGCCUUUAAGGAUGCCUCCAUGAUAGUCAAAGAACUUAAUGAUAAACAAGAGAUCAAGAGAACUGUUGGAAUAGGUUUUGACUAUAACAAAUCUGUAGGUAAGGCUAGUAACAUUACUCCUUUUAAGAAGAGUGCUGAGGAGAGAGGGAUUCCUUUUGUUUUGAAAGAUUCCCUUAAACCUUUGUUUAAAACCUCAGAAGCUGAACCUCUUUUAGAGACUCCUGUUGUCAUUAGAUAUGAACUCAAACAGGAAGACCUUAAAAUGAAAGAGAGUAAUGAGAAGAGAGAUGAGAUCCUGACAUCACUGAAACCAAUCAAAGUGAAAGGCAAUGUUAGGUUGCCUAAAGCUGGUUUAGGUGUCAACUCUGAGAGAACUAAAUUCAACAAGCCUAAUAAUUUUGUGAAUAGUAAGAACAAGAACAAUAGAUGUCAUUCUACUGAGAACUUUAAAUCUGAUAACAAGGUUAGAGUAGAAUCUAUUGAUGUUCCUACUACUAUGACUGAUACUCCUGUUGUUCCUGCUUUUGAUGCAUGUCAUAAAUCUUGUAGUGUUGAUAAUUGUAUGACUUGUGCUUUCAAUUUGAUGUCUGCUUAUUUUAAAAAUUUGCAUGCUAAAAAUGAAAACACAUCACCUAGACAACACACAAACAACAAGCAUGCUAGAUCAAAGACUGCUAGUCCUACUCGUGUUAGGAAGGAGACUUAUGUUCCAAAGCCUAAAACUAAGGUUUAUAAGGCUGUUGUUAAGGAAGUAAGUUCAGUCAAGUCUGAACCAAGUAUCAGUCCAAGAGGCUCUGUUGUUACACCUGAUAGAAAUCAGUUCUUUAAGUUUGCUGGACCCAAUCAAGUGUGGGUCCCAAAGAAUGUUUAAUCAAGUUGUCUUUUGCAGGGUGCCAGUGGAAUUGUUCGUGUUACCUGGGUGCUUGACAGUGGAGCGUCAAUGCACAUGACUGGCAAUAAAUCCCUGCUGGAAGACAUAAGAGAAGGAGCUGGCCCUACAGUCAGUUUUGCUGAUAAUAGCAAAGGUCGUACUGUGGGAUAUGGCAAGUACAAAAUUGGAAGGAUCAUCAUAGAAGAUAUUGCAAUAGUUGAAGGACUUCAACAUAAUCUCCUGAGUGUCAGUCAAUUCUGUGACAAAGGAUAUUAUGUUCAUUUUGAAAAGGAGAUAUGUAUCAUUAAACAUAUCAAGGAUAAGCGUCCUUCACUAUGUGGCAUAAGGAAAGGCAAUAUAUUCGUAGCUGAUUUGUCUUCAGGACCAGGAAACGAAGUUCACUGUUUCUACGCCAAAGCGUCUGCUGAAGAUAGUUGGUUAUGGCAUAAGAAGCUCUCACACCUCAACUUCAAAACCAUGAACUCUCUAGUCAAGAGAGAUCUAGUGAGAGGGUUGCCUUCCCUGGAAUUCUCAACUGAUGAUCUUUGUGAAGCUUGUCAGAAAGGAAAAGCGAAGAGAGCAUCUCACAAAGGCAAAACCAUCAAUACCAUUACAGAUCCACUUCAUUUGUUGCAUAUGGAUUUGUUUGGCCCUGUGAAUGUUGCAUCCAUUGAUGGAGGAAGAUAUGCCUUGGUUAUUGUGGAUGACUUCUCAAAAUUUACUUGGGUUUACUUCCUGGCUUCUAAGGAUGAAACCCCGUUGACAGUGAUUGAUCAUAUAAAGUUAGUUGAAUUGGAUAAAGGUGUGCCAGUCAAAGCUGUAAGGUCAGACAAUGGCACAGAAUUCAAGAAUCAAACUCUAAUCAACUUUUACUCUGAAAAGGGAAUUAGAAGGCAGUAUUCAGCACCAAGGACUCCUCAGCAGAAUGGAGUCGUCGAAAGAAAGAAUCGUACACUGAUCGAAGCUGCAAGGACUAUGAUUGCUGAAGCAAAGCUUCCUCUGUACUUUUGGGCUGAAGCUGUGUCUACUGCCUGCUAUACCCAGAAUAGAACUUUGAUCAACAAGGAUCAUAUGAAAACUCCAUUUCAUCUGUAUAACAACAAGAAACCUUAUGUCAAACAUCUUCAUGUCUUUGGAGCCAAGUGUUAUGUUCUCAAGGAUGGUGAAGAGAACUUGAACAAGUUUGAGCCAAAGGCAUCUGAAGCAAUUUUUGUUGGUUAUACAAAUAAUGCUUAUAGAGUUUUUGUAAUUGAUACUCUGUCAGUGAAAGUUAGUGUCAAUGUAACAUUUGAUGACACUAAACUACCAAGUUUACAAUCUGCUGAUCCAUCUGAAUCUCUGAAGUUUGACAACUAUCCAGAUUCUGAUUCAGAUGAUGAUGUGCCACCUGAGGUUGCAACAGGUGAUGACAACAAUGAUAAUGAUCCAGGCAAUGGUGGAGGAAAUGGCAAUAAUGCUGGAGAUUCCACUGAUGCUAGUGGUGGAUCAUCAAGUCAACCUGGCAACAACUCAGGGGGAGCUGGUGGAUCAACUAGUCAUACACAUCAGCCUAAUGAUAAUACUGCUGAAUCAUCAAGGACACAACUUCCAAGGGAAAGGAUUUGGAGCAGAGAUCAUCCCUUUGAUCUGAUUAUUGGUGAUCCUGAUGUUGGUGUAAGGACUAGAAGUGCUACGACAAAUGAAUGUCUAUUCUCUGGUUUUCUUUCACAAUUAGAACCAAAGAAAAUAGAUGAAGCACUUGCUGAUCCUGAUUGGGUUCUUGCCAUGCAAGAAGAACUCAAUCAAUUUGAGAGACAAGAAGUCUGGGCCCUGGUUCCAAGACCAAAAGGAAAAUCUACAAUUGGAGCUAGAUGGGUCUUCCGUAACAAGUUAGAUGGUGAUGGCAUUGUUGUGAGAAACAAAGCCAGACUGGUUGCAAAAGGUUAUUCACAAGAAGAAGGAAUUGAUUACGAUGAAACCUAUGCUCCAGUUGCUCGUCUUGAAGCCAUCAGAAUAUUUCUUGCAUUUGCUGCACACUCCAACUUCAAGGUUUAUCAAAUGGAUGUGAAAAGUGCAUUUCUGAAUGGAAAGCUAGAAGAAGAAGUAUAUCUGGAACAGCCCCCUGGCUUUGAAAAUCCAGAGUUUGCUGAUUUUGUAUACUUCCUAUUCAAAGCUGUCUAUGGACUCAAGCAGUCACCAAGGACAUGGUAUGACACUCUCUCUGAGUUUUUAAUUGAAAACAAUUUUACUAGAGGUGUCAUAGACAAAACUCUCUUUUACAAAUUGCAUGAUAAGGAUAUGAUAUUUGUACAAAUAUAUGUUGAUGAUAUUAUAUUUGGUUCUACUAACGAUAACUUGUGCAAGAGAUUUGCUAAGUUGAUGCAGAGUAACUAUGAGAUGAGUAUGAUGGGUGAGCUGUCCUACUUCCUUGGUCUUCAAGUAAGCCAAAAGGAAGAUGGAAUAUUCAUUUGCCAAUCCAAGUAUGUCAGAGAUCUUCUUCGAAAGUUCAAUCUAGAAGACUCUUCACCGGCAAAGACACCCAUGGCCACUGCCACAAAGCUUGACCAGGAUAAAUCUGGUAAGAAAGUUGAUAUCACAAGCUAUCGUGGUAUGAUUGGCUCUUUACUUUAUCUUACUGCAAGUAGACCAGAUAUCAUGUUUGCAACAUGUUUGUGUGCUAGGUUCCAAGCUGAUCCUAAAGAAUCACAUCUUAUAGCCGUCAAAAGAAUCUUUAGAUAUCUUAAGGGUACACCUGGUUUAGGUAUUUGGUACCCUAAGAAUACUGGUUUUGACUUAACCGGCUAUACAGAUUCUGAUUAUGCAGGAUGCAGGAUUGAUAGGAAGAGUACGUCUGGAAGCUGUCAAUUUCUAGGACGUCGGUUGGUUUCCUGGUAUAGCAAGAAGCAGCACUCAGUGUCUACCUCUACUGCUGAAGCUGAGUAUAUAGCUGCUGGUAGCUGCUGUGCUCAGAUCUUGUGGAUCAAGAAUCAACUGAAUGAUUAUGGUGUUGUAGUAAACAAAAUUCCUAUAUUUUGUGAUAAUACAAGUGCCAUAGCCAUUUCCAACAAUCCGGUUCAACACUCAAGAACCAAGCACAUUGAUAUCAGGUAUCAUUUCAUACGAGAACAUGUCAUGAAUGGUACAGUGGUGUUACAUUUUGUACCCACGACUGAGCAAAUUGCUGACAUCUUCACGAAACCACUAGAUGAAUCCACUUUCUCUAAGCUGGUUUGUGAGUUAGGGAUGUUAAAUAUGACAUAGUUCUCUUGUAUAUAUCUUUCAUAUGUAUCAUAUGUGUUUGUAUAUUUUUUGUGAAUUUUCUGUGUAAUUAUAUCUAUAUUAUAAGAUUUUAUAUGAUUUCCUGUAUAUUAUCUGAUAAUAUUCUAAGUAAUUAUGCAUGCUUGUAAAUUAGUAAAUGAUUUCCUAAGUGCUCAUAUACUCCCCUGUAAUAUUCUCUAGGCAUUUAGAUAAUUAUUUGUAAUUAUUUUGUAUUUUUCAAAAUUAAUUAAGCAUAAAUAUUUGAUUUUAAGUUAAUUCAUUUUAUUGAAUUAAAGUUAAAGUCGUAAAUAUUUAUAUUUAACUAAAGUUGAAAUUUACAAAAUAUUCGUGUAUUAUAUACUAUUGUUUUUAUUAUAGAUUUUUGAUUUUAAUUGCAAAAUGUUUUAUCUUUUAAUAUAAUCAAAAAUCAUAUUAUUAUUAAUUGUUUCCGUGUAAUUUAUAGUAUUUUCUUUAUUAUAGAUUUUUGAUUUUAAUUGCAAAAUGUUUUAUCUUUUAAAAUAAUCAAAAAUCAUAUUAUUAUUAGUUGUUUUUCUGCAAGACAAUGUAAUUGUCUACAGUUUGGCUCGGCAAGACAAUUAAAUUGUCUUGCUGAACCGGUUUUUCGCCGUUUUUCAAACAACUCGGCAAGACAAUCCCAUUGUCUUACCGAGUCUGUCUUAAGUCAGUUGACGUAUCAGUAAGACAAUCAGAUUGUCUUACUGACACAUCGUUUGUCUGCCUUAGUGAAUCUCGGCAAGACAAUUCAAAUUGUCUUACCGAGACCAUUCACCCCCGUUGUCUUACUACGUGCGUUUACAUAUAUACACAAGACAAUCGUGCAAGACAAUUCGAUUGUCUUGCUGAUCUCACUUCAUCUUCUUCAACUGCCCUCUCUCAAACACGUUUUCCGACCUCUGGUUUUCAAGUUUCACCACGAAAACUUGCUGGUUUACAUCUUUUCAAGCGUUUGCUUGCUGGUUUGGUUCAAAUCGCCGGAUUUCAACCGAACCUCUGCCGGAUUUUCGUCGGAAUCUCGUCGGUUUUUAGUCGGUUUUCAAGGCUUUUUCGACUGAGUUUGUGCUGUGGUUUGCCUUGAGUUCGAUUAACCUGUGUUUGUGGUGUGAUCUUCGAACUGAUUUGAAUCGAUUUAGGAGUUAGGGUUUGUGUUGAUUUUGGGGCUUUUAAAAUUAAGGACUCGUUUGGCUUGUGAUAUUUGAAGUGGAUUAAUUGACUAAGUACCAUUUUAAUUAAUUAACUUUUAAUUCGAGAUUAUUCUAAUAUUUCGAAUUAAUAAUUAAUUAAUCAAGUUUAAUUAUUAAUUGAACUUUGCGAGAUAAUUGAGAAUUAAUCUUUUAUUUGAAAAUUUCUCGCUUAAUUCAAUUUUUAAUUACUAAAAAUGGCCGGAGAAUUUGAGAUUGCUGAGACCAACUAUUGUGCUAACCUAAACUUCGAGGAUUGUUCUGAUCGUUUCAAGAAGUGGAUCCGCUUUCUGACUCAACAAAGUCUUGUCAGUACUGCACUAACCGCUGAUGUUCCUAUACAAGUGCAACCACUCUUCGACUUCUACUCUAAUGCCGUCAACUCUACAACUCUCGAGAAUUAUAAGUUGAUUGGUGAUCUGCCAAAUGGACGAAGGAUUGUUAUAACUGUCGAUGAUGUGAACCGGAUUCUAGGGUUUCCAAGGAAUAACUUUCAAGUGGAACCAACCAGUGCUGAGUUAACUCAAUUCUUACAAGACAUCCACUACCAGGGACAGAUUUUUCUCCCUAGAAUGUCUAAAAGCAAAUUGAAGGCUGAAUGGGAUGUCUUCUUCGAUACUUUGGCAAAGGUAUUUGCUCCAACUACGAGGCAGAAUUUUCACAAUAUAUCUUCCAUGCUACAAAUCUUUGGAUUCUCCGUGGCUUACAAUCGUCGAAUUAACUUCGGGAAGAUAUUACUAAAGGAGAUUAUCAGAAAAAUGGGUUCUGUCUCUCAGAGAUCCAUUCAUGAAAAUGACAAAGUGGAGUGUCACUUUCCAAGGUUCUUAAUGCUAUUCUUAAGUGACAAGAUGAAUGAUGCUGAUAGAGCAAUGUACGUUGAUUCUGCAGUGGUGCCCAUUCUAAGAACUUGCACCAAGAUUCAAUCAAGACUUGCUAAUCAAAAGAAGCAUGAGAAUGUGCCUCUUGUUGUUACUCCUUACAUGUUGGAACAGUUUAAUGUUCCCCUUCAACCUGUCCAAGUUCCUCAGCCACUACAACAACAACAAUAUCAACCUGAUCAACAACAACCGGCUCAACCUGAACUUCAAGAAGACCAACCUCAGGAACAAUCUCCUCCUCACAACUUCCAACCACUUCAACUUCUACAAGAUUAUCAAUCAUCCAGCCAAUCCUCACAUUACUCUCCCUACAACCCUCCUUAUAAUUCUCCACAACAAUCACCUCACCAAUCAUCAUACAAUUCUCCUCACCAAUCUCAACACCAAUCCCCUCCACAAUACAACUUCUUCCCAGACCAACAAGCCUCCAUUCUUCCCUCUCAAUCUGAACCAACACCUUCACCUACACAUACACAUACCAUUCCUCAACCACAAUCCACCUCUCAGCCUCUGCCUGCUGAUUCUGCUAUCAAUCCAGGCCUACAGGACUUCAGGGCUGAUUUACAGGUAGCUCAGGUACUUUCUAAUCUCACUGAUACCUUUAAUAUUGAUAUUGCAGAUUUUGAUUGUGAUAUUGGAUUUGAUUUCCAGACUCCCAGCAUUGAACCUGUAAACACCCAGGUUCAUAACCAAGCUGACGUUUUCGUUUCAACAACUGAUUCUUCGUCAAACACAUCAACCGACACUACUCAUACACCAGUUGUUCGAAAGGUAGCCCGGAAACGGAGUGGGAGUGCAAUUCUGAGAGAACCCGCAGCUCUGUCUCAUAAGAAGCAAAGGGUGGCAGAACCGGAGACAACUGCAGCCGCAUCCAUUUCCUCCCAAAAGGAUUUGGACUCUGACAUGGUAAAUAUACAGUCUCUAGAUUCAUUCUCUCCACAGAAUGCAUUUAUUGAAAUUGGCCGUCCGACCGCGGUAUCCUGUAAAGAGUCAAGUACACAACUAGCACUCACGCUAGUAAACACUGAACCUGUGUCUUUUGAUUCUUCACUUAGAGAGAGCACAGAAUUUCAAAACAUGUUAUAUGAAAAUCUUUCUGAUCACACUUUCUUUUUGGAUCAGGCUAUACUUGGCAACCUGCAAGUACAUCAGCCUUCACAGGCAUCUGAAGGACAAUUUGUUCCUUCACUUCCUAUAGUUCCAUCUCAGGGAACUAUGGUUGUAUAUACAGGUACUGGUGACGGUGUGACAAACACGAGUGAAAUCAGGCAAACACCGAGCGAAACACAUGCACGAGAGGAUAGUGAUAAAUCUUUGAGUGUUCGUGAGGUGAGUGCACACACCAACACUGAUCUGUUACAGGAACAAUUGGCUGCUCUGAAAGCUGAGAUUUCAAGGUUGAAUGCUGAGAAUGCCAGAUUCAGAAGUGGAGAGUUGGUGACUCUACAGGAAAAGGUUGUGGAUCCUUCAUUUUCUUCCCUCAAACAGGAAUUAGAUGCUCAUGUCAAGGGUAUUCACUCUAGGAUGGACAAAUUUGAUACAACUCAGGAGCUCUGUCUGACGAAGCUUGACAACUUGGAGCAAACUUUGGCUCAAGUUGUUCAACACUUAAAGAUCAAUCCGUCAACAUCUCAGUCUACUCCAGAGGAUCCCUCAACUAAGGGGGAGAAGGAUAAGGAUGACAAAGAUAAGGAUGACAGCAAUGCUGGUGGUGGUGGCAAUGGUGGUGACAAGGGUGGUGAUACUGAUAGGAGUGAUAAGGGUGGAGAAGGAGCAAGUGAAAAGGACUCUUCUGCAGCUAGCAAAUCUAAAGGCAAAAUGCCUGAAACUGAGAACAUCUUCACUAAUCAGGAUUAUGACAACAUUCCUGAAGAUGUUGAUGAUGAUGAUGCAUUUGACUCUGCUUAUUUUGAAGCUGAGGAAGAAGGUCGUUUCGAGGAAGGCUUUCUUUUCAAUGAAGAUCAGUCUGUAGAUCCUGAGCACAUGGAAAAGGUCAAGAUGUUUAAAGCUCAACAUGAAGCUAGCAAAGCAAAGCUUCAGGAACUGCAGAAACUGGUAGAUGAAAAGAGGACAACUGAUGAGUUGGUCAAGCUGGAGAAACAGAAACUGUGGGAUGCUAAGUGCAAGGAAAAGAGAGAGGAUAUCUCCAGGAAAGUUGGUGAAAGCUGGGAUAUUGCAAGGCAAAUCCUCUCUGGACCUCAAAGGGAACCUUUCAAUGAUGGUAAAUUCAAAUCCUUCAUUUAUGACCUGAGAGAGGCUAACCCUAAUGAAGAUAUGUUUAUGCGUGCUCUUGCUCUCGAGUUAGAAUAUAUAACUAUUGGUGUCAAGAAUCUUCUCAAUGAAUGGGAGAUCAUUAUUUCUACUCAGAGAAACGGAACAUUCAGGGUUUCAAUUGAUUUAUUCAAGUUUCUAUCUCUAACUGAAAUCUGGGUGAUUCGUAACAAGAUCAGACGCAGCUCAAAUCUGAAUGAACUCCUACGUGACAGACUUAUGGAUUGUGCAAUUCAUAACAGUCCACAAGUUGUCAGAAAUCCAUACUGUGUCAAGUUCAUUCACGAGGGAAAGUUUGGAACCUUCUACCUGGACCACCAACAUCUUCUUAAGUAUGAUGUUAGUCAGAUGGUUCUUGUAUCAACAAUUCUACGUACCAAGGGCUUCGCUACUAAGGCCAAAGCUGAUGCUGAUACUGAGAUUGUGAACUACUGCACAAGGAGGAACAUUCAACAAUACUUCAGAAAGAUGAAGUAUAUCAACCAAUCUCAGCCAGCAGAUUUCAUCGAAGACCCUGUGGACAUAGAAGUUCAAUAUCAUCUUUCAUUGGCUCGUGAAAGAAAGAAGCGUGGAGAAUCCACUGCAGCUGAAGAGCCUACUCAGAAUGAGCCUUCUACUCCAAUUAUUCACUGUUCAGAUGCUGAAGAAGGAGAAGUCACUCGUUCUGAGUGAAUAGAUUGAUUAGGAUAUUUGUUAGAUAUGUUCAAGGAACAUCCUUUUGUAAUCUAUUUAUGAUCAUGGUUUAAUGUUUAAUGCAAGCCAUAAACUUUUGCUAUUUACAUUCCAUUGUUUAAAUCUUUGUCUUAUCUGUUAGUUGAGUUAUCCUCUAGGAAAUUUGCAUGUUAUGUUAACAAACAAAUAGGGGGAGAUUGAAAGGCAUAUGUUCAGCCUAUUUGUAUUUAAAGAGGUACAACUCAACUCAGAUCAGAAAGCUCAGUAAAUAGCAAGUCAUCGGAAUCAGUACGAAGAACGUCAAAUGAUUUAUGGAAAUCAUAUGUCAGAUAAGUUCCAGGAUGCUGCUGCACCCCACUGAAAGAAGUUCAUUAAUAUGUUCAAGCCUCAGUGCACAAAUAAUCUUUUGUGGCACGUCCAGGAAUUCAGAAGACAUAAAGUUUCUAUACUUUAUUUCAUCAGAAGAUUCCAUUUAAUGAAGAUGUACGUACAAGACGAAGACUCGACGAACUAACCAAAUUCUUAUUGUUUAUUUGACGAAGAAUAUUUGAUUUAACUAGAUACAGAUGAACCAGACAGUACAUCUGUGUAUCAGUUAUUCAAAUUAAAUAUUUGAAGUCAAGCAGAAGUGGUAGUUCGUUCGUUCGACAAAUCAAGAAGAAGUUAUUAAAGUUUAAAGAAGACAGAAAGCAGUUCUACUGAAGAUUGGGUGAUUAAAUAUUUAAUAGACUAUUAUUUCACUUCUCAAAUGGUUAUAUUAAUUAUGUAAUUUAUUUAUUAAAUUAAUUCACUCUCGAAUUAAUUUAAUUUAUGAAUUUAUAUGAUUAACUUAAUUAAGUGAAUAAUUUUCUAUUUUAUAUUUACUAUAUUAUUACAUUUUUAAUCACCAAAACAGCCCAGCAAGACAAUCUGUGAUUGUCUUGCCGAACUGCCCACUUGGAAUGGAAUCAGUGUGCAAGACAAUCCAAUUGUCUUGUCUUGCCGAGUGUUUCAGUGGUGUGCAAGACAAUUCAACUGAAUUGUCUUGCCGAUGGACUUGUGUGGCAGCAAGACAAUCCUGUUGUCUUGUCUUGCCGAGAGUCUCACUUUCUUCAAGACAAUGCAGUUGUCUUGUCUUGCCGAAUGCAAGGAGGUGUGCAAGACAAUCCCCAAUUGUCUUGCCGUUUGUAGUGUUUGUCUUUCUGACAAAGAGAUUGUCUUCCCUUCCCUUUGAUUGUCUUUCUGACUUGGUUGAAGCUUGGUAGACAAUCUGAGAUUGUCUUCCCUUGCCCCUUUUUGUCUUGCCCAAGCCUAGAUUGUCUUACCCUUCUUGUAAUUGUCUUGUCUAGCAAUUGUCUUGCAUGUACAAUGCUUUGCCUAUAAAUAUGGCAUCCAUUCUUCAUUUUCAAGUGUUCAUUCACUUUGUAUUCAAAGCAUUUGUAAAGCUUUCAAGUUGUUAGUAACUUGCUUGUUCGUUAUAUCCACAGUUUUCUGUGCUUUGAUAACCCGGUUGUUUUAAUCACUAAAUCUAGAAUAUACCCUGUCAAAUUUAUUCUACGAACUUUAGUGGACAUUAAAACUGAACCAUUUUAAUUAUAUAACGACUUCAACCAUUGUUAUAUUAAUUAAUUAUAAUCUGAUUAACAAAUCAUAUUCAAUCAGAUUCACUUCCGCGACGAUUUGGUACUGAUUGUAUUCAACCCCCCCCUUCUACAAUCAUAUCCGGACCUAACAUAGAUUGAGUACAUGAUUGCAACCAGAAGUUGCACGAAAUAACAACCAGAAGUUGUCUCUAUAUAAUAAAAUUAGUUUAUUUUUGAUCACGCAUUUUUUUAUAUGUUUAAUUCCCCCUUCUUUCACCCUCCCGUUUAUCCACAUCUUUCUUCUUCUCUUCACAACUUAGAAUUGAAAAUGAAGGAUGUCAACAGAGUAUAUAUAAUAUAUUUAAACACUUGAUUACAUUCCAAAAGAAUGAUAUAUUAGUAUAAUAUUCAAUUUAUGAGUUUAUCGUAAAUAAUAUAAUAUCCCUGAAGGAUGGCUCUAUAUAAAGAAUAGUAUGAUAUUUGGAUAUAAUGGAUUUUAAUUGAUUUAAUAAAUAUUAUAUUCUGUCCCGCAGAUACAGUAUUAUGAAAUUGAUGAAAUAUUUGGGUUAUUAAAUCCAUGAGUUGAUAUUGUGACUAAAUGUGGUUUACUAAAUUUGAAUUAUUGAGUAAAGGAUUAUGAAUUGCAACAAAUGACAUCGUACUAUAAUGUAACAAUAUUAGAGAUUUAGAGGAUACCAAACAUGAUAGUAGCAAUGGUCAUGACAAUACAAAUACAAUAAGUCAUAUUCUUAUUAUGCGUAUAAGAAAUUUUUCUCUCGAUUGAUAUAAAGAUGACUAGUAUCAAUAUUUCAUAUCUAAAAUGAGUCAUCCAAAGGGGAGGAUUAUACGGGAUGCCUCAUUAUAGUUUUUCAAAAUAUAAGAUUCGGGAAGAGAAAGUAAAAAGCGCCAGAAUAGCAUAAAUAAGGCUUCUAAAGAGCAUGUAUAAGGCUCUCGAAGAGCAUGUAUAUUUUUAUCAACUCUAUGAAGUACAUUUUACUCUAGAAGAGCAUGUAUAGUAUUGAUGCAAUUAUAUUCUCCCAAGAAGAUUGAAGGAUGAAAUUUAUAUAGUUUAUCACAUUGAGAUAUCAAGGGCCUUUAAAUAUUGAAUUUCAUUCAGUGCACUAAAAAAAACUUGGAGAAAGAUUCUCCACUACUUUAUAAUAAGCAUGAUUGAAAUUGAUUUUUAAAGUAAACCAGAAGUUUACUUAUAAGUUUAUAGUUUGGCCUGAAUAGCUAAGCCAUCUGAAUUUUAUAAAGAUGCGAAUAGUAAUUUUAUAUGCACUUUUGUUGAAAAACCUGUAGAUUCUUCUUAUCAGUGAUACAUAUAGUAUUUGCUUAUAAGGCAAAACUGAUCACCAGCAAAGAUAUAGUUGUGAUUUAUCAUUUUUGAGAAUGAAUUUAUGAAGAUAUGACCUGAGAUAAAAAUAUCAUAUUGUUGAACGGUGAGAUAUUUUGUGAAAUAUAUGGUUGUAUACAAAGUUAUUAUCAACUCGCAGCCUGAAGUAUGUGAGAUUCAUUAUUUAGAAUAUAUGCUUAUAAUGCUGGUGCAUCUCAUAAUGAGUAUUAUCUCGUCCAUAAAAAAAAUUGUCGACUAUUUUGUAUCACAUAUUUAUUGAUUCGCAUCAUAUAAACCAAUUUUUGGAAUUUCUCCCCAUCAUAAACAUAUUAUUUGGUCAUCAUAGAUUUUCCACCAUGUUAGUAAGAUCGAUUCCUCAAUUGGAUAUAUAUUACAUAUGAGUGCAUUUGGAAUCAUCAAUAUGUAUUUGUUAUGACUUGAUUUAAUGAGUUUGUUUUUCCAAAAUCAGGGGGAGAAAAUAAAUAGCUGGUGAAAGUAGAAAUAUAAGAAUGAAUUAUCAUUGCCUCAUCUUGAUCCUCAAAAUUAAGAAUAUGAACCAGAAGUUCAUAAGAUAAUUCAUUUUGAUGACCAGAAAAUAGUGACUAUCUCGCAAACACCGGCUACAUAUGCUCCCAUGAUAUAAAUGUCGCAAAAGGACAACCUCAAGAUACUACUAUGUCUAAAGAACGCCUGAAGCGUGAUAGGCAAGUUGGUUCCAUAUCUUAUACAAAAAAAGAUGAAAAGGAGCAAUUAUUGAUGAUGGCUAGAUUGAGAAAUCAAUAAUUUUUGAAGGAUCUCCAGAAGAGAUUAUAUUGAAGGAUCUCUUGAAGAGAUUAUAGACAUGACGAAUUAGAGAAAAUAUAAAUAAUGAAAAUAUUGAGAUUUCGAUAUAUUAUGUCUUGUCCAGAAUGAAAUGGAACCAUAAAUCGAAUCGACGUCGAUGAUAUUUAUAGAACUUGAGGUUAUUGAUAAUGAGGAUCAUGAAGCAUAAUCUGUUAGAAAAUAUUGAUAUAAUUGGCCAAAGAAUAAAGGAUAUAAUUGAGGCAAUUACAAAGAAAAAUUAUUUGGACCAGUAGUCCUCUCACACCUGAAGUUGUGAAAAUAGUGCGCCCUACGAAUCAUUAUCUUUUAAAACUAGAGAAAUAUUUGAAACUGCAGUUAACACACCUAAAGGUGUCAAGUCAGUGGGAUAUGAAUGAUUAUUUGUGUGAAAACAAAAUGAAGUUUCAGAAAUAAUGAAUGUAAAGCUCAAAUAAUUGUAUGAUAACCUUGUGUUGGUUAUGAAGAGUAAUAGUAUUUGUGGUGGACAUGAUUAUUUGAUUGCGAAAUAGUCCCGCAAUAUGUGAAGGUUCAGUUUAAAUUUUAUACGACCCACUUGACAAUAAUCAUCGUAGAAGGAUCUUAACUGCCAGAAGCAGUAUAACAAACUCUCGAGAACUAUACCCUCUCAAAUGGAAAAGGGAUUCGCACUACGCCAUAUUUGGCCUAUUGCAAGCCCGAAAAAAAGUUGCGUAAUACCCUAAAAGUGUUACAACAGUGUCUAUUGUAACAUUUGACCAAAAAUUCAGGCUUGCAUUUACGGCCGUUGCAACAGGUCAUCAAAUGUAACACUUUCACUUGUAUUGCAACACUUAUAAAGGCCUUGCAGUAGCCUCAUAUUACAACAUCUUUAACCGUUUUAGUAACACUUUUUAGAUAUUGCAAUAGCCUAUUGUAACAUAUUUUUGCAACACUUUAUUUGAUUUUUUUCAGUGUCUACUAGUUUUUCAUGCAACACCACUUUUUUGGUUCUUUUAAUUAGCAUUUUUUGCAACAUUUUCAACAAACUUUUUUGCCCAUUUUAAUAUUUUUUUUUGUUAUUGAAUUGCAACAUUUAUGUGCAACACUUUAAAGUCUAUUGUAACAUAUAUUUUUUAAUUUUUUGGCACCAUUCUAUUUGAAAAUUUUGAUACCACCUAUUCGUCCAAAAUCAACCAUUAAGAAUUAAAAUACUAAUGAACAAGUCCAAACAUCCCAGCAAGAUCAACUUUAAAAUCCAAACUAAUAUAGCAUACAACCAUCAAAAGUCAAAAUAAACAACCAACAUCAAAUUAGUUCAUAAACGACUAACACCGGGAGUCAAAUAUCCAACCAAAGAUGUAGUCUAUAGUCGAAACUGAACUAACACCAACAAGUCAAAAUAUGAACCAUUUCUAGUACGUACGUACGUGUAAAAGUCAGAAUAUGCAACCAAAAGUAUGCAACCAAAAGUAUGGUAAAUAUAAACCAUAAUGAUUACUGAUCAUUUUGAGCCUCUUCGUCCACGCCUAUAUCAACAUUAGCACACAAAUCUUCAACAGCAACCUCUCUGAGAUCUGGAACAAGUUCUCCCAAUCUGCCCAUCACUUUUGUCAAUUUUUCCUGAACUUUUUUGUCAAUCAUCUCCUGCAUUUUAGCUACAAGUUCAUCCCUUAUCGUCUUCUUCAUUUCAGCAACAUCAGCAGUACUGUUGCUAGUAGAACUCUGACCAACGUGCAAUGGCUUGUUCAUUGUUCUCCUUGAUUUUCCCGAUCUGCCAAAAAGCCAGUUUGGUCCAUGGACUGGUUCUUUUUGAGUCUUCUUGCUUUCUGCAGUAUCGUUGUUUUCUGCAGAAACACCAUCUUGAACAACAUCACCAUCUUGAACAGCAGCACUCUCUUCAUCACCAUCAUCAUGAGUUUUUUUUCUACAAAAAUUCGGGGAGGCAGAUGAUAAAUAAACAUCAUUAAACUAAAAAACAAGUUUUAACAGGGAUUAUAAAUACAAAUUAAACUUUAAAAUCAGACCAGUUAAAUUAAUCCACAUCUUUAAUAUUGUACCAAUUUUAUAAAGUCUAAGUUAACCUUCCACAUAAAUAGCACUUACCUUGUAUUUACGCCCUGACACAUGCGUAUGGGUUUUGCAGUAAAUGAGAUCCAAAGGAACCGGUUCUUCCACUUGUACUUUCUCCUCCUCUCUCUACCAACAUAAUACAAAAAAUAAAUCGCAUUAAGACUAUAUAAUGCAAGGAAAUACAGGAGUUAAAAAUUCAAUCAUAUAUGAAAUAUGACAUACAAUUUUUUUGCCAAUUUGUACAAAACUUGUACGCCCGGCAGUGUGGGUGUCCACAACCUUUUGACGAUUCUCUGCAGCAGUCUUAGAUCGUCUCUGAAAAUUUAAUGAAGUGCAAAGAGUAUAAAAGAAAUAGUUUAAAUCAAAUUUUAACCUUGAAAGCAGCACAACUAUUUAAUAUUGAUCAAUGUAUAUACCGUAAUUUCCUCAUCCCCCCAAUAUUUGAGAAGGACACUGAAUUCUUCCGCUGAAACUACACUUGGCUUAUUUUUGAUCUUCUCUUCAUCAUUAUCGUAUUUCAGAUAAUGCUCUUUCUUAACCCGACUCUUAUGCAACCUCCAUAAAGCAUUAAUUGUCCGCAAAGUAUAUGUUUUCCCUUCCUCAGGAAUGAUAUACUUUGUCUGAAUAAAUAAAUUAAAAUAUUUAGUGGCAUUUACAUUUGAAACGUAUGGUCAGAUGUUUUUAAACAAGGUAGAUUCCAAUUGUAUCAUGUACAAAAAAACAAUUUAAUCCUAAGUACUAGUAAUGUGUUUACCUUAACAUAAUUCCACAGCUCAUCCUUCUGUUGUUGAGGAUAUUUAUGCCAAUUUAUAACAUCAAGUGGCACAGCCUGCCUAGCUAAGGUCCCCAAGAAGUUGGAGAAUUCAGAUAAGACCUUAUCAUCAUCAGCCACACACUGAAAUUCUGAAUUCACCUUAAUAACCUUAUUUGCCUCGGGCCUUCUUGUGUACACAUCAUUCAUUAAUGUCGGUCCUCUGCGUUUUUUGAUUGGUGGUGUACCUAAAAGUAGUACAAAUGAAAGCACACAAUAUAUUCAUGUACUUAAAUUUAAAUUAAAGCUGACAUUUAUCUAAAUAUAUUAUGACACUAUUAAGAACCUGCUUCAGUCUCAAGGUCAUUGUCCUCAGUUGUUAAAUUAGCUGUCUGACCAGUACCCUCAACCCCAUUUCUAUUUUCACACGGAGACUCUUUCUGACUUUUUCGCAUUUCCAAGAAAGCCUCCAUUGUACCAAUUCCUUGGUUAAUACGAACCUUUCGAGGUGGUUUUUCUCUCAAUGGCAAGUUGGGUGGUAAAUCUGUUGUCACUGGGGGUGGUGGUGGUAAAUUAUCGGGUCCAAAGAUAGGUGCAUUCUGAGUUUGAGGGGGCGGAGCCUUUUGAGUUAAAGACUGAUCAGUACUGUGAUUCUGUUAUACAUCAAAAAUCCACCUUAAGUUAUUCUUUUCUCUAAUUUAGCAAUUACUAUAUUAUACAAGAGAAUAUACUUAAACAUUUAGACUAAUGAGACAUUAGUAAAUUACAAGACUUUUACCUGCGUAAUCGAAGGAGUUGCAGCUCUUGAACGUGUUCUUGGCCUUUCAAUGUUGAACGCCACUUUCUGCGUCCUUUUUCCCUUAAGCUUUUUCUUAAGUUGACUUGAUCUAAUCUCUUCCUCCAGUUUCUCACCCUCAGACAAACUGUCAUGUCCAGGAACGUACGGCCGAUCAAAUUCCAAAGAGGAAUCAUCUUCUUGAACUUUUUCUUUUGCAGCAGGCUUAACCAAAGCCUCUUAUAAUUUAUGUAUCUGAAGUUCCUUUAACAUCUCAUUAUUUUGUUGCUUACGCAAUAACCUUUUUCUUUCAAAUUCUGGAAUAUCCUGAAAUAUAUUGUAGUAUAUAUAUAUAUAUAUAUAUAUAUAUAUAUAUAUAUUAGAUUUAAUCCAAUGCAUUACAUGACCAAAAAUGCAGUGUAUAUAUCAAUUAAAUGACUUAUUUAAAAAUAUAACCUCUGGAAUGUUUGCAGACUUUUCCUUCUCAGCAACACUUUCUAAUUCACUAGAUUUUCCAGCCAACCGACUACUUUCUCUCUUUUUUUGAAGCCCUUGUAAGGUCACAAACUUACGCUUUGCUUGUAAACCAGUCGACGCAUUGAAUGGAUAUUAGACUUAAUAAUACUUAAAAUGCAUGUGAAUUAAUCAACAAAUUAAAUCAAGCACUUUAACUACAUGAAGUAUUACCUUCAAGAAAACUUGUUCGUGGUCGCACAAUCACAUGUGGUUGCAUCUGUGAACUUGGAUUUAUAGAUUUGUCAACUACAUUAUCAACAUAGAAAUCCAAAUUUACUCUUUUAACUCCAUGUAUAUAAUUACUCAAAUCAGUGUCGUUGGCUAUUAAUUUCCAACCCAGAGGCAUUUUCUUCACAUAUAUUCCGCCAGUUUCAGUGCACUCGAGAUCGUCCUUCACAUACUCCAUCAAAACCGUAUAAGAAAACUUAUCAGCAUCAACAAGCUCUGCAAUCUCAGUACAUGUCCCACCUACAUAUUUAGUUUUCGUGAACUCUCCGUUAUGGUAAAACUGUUGAAUAAAGUCUGUUUCCGCCAUCCUGAAAUAGCACAAAAAACAGAUAUAUAGUUAGGAACAAAAUGACGCACACCAAGAAUAAACAAAGCAGAUCAUAAUUAGGGAAAGGGAAGACAUGAACAAGGGAAUUAAGACAUAAAAAAAGAACUGAUUAAUAUCAUAAAAAAGAAUGACGAAUAAAACUCCAAGGCAUAUAUAAAGAAGAUAUGUGUAAUAAACUAGAAUAAUAAAAUAAUUCAUUUAACAAUUCUGUUACUUCAUUAAAGCAUGAAUGACAAUGAACAAAUACAAUAAAAACAAGAAAUGGGCUGAGCUAGCACGAUGGUAUCUCCUAAUUUAUCAAAUUUCUUAUUCAUCCUCCUCUUCAUCAACAUCGUCUUGUUCAUAAACUGUCAGAGGGAUUUGUUUUUGCGGCACAUCGUCUCUAUACCAACUCACAUCAUUAACAGUAGGUAUCUCACACCUUGGCACGUAACUGUCACUAAUAUCUUCUACGUCACUAUAUUGAUCCUUCGGCAAUUGGUUGAUAACAAAAUGUUUGUCCUUUUCAGUGGGAUCCUCAAUAUAAUAAACUUGUUGCACCUGUGUAGCAAGAACAAAAGGAUCAUCUUUUUGGUACAACCUAUUCAUGUUGACUCUAAUAAGCCCGUAGCAAUCCUUUUCUCUUUGGUACCAGCAACACCUAAAUAAAACUACUGUUAACGCUCCCCAAUAGUCGAUUUCAAGGAUUUCUUCCACUGCACCAUAGUAACCUACAUUGCCAACUAUUGGAUUUUUGUCUUUCGCACUCGCAAAACUGGUUGUUAAGGCUGUUAAGAAGACACCACUGUUUUGUGUCGUACACCUAUGAUCUCUGUCCUUAGUAUGAAAUCUAUAUCCAUUGACCAUAUACCCUGUAAACCUUUUAGCUGCACGUGCUGGCCCCCUGGCCAAACAUGAUAAUUCUACCGAAACAUUAUAUUUCGCUGCAACUACCUCCUUUAACCACUUGUGAAAUUCAGUUGUGUGCAUUUUUUCUCUUUUAUACUUCUUUGUCUUUGCAUCUUUUUGUACCAUGUUGAGAUGUUCCCUGCAUACAUAAUGGAACCCAUCAUCUUACUUAAAAUGGGUACGGUUUAAGAAUUGAAAUUUACAUCAAUAAUAACGUACAAAAGAACUUACUCUUUGAGGAUCUCAAUUUCAUCAUUGUCGCAGUUGAAUAAUAUGUACCGAUGAGCAUCAUUAUAGAUUUUAUCGUCCAAAUGUACAGAUUUCCCAUCUUUGUUUUUCCCACAUCCUAUAGGAUACCCAACAUCUUUGUCACAAUCAUCAGUCUUAGCAUGACUCUGUUUACUUAAAAAUCGAGAACAGAAUGUUAGACAUUUUUCUGCCAAGUAGCCUUCUGCUAUAGACCCUUCUGGUCUAGACCUGUUUCGAACAUAGGAUUUCAGCUUGCAAAGAUAACGUUCGAUUCCAUACAUCCAUCUCAUGUGUACUGGUCCACCAAAUUCAAGUUCUGUACACAAGUGAAUUGGCAAGUGAACCAUUAUAUCAAAAAAUGACGGUGGAAAAAUCAUUUCAAGUUGACAAAGUAUCUCGAUUAUUUCUUCUUGCAACUUGUGAACAUCAUCUAAUUCAAUUACUUUGCCGCAUAUACGCCUAAAAAAUGCACCCAACCUCCUUAGAGGUUGUUAGGUCCAAAGUAUCGUAGAAGGGGGGGUUGAAUACGAUACUCACUACAAUUUAAAAUUCUUUCGAAUCUUGCGGAUAAACAAAUUGCAGUUCUGUAAUGGGUUUCGUGUUCCGGAUAUUUAUUGGGUCGGUUUCUGAGGAUAUGAAAAUAUUAAACCAACACACAAUAUUUUCCAAGGUAUAUCUGUAUAUUGAUAAAUACCUCGAAGGUGCUACAAAUCCAAACCCGAAGGUUGGCUACAAUGACCACUCCUCUAAAUAUUACAAGCCCUAUCCACUACAAAUAUUUAUGGUACAAAACUAGGCUAGGGUGUGUGUAUAUUUGAGAGAGUUUGUGCAUAGCACUUGGCCAUCCAUCCCGAAGGAUGAUGUAAAUUGUGAGAACCACAAUCACAUAUUUAUAGGCUUUCAUAAACUAACCAUGGUUAACGAGUUCGUCCUGGACGGAUUGAGUUCGUCCUGGACGGAUUCGAUUUAACAAAAUAAAUCUAACUCCCAAGUACUUGAAUUGGUGCCAGGAGAUGUUGGUUUGGGGCGCAACAUUUGACCAAGUCAAAUGUUGCGCUUCAACAAUGUUGCGCUUCAUUGCUCCUCUGUUUGGUACUUAGAAAUAAUUCCAGUAACAAAAGUUGCGCCAUGAUUGUUGAUUAGAGGAGCAACAUUUGACCAGGUCAAAUGUUGUUCCAAUAUAGUGCAUCCCUUGUAGAGUUGUGACUUAGAAAUUAUUCUAAGUCACAAAGGGUUAGUGCCAAGAGUUGUUAGUAGAGGAGCAACAUUUGACCGGUCAAAUGUUGCGCCCGGGUCAAAUGUUGCGCCUGGGUCAAAUGUUGCGCCCGGGUCAAACCUUGCGCCUUGGUCAAAUGUUGCGCCAUAGAGUGUGCAAGAGGUAUAUGGUGACUUAGAGAAAUUCUAAGGCAAAUAUGAACUUGCUCCACCAUUGUAAUGCUUCCCCUGUUAUCUCUCAUCUCUUGGGGACGAACUUUGACUUUGGUCAAAGGUUGCGCCUCAAGAGUGCUAUGUCUUCACUGUGAUGUACUUAGAGAAUUUUCUAAGUGAGGAAGAGCUGUUGACUUCGGUCAAAUGUUGUUCCUCACAUAGUAAGAGCUUUCCUUGUUAUCACUCCUUUGACUGAGAUUGACUUGAGUUUGCUCCAUCCAUAUAUUUAUAUUAUAUUCAUAAUAUUAUAUAAAUAUAUGUAUAAAUAAAGAUAUAUAUAUAAAUGUAUAUAAAUAAUAUUUAUAUAAACAUAUAGUAAUAUAUAUAUAUACAUAUAUUUAAAUAUAUUCUCAUAUAUUUAAAUAUAUAUAAUAUACAUAAAAUUAUAUGUAAAUAUAAAUAUAAAUAUAUAUAGGGAUAUAUAUAUAAUUAUCUAUAGAUAUAAAUAUACACAUAUUUAUGCACAUAAUAUAAUAUAUAUAUAUACACUUAAAUAUAUAAAUGUUUAUGUAAAAUAUAAAUACAUAUACUAUAUACAUAUAUAUUUAUUUAAAUAUAUAUACAUAUAAAUAUACAUAUACAUAUGUUUAAAAACAUAUAUACAUAUAUAUUAUAUAUAUUAUAUUUAAUUAAAUAUACAUAUAUACAUAUAUAAUUAUAUUUGUACAUAUACAAAUAUAUAAGUGCACACAUAUAUAAAAUGUCACUUCCUGAUAUGGCUUUCUGUGGAAGCUUUGACAUAUGGCAUUUGAGCAGUAAGCUUUGGCAUAGCUGGCAUUUGGCUUGGCUUGGCUUUGGAACAAAUGACUUGAUAUGACUGGAUCAAUUCUUCGAUCGAUAAAUACUUUGCAAAGCUCCGUACGUGCUGACGCUUAGUGCACUGGUCUGGUUCACAAGCGACUAACACUGAAGUUAAACAUUGUACCGUCUUUGUCAGCAAACAUUGAUCAGUCGGUUCCGGGUUAGUUUAUGCUUCAGUUUGUUGAUUAUAAAUAACCAACCAAGAUAUAUAGAAAUAUCUUGCUUCAGGGGUUGCACUGAAAUCUUUCGAGUACUUGGACAACAUCUUCAUUGCUUCCACAAUCUUGAAUACUUCAAUCUUUAUUCUUCACUGAGGCAUGAACAUAUUAAUGAACUUCUUCCAGUGAACUUAUUCCUUCAAGACUGUAGAUGGCUUCUUCAACCUUUGUCUUCGUAUCUUCCGAUUCCGGUGCAGGCGUAGUGUUAUUUACUUGUCCUGUUCUAUUGUUGAGUUAUCAUCCCUAUGUAACAGAUAGGGUUGUCUUUACAUUUAGACUUACAAUCUCCCCCUAUUUGUUUGUUAAUCAUAACAAGCAAAUCCUCUGGAGGAUAACUCAACUAACACUAGAAAAAGUAAAGUCCUGGACUAGUAAAUAAUGCUACAAAGUUUCUGGAUCAUAUAAUACAUUUCCAGAUUUCAUGAAUAGAAAUAACAAAUGUGCAUAUCACCUUUAUUUCUCUGGUUCUUGCUUACCUGCCAGAUAAUCCUCAUAGUCUGUCUUGAAGAGAAUUCAAAACAUUCCAUUAUGCAAAGAACAAUCAGCAGCUUCAUUGAAUUCUUCAGUGGUAAUGAAUAAGUUCAUGUCUACCACUUACUGAAGAAUAAAUGUAUCACCUUAUACUUCUCCUCCCGUUACCUUGAUCAGGUUCCCCUUAGUGAUAAGUAGUUGUCUCCCCUUAGAUGAAAGAUCAAUCCUCCUCCUUAGUUGAAAGAAGAAUCUCCCCCUCAGUAGUACACAGCUAAAGAGUAGUUUAAUCCCCCUUAGUUGUAGACAGCAGAAGAAAGCUAACUUACUUUUUCUUCCCCCUUUCAUAUAUUCUCCCCCUAAAUAUAUUCUCCCCCUUAGUUGUGGAAUCCUCCGAGGAUAUGUGGUAUCAAAUAGGUCAAGGAACGUGUACAAUACUUCCUGUACCAAAAGAUAAUCUCCCCAUAGAGAACUAAACAACGCUAAAGCUGGGGUCGAAGAAAGAGUUCAGAAGAAGGGUUUACUUUGAUUGGGUUGGUCCCUAUGCUGAAAGAAUAGGUUCCAAACGGAAAAGUAAGGAAUAAAAACUGACAUUCCAGUAACAACAUCCACUUUGUCUUUAGGUAUAAAUUUGGUAAUUAGUGGGUGUCUCACUAAAAUGUUCUGCAGGUGUAUCACUCAACACUCAAUUUUCUCUCGGUUUUUGGGUAAGGGUGUCACUCACGAGUUCUGUAAGUGUAUCCCUCCACACAAAUACUGAGCUUCCAAAAUGCUGAGUACCUGCAAGAAAAUCACCUUAGCCACCCUUAAAGGGGGUCACCGGUGGUGCAAUGGGAGUUCGUAAUUCCCAGUCCCUGCAGACUCAUCAGAUAAAUCCGAAUCAUGGUCCACAAGUUGCCAACCACUAAGUGGCUUAUCCAAUUAAGGAUCCAGAGUUGUUUGCUCUGGGAGGUUAGACAAAGGCUUAAUUAUGGCAAAGGCCUAAGUCCUCCUCAAUGUCUGUGAAGACACUUGAUUCAAGAGAAUCAUCAACCAUAAGUUCACACCGUGAAAUGGAAUGAACCGUAGUUGCUUCCGUCAAUUCUUUCAACAACUUGUGAGCUUUCAAUACCAAUUAUUAUUAUAUGUACCUCACAAGUGUUUCACUCUUCUCAAUAUCCUAUGUGUUUGCACUCACUCAUGCUCACAUAUUUCUCAUUCUGAUAUCUCACUGGUUCUUCUCAGAAUCUCACCAAGUGUUUAACUCUCAGUGUUUGGCUCACAGUGUUUCUCUCAGCACUCAAAGUAUGGUCUUCUGUACCUGCAUGAGAAAAUCACCAUAGCCCCUUCAAGAGAGGUCACUGGCGGUGCAAUGGGGUUUCGUAAAUCCCCGAUCCUCAACUGACUCAUCAAUAAAUUGACUCAUAGUCAGAGAGUUGCCGAUCUCCUAUAAAUAGGAAAUCCAUUCCGAUUGGAUCCAGAUCUGUUCUUAUCUGGGGAGGGAGACGAGAAUCCUGAAGAUUUGGCAAUUGAGAUCCUCGUUUCCUCCUUACACCUGUAAAGGCAUCAACCAUCUUAUCUACCGUAAAAUGGUAAAUGAAGAAGUUGCUUCUGGAACAAAACCUUUAACCUUACUGUGCACUCUCUUGUAUUGUGUCCAUAAGAUUUUUUGUUUAGGCUCUUCAUCAGAGUGAUUACUGAUGAUGUGCUUGACUCAAUACAAGAUGCUCUGGCUGACGAGCGAAUUUCAAUGGACUCAUCCUGUUGAGAGAAUGAUUCCAGAGACUGUUUUAUUGCCUUUUCAGCUCUAUAUUCUUUUGAGAGAAUACAGAUGAGCAACAGUUACCUCAAGUUUGAAAACACCUUUUCUUCUUGAGAGGUAGAGCUGUGGGUACACUAUCCCUCACAUCCUUAUUUGCUGCAACAAGUACAGUUUCUCCCUCAUUGACCUCUAGUCUAAUAAGUUCCUUAUUACUCCAGGGGGAAAGUUGGGAUGUGUUCUGAAUUUGGUUUUAUAGUCUGGGAUAAAGAUUGUUGGUUUUCAACCUUAUGACUAUCUAGGAAAGCCAAGAGGCUGAUUAAGUUCCGAAGAACAGAAAGAGAUAUAAAUGCAUUUUAGAAAAUCUAUGAUUUUGAAUGAAAGCAAUUGCAUUUAAUCUUUUGAGGAAAAAUGAAUCAGUUGUGAUUGUAAAAAUGAUUUUCAUAAAGAAUGACAAUCACAACCGAUGAAAGAAUCAAAGUUUUCCAUUAAAAACUGGUUUGAGUACGAGAGUCUGAAUCUAUGCAUAAAAGGUUUAAAUGAACUUGUCUUUGAAAAAGACACAGACUCCUGUUUCUCACUACAAUUUAAAAAGGAAACAAGAAAAUUUAUGCGCUACAGUGUAUAAAGCACUCGCCACACUAAUUAGUGAAAAGGCCUCAUACUAGCACAUCGUCAAAACAGACGCUGCAAGUGACAAAGAUCACCAAGUACACAAAUACAAGAUAAUCAAUGUCUCGUCCUAUGACGCUACAUGUAUAGAUGCAAAAUAUUCUAAGAAAUAUUUAUGAAAUAGAGUAGUGGAUACCAAUUGUUGAAAUCAAUUGAUAAGAAAAUUUCUUUGAAGAAACUCACCACUCCAGAACAUAAAUAUGAGACAGAAUAAAGAUUAUGUUGUCUCCCUUGUACUCAGAAUAUUAAACACCUAAAAUAUAUUAGCACCAGUGGUUUUAAGAAAUAUGCAACAAUAUUUCACCAGUGCCAAUACAUCACAAUCAAUUCACAAAUAAAACAUCAAUAAAGCAUCAAAAAUAGAUACCAAUUAAAUAUUUCAAAAAUGAAUUAAUCAUGCUUCUAUUAUUCUAUCAAAGUCAAUCAUGAAACAAAUAAGCAUAUAAUUGUCAUGGAUCACAAUUUAACUAAGAUAAAAUAAUAAUUACCUACGCAAUAUCAUAUAAUUAUCAGAUCAGCAUAUAACAACUAAAAUCAUGACAAUCAUACAAAGAUAUUCGCAAGCCCGAGGGAAAGUUGAAGAAAAGUUCACAAGUCCUAUACAUGUAAGCAUUGAGUACAAGUAAACUCACACAACUCCUCGCAGAAAAUAUUAACAAUUAAUAUUAGUGAUCUACAUAUAAGCAUGCAAAAAUAUCACUAACACUAAAAGUAUCACAACUAUAUGCAGUUAGACAUGAAAUAAAAUAUCAAUUAAUAAAUCAUCAAAUAUCCAACACAAAUAGUUAUGCUUCAAGUAUAUACACUAAUAUAAAUGGAUUCAGCCUAGAGAGAAUCUAAGUAACUCCACAAAUACUAGUAUAUCAUGACUAAAUUCUAACUAGAUUCUAACCACAUACCAAUUACUGAUACAAGUCACAAGUCUAGAAACAAAUAAGUCAUGCUUCAGAUUUUAUACCUAUAAAAAUGAAUUCAACCUAGAAAAUAAUCCUAAGUAUGUUCACAAAUACAGAUAUAUCACGACUAGAUUAUGACAAAGUUCUCUACUAGAUACCAAUUGUUAAAGAGGUAUAGAUCAAGAAAAAUAACAUAAUUAAGUCAUGCUUCAUGUCAUCUCUAAUCAUUUAAAUCAUGAACAAAUAAGUCACUUAAUUGUCAUGCAACACAAUUUAAAUAAUUUGAAAUAACAAACACUCAUGCUAAAACAUAUAAUCACCAUCUAAGCAUGCAAAGCAAUAAACAUGGCAAUCACAUAUAAUAGCAAAAAGCACGAGGUACUGGAUUUUAAAUAAAUUCACAAGUCCUAUGUAUAGACAAUUUAAUACUCAUGAAUUCAUUCAAGAAAUACGAUAGACAUGCUCAUGAAAGAAGUAAUACCUUAUAGAAAAUAUAGUAUGUGAUCUACUUGCAGUUAAGUAAAGUGAUAAGUUGAAUACCUCUGAGACUUGACAUUUCAGUUGAUGUACCUUUCUUGUACUGAUCAAGUCCAGUGGUUGUUGGCAUAAGUCUUGGCAGGUCUAGAAUCUUCCAAAAUGCGCAUAUUCAAAAGAUCCUUGACUUCCUUUUAUUGCCAUCAUUCUUUAGGCUAACUAGUAGACCAUAAAGAAUUGCAACUUUCCAACAAACUCAUCAUAUCACUAAUCUGCAUUCACUUAGCAAUUAUCUUGCACAAGUGACGUUAGUCCACAUAUAAUAUAAUCAUGGUAUCACAGCACAGAUAGUUGUAUUGUGUGUGCCUUGUAUCAUGAGAGGUAAUAAUUUGGAUACCAAAUAUGACUCUAGCAAACAGAUAUUAAAAUAAUAUGCUAGUCAGAAGUCAUACCAUGUCCGUGACGAUCAUCAGGUGUUGGAUAGCAACUCAUAGAGAGCUGGUGAAGAAAGAGAAUACAAAUUCCGUUGGAUCUGCAACUGCAAAGUCCUUGAAAUGUUGCAUGAAGCUUCAUCUUCUAGCUCACUGUAAUAUCCUGAACCCGAGUCUCGUCAAUGGUGCUUUAGUUCAAUCAUGAAGGUCGUUGAGUCCCCUAAGAUGUAGAGUCCUGAACUUGAAGAUUCUGUUUCCAUCAUCUUCAUAACCUUCUCCUUUGUAGUAACUCUAAGCAACCAAAUUGGCUUGUCCCUCGUAACAGAGCCAAAAACAUCCAGUUGGAAUCUGAAUACCCGACAAGUACUAAGUACUGAAUUGUCAUUAGGUCAGGGUAUCAGAAUCCGCACAAUCUGCUUUCAAACUGAUUGAGAUCAUCUUGCUGUGCAAUCACUCAAUCUGGAUCCCUUUAAGAGCUUCUGAAUCUUCCUCAAGUUUCACUUCAGAUUGAAACCCAAAGAAAUAACAUCCUUUCACAAUAGCUCUCCUAGUCUUCACUUCACCAUUAGGAACAUUUAAGAACUAGAACCCGGGAAUGAUAUUGACUUCAAACCCUUUGUCUAAGCAGAUACGUUCUUGAUAUGUCCUGUUCAUCUUCAAUGUGGUGUUGAGUUUGACUAGUGGAUCCACCAAAUGCUCCCCCUAAGCUGUUGCUGGGAUUUCUUUAAUAAUCCUUAUCCUUGCAAAGAGAUUCUGCUUGGAUCUGAAUCAUUAUUAAACCAAUAAUAUCACCUUUAACAGCUUGGAGCAAAGUGUCGUUCAAUCUCUUGUCCAGACUUACAAUCACCUUCUGUUGAUUAAUCACAAUCACCCUGUAGACUGUAGACUCCAUAGAGUAGCCGAGGAAAAUAUUCUUUGAUCUUCAAAUGCAAGACUUGUAAAGAGGCAUUUUCCUCCAAACACAUACCAAGAGUUAGUGUUUGCUUCUGAUUGGCCACUGGCAAAAAUGGUGUCUUUCUGGAUUUAUCAAUGAUCAGGGUUCAUCUUGAUCAACCUUCAUUUGUGACGUCUCGUCCUUCGAACACAUACGAACAACACGAAAGAAUCUAGAGCAGUCAAUGAUCAUCGCAAAAAGAUAUCUAGCUUUGUUUGCAGACAUGACAUUAGCUGAUCCGUAGAAAUCCAUACGUAUCAUCUGAAGCGGCUCAGUAAUGUUAGUCAUAUCUUUGCUUCUGUGCGAUGCUCCUUCGACUUCCCUAUUGACAUACCUCAUGAGCUUCAUCCAUAUUGAAUUCCAGAUGAGGUAGUCCUCUCACCAAUUCUCUUCUUACGAAUAGAAAGAGCUCCUUGUUUUGACAUACAAGUGCGAGAGCUUCAAGUGCCAUAGCUAAUACUCAUCUGAUGAGGCUUCACUAUCAAAACAGCUCACUCCAUCUUCAGUUGAAGUUCCAUAUUAGCUACGAGCAAAAUUCACAUCCUUCCUGAUUUGAGAUAAAACACUAUUCCAUGAACUGACAUACUGUCAUUUGUUAGAGAACAGUCUGAUACUAGGAAUUUGUGUGCUUUGACUCUUCCAAGAAAGAUAUGCUUCCAUGAUGACAUUCCAGGAAAACAGGCAUGUCCCGCAAGAGAAUCUUUGUUGUCAUCUUUCAAAGAUUAUUGACGGAACUGCUCACACGAUCACAUUUGCUAACAGGGUACUUUUUGUGAAUCAUAUGAUUUCAGCUACUCAGCAAACAGAGUGCACCAAAAAUCAUAUGGAACAUAUGUAACCUGCAAUCACAAAUGGAAAGAGUUCUAUGGUCCCCAAUCAUAACUGGGUCCGGAUGGAUUAGAGAUUUUUCUUUAACAGUGGUAACAACAGAAGCAACCUUAACAUGCUAAUUCUUAUCUAGACAUUGCCCUAAUGUGAUUCUCAAACAUGCUUUUCUAAAAUCAAUGCAAGUACAAAGACAUGCAUUCAUGACAUGAAAAUAAGCAGACAUGAUGUUGAAUACACAUGGCAAACAAUCAAAGAUAAGACAAGAGCAAGACAGGCAGUUAUGCAAUUCAGAAGAUUCAGUACUCUCUACUUAAACCAAUUAACACAAGUGCAACAGGUAGCAAGUAGAAUUACAUAUAUUCAAUAAUCUUCGAAAAGCAUAUGGAUUAGACACAAGAAAUUAAUAAUCACAUUAUCAAUUCAUACUAAUCCCAAUCUGUUGUUAUAUGGCAUUAUACUAUCUCUAUUACCUAAGUCAGUUUUAGAUCUAACAUGAAGUUCUAAAAGUUCUACUGACACAAGGUAGACAUUCCAUCAUAGAACAAAAUAAAAUCCUUAACAAACAAUUCAGAUUAGAUAAGCAAAUCUAAUUGUACUAGGGAAUCUGAAAGUAAGUGUUUUAACAAAGUUAUACAUGCUAGGAUCAUAACCCCUAAAACUAAGAGUCGUGUUCCAAAGGAAAGCUUCUAAUCUCACCAUUGCAAAUAAUCAAAUCCUAAAUAUUCAUACACAUGUUAAGAAUCUGCUAAAGACACAUGCACAAGAUUAUCAUCAAUCCUAGUUACCAGAACAGUGAUCUAGCAUACUAGUUCAACAUUAUCUAUUGUGAUGCUAUCAUGCUUGUGCUUGUGUGUUAAACAAUUCUACUCAGAGAUUUAUAACAUGCUUUGAAUAUAAAGAAAUAUGUAUUGCAUAGUUAGAAAGAAUUCGUACCUGAGAUGUGCGAGUUGAGUCAUCUUCAGAGAAUGCUAGGAUAGCCAGAUAACCAUAAUCAUCCUUCUCAUCAGCAAUUGAUCCAUCUCACACCUUUCCUAAAAUAGCAUAAGAACUUGUUGUGAUGCUUCUUUCAAAACAUCCACUUGAAUUUCAGACAAGCCCUAUCAUCCUUGUUUGUCGAGGCUUCAAUAUAUAUAGCAACCCUUCUUUGCUAAAGAUACCAAUCAAUAUUGUGUGUACUUACCAACUCAGUUUUCAAACAACCUGUCGAACUGAACCCCGAAGAGUCUCCACUUGAAACCAAUGGAUUCCAUCUGAAUCUGACAUGACUAAACCUCUCAGACAGUGUUAUGCUAAUCCUUGAAGUUCUGUCCUCACACUCUUCAAAAGUGUUAACUUUCGUCGACUUGAGCUUCCUCAAAUUCAGCAGUUACAAACUCUUCUGUUCAGUCCUAAGAUUCUGACAUAAAUGCACGAAACUGAUUUGGUGCGGUAAUAACUUAAUAAUUAUAUCCUUAAACCUCCACAGUUCUCUGUCUUUGGUUCAGCUGAUUCCAAAUAGAUUUAGCAUUUGUACAAUUCACUGAGUAAUUGUAUAUCCCUAAAUCACUGAGUUAGAUUGAAAUCCCUUGAAGAUUCUUCUGCAAAAACUUCUCUUUUCCUACUACUAGUGGUGCCAUUCAAAGUUGACAUUCCGAGCCCUGGAAAGAUGCUUCAUUGUAGAUGUAGCAAAUUCCCAUCCUGAUCUGGUGAUCUGAUAAUCAAGUCGGAGUAAUUACUCAGAUCAAGGCCUGAAGUACCUUCUUCAAAAUCCACUGUUAGUAGGACCAAAUUAGUCUUCAAUGGAAUCUUCUUCGAAUCACAAUCAUCUUUGUCGAACAUGGAAAACUGCUUCUAAUAAUUCUUUGAGUAAUUCAAUUGGAUUGGGUCAUCAAUGUAAUUCCAUUACCGAUUCUGAGAAUCUGGUAUUUGAAAUCCCGGUGUUUGUCUUGUAAUCUGUCAGCCUGAUCUGUCUCAACUAAAUGUCAAUCUGAUUUGUCUUGGAGUAGAAUAAUUAAAAAGGUUACGGGACACUUGAUUAUUUAAACUAAGUUUAAAUUAUAAAGAAAAUAAAUUUAAAAAUAAGUUUUAAAAGAUGAAAGAAAAUAAAGUAUAAAAUAAACUUAGUUAAAUCUAUAAAGUAAAUUUAAUUAUAUUUAAAAAAUAAAUUCAAAUAAAUUCAUAAUAAACUGAAUAAGUUUAGAAUAAAUUUAUUUCAAAUUCAUUUAGUAAAUAUAUUAAAAUUUAUUAGAUAAAUUUAAUUUUUGAAAAUAUUCAAGUGUCUCGUCUCCAAUUAAAUCAUAGCUUCCAGAACAAACGAAAUUGAACCCUUGAACUUGAACUUAUAUCCAUAAUCAGUUAAAUCCUCUUAAAUUUAUAUUCUAUAUUUUAACUUAAAUUUAAAUCAUAAACUAUACAAAUUUAAAUAAUAAAUUUAUAAAAAUUUAUGAUAAACUUGAUAAAGUCUAAGAGUAAACUUUACAAGUCUAAAAUAAAUUUAAGCAAAUUUAUUAAAUGAAUUUAGUAAAGUUUAUAAAGUAAAUUUAAUUAAGUUUAUAAGAUAAAUUUAAUUAAUUCAUAAUAAACUCAAUUAAUAAGUUUAAAAUAAAUUAAGUCAAAUUUAUAAAAUAAACUUAUUAAAAUUUAAAGUAUAAAUUUAUAAGUCCCGGUCCAAAGUUCAGUAUCCGACAGAUAAUCCUUGCUUAGGCCUACGGACAAAUUCAGCAACACAAACCGGAAGAACAUUUCCCCUAAUCAAAUAUCAAAAGCUAGGUUCUUGAUUUUCCGUACGAUAAGGAUCCUGAUUUGUAUAUCAAUCAGCCUGGCUCUGAUACCAAUUGUUAGGUCCAAAGUAUCGUAGAAGGGGGGGUUGAAUACGAUACUCACUACAAUUUAAAAUUCUUUCGAAUCUUGCGGAUAAAUAAAUUGCAGUCCUGUAAUGGGUUUCGUGUUCCGGAUAUUUAUUGGGUCGGUUUCUGAGGAUAUGAAAAUAUUAAACCAACACACAAUAUUUUCCAAGGUAUAUCUGUAUAUUGAUAAAUACCUCGAAGGUGCUACAAAUCCAAACCCGAAGGUUGGCUACAAUGACCACUCCUCUAAAUAUUACAAGCCCUAUCCACUACAAAUAUUUAUGGUACAAAACUAGGCUAGGGUGUGUGUAUAUUUGAGAGAGUUUGUGCAUAGCACUUGGCCAUCCAUCCCGAAGGAUGAUGUAAAUUGUGAGAACCACAAUCACAUAUUUAUAGGCUUUCAUAAACUAACCAUGGUUAACGAGUUCGUCCUGGACGGAUUGAGUUCGUCCUGGACGGAUUCGAUUUAACAAAAUAAAUCUAACUCCCAAGUACUUGAAUUGGUGCCAGGAGAUGUUGGUUUGGGGCGCAACAUUUGACCAAGUCAAAUGUUGCGCUUCAACAAUGUUGCGCUUCAUUGCUCCUCUGUUUGGUACUUAGAAAUAAUUCCAGUAACAAAAGUUGCGCCAUGAUUGUUGAUUAGAGGAGCAACAUUUGACCAGGUCAAAUGUUGUUCCAAUAUAGUGCAUCCCUUGUAGAGUUGUGACUUAGAAAUUAUUCUAAGUCACAAAGGGUUAGUGCCAAGAGUUGUUAGUAGAGGAGCAACAUUUGACCGGUCAAAUGUUGCGCCCGGGUCAAAUGUUGCGCCUGGGUCAAAUGUUGCGCCCGGGUCAAACCUUGCGCCUUGGUCAAAUGUUGCGCCAUAGAGUGUGCAAGAGGUAUAUGGUGACUUAGAGAAAUUCUAAGGCAAAUAUGAACUUGCUCCACCAUUGUAAUGCUUCCCCUGUUAUCUCUCAUCUCUUGGGGACGAACUUUGACUUUGGUCAAAGGUUGCGCCUCAAGAGUGCUAUGUCUUCACUGUGAUGUACUUAGAGAAUUUUCUAAGUGAGGAAGAGCUGUUGACUUCGGUCAAAUGUUGUUCCUCACAUAGUAAGAGCUUUCCUUGUUAUCACUCCUUUGACUGAGAUUGACUUGAGUUUGCUCCAUCCAUAUAUUUAUAUUAUAUUCAUAAUAUUAUAUAAAUAUAUGUAUAAAUAAAGAUAUAUAUAUAAAUGUAUAUAAAUAAUAUUUAUAUAAACAUAUAGUAAUAUAUAUAUAUACAUAUAUUUAAAUAUAUUCUCAUAUAUUUAAAUAUAUAUAAUAUACAUAAAAUUAUAUGUAAAUAUAAAUAUAAAUAUAUAUAGGGAUAUAUAUAUAAUUAUCUAUAGAUAUAAAUAUACACAUAUUUAUGCACAUAAUAUAAUAUAUAUAUAUACACUUAAAUAUAUAAAUGUUUAUGUAAAAUAUAAAUACAUAUACUAUAUACAUAUAUAUUUAUUUAAAUAUAUAUACAUAUAAAUAUACAUAUACAUAUGUUUAAAAACAUAUAUACAUAUAUAUUAUAUAUAUUAUAUUUAAUUAAAUAUACAUAUAUACAUAUAUAAUUAUAUUUGUACAUAUACAAAUAUAUAAGUGCACACAUAUAUAAAGUGUCACUUCCUGAUAUGGCUUUCUGUGGAAGCUUUGACAUAUGGCAUUUGAGCAGUAAGCUUUGGCAUAGCUGGCAUUUGGCUUGACUUGGCUUUGGAACAAAUGACUUGAUAUGACUGGAUCAAUUCUUCGAUCGAUAAAUACUUUGCAAAGCUCCGUACGUGCUGACGCUUAGUGCACUGGUCUGGUUCACAAGCGACUAACACUGAAGUUGAACAUUGUACCGUCUUUGUCAGCAAACAUUGAUCAGUCGGUUCCGGGUUAGUUUAUGCUUCAGUUUGUUGAUUAUAAAUAACCAACCAAGAUAUAUAGAAAUAUCUUGCUUCAGGGGUUGCACUGAAAUCUUUCGAGUACUUGGACAACAUCUUCAUUGCUUCCACAAUCUUGAAUACUUCAAUCUUUAUUCUUCACUGAGGCAUGAACAUAUUAAUGAACUUCUUCCAGUGAACUUAUUCCUUCAAGACUGUAGAUGGCUUCUUCAACCUUUGUCUUCGUAUCUUCCGAUUCCGGUGCAGGCGUAGUGUUAUUUACUUGUCCUGUUCUAUUGUUGAGUUAUCAUCCCUAUGUAACAGAUAGGGUUGUCUUUACAUUUAGACUUACAGAGGUAUUGCUACCUCAGGUUUUAGUGUUUUUACUGCAGCGAAUUCCAACAAAUAUUGGAGAAUAUAAUGAGCGUCAUGACUCUUGUAACCAGCAAUUUUACGCUCCUGAACACAACGGCUGAUAUUUGAUGCAGAUCCAUGUGAGAAUUUAGCAUUCUUUAAAACCGAACAAAAGAUCUCUUUUUCUUGUUUGGUCAUAUCAAAACAGGAUGCUCUAAUUUCAAGAGUAUCAUUAACAUCAGACUUGUAAGGAUGAAGAAUCUUUCUAAUUCCCAUUUCUUGCAAAUCGAGACGGCCAUUAAGAUGAUCUUUUGUCUUUCCCCCAAUAUUUAACAAAGUCCCCAGAAUUUUAUCGCAUAUAUUCUUCUCUAUAUGCAUCACAUCAAGAUUAUGUCUAACCAUAUGACUACUCCAAUAUGGUAGUUCGAAAAAAAUGGAUAAUUUUUUUCAAGGGCAAUCUGAAGAACAACCCAUCUGCUUCGUGUUUCCCUUACCAAAACAAUUCUCGUAACGAGACAACAGGUUCUGAAUCUCCAUGCCUGUUAACAGUUCAGGCCUUUCUCCCAUUUCCACUUCACCAUUAAACCGUCUUUUAUCAGACCUCCACUUGUGAUCGGGACUUAGAAAUUUUCGAUGAUUCAAAUACACAACCUUUUUACUAUGCUUCAAAUAUAUUGAUGAGGUAUCAUAGUGACACGAAGGACAGGCUAGAUGACCUUUAGUGCUCCAACCUGAUAAAACUCCAUAUCCGGGGAAAUCACUUAUUGUCCAAAGAAGGCCGGCUUGUAGCUUAAAUGUACAGUCAGACCUUGUAUCAUAUGUUUGUAUUCCAUCGACCCAUAAUUCUUUCAGUUCUGCAAUUAAGGGUUGUAGAUAUAUGUCGAUAUCAUUACCAGGUUGGGUAGGGCCUGGGAUUAUGGUUGAAAGAAUAAGGUUUUCUGGUUUCAUGAUUAACCAAGGCGGGAGGUUGUAAUUAACUAGAACAACGGGCCAGGUGCUGUGAGAAAUGCUCAUUGUACGAUAUGGAUUAAAUCCAUCAGCGGCUAAACCCAACCUAACAUUUCGAAUUUCUCCCGCAAAAUCUGGAUACUUGUUAUCCAUCGACUUCCAACCCUGACCAUCAGCUGGAUGCCUUAGUCGUCCAUCCUUCUUUCGUGCUAAAGCAUGCCAUGUCAUUAGUUUAGACAUUUCUGAGCUCAAGAACAUUCUUUGUAGCCUUUUCUUUAAAGGAAAAUAUCUCAUCACUUUUAAUGGGAUUUUAUGUCCCUUCACCAGUACCUUAUUGCUCUCAACACCGUUGUUCUUAUCUUCCACCUCUUUCCAUCUUGAAGCUCCACAUUUUUUGCAAACAUCCAAUUUCUCAUUUUCGGCCCAAAGUAGCAUGCAAUCAUUUUUACAUGCAUGUAUCUUUUCAUAAUUAAGGCCUAGAUCUUUAAUCAUAGUCUUCGCACCAUUAAAAGUGGAUGGUAUGUUGACAUUAGGAAAAGCAUCCUUAAUCAACUUAAGUAAAUCGCUAACUCCCGACUCAGUCAUUCCAUGAACACAUUUCAAUUGGUACAAUCUAACUAUGAAACUAAGUCGAGUAAAUGUUGUACAAUCAGGAUACAAAGGCUGCCCACCCUCCUCGACAAGCCGAUAAAAUUUCUUGGCUUCAUCGUCCAUCCCCUUUCUGCCUCCAUGUUCAGUACCAAUAUUAUUCUCAUAUAUAUGUUGUAUCAUCUCCUCGAACUCAUUUCCUAAACCUAAACCAUUUUCAAUAUCCAUCCCAUCCUCAAUGUCAUUUUUCUUUUGGGUUGACACCUCAUAAAUCCACUGAAUGGACUGUGGACACAGACCAUUACAUAUGAGGUGUUCAUGGAUACCAUUUUCACUAUUCCAAUAACGACUAGCACAUUUUCUACAAGGACAUUUCAUUUCUUUUCCCAACCCAAAUUCGGUAAAAGCAUUUUUAAUAAACUCUUUGACCCCCUUCCUAUACUGUUCACUAUACUUUGGAAAUGUAACCCAUCUUUCUCCUUCAAAAUCCAUUUUCUGCAUGAUAAAACAUAUAAUAUUAAAGCUUCAAAUACCACACCACCACCACCACCAAAACAGGGCCUCAACACCACAUCAGCAAGAAAUUAGAGACAACACACAAUAUAUUGUAUCACAUCCACUAUAAUAAUCUAGCAGGAGCAUCAAUUCUCUUUAAAUCGGCCUUAUUAAUACAUACACAUAACCCAUCAAAUAAACAUAACCCAUAACCCAGCAAAGCAAAUACACAUAACCCAACAAGUAUAAACAUAACAAAGCAAUUAACAAAGAAAACAAACCCAACAAACACAUAAACAUAUAACCCAGCAGAGAAAAUGUACAUAUAACCUCAACAGAGCAAAUAUAAUCAAAAGCAUAUAGCCGAAUUGAGCAAAUUUAUCUCAAUUGAGCAAAUGGCCGGUUGUGAGAACCCUCAACCUUCAAGCUCACUGAAGUCUUCAAGCUUAAUCUGCACAAACUAACAUAUGUGCAUGUGAGAAGUAUACCCUAAUUAGAAAGAUGAACCCUAAUUGACAUAGAUGCUUGAGAGAAUACAGAGAGAUGAGAGAAACAAGAGAGAUGAGAGAUGAUAUACCUAAGAGUGUGAGAGAGUCGACUGAAGAGCGUGAUAGUGUGAGAGAAACAAGAGAAAUGAGUGAGUUUGGGUGUUAGAAAGAUUUUGGUACUAAAAAGCACCCGCCCAAUGAAAAAUCAAAACCCCCGCUUAAACUAAAAUUCGGUCAAGUUGACCAAAGCGUACACUCUCUUGCAACACUUUUCGAAAAGUAUUGCAACUGCCAAUGAUUUUGUAAUUUCAUCAAAAAAUGUUAUGAUCGGAGCAACAUUUUUUUGUCUGUUGCAACAUAUUACAAACUGUUACAGUAGGGACGAAAAUAUUUAGUCUAUUGCAACACUUUAUGCAACAUUAAUCAUUUGGGGCUUGCAAUAGGCCAAAUAUGACGUAGUGUCGGACCAGCAGUCCAACACAAAAUUAUUUUGACAAAUACAUGUUAUCAUUGUAUAUCAAAUUAUAGGUUACAACUCAUAAAGUCUCUGGCCAGAGCAGAUGGAAACUAGAAUGUGUUUCUAGUUAACAUUGAAUUGAGUUGCACCUGAUUAAAAUACUAUAUGUUAUAUUAUGUGAUAACGUAUUUCUUGGUAUAUAUAUUGAAAGAAGGAUUACCCUUUGAUGAAUGAUAUAUUGUCAUAUGUGAAUCCCAGAAGGAUUAUACACGAUAGUACACUAACUUUUGUGAACACUUGAAAGAAAUUCUCGAACCUGAAGUACCGUAUCUAAGUAAACUACAACAUGUUUUAUCAUACACGUUUUUGACAUAAUUAUUUAAAGCAAGUCUCCGCUUUCGGUUAGUGUUCAUUGUUAAGGGAUCAUUCGCUUUAAAGGCGUGUUAACCUCAAGUUACAAAGUGAAAAUUUUAUUCGAUCUGCACUAACCUAUUUUAUAAAUUUUAAGCUAUAAUUUUUGCAGGCAUAAAGAAUAGGGGAUCAAAAGUUGAAUAAAUUAUCGUGGAGAUUUUCUUUUGUCAUGAAACAAAUUGCAGGCAGCAUCACGUACAAGGAAGGAUACAUGAAAGGUGACAUGAGGGAACAUAUAGACUCGAAGUUCUUAUUUACUCAUAAAAUUUGACAAACGAGAUAAAUCGGUGAUUUGUUCGAGAAGUCAGUACACAUGAUCGGGAUGCGUAUACUUCGUCAUAUUUGCUAAUUUUUAUAUUCAUAUCCUGAUGAGGGGGAGACAUAAAUGAAAUAUUUUUAUUUUGUCCAACUCAUGUACUCUUUUUCCUUCACUAGGAUUUUUCCCACUGGGUUUUUCCUAGUAAGGUUUUAACGAGGCAUGAUGUUGAUACAAGUCAUCCAAGGGGGAGUGCUAUGUAUAGUGUGGAUGACUCUUGUGUUAUCCUCACCUUUUGUAUUCUCUCAUCAAUAGCCAACUUUUGGCUUUUCACUAUCCUUCUAACUUAAUCUAGAGGGCCUAUAUAUAGAGCCAUUUGUGUAAGUUUGAGAGGUACAACAAUAUGAUAAUACAAGUCUUCCUUCUCCCUCUUUUCUAUACAUUUUGAGCUAGUUAUAUUGUAGUUAUUUUCAUAACAGUUACUUAGUUUUAAUGCAGAUUAUAUAAUAUAUUAUGUCUAAUUCUAAAUUGCAUACUCUAAUAUUUCGCAUUGAUCGUGAUUCGUGUAAUAUAUAAAUGUUGCUCAUGUAUUUAAAACACUUUAUAAAGUUGAUAACCGAAAGCAGCUAAAAGUAUAAUGCAACAAUAGCGACGACAAGAUGUUGAUCCGCUCUUAAACGCCUCUCGAUCUUGGGUGCCACACGGAUUCGAUUAUAAAAACUAGAUCCCUGACCAGGGACAAGUUAUAAAAUUAUAAAGCUCUCUCCCCGUCCCAACCAACCGCGUAUACAUUUAGUUGGGUAAGGAAAUCAAAAAAAAGUGUAAAAAAAAAACUAAAUUUCAAUAAAAAUAGAUAUAAUGGUGUGAUUUAUUUAUAUUUAAUAAUAAAGUUGAGAUAGUGGAAAAAAAUAUUGGAUGUAAUAGUGUUUAUAUUAUUAUAAAAUAAAAAUAAUGUAAGAAAGUAAUUGAUGUAAGGAUGUUUUAUAUUAUAUAAAAAUUUAUUAUUUUUGAAACGUAUACAGGACGUUCAGAAAAGAAAUCUGUAUACAGAAUGAGACCGAGAAGACUUUUUUCAUUAACUUGCUUACAUGCUAAGUAAAGUUUUGGACCUCUUCUCCGCAACAUCCAAAAGGACAUGAAACUCCACUAAAAAAGUGAAGCUCAGGUACAUGUCACAUCACAAGCGGCUAAGCGAGCAUGAACAUGAAGUAUGCUUAGCAUUAUUGUUUUAAUGCGACAAGGCCCAGCCCUGAGCAGUAGAAGAACCCACAGACAUUGCAAAUGCAUCUAAGAGGUCGAGUCGUCCGAUCACAGUUUGUCCAUAUUCUUAAAGCAAUGUGCUACUCAGCAUACAAAAGUAAAGUUUUUUGAUACCGACAACGAUCACAUUAUUCAAAAGAAAUGAACGGUCACAGCAAUUGCAAACAGAGAAUUAUUAUCAUAUUUUAGUAUUAAAAAGUAGCUUUUAUAGUUAAAAUAUAAUACAUCAUUUUAAGUACAAAUAAGACAAAUAAAUCGGCACGGAAGAAGUACAUUAAAAAUAUUGAUGUAGGCUUUUAUUGCUUGAGGAGGUAAUGUGGAUUUCUAUAGAUUUAAGUAAAUUUUUAAAAAAUCAUAAAAUUUUAUAAUGUGUCCUACGAUGCUAAGAGAGGUGUAUUGGAUUAAGAUUUUAAAGCAUUUUUUUAUUCAUGAAAUCUGAGAAUAUUCGAUUGGGAUUGUUUGAAAUCAAUAAAAAUUUCGAGUUAUUCAAUUGGGAUUUCAAAUUAUGCCACAAAAUCUGGUGGUAUUCAAUUGGGAUUUUAGAUUAUGUUUUAAAAUCCGAUGGUGUUCAAUUGAGAUUAUUUAAAAUCCAUUAAAAUCUGAUGGUGUUCGAAUGCUGAUGGAAUUUUUUGAAUUUCAUAAAAUGAUGGAUUUUGUGGCAUUCUUUAGUGUGUUUUAAGUUUUUUGAAAUCCUAUCAAAAUCAAUGAGAUUUUGAAGUAUUGUGCUUAAAUUCUAUCAACUCUGCGACAUUUCAUCAAUAAUUCGCACAAAAUCAAAAUCACAUACAAUCCAUUAAAAUCCAUGGACUAAAAAUAAUCCAUUUAAAUAUCAAUCGAAUACAUCCCAUAAGUUUGUAAUUUGCCAACAAGGUGUUGGUGUGGUGGUAGAACUCUUGUACCCUUUUGCGGGAGGUCGGGAGUUCGACUCCCCACGUGUGCGUGCGUGUAAUCAACUAGCAAAAAAGUUUGUAAUUUGGAAUUUUUUUAAAAAUGCUCGAGCUGUAGGAUUUUUCUCUAAAAUAUGCUCCAACUCGGCCUUCAUUAUAACUUGAAUGCAAAUGCUUUCAACUAGGUUGCACCUCAUAGGGCUGAGCAUUCGGUUCGGUUAACCGAAUACCGAACCGAAAUUACCGAAAUAUUUCGGUUCGGUUAACUGAACCGAAAUAUUUCGGUUCUUAAUUCGGUUAUGGUUUUCUGUGUAUUUCGGUAUUUCGGUUUUUUCGGUUUUUUUACCGAAUGAACCGCAAAAACCGAAUAACCGAAAUAUUUAAAAUUAAAAAAAAAUAUAUAUUAUAUAUAUACAUAAAAGUUUAUUUUUCCAAUACAUCUUAAUACUAUCUCUUGUUCAAUUAAAGGUUAAAACACACCGACUCGCUCACCAGAGUUCACUGACCAGACCUCACUCGUCACUAGCAUCCAGCAUCUUCCUCAAUCUUGUCUUCUGGGUUUCGAUGGCAUCACUGAUGCCUCUUUCUCUCCGGUCUUCACGCAGCGUCUUAUACAUCUUCAUCGAUUAAGGUAGGUGUAAUUGAUUUGGGGAAAUCAGUUGAAAUCAUUGAAUUCAACUCACCUUUGAUUUGGGUGUCAAUUCAAUGGAACUCAAACAAUUUCAUGUUUUUUUUUUAGUUUUAUAAAUUUCGGUUUUUUUUUUUCGGUAUUCGGUUUUAACCGAAAUAAAAAUUUCGGUUCGGUAAAAUAACCGAAUUUAAUUCGGUUCACUAUUCGGUUAUGGUUUUUGAGCUUAUUCGGUAUUUCGGUUAUUUCGGUAUUCGGUAAUUCGGUUCGGUUUUUACCGAAUAAUCAGCCCUAGCACCUCAUAUGACCUGUUUUUUGAAUAUAUAUUUGGAAAUACGACUAUUUUGUAAAUUUUCCGUAGAUGUAAAUUAAUUAUUUUGUAAAACAAUUUUUUCAUCAUCAAAAUUUUAAAAAUCAUAUGAAAUCUUCAUUAAAUAUCAACACAUUCGUGAGAUACUUCAAAAUUUCAAUUGGUUUAUAAUUUUAACAAGCAUCAAAUUUAAUAAAUAGUAAAUCAAUAUAUCUCAAAUAUCUCCCACCAAACUUUUAAUUCACACUCUUGCACUAUCUUGGUUUAAAAUUUCAUUCCAAUUUGAAAAGCUAAAUCAAGAUUUUUCUAAUUUUUGAAUCUUUAUAUUCAUUACCUAAACAAGGUACUCUCUUUGUGUGCACGGAUACGCUCGCAAGUCGUAACACAGUGCAGCGUGUGUGUAAACAUACGGUAUUCACGUGCUAUGGCCCGCCCAUCCGUCCAAAAAAACAUCAUCGUAUAAAAUACACUUGCCUUAUAUAACACGAGUAUCAGCGUUGAUGUUGAUAUACGUUAAGACAGAACACAAGCCGUUUUGCUGCUUACAAUUAUUCACUUCACUAACUCAUGGCUAUCUUGGUCGACAACACUGUAUGUUUUCUCUUCUUCCCCUCAUUAUUUUACAUAGAUAUAAUCAAGAUUCUUGUAUAUAUGUUCAAGAUUAUGUUUGGGCUUUCUUGAUUGUGUUAUUUUGUGGUUAUUUCAAUCUUUUUAAUUAAAUAUUUUAUUGUUUUGAAUAUAUAAUUUUACUGUUGUGUGAAUUGUGUAUUUUGAAGCUUGAUCAUUCUCGGAACAAGGAGAGUGGUGAUAUGGCUCUGGUUGAGACUGCUCAAGAAAUGUCUGCUGAUCCUUUCGCUAGGAGGUGUGUGUAUAUGUGUGUGUUUUGCUAAUUUUUUUGCUUUUUUUAGUAAGAUAAAUUGAUAGUAAUGUUUAAAUGGUUUUUAUUGAUGUGUGUUUGGUUAAAUGCUUUCUGUUUUGCUAGUUACCAACUAGAUGCACUGGAAAUGGCAAUGAAGCAAAAUACCAUAGUUUUUCUGGAAACCGGUUCCGGGAAAACCCUCAUUGCUAUUAUGCUUCUGCGCAGCUAUGCUCACCUUUUGCGGAAACCCUCGACUUCCCUUGCUGUUUUUUUGGUCCCCACUGUGGUUCUGGUUUCCCAAGUAUGUCAGGAUUGUGGAUUUGUGAUUUGUUACAAUUUGAUUAUGUUGGAUUUCAUUCGUGUUUUUGUUAUAUAUUGAAUAGCAAGCUGAGGUUGUGCAAAUGCACACGGACUUAAAAGUGGGAAAGUAUUGGGGAGAAAUGGGAGUGGAUUUUUGGAAUGCUGCCGAUUGGAAGAAGCAGCAGGAUGACUUUGAGGUCAGUAUAAUUUUCGAUUAGUUACUCUUCAUUUUGAAAAAAAGAAGGAUCAAUGUGUUUGUCUUUGUUUUGAUCAUUUUUUUUAUUUAGUAGCUGUUACAUCAUAUUUUGUUUGAAUCAUUACAAUUAACAACAAUUUCUUUUUGUCUUUUCUGUUUGCUAAUGAUGUAAGCAGCUGAAAAUAGAUCAGAUAUCAAGGGAAAGUAAAAUUUACUAGUUAAGAAAGAUGAGUAAAAUAAAUUCAAUUUGGAAUUGAGUAAUCUUCUGUCCUUCUACUCCUACAUAUCCUGUCUACCUAUCUCUUAAUCACGUGUCUAUGCUAAAACUCAUAAAGCAGCUCUUCUUUCCAAUAUACUGAAAUUUGGUUAGGUGUUCAAUUUUGUGGCCUGCAUAAGAUUUACCAACUCCUUUUUUGUCAUUCAGGUGCUUGUGAUGACCCCACAAAUAUUGCUUAAUGCCUUGAGGCACAGUUUUAUAAAGCUUGAGACAAUACGCAUCCUAAUAUUUGAUGAAUGCCAUCAUGCUAGAGGCAGACACCCCUACGCUUGCAUUAUGAUGGUAAGUUAAUCCAUGCAGUUCUAUCUUACUAAAUUUGCAGUAACAUGUUAUAGAUUGAAUUUGCAGUAACAUGUUAUAGACUUGACUGAGUUCUAUUAAGUUCUAUCGAAUUUAAUAUUUAAAAUGACUUGGUAUCAUGGAUGUCACGUCGAUAAGUCGAAGCGAGUCGAUGGACCUCCGGUUAGUCGGCUAUUCGAUAAGUCGUAGACUAGUUGAUAAAAAGUAAAUAAAUCUAAUAUAUAUCUAUAUCUGUAUCUGUAUCUAUAUCUAUAUCUAUAUCUAUAUAUAUGUGUGUGUGUGUGUGUGUGUGUGUCUAAUUAUACAUUAUGUAAUUUAGGUUUUAAGUUCUAAGUUCUAGCAAUUAACAUAAUUAUCACUGUGAUGUACUAAUUUGACCUAAUUUGUAAUGACAAUUGUGGUAAUGGUAGUGCUGUGCAAGAAACAAGGUUAAAAUAGGGAUUGCAGUGCAGUACAUAGACAUAACAUAACAUUUAAGACUUAGCAGAUCCAGUAGAUUCAAACAAAAUCCUGGAAUGGAAAUAAUGAGAACAGGGCAGAUUGCAAAUAACUUGGUUAAAACACUAGACUUCAGAAAUCAUCAUAGAGAUCCAAGAUUUUAUCUUGCGCGAGUGCUUCGUCAUUUCUCUGACUAAUACUGUUUGGUGAUAUAUGUCCACAAUCAUCAUCAAUGUUUUCAUCAUCAUUUAAUAUAAUUGGUACACUUUCUUCCGUCAUUUCAAUUUCGGACGAGGCAUCAACUUGUGAAGAAGAGGCAGUACUCAGUAGCCCUCCUUUGACUACGACGACCUUCAAGGUCCAUACAAUUGCUAUGCAAGGAUUCCAGUAAAGCGUAGGGAUUCUACAAGACAAUAAACCUCCAGCAGCCUUAAAAUUGGCACCAUUGUCUGUCACAUCUUAAAAAUAAUACGAGCAUAUUAAUAUUAAUAGUACAAGCCUACAAGUAGAUUAAUAUUAACAACCCACAUUGUAUUUUUAACAAAUUGUAAAAAAAGGCUACCUGAAUAACAUUUUCCCUUCCAAUUAAAUGUAUCUGCUCCUCAAAAAGAUCAGCUAGCAUUCUCGCAUCUUGAAAUUUACUUGAAACAUCGACUGAACUCAGCAAAAAAGUCCCUUCCGGACAGUUAACAAGGAAGUUUAUUACGUGCCUGCCCCGCUUAUCAGCCCAUCCAUUUGACAUAAGUGUGCAACUGUAUUGUUCUCCUGCUUUCUUUCAAUUUAUCUGUCUCUUUUUUUGCUUUUUCUUGCAACGGUACUCUUAGCUCAUUUAAACCCAGUCCAAACUGUCCAAUAAACUCCACCAUUAUUUCAUAACCCCUGGAAUGUGCAGCAUUAAAUGGUAUCCCAUUCUCAUAAAAGAAGUGUGCUAUGUGCCUUUUCACCCUUCUUCUUCUGCUCUUCUUUCGCUCUUUGUGCAACUUUCAAGGUCAAGGCUACUUUGAGAUGGAACUUUGUUGUGCCUCUCUUCAGUCACUUCUUCGGGAUUCACGUGUACAAUUGAAUAUACAUGCAUACAUGUAUAUAAAAUUGUAUAUAUGCAUACAUAUUUAAUCAUAUAUGCAUGUAGGUAUAAUUGUAUAUACACAGUAAGUACAUACAGAUAUAGAGAAUAUAGAUAUGGAGAAUGUAGAUGUUAAAGAAGAGAAGAAGAAUGAAAGGAAAAUAUCUCUUACUCGUUAAAGGAGAAGCAGUAGUUUGUCAUUGAUUGUACGUUAAAAAAGCAGUAGAUUGUCGUGGAAUCGAGAGUGGAGGCAGUGGUGUUUAGGAUUAUUUAUUUUAUUUUUAAUUAAACAUUGAACGGGUUUUGACCAGGGUUUGGACCGGGUUAUAACCAGUCAGUGACCCGGACGACUUAGCAACACGACUAGUCGACUGAUUAGUCGACCAGUCGAUCGAAAUUUCACAUUAAGCUAGUCGACAUAUUGAGUUGACAUCUCUUUACCACUUCAUCGACUAGUCGCGACUAGUCGAGCGACAUGACAACCAUGCUUGUUAUGGACCAUUUGACUGACUUCUUUAUAUCAGAAGUAGAUUUUCAAAUUAAUGGUCACCUAUGCAACCUGGCUCCCACGCCCGCUGUAUAUACCUAUAAGUUAUGCCAAUAUCGACUCCUCAAUUACUUGAGAAUCCACUUGAACAUUAUCAUCUGGUCCACAUAACCUAGACUUACCUACUUAUAUUUGCUGGAAUUGCGUGUAUUUAACUUUAAUGGUGCUAGAGUUGACCUAAACUUGUUUAAGUGAAUAUUUUUUUUUACGUAAAACACUCUUAUUAUUUAAUAGGAUAUCACCUUAGAAAUUUUAAUUUGAAGAUGGAAGAUAACCAUUGUGACUAGCCUUGUCCUAGUUUAACAUAUCAAUUACAACAUUUUAUUUGAUAAAACUUUAAGCUGAAACCUUAUAACCAAAUCUGAAUUUGUAAAGCACUUUCUGGAUUGUUCAUGGAGGUUAUGAAUCUUAACAUAUUAUGAACCUGUCUACAUUAUUAGAAAUGUAAGACAGUUAAUUUCUUACUCUGCCAGGUUCAUACAUUUUAUUGUAGUGUCCGUAUUGGUGUCCCCUUCUCCAAAUUUUCAGGGCAAUAAUACGUUGAUUAUUGUUUAAUAUUUAAACCAAGUGCCAUUGUUUUCUUUUUCCUAAACACGUAAAGAGGAUAUAAUUGAGUUGCAGUAUCUUUCUAGAGAUGACUAACUGAAUUUGUCUUGAAAAUGUAAUGAAUGGGCCCAUAAAUUAGUACUAUUCUGGAACUUGUAAUUCAUGCACAACAGUAUGCCCUCAAAAGAGUAAGCAAAUGGAUAAGAGGUACACAGUGGCUACAGCCUAGAAGAUCAUUGUUGAUCCUGCCAUUGUCUAGAAAUCCUCUUUAUGUUGUUUGAUAUGUAUAUCUGAAUUGCAUGUCAUUGUAUCUACCUUUAAUUUUUUAAUAUCACCACAGGAAUUUUAUCACCGUCAACUGGAAUCUAAUAACUUGCAGCUUCCUAGGAUAUUAGGGAUGACCGCUUCCCUUAUCAACACUAAAGGUACCCAAGCAUUGCCUUCUAUACUAUAUAUAUUUUGUUACUCUUAAUGACAGCUUCAUUACAUGUCCUUGAGCCUGGACAUCUCCAGAGGAUAAAAUACUUGAUCUUUAUGUUUAUUUUUAAUUUAACUUCUUUUUUUUUCUUCUUCUAAAUUAUAGCUUCAAGUGACGAAGAAGGUUACUGGAAGCAAAUCUGUGAACUUGAGAAUAUAAUGAAUUCAAAGGUAGAGAUAUUUAUUGUUCCCUUUUCUUUUUUCUAUUCUUGUUGUUUUGUGGUUGUUAAGUCUAUCCAUCUGUUUUUUGAGUGUGCGUGUGUGUGUUUUUUGGGACCUUAAUGAAUCAUGAGUAGCUAUUGCAUAUAAAUACUAAUGCAGAAAGCAUCAUUUACUUGACUUUUUUGUUAUAGUCAUUUGAAGACAAAUGUUCAAGUCUUUGUUUUCUAUAGCGUAGCUUGUCUAAGAUUUUAUCAUUUUACACAGAUGAACACAUAUUUUGUUUUUCUUGGGAACAAGUUGGUAAUUAUAUCACAUACCUGCUACGUGAAAAAAGUAACUCAUGUUCUUAAUUUAUAACUUACUAGUUUUCUGAAUGCAAUUACGCAUCGAGCCGGUGACUUAAAUUUGUUUCCCUUCUGGCUUCUGGUAUAGGUAUUCACCUGCAGUAGCGAGUCUGUGAUAACAGAUUAUGUUGCAAUGUCAACUCCGAAGCUCAAGAGUUAUAGACAUGUGGAUAUUCCAUACUCGCUAUUCGAAGAUAUAGCUAGGGAGUUAAAGACUUUAAAAAAAAAGGUACUUAUUGUUGUAACACUAUUAACAAUUGAUAAUAAUCACUCUGUACUCGUUACAAUACUGUUAACAAUAUUCUGUACUUNAUUGUGGUGUAUUAUGAUACUAUGCUGUAAGCUGACACAAGUUACCAUCAUCUUUUUGUGCACAUGAUAGUAUAUUAAUGUCAGGAUAAGUAUAAUAUCGCGGUGGAAUAUCAUUAGUCUUGGAGGAAGAAGAUGCUUAUUAAAUGGUAGUUUCUUUUGGUAGUUUCCUGAACACAUGUCAGGAACUCAAGUUCGUGAGAAUGUGCUUUUGUAAACUUUUGGUAUUAAUAAUUAUUUGAGAAGUAAAAACCGCAAGACAGAAUCAGUUAUAUAUAGAGAGAGAAUUGGUGGAAAUCAUUAUAUUUCUUAUAUUCAAGAUAAUUAGAAAUACGAAUGGUAGAUUUAUUUAUAUAAUCCCAUAGAGUGGUUGCUACAUCGAGGAAAAGACACAAAUUGCAAAACUUACUACUGCCGAAAUGAUUUUUUUAAUUCUUUUUUUAAAACAAACUUGUUUGGUUUCUAAAACGUCUUAUGUUGAUCAAAAGAAAGUUGUGUCAAAGGGCUGAGUUUCUAGUGGAAUCUGGAUCGAGUUUUUGUAUAAGUACAUUCAAUCUGUUACUCCCUCUGUCCCAACCAUUUCUUCACACUUUCCUUUUGGGGAUGUCCCUUCUGAUUCAUUACAUUUCAAAACUUACUAAAAAUACUAAAAUUUUAUAAUAUUAAAAUCAACUACAUCCACUACUUUCCUCAACUAUACUACCUUAAUAAACUGUCCCGUCACUCUACCCACUUUUCUUUCUCUUUCUCACUACUUCAUAUACUUUUCUUAAUCUUCGUGCCCAACCCAUUUGUAAACAAAUGGGAGGGAUGGAGGGAGUAUACUUUAUCAUGCACGACAGUUUUACUUAGUAUCGUUUCUGCAUGUUUAUUCACACAGGGGCUUAGAAGACUUGAGAUGUAUAGUCUUUGUACAGAGGGUUAUAACGGCGAAUGUACUUUGUCGCCUUUUGAAUGUUUUGCUUCCUAGCCUUAGUGGAUGGAAAACAGAAUAUAUGGCAGGCAGCAAUACUCGUCUUCAGUUACAGAGUAGGAAGGCCCAAAAUAAAAUUGUUGAAGAAUUUCGCAAGGGCACGGUAUUAAUAUGUGCUAUGUAUCUGUAGAUAUCCCACUUUUGGAAGAGCAAUAUAUUUUUUAACAAAUUGCAUACUGUUCUAUAACAAUAUGUGCAGGUUAACAUCAUUGUUGCAACAUCAAUUCUUGAAGAAGGGCUGGAUGUUCAGAGCUGCAAUCUGGUUGUACGGUUUGACCCAUCAGCUACAGUCUGCAGUUUUAUUCAGUCACGAGGUCGGGCUAGAAUGCAGAACUCAGAGUUUUUACUAUUGGUGGAAAGGUGAGUCGUAAUUUGUUUCCAUAUCAUUAAUCAUUAUCAUCUAUAAUAUCGUUACAUGCAAGGUGACGAGUUUCUGAACUUUGUCGUACAAAGUUUGUGGUUGCUCUGAAUAUUAUUCUCUUUUUGUGACAAAUGUAGUGGAGACAAUUCUUCUUUUGCUCGAGUAGACAGCUACCUUGCUAGUGGACAAGUAAUGAGGCAGGAAUCCUUGCGCCAUGCUGCAGUGCCUUGUCAACCACUUGAUACUGAAAUUUACAAUGAAGUGUUCUACCGGGUUGACUCCACAGGAGCUAUUGUAACACUUAGUUCCAGUGUGUCCCUGAUUUACUUCUAUUGCUCUCGGCUACCUUCUGACGGGUUUGUCUUGAUUAGCUAAUUUGUAUUUACUUGUACCUGUAUUUCUUUUCCCACAUUUUCUUUUCUAUGCAGAUACUUUAAACCCUUUCCAAGAUGUAAUAUUGACAAGGAGUUGGGGAAAUGCACCUUAUAUUUCCCUAAAAGUUGCCCAUUACCCAGUGUUACUGUUAUUGGACAUGUCAAAACACUGAAACAACUUGCAUGCCUAGAAGCAUGCAAAACGUUGCAUAUAAUGGGAGCACUAUCGGACAAUCUUGUACCAGAUUUGGUGGAAGAAAAAGAUGAAGAAAUGGGUAAUCAAAAUCAAAUUUGUAGUUUAAUCGGAAUUGUGUCUACAUUUGUGUAUCUCUGUGAAAUCUUAUUCUGUUAUUAAUGGUCCAAUAUCAAAUUGUGCAGGUCAUCUGGAAUAUGUCGAUGAACAAGAUACUUAUGUUCCAUCGGAACUUGUGGGUCAAGGUUUACCCAAUGGUGCAAAAACAUAUUAUUGCUAUGUGCUACAGUUGGAGAGAAGUUUUAGCUAUGAUGUUACAAUGGAUCAUAUAAUACUUGCUGCUAGUAAUGAGCUUAAUUUUGAUGAAGACAACAUUACAUUUGAUUUGGAGGUUGAUAGGGGCAGUUUAACAGUUCACAUCAAAUAUGUUGGAACUAUAAGUCUCACUUCUAAAGAGGUAAUAAUUCUUAUUAUAUCUGUUUGACUACUCAUAAUAAAAAAACAUGGCAUUUUUUUGUUGAUCCUCAACAUUCUGUUGCUAGGUUCUCAAGUGUCAGCAGUUUCAAGUAACAAUUUUCAGGGUUCUCUGCAAUAACAAUUAUAGCAAGUUGCAUGAGAUCCUUGAUGUUUUUCACCCGUGGAACGAUCUUACUGUAUAUGACUAUCUUCUCCUCCCAACUACUGGCUCACUGCAGUCACUGCGUAUUGACUGGAAAUGUGUCUAUUCUUAUCAUCUGUAUAAAAGUGAAAAUAUCUGCCAUGCUCACUCAAGUUGCCCCUUACCUAAAGACCAAUAUAAUAUUGUGCACACAAGGAAUGGUCUGGUCUGCAGGUGUAUUCUAGAAAAUUCUUUGGUUUACACACCUCACAACGGUUAUAUAUACUGCAUUUUGGGCACAUUAGAUGGUUUGAAUGGAAGUUCAGUGUUGAAUUAUAAAGACGGAGAAUCAAUAACUUACAAAAACUACUAUGAAAAAAGGUAGGUCAAGUCUUUGUGUAUCAACCUAUUAUUUGAGGCUUGACACCAGUAUAUGGUAAUCAUUCCUUUUGUCAUGUAAAUAACAGGCAUGGCAUUGAAUUGCAAUUUGAGCGAGAACAUUUUCUCAAAGGAAGACAUAUUUUUUCGGUACAGAAUCACCUUCAUAAGUAUAAAAAGCAAAAGGAGCAAGGUCCACUUCUUUCUUGUGCAAAUUUAUAUUACUAAAUUUUUUUGGGCGCAAUGUUAACUGAUAAUUGUAUGUGAAGAUCCUCAGACAGUGUUAAAUGAAGCCGGAUUUGAGGCUUAAUCUUUGCAUGUUCAUAUAUCAAUUUCUAAUCUUUUACACAGCUUUAGUUGCGACUGAUAGCAUAAUCAUGAAGCAUGCAUUGUCUUAUCUCUCUAUUCCAUUAUAUUUAUACUCAGCAACUCUAGGCCUUUUUCGGGAUUUCCAGUUACAAAUUUAUAAUGAUUAAUACCUUUAUUUUAUUUUUCUGUUCUCCCCCAUCCUUUUCUUUAUAUGCAUGUUAGUAAAUCUAUGGGAAAAAAGCAGUAAUAAGUAAAUCAGAAAAAUUUACAGAAACAUAAAACACUCUGACAUUGUCAUAAAAGUUAAUACACAUAUCUUAGUGAUGCUUCUGACAAAUCAAACACUAGUAGUUCUAAUGAUUUGAAAUUGCAUGAAAGUAUAUUAUAUUGAAUUACUGAAACAUAUGAUAUUCGAGUCGACAUCCUCCAUGAUACUUUCUCCUGCUGACUGAUUUUUUCUUACAACUGUAGAACAAAGCAAUGCAUACGUGGAAUUGCCUCCUGAACUUUGUUCCAUUAUAAUGUCACCUAUUUCUGUCAGCACCUUCUAUACGUUUUCAUUUGCCUCAGCAAUCAUGCAUCGAAUAGAAUCUUUGCUCAUUGCUAGCAGCUUAAAAAAGAUGCAUGCCGAUUACUGUAACCAAAAUGCUAUUGCUACAACUAAGGUUCCAACCAUCAAGGUAACUCUAAUGUCAUCUCAUUACUCGAAAUUUAGCAGUUAAUUUUGGUAAAAGUAUAUAAGUUCAUUUAGUGUUUUGCGCUUCUUGUUAAAUUAAUUAAAGAUAAAGUCUUCAUAUCUUUGUUUGUUUUGGGGGCCUGCUUUAUGAAUAUAUAUGUUAAUUAAUGUGCAGCAAAGUCAUUUGUGUCCGGAUCUAUGUGGAUUAUGAUAAACAGAAAAUUCACGAGCCUGUGAUUCUCAAGUUGAUAUAGUGCCCAAGUGAUAUGUAUGUUGCAGAUUAGUUUCAAAGAUAUUGUAUGCGGACUUGUUAGAUACCUAUAGCCAAAUAAGCAACAAAGUGGAGGCUAGUAUGUUAUCAUUGGUUCCCAAAAUUAAGUUUAGCAGACUUGACUACUCCAUUAAAUGUAUAGAUGUGUGAAUGUCAUUCCUGUUUUCAUGGGUUUUGUUGUUGAAGCCUAGUGAUGUGCUGAACUUUAUAGUGAAAGGUGAGAUUGUCAUCAUAUGAGUACCAAUAAUAUGUGGUGUAAACUGUCAGCAGCUCCGCAUUGUAAGAUAGGAUUACAAUGAAUUUUCAAAGUAGAAUGGCAAAAUGUCCAGUUUGUCUCUUUUUAUAUGAGCAUGACCUACUAUGAAGAAGAAACUUUUCAUUACUAGCUUAAAUAUAUCUAAAUCAUAACUUUUUUACUCUUGGUGUCAGGUAUUGGAAGCUAUUACUACUAAAAAAUGCCAAGAGAAUUUUGAUUUGGAGUCACUGGAGGCUCUUGGAGAUUCAUUUCUUAAAUACGCUGCAUGUCAGCAGGUGUUUAAAAUGCACCAAGAUAAACAUGAAGGUGUUCUCAGUAUAAAAAAAGAUAGAAUUAUAUCCAAUGCUAACCUAUGCAAGCUCGGGUGCAGCCGUAAACUCCCGGUAUACUUCUUAAACCCUGAAAGCUAAACAUAGAACAAAAUGCUGUUUCUGUUUUGGAAGAUAUAGCAUAUUAUUAUCUGAGACAUCUUUACAGAAAAUAUUAACCGGCAGAGUGCAGGGUACUGUUAGUCUCUUAACCAGUAAAAAGAUAUACUGCAUGUUUUAAAUUUUGUGAUCUGGAAAACUGUGGCGUGAACAUCUUUUCAGUGUCUGUCUAUCAUCUAUAUUUGAACUUUAUAAGCAAAACUGUUUCUUGAACAUCUUGUCACUGUCUGUCCAUCAUAUGAACUGAAUAGAACCACAUAAGCGUACACUUGCACAGGCUUGCAUGCCUGCACUUGUGGUUUAUCUGAUGCUUAAUAAUUGUUCUUGAAUAAAUCUGAAGCACAACAGAAGUUAUGGUUCACCACAAAAUUAAGUGCUCCUUGUUUGUUUUCCUUUUGUUAGUUUUUUGAUAGAAUUUAAAAUUUGACAUCCAUCAGAGGCCCUCCUAUGCUUCCAUAGUUUGCAGCUCCCUCUUGGUAGAAUCCCUGUAGUUGUGCCCCUUACUUUCCUUAGUCUGGAUGGUACAAGUUGACCGGUAUCUGUGAUUAUGAUGAGCUGUCCUGUUUCUUUUUGCCACGGGAGUUGUCUCUGUUUUAUUGAUAAAUAAUAGUACUGCAUUACUUCUAUAUGUAAUCCUACUUUCUCAAACAAUAAUAUUUUACAAUCGUUUAAUCUGUACCAAGUAACUUAUUUUUUAAUGUAUCAGGGUUUAAUACGUAAUGAACCAUUUGAUCCCAAAAUGUGGAUCAUUCCUGGCGAACAAAUGGAGGCUUUUUAUGAAGUUCAACUAUCUAAUGCAACCAAAGUAUUUACUAAAGGAGUACGGAAAAUAAAAAGUAAAGUUGUAGCUGACGUGGUUGAGGCAUUGAUUGGUGUAUUCCUCAGCAGUGGCGGUGAAAUUGCGGCGUUGUCAUUCAUGAAUUGGCUUGGUAUUGAGGUCAAUUUUUUCAAUAUACCAUACAAGAGGAGCUUUUCAGCACAUCCAGAGGACCUUCUUAACAUUAGCUAUCUCGAGUCUAUACUUAAUUACUCAUUUAGUGAUGCUUCACUACUUGUUGAAGCAUUAACACAUGGUUCUUUCAUGCUACCCCAAGUUCCCCAGUGUUAUCAGGUACCAAUUGUUUUUAUCAUUUUGUUCAUGUAAUCAUGUUUUCAGUUUAAACAUGUUUCACUGUAGAUUGAAUAGGGAUCGAGGUACAUGUAUAUGUUUUUGACUUGGUUCAUGUAUUCAUAAAUUCCUAUAACUCCAUGCCCACUGGUUCUGGUCUGUAUAGCCGAUCUCUAAGUACAUGAUACAAUGAUGAAGAAUCAAAACUUUUGUUAAAAACGAGGAUCAAAGCUAUUAAGAUGGAUGAAUAUAUUCAGUAUGCCUUCUUUGGUGUUGAUUUGUUCAUCUUUGGAUCCACUAUGUCGGACUUGUAUGAUGUCAGUCCUUUGUGUUAUUUGUUUGGCGGAAAAGGGAAAAUCAUUUUUUUUACAGCUACUUCCAGUUUCAAGUAUGUGUGUCUGUGUGUGUGUGUUGUUGAAUGAAGUGAACCUUCUAUGUGAGAUGGAAUGUAUCUUUCAGAUAAAAAUUGUUAUAGUGUAUUUAGCAAAAAUAAAAGAAAAUUUAUACUGCAACUAAAACCGUUACUUACAUUUUAGCAAGUGCACUCUUACAUAAAUCUGAAUUUGAUGAUUAUAUGUAUCUUGCAUCCACAGCGUCUUGAGUUUCUUGGAGAUUCUGUACUGGAUCAUCUCAUAACCUUGCAUCUGUACAAUAGAUAUCCCGGAAUGUCUCCUGGAUUGCUAACUGAUCUGAGGUCAGCUUCUGUAAACAAUGAUUGUUAUUCUUUAUCUGCGGUUAAGGUUGGAUUGCAGAAACACAUUCUCCAUGCCUCACAAAAGCUUCACCGACAAAUAGAGUCCUCUGUUCAGAAUUUGGAUCCAUCAUUAAUGGGAUCAACGUUUGGAUGGGAGUCAGAAAACUCACUUCCCAAGGUUAGUGUCCCAAGCUUGACACGAUUAUUGUAUCUCGUUUUUUACUUCCCUCUGCAACAUGAUUUGUGUUGUUAGAUGUGUUAUCUGGUGUUCCUUUAUCUAUGAUUUUAAUUGGUGUUCCCUCAGCAGUGAAGUUUAAGAGCCUAACUGUCGCUCUGGUAGAUUGAUGACACAAUAAGAGGUGUCCAUUUAUGAUGUGAUGGCAUAAAAACUGAAAAUAAGAUAUUCUUUAUAUAAGUAUUUGUUGAUUACAUUGGACUUCUUUUUUGUCAUGUAAAUAAUUUUUACAAAUAAAUACCCUAUUUUUGCACUUGAGAAUCCAAACAGUGGAGAGUGAUUUUGGCAUUCUUUUGAUCUUGUUGUGCAUGUGGUACAGGUUCUAGGAGAUGUAAUAGAAUCUCUAGCAGGAGCAAUUUUUGUUGACUCUGGUUACAGAAAGGAUGUUGUGUUCGAGAGCAUACGUCCGCUUUUGGAACCCUUGGUUUCUCCUGAGACACUCAAGCUUCAGCCAGUGAGAGAAUUGCAUCAGUUGUGCCAGAAGGAGAACUAUGUGUUAAAAAAGCCUGUUGUGUCAUGUGAAAAUGGUUUGGCAGCCGUUACAGUUGAGGUUGAGGCCAGCGGCGUUGUAUAUAAAGAGUCAUGCAAUGCUCCUAAUAAGGCCGAAGCCAAGAAACUUGCUUCAAAAGCUGUAUUGAAGUUGUUGAAAGAGGGCAUGUACACCAAACCUCACCCUUCUCCUUUCCUUUCAUCUCCGGAGAGUAAAAAGAGAAAGGAAGACAAGUGAGAAAAAAGACAAGGAAUAAUACUUUGUAUGUUUCACUACUGUGAGUUCCUUGCAUGCUGAACUUUGGUACUGAAUUCUUUACUAAAACUGCUGAUAUAGUAUUAUUUUUUUUGUAAAACACUUGUUAGAACUUAGAAGUGUUUAAGAUGAAAAGUGUUGAAAAAUGACAAUUAUAGGGGAUGUUAUCGUCCAGAAUUUGAUGACGGAUAAAAUUUUUGUAUAUCUGUUAGAAUAUAUGCGUGUAUGUAUGUAAAUCUGGAUUGGAAUAGCCUACUAGUUAAAGUUAAUAUUAAGGUUUUCUUCUAUUCUCUCUCUUUUUAUGUGCUUUCAUCUCAGAAUUAUGACGUUAUUAUGUACAUGCAAGUGCUUGGGCUUGGGGCUUGGGGGACGAACCUAUUCCAUUUUAUGUUACCUGUCUUUAUGAUGCAAAUUUAAAAUAAUAUUGUGAAGCAAAUGCCAUUCCCUAAAUAUAUAAUAAACAAUUUAAAUUCUGAUACAUUGUUUAAAGUCCGAAUUAAAUAUCUUCAGAUUUCUUGAAUGAAAAAGUCUUUAAAAUCUUAAUUGAAAUCUUAAUUGAGUAUACUCCUUCAUAUCCAGAUUCAAUACUCAUAAAUUUCUUGAAUAAUUUUGUUUCUGUAGACCCGAAUCAAUACAUCCUAGAAUCUUGAAAGUUUUAAUGUGAUAUCCUCUUAAUAAUUACUCAUCCUCCUUCUUUUUUUUAAUUUGAUUUUUUGUGAUCAAACUGAUCAAAAUUUGACUGAUAAUGUGUGAUUAGUCCUACAUGAUUUUAAAAAAUUGAAAUAUACAUCUUAAAGAAUAAUAAAUGUAGAUUUUAGUAAUAUAUUUUUUAUAAUUUUUUAAUUAUUUAAUAUAUAUAAAUGUCAGUUAAAAUUUAAUUAAUUUGAUCCCAAAAAGAAAGAGACAAAAGAAGUGGGACGAAUGAAGUAUCGCGAUCAUGAUCGCAGCUAAAAGCUCAAAAUAAUACUCCCUCCAUCCCAAAUUAGAUGGCCCCGUUGACUUUGGGCACACAAUUUAAGAUUCAUUGACCGCAUAGAUACGUGACUUAUUUUUAAAAUUUUAUUUUUGCAAAUAAAAAUUAAAAUAUGGAAUUUUCAUUUAUAAAAGAAAAAAUAAAAAAAUAAAUUUCGGAAGUAGACGGUCAAUGCACCUAAAGUUACGUGCCCAAAGUCAACGGGGACAUCUAAUUUAGGAUGGAGGUAGCAGUAAUCAAGUCCACGAGUUGAAGAAACACAGGAAGAAAGUUUUUUGUACAUGAGUUUCAUUUCCGGUCAAAAUUAAAUGCCCACACAAAAUGGGCCCAUAUGCAGGUAACGAGGAGUCGUAAUAUUGAACGACCUGGACUGCCUACGCUCAAGGAAUCGCUGAGCACUUAAUAUUUAGAACAAAAAUAUAAAAUCUCAGCAUAAUUAUACUUAAUAUCUGGCGAAUGUAUAAUUAAGGAAAAUCUGACGAAAAGAUAAAGAUUUUUAAUAGCAAAAAACAAAAAAUCUCCUGCCAAACAAAUAUUGCACGUGUGCCAGCUCCAGUGUAGCCUAUAAAUAUAACAUGAGUAGCAAGAUUGUGACUCCGCACAAAAAACAUUGACAAGUGUUGUUGAGUUGUUGGUACAUAAUCUCUCUAUCAUGACCAUUCUCAUUGAAACAACUGUAUGUUUUUCUAUCUCAUUGCCUCUUGAGUUUGCAUGAUUCAUGAUUAUGUUUCUGUGUUUGUGUGUUUUUAGUCAACAUUUCAGAUAUGUGUGUUGUGUUUGAUUAUUUUCAUGGUUGAUUAAGAACACAUAUGUAAAGAUUUGAUGUUAUAUGUAAUAUGUGUUGUGCAUUUUAAAGGUUCUGUGGUUAAGUGAAACUUUAUUGAUUUUUCACACAAGCAAACAAACAAAUACUUAUGUUUAUAUUGAUUCAAAUUAUAUGUGUUUUGCAUUUUCAAGGCUGAUCAUUCUCAGAAGAAUCAGGCUGUUGAUAUGCCUUUGGUUCAGAAAGCUGAGCAAUUGCCUGCUGAUCAUCUUCCUUUUGCUAGGAGGUAUGUAUUUAUGUAUAUUGUUGGUCAUGGGUAUUUUGUUUUUUUUUUCUUUUUUGUAGGAUAAGUUAGAUGAUUUAGUUCAUAAAGAAAUUGUUUUUAUUGAUGGGUUUUUUUGUUUUGAUUGUUUUCUGUUCUGUUAGUUAUCAACUGGAUGCCUUGGAAAUGGCAAAGGGACAGAAUACCAUUGUUUACUUGGAAACUGGAUCCGGCAAAACCCUGAUUGCUAUCAUGCUUCUGCGCAGCUAUGCUCACCUUUUGCGCAAGCCCUCGACUUUUCUUGCUGUUUUUCUCGUCCCCACUGUGGUGCUGGUUUCCCAAGUGAGUCAAAAUAGUGGACUUGUGAUUUGUUUGAAUUUGAUUUGCAGGGAAUUAAUUUAAUUAAUGUUUUUAUUAAAUUUUGAAUAGCAAGCUGAGGUUGUGCAAAUGCACACCGACUUGAAAGUUGGAAGGUAUUGGGGAGAAAUGGGAGUGGAUUUUUGGAAUGCUGCUGACUGGAAGAAGCAGCAGGAUGAAUUUGAGGUGAGCUUAAUUUGUAGUAGAGGAAAUUUCUUUUGGAUUCUUGCUUGGUUUAAAAAGUGGUACAGUAUGAGUCAUUAUUGUCUAAUAAUAAGUUUGGUCUAUUUACAUAUUACUAAUCAACAGUGAACAUACUCAAAGAGAAUACCAAAUUAUAAAUUAGAUAUGACAGAAAGGUUGGUAAAAUAAAUUCAAUUAGGAAUCAAGGAAUCCCUAUUACCAUUUAAUCUUGGCAGAACUGUAGUGUGUCGUGUGUAUGCUAAAACACAUAAAUCAGCUCUUCUAUCUGGUUUACUGAAUUUUUUUUGCUCUUAACUUUAUGGCCCAAAUAUGCCUCUUGUUUGUCUUUCAGGUGCUUGUGAUGACACCACAAAUAUUGCUUAAUGCCUUGAGGCACAGUUUUAUAAAGCUUGAGACAAUAAGGAUCCUAAUAUUUGAUGAGUGCCAUCAUGCUAGAAGGAGACACCCUUAUGCUUGCAUAAUGACGGUAAGUUAAUCUAUGCAGUACUGUCGAUUAAUUUUACUGUAAUACAUUAGAGACCAGUUGACGGAGUUGUUCAUAUAAACAGUAGAUUUUUCUAUCAAUGGUUACCUAUGCAGACUUGUCUCUCACUUAUGCGGUCUAUACCUAAAAACUAUGCUAAUUUUGAGUCCGCUAUAACUUUGAAUCAACUGAAAUUUAUCAUUUGGUCAAUGUGAUAGCCUAGACUUGCCUACAUAUAUUUACUGGAAAUAUAUAAUGAUCCAACUAUAUGGUUGCAUUGUGUAGUAGAAAUUCCCUGUAUCUUGUUUGAUAUGUAUAUCUGAAUUGUAUGUACCCUUGAUAUCUCAAUGAUGCAUCACAGGAAUUUUAUCACCAUCACGUGAAAGCUAAUGACUUGCAACUUCCUAGGAUAUUGGGGUUGACCGCUUCCCUUAUCAACAAUAAAGGUAAGCAAGCAUUGUCUUAUAUAUGUAUAUAUUGAUAUUCUUGAAGAUAAAUUAAUUGACUUUUAUUAAUCCUGGAUAGAUCUACGGACAAAAUACUUUAUCUCAAUUUUUUAUAUUUUUACCUCCUUUUUUUAAAUUAGGUUCAAGUGACAGAAUAAGGUGCUGGAAUGAUAUCCGGGAACUUGAAAACCUAAUGAAUUCAAAGGUCAAAUAUAUUUAUUAUUUUUCUGCCUUCUGUUUUGUGUUUGGUCAAUCUUUCUUUGUGUGUUAGGACCUUAAUGAAUGAUGGGUAGCGAUUGGAUAUAAUAGUGAUGCAUAAGGCAUCAUGUACUUGAACCUUUUGUUACUCUUUCGAAGACAGAUGUUUUGAGUUUUUGUAUUCGUUUAAAUUUGUAGCCUUAUGGUAUUUUUUUUGACAAUUAGCCUUAUGGUAUUAAGUGUGUUCUAAUUUUCAAUUUCUGGCCUUAUGGAAUUAAGUUUCUUCAUUCACAUGCAUCGACCAAGAGAUAUAAGUAUGUUUUCCUUCCAAUAUAGGUAUUCACUUGCAGUAGUGAGUCUGCGAUAGCAGAGUACGUUGAAAUGUCAACUCCGAAGCUUAAGACAUAUGGACAUGUGGCUUUUCCAUGCUCGUUAUUCAGCAAAAUAUCUAUUCAGUUAAAGAGUUUGCACGAAAAGGUACUGCUAAAUGUCCUAAGUACUGUAUAAUUAGAUACUUUGUUAUAAUUAUAAUUUUAUUAUUGUAAUAAUGCUAAUAAUGAUAACUAUUUAUUAUAAUUAUUAUUAUUAUUACUAUCAUAUCUAGUUUAAUACUAAAAUAAUAAUUACUAUUAUAAUAUUCACUUCAUGAGAUUUGACUUGCGUUAUAUUUCUACCAGUUUAUAUGUGUUAUUGAAAAUGCAAACAUGGAGGAUUCUCAAAAGGAAAAUACAAGGCAAAGAUUAUCUAAACUAUGUUCAACAUUUUCCUUCUGUUUGAGUGAACUUGGACUUUGGCUAGCACUAAAGGUAUUUGGCUGCACUUUCUUACUUUAAAGUUGUAGUGUUGAUGUAUUAAGCAGCAACUUCGUCGUUGUACUAGGCGGCAGAUUCUUUAUCAUCUCAAGGAAGUGAGAUGCUUAUAUGGCAACAACUGGAUAAGUCUGGUGAGAGGAUUAUAACAGAUUUUAGCUCGGAUGUAUUUAAAGUUCUAUCUGGCUAUAUUCCUUCUGGUAUGCUUGCUCCUAGCACAAGAACUAAGCUAUUGGAAUCUAGACUAUAUUUGAGCCCUGUCUGUGGUUGCUCCUAAUUGUUUCCCUUUAUCUUUUAUUUAUUAGAUCCUAACUGGUCUAUAAGUGAUGAUAUGCAAGCAAAUGUUGGGAAUGGUUAUCUGUCAACGAAAGUUAUCUGCCUCUUUGAUUCUCUUCUUCAACGCAGGUUUGGUUGAAAUGCUUAGCUGUUCCUUGUUUGAUUUAUAAAAGUUUCUUCUUUGGAAUUAAUUUUUUUUUAAAUAUAAUUUAUGUUGUGCUAAAAUAAUACCUUUUUAACAAUCUAGAUUAAACAAAAUCUUAAUCAGUGUUCCUUGAGUAUAAAAAUCAUGGUGUUACAUGAUGCUGUGCUUAUAAGCCAACACAAUUUUAAAUCAUGCUUUCUUACACAUCUUAGUAUUUUUAACGCUAGAAUCAGUAUUAUAUCUUGGUGGAGUGUUAUUAGUCUUAGAAGAAUAACUUGCUAACACUACAGGAAUUCAUAAAAGGUGGUUCUUCAACAUGAUCGGUUUCUUUUAAAAAAAUUGGUUGGGUUUAUUUUAUAACUUAUAUGCCUCUGUUUUUCAAAUGUAAGUCGUAUUGGACGGUCCUAUUUUCCAGUGGAAAGUGGUAUGAGUUUUUAUGUGUGCAUCCAGUUUUUAUAUUUAUCACUGUAUCACAGUUUUACUUGAUAGAUUUCCUGCAUCUUUAUCCACACAGGGGCUUAAUAGAUCUUAGAUGCAUAGUCUUUGUAGAAAGGGUUAUAACGGCCAUUGCACUUUGCCGCCUAUUGAAUGUUGUGCUUCCUAGCCUAAGUGGAUGGAGAACAGAAUAUUUGGCAGGCAGCAAUACUCGUCUUCAGUUACAGAGUAGGAAGGCCCAAAACAUAAUUGUUGAAGAAUUUCGCAAGGGCAAGGUAUCUAUUAUGUGCAAUGUACACUCUUUUGUAAAAUAUAUAUUUUUAGUUAAUUGUUUUUAUGUUCACCAAUGAUAUGUGCAGGUGAACAUAAUUGUUGCAACAUCAAUUCUUGAAGAAGGGUUGGAUGUACAGAGCUGCAAUCUGGUGGUACGAUUUGACCCGCCAUCUACAGUACGCAGUUUUAUUCAGUCUCGAGGUCGGGCUAGGAUGCACAACUCAGAAUUUUUGAUACUGGUAAAAAGGUGAGGCUCCUUUUGUUUUCAUUUUAUCUAUAAUAUCAUAAUAUGUGUUAGAGGUGACAAGUUAGUGAACUUUUCUAUAUAUAAAUUGGGGGUUGCUCUCAUUGUUAUUUUCUUUGAAUGUAGUGGCGACAAUUCUUCUAUCACCAGAGUAGACAACUACCUUUCUAGUGGCCAGGUAAUGAGGCAGGAAUCAUUGAGGCAUGCUGCACUGCCUUGCCAACCACUUGAUACUGAAAUCUACAAUGAAGUGUUCUACCGGGUUGACUCAACAGGAGCUAUUGUGACACUGAGCUCUAGCGUGUCUCUUAUUUACUUCUAUUGCUCUCGCCUACCCUCCGACGGGUUUGUCUUGAAUAGUUAAUUCAUAUUCACCUAGUAGUAUUAUUUGUUUUCCCAUUUGAUAUCUUUUUGUACGAUGUAGGUACUUUAAGCCCCUUCCGAGAUGUAAUAUUGACAAGGAGCUGCAGAAAUGCACCUUAUAUUUUCCCAAAAGUUGUCCACUGCCUAGUAUCACUGUUCAUGGAAAUUUCAAAACACUGAAACAACUUGCGUGCCUAGAAGCAUGCAAAAAGUUGCAUAUGUUGGGAGCAUUAACGGACAAUCUUGUACCAGAUAUGGUGGAAGAAGAAGAUGCUGAAGAACUGGGUAAACAAAAUUUCCUUUUCAUUGAGAUUGUAUUUACCAUUUUGGUUCCAUAUGUUAUCUUAUUAUUGGUCUAAUAUUGAACUGUGUAGGUCAUCUGAAUUACGUUGAUGAACAUGAUAUCUAUGUUCCAGCAGAACUUGUUGGUCAAGGUCUUAACAGUGGUGCAAAGAGAUACUACUGUUAUCUGCUAGAGUUGGAAAGAAAUUUUACCUAUGAUAUUGAAAUUGAUAAUCUGAUGCUUGCUGCUCGUAAUGAGCUUAAAUUUGAUGAAGGCAACAACUUAGCCUUUGAACUGGAAGUUGAAAGGGGCAUUGUAAUAGUUCGCAUCAAAUAUGCUACUCCUAUAAGUCUCACUUCUGAAGAGGUAAUGUAUCUUAUAUUAUUGGUUCAACUACUCAUAAUGAUGACAAGUCAUCUGUUUGUUGACCGUCAACUGUUUUGUUGCUAGGUUCUCAAGUGCAAGAAGUUCCAAGUAAAUAUAUUAAGUGUUCUCCAUAAUAAAAAUUAUAAUAAAUUGAAGGAGAGACUUGAUGUUAUUCACCCACCGGAAGACCUUGAUGUUUAUGACUAUCUCUUACUCCCAACUACUGGCUCGCAGCAGUCACUGUAUAUUGACUGGAGAUCUGUUGAUUCUGUUCUGUUUAGAAGUGAAAAUAUCAUCCAUGAUCAUGCAAGGUGCCCUUUGCCUAAAGACCAAUAUAAUAUUGUGUACACAAGAAGCGGUCUGGUCUGUCGGUGUGUUGUAGAGAAUUCUUUAGUCUGCACACCUCACAAUGGUUAUAUAUACUGCAUUCUGGGCACAUUAUAUGGUGUGAAUGGAAGUUCAGUGUUUAACUUAAGAGACGGAGAAUCUUCAACUUACAAAGACUACUAUGAACAAAGGUCGGUCAAGUCUUUGCGUAUCAGCAUUUAAUUUGAGACUUUAUACCAGUAUAGAGUAAUUCAUUUCUUUUGUCAUGACAAAAACAGGCAUGGUAUCAACUUGCAAUUUGAGCGGGAACAUUUUCUUAAGGGAAGACAUAUUUUUACGGUACAGAAUCACCUUCACAAGUAUACAAAGCAAAAGGAACCAGGUAAGAGUUUAAAAGUUAUUACUAUUUAUUCUUGUCCACAAUGUUAACUGAUAAGUUUGUGUGAAAAUCCUGAACAGUAUCCAAUGAAACCGACAUUUAGACUUAAUGUUGGCCUGUUCAUAUAUAAAUUUUCAAUCUGUUACAGAGACCUAAUAGCAACCGAUAUCAUAUAAAUGAAGCAUGCAAUGUAUAAGUAUCAUCUUGCUUGCACCCAUUGUCGUUAUACUUGGCUGAUUUGGGCCUCUAUACAACUGCCAUUUUUAGUGGUGAUCACUAUUAAAUUACCCUUUAUUCUCACCCGUCCUUUUUUUGUUAUCUAAAAUUAAAAAGAAGAACCAAUGCAAUAAUAAAUGCACCAGAAAAAUAUACAGUAACAUCAAACAUAUAUCUUUGAGAUCGUCUUACUGCCAGCAGUAAUAUGCAAGUAAUAAAUGUCACUAAAAGUACUACAUUUGUAGGAUCUAUGUGACCGUGUAAUUUUCUUAGUGGUGCCUUUACAAAUCCAAAUUAGUAGCUCCAAUAAUUAUAGUUAUUAUAUUAAACAUGAUACUUUUUUCGUGCUGAUUGUUUUUCUUUCCAACUGUAGAACAAAGCACUGCGUAUGUGGAAUUGCCUCCUGAACUUUGUUCAAUAAUCAUGUCACCUAUAUCUGUUGGCACCUGUUAUUCCUAUUCAUUUGCCUCAGCAAUUAUGCAUCGAAUAGAGUCUUUGCUCAUUGCUAGCAGCUUAAAAAAGAUGCACGCAGAUUAUUGUAUUCAAAAUGCUAUUGCAACACCUAAGAUUCCAACUAUGAAGGUAAUUAUAAUGCUGUCUCAUUGUCUAAAGAACCAUGUAACUUCUAUUUCGAUAAGAUUAUACAAGUGUAUCUAUUGCUUGGUGGGUUUUAAUUAGUUGGUUAAACGACAAUGUUCUAUCCUUAAUUUUUUGGAUGCUUUAUAAAUUGUUAAAGUUUUAUUAAUGUGCAGAAAAACCAUUGAAUGUAAAUCUAGGUAGAUUUUGAUGAAUAUAAAAUGCAUGAGCCUUUGAAUUCCAGUUUUAUAUAGUGCCCAAGUGAUCUUUGUGGUGCAAAAUAACUGUAAAAGGAUAUGGUUUGCGGAAUAAACAGAAAACUGGAGACUUAUUGGAUUUUACAUUGUAAAAUAGGAUUGCAAAUAAUUUUUAAACUGAAUGGGCAGCAUUUCCAUUUUAUGUUAUUUCAUAUGAUCAUGAACUAUCACGCAGAAGCAACUUUUGAACUAUUAGUUAUAAAUUAUCCAAAUUUAUAGUUUUUACUCUUGAAUGUCAGGUGUUGGAAGCUAUUACUACUAAGAAAUGCCAGGAGAAAUUUAAUCUAGAGUCACUGGAGACUCUUGGGGACUCAUUUCUGAAAUACGCUGCUUGUCAGCAGGUGUUUAAAAUGCACCAAGAUAAACAUGAAGGCAUUCUUAGUAUAAAAAAGAAUAAAAUUAUAUCUAAUGCUAACCUAUGCAAGCUAGGCUGCAGGCGUAAACUUCAGGUACACUUCUUAAACCCUAAAAGCUAAAGAUAGUACAUAAUGUUUUUCCCCUCUAUUAAAAAAUACAUUUAUAUAUGUUUGAUUGGGGAACUACUGAAUUUGCUUAUCAUCAGUAUAUUUUCAUCUAAGAGCCUUAUAUAGAAUUCAACUGGCUGAGUGCAAGAACUUCUUAUUGGUAUGUGUCCAACAUCUGAACUAAUUGAAACUGCAUAUACGUACAAUGGCACAGGUCUUUGAUGCCUGCACUCGUACUUUAUUUAAUCCCCACUGAAGUUCAUGGUACACUGAAAUAUGAAGUGCUUCUUGUUUUUUCUUUCGCUAGUCUGUUGAAUGAAUUUCAAAAUUAACAUCAGCCUAAGACCCUCCAAAGCUCCCAUGUUUUAUAUCUCCCUCUUGGUACACAUGGGGUAAUAUCACCCAAUGGGACAAAUAUUUCAAUAGUGCCACUUACUUUUCUCAGUCAGGAUGGUACAAGGCAACUGGUUUGCAUUAUUACGAAUAAGUGAUUCGUGUUCUGUUACUGAAUACUAUUGCUUUGCUUCCAUAUAUUAUCCCAUUUUCUCACAUUAAAAUUAUACUAUUGUUUUAUCUGUACCAUGUAACUCAAUGCUAAUGUAUCAGGGUUUAAUACGUAAUGAACCCUUUGAUCCCAAGAUGUGGAUCAUUCCUGGUGAUCAGAUGGAGGCUUUUCAUGAAGUUCAACUAUCUACUACUACAAAAGUAUUCACUAAAGGAGUACGAAAAACAAAAGGUAAAGUUGUAGCUGAUGCAGUUGAGGCAUUGAUUGGCGUGUUCCUCAGCAGUGACGGUGAAACUGCGGCUUUGUCAAUGAUGAAUUGGCUUGGUAUUGAGGUUGAUUUUUUUAACAUACCAUAUAAGAGGAGCUUUUCAGCACAUCCAGAUGAGCUAAUUAACAUUAGUUAUUUCGAGUCUAUACAUAAUUACUCAUUUACUGAUGCUUCACUACUUGUUGAAGCAUUAACACAUGGUUCUUUCAUGCUACCCCAAGUUCCCCAGUGUUACCAGGUACAAAUUGUUUUCAUAAUCUUGUUCAUGUUUCCGGUUUAAUUAUGUUUCACUUAUAUUAAAUAGGGAUCAAGGCACAUAUAUGUUUUUGCAAUUGAAAGUGUUGCUUAGUAUUUUAGCAAGUGAACUCAUAUUUAAAUCUAAAAUUUAUAAUUAUAUAUUUAUAUUUUGCAUCCACAGCGUCUUGAGUUUCUUGGAGAUUCCGUACUGGAUUAUAUCAUAACAAUCCAUCUGUACAACAAAUAUCCGAAAAUGUCACCUGGAUUGCUAACUGAUCUGAGAUCAGCUUCUGUUAACAAUGAUUGUUAUUCUUUAUCUGCGGUUAAGGUUGGAUUGCAGAAACACAUUCUCCAUGCCUCGCAAAAACUUCACCGGCAAAUAGAGUCCUCUGUUCAUAAUUUAGAUCCAUUGUCAGUGGAAUCAACAUUUGGAUGGGAGUCUGAGAACUCUCUUCCUAAGGUUAGUGUUUCAAGCUUGACGUGAUUAUUGUAUUCUUUAGAUUUCCCUUCACAGUAUGUUUUGUGAAUGAAAACCUAUUGAGAUACUGAUUUUGGCACUCAUUCAAUUAUGUUGUGCAUGGGAUACAGGUUCUUGGAGAUGUAAUAGAAUCUCUAGCAGGAGCAAUCUUAGUUGAUUCAGGUUACCGAAAGGAUAUUGUAUUCGACAGCAUACGACCGCUUUUGGAACCCUUGGUAUCUCCCGACACCCUUAAGCUUCAACCAGUGAGAGAAUUGCAUCAGUUGUGCCAAAAGGAGAACUACGUGCUGAAAAAGUCUGUUGUGUCAUGUGAAAAGGGUGUGGCCGCUGUUACAGUCGAAGUUGAAGCCAAUGGCAUCAUACACAGAGAGUCAUGCACUGCUGCUAAUAAAGCAGAAGCCAAGAAACUUGCUUCCAAAGCUGUUUUGAAGUCGUUAAAAGAGAGCAUGUCGGCUGAACCUCACCCUACUCCUCCUCUGUCGCUUCCCAAGAGUAAAAAGAGAAAGGACGAAAACUGACAAAGCCAUGGUAAUUCAGUAAACUUCAGUACUGCCAAUUGCUUAUAUGCUGAACUUGAGUACAGCUAUCUUAUUAAAAGGAUGACAAUACUGAUGUAGUGUUUAUAUUAUGUUCAACAAUUGUAGCAAGUUUUUAGGAUGGAAAUUGUGGAUCGAUGACAGUCUUAUUAGGGGACGUAAACUGUAUAUAUGAUUUUAGAAAAUUCAUAAAGAAUUAUAAGAGUUAUUGUUGUAGUAGUAGUCAAUAUAUCCAACUAGAUCAUUGCAAUGCCGUUAAUUAAAGAAUUAAACUGGAAUGGCUUAAAUGUGACUGUAAAUUACAGAAAUGAUGCAUGGCAGGAGAAUAGACAUGUGACUUUUGUGUUCUGCACAUAACAUUGCAAGUGAAAGUAUGGUUUACUAAUGCAAUUAAUGAAAUAGAUUUGUGAUUCUCUGGGGUAUAGUUGUUGAGGAUAGGCUAAGAUGGUGUUUGCAAUAAUAUACGUAAAUAUUCUACCAAAACAUCUGAGUUACUACUUACUGGAAGCAGUAGUUUUUGCCUUUUUCAUUUGUUAAUGUUCCCUACCACAUGUACGUCGAAUCUUCUACACUUCUUGUUAAGACUCAAGAGCAAGUCAAACGAUUUUUCAAUGAGCUUCCAAGCUCAUACAGGGGAGUGUUAUUUAAGACGGUGUUAAACCAAUGAUAUUCUAGAGAUCACUGUUCCUCUAUUUUUGUUUUUGGAUAAUAAGUAUUCAGUAGUCAUCUCUCUCCAUAGUCUCCGUACCACGUACGUCAUUAUUUCACCUUUCUCAGUGACUGUUUUUUUUAGAGAAUUGCACUAACGAGAUACACCGGUAAUCCGAGGAGUUUUAUUCAUUCAAAAGUUUAUUAUCUAACCGAAAAACAUGAAAAUGUCUCUGGAAGUUUAAAUUAUAAAAUUUAAUGUUCGAAAAAAAAAUCCCAACUUGCAAGACCGCGCUAAAACAAAUACAAUUCAUUAAUAAAAAGAAAAUAAUAAUAAUAAAUUUAACUAUUAAAAUUAGUAUAGAUUCUCAAAAUAAGAUAAAUCCAAAUUAAUUUAUCAAAAAAAGAAGAUAAAUAGAAAAAAAAUAGAAAAAAUAUAUCUAACCAAAGGGAGAUCCUUUGGCUAGAUAUAUAACAAGCUAAUAAAUACUAAGAAUAUAAUUACUAAUAUAAGUAUUAAAAUAUAAAUGUUGAAGUAUAAAACAUCUUCAAAAUAAUAUCAAAAAAUUUAAGAAAUAGAUUAAAUAUGAUAAAUACUUUCAGGUGACUAGUCUAAUUAUAUUAUUAAUUAGAUUUGGACAUACUUUUUCCGGUGUUAUUCUCAAAUAUCAUUAUUUGACAAUAAAAGAUCUGUAUCGUCAUUUUGUGAAAAAAUGAUUCAACUGUCAUUUUAAAACGUAAUUUUUUGUUGUGUUUAUAAAAAUGCAACUUCAUACCGUGUUUUAAAACAACAAUUGAGGUCAAUUUUUCAAGAAAUGACAUUGAGGUCAUUUAUUUAUAAUUGUGAUUUUUAAAUUUUUUUCACAGUUUUCUAUUUAAAAUAUAGAUAAUCAAAAAGUUUUACAUCAUAUAUUAUCACCAUGUUAUCUCUAAUUUAUCAUUGCAUGAUAAUACUUGCAAGGUGAUAAAUUUUUCAUGGAAUAUCAUUUUUGCAGUAUUACCAAAGGUUUGGAUCCGAGACCGAGAGGCUCCAUCCAUAUUGGUUGCAAUGUCAUUUUCCAACUUAUAUGUACAAACAUUGUUAAAACAGAAGCCGCUAGAUUUGAUUCACCCCAUUAUUUUAAUCGGAGAUAUUAGACCCGGAAUUUAUAAUUAAAUAUUUGAUUUUGGUAUUUUCUGGUGCUGUCUUAAUCUUUACAAAUACUUUAUUUGGUGGUAGAUGAAGCAAGUAAUGCCUCGUUAGCUAGACCUGAGUACCAAAUAGGUACAUUCGGGAAUCAAUCUUAUCUCGGGGUUUUUUAUACUAUAUUUAAUCCUGCUUACUUUCAAUAUUAUUAUAUUAUGUAUUUCAAUUUUUUAUAUAACAUUUUUUAAGAAUACAUUCCAUUAGUUUCACAAAGAAAAAAAAAAGAAGAAAAAUACAUUCCAUUCAUAUCAUGUGUGAUCUCCAAUCUUAAUUAUAUUUUGUUUUCUGGUGAUAUAUGCAAAAUAUAAAAUUCGGAUGAAGAGAGAAUACGAUUCCUUUCGUAACAAAGAAAUAAUCGACUAGUGAGUUUAAUAUAAGCGAUAGUUGAGCCCUCAAUAAAUUCAUAGAUGAGACACAAUUUAUAUCUAAAGAAAAAGCUGGUAAUGAUAUUAUUAAGAACAAAGUGGCAGAGUAGAAAGAAGAUAAUCUCAAAUCUUAGAUUCGAUUAAUAUAAAUUAUAAACUUUUAAUUCACAUAAAAUAGUAUAUACUGAUGGUGAUAAUAAUAAAUAUAAUAGUCGAGAUGCCGGACAGUUUCACAUGGACAGCCCGAGGUGCACCGGGCCUGAUGCGUGCUGGAACAUAAAUUAGUAUUUACAUGCUCCUCUAAACUUGUGUGCGUCACUCACACAAUUUAGCUGUUAAACCGAACACAUUUAACAUAUGUAGCAGUAACUCUCCAAAUGCAAAAUAUAAUAAGUCUAUGAUGGUGUAACGACAAGAAGGGAAAUAAAUAAUCAGAUAUUAAUAUAAAAAAUUUAUCAAAGAAUCGAUCGAUCGAAUCGGAGAUUUUUAUACCUUGUGUACUAUAAUUUGUACGCACAAUUUAUAAGUGGACAGAGAAUCUAAGAAGCUGUGUAAAGGAGAGUAUGAUCAACUCAUGACACUGCUGUACAAGUUGCCAUUCAUAUCCAUCUGCAGUUAAAAACUUCAUUUUUACACACUUUUCUGCUUCCUUAUCCACCUACAUAUUCACCUACUAAUCAUACUUCUCUUCUCUCUCUGUAUAUCUAUAUCUACUUCCCUUGACAAUUAUAGAAACCCCACCUCACCCCUCUCUCUCUCUCUCCCUCUCUCCCAGCCAAGAAACACAAAUCUUGAAAAUAUCAGUUUCCAAAUCUGGGAUUUGCAGUUUACGCAAACCCCGUUAAUAAUUCUGUCCCAGUCCUCAUUAUAUGGGAUCCCUUUGUUCAAAACAUACCAGUAUUCACAAUGUCUCAAACUAGCUUUUAUUCCCCCAAAUCACCUCCCACUACAAGCGUUGGUUGCUGCUCAUCUCUCUCAGCCCAGCUGAAGCUUUACCAAGCUUUCAUCUUUUCUGUGCCAAUCUUCUUCACUUUCAUCCUUCUCUUCUUCUUCUAUUUGUUCUAUCUCCGCCGCCGCAGAGCUGACUGGUCUUCGCUCAGGAUGAGGACUGCUAGGCUGGCCACCAUUCAAAAUAAUAUAUCCACUGUAAUUAGUGUUUCUUGUUUGAUUAUGACUUGUUGAUUUCUUUUUGGAAAUUUGUGAUAAUUUGUUGUUUUUGAUGGACAGUGUGAAAUGGGGUUGAAGAAAGAAGUGAGGGAGAUGCUGCCCAUUAUUGUAUUUAAAGAAAGUUUUUCUGUCAAAGAUACACAGUGAGUUGGUUUCCUUGGAUUUAUGUAUUUAUUUCUUGCUCCAUUAUUUAUUCUAGUAUAGAUUUUAGACAUUGUUUUGUGAGUAAUGCUACGUAUUCCAAAAAAAUUUUCACGAUCGACGAUUCGACGUGGCAAACAAAUGGCUAAUUUUAAUUGGGUGGUAUGUGCAUACAGGGGAUCCCAUUAUUACUAGUAUGACAACAAUAUGAAUGUUUAUAUGUAUCUUAUGUAGUUAUAUGUGACAACAAUAAUCUGUCUUCAGUCUGGCAUCUUAGCCUAGUCAGAUAAUCGAUAUAACUAUAAUCCUAAGUCGAGGUAUUUAUGUGAGUUACAGACUAACAGGGUAAGAGCCCCUCUUUUAAUCUUGAUAACCCUUUAAAGAUAAAACGGUAAUCUUCAUUUCUUUUAGAUAUGUUUCAGCUAAAAGUUGUGUGCUUAAUGUAGCUAGAAUCGUUUAAAGCAGUACAAUAAUCGCUUGAAAGCUGUAAUAAUAUCUGAGGGAGGACUUCCUUUUACUUGGAAUCUCAUUACGUCACUUGAACUAUUCAAAUUUAGUUGUAUAUAUGUUGUACUAGAUAGUGACGAGAUGAAUUUUUUGCAUGUUGUGCCCAACUAUUAUGUUUAUGGAAUAACUGAUAGUGUAUUUGCUCUCAAGGAUAUGCACGAAUGGUUAAAGAAUAUUGAUAUGGGUUCUAGCGUGUUUAAAAUUUAAACACAUUUUAAUAGGGAGUUCUGUUACUUAAACAGCAGUAAUUAGAUUAUGUUCUUGUGGUAACAAGAUUAAUUAGAAGGAACACUCUAAAUGUUAGUUCUUGACUUGCUCCGUCCAGACAUCCACGUACAUGAUUUUCUUACUAAAUUGCUGACAUGUUAAUUUACACACCUAGCACUUUUACACGCGCAUGCAAAAAUAUUGUUCAUUGAAGAGAAUACAUGAAUUUUAGCCACGUGCAAUUUCUUGUUGAUUUGAUUUUGUUUUAAUUAGCUGAUGAAAUACUCUUAACACUUUAAUAUCUCAUUUUUGGGUGUAGAUGCUCAGUUUGCCUUGGUGAUUACCAAGCUGAGGAUAAACUUCAGCAGAUACCUGUAUGUGGCCAUACAUUUCACAUGGAAUGCAUUGAUCUCUGGCUUGCCACCCACACCACCUGCCCUCUUUGCCGCCUGUCUUUAUUAGCUUCCAGGGCAUCAGAAAAACCAACAGAUAACCAAUCAAAUGAAACGGAUCAAAGUCCUGAAUCUCCUGAUGUGGAAAAUCACGAUGAAAACUCUCCUCCGAGCAGUUCUCAGCUUUCGGGAGAACCACAAGUCAAUGAACAGAUAUUUAAUAUAGUUCAGCAAACUAAUGAAAACUUCCAAAGUCCUGAAUCUGCUGAUGUAGAAAAUCAUGAUGAAGUGUCUCCUCAGUGCAGUUCACAGCCUUCUGAAGAUCCUCAACCCACGAACAAAUAUCAAACAUAGUUCGCCAGGAGGAAUCAGAUCUGGAACUAGCAGUUGAAUGCAAGAAGUAGCUUCUUGUCAAUGGUUCUAAUCCAGAACGGCCUACUUAUUGCUAGGCCUGCGAAGGCAGAGCAAAGUCUAAUUGAUCUUUCAGUCUGAUGGAGCAAAUUCAGGUCCGGAAAGAGCAUGAAAUUAGCUUUGUGAAGCGGCUCUCUUCAUGCUGACAGUUGUGCAUGGCUUGUAAAAAGUGUGAGUGUAGAACUAUUAAACCAUUAAGUUUUGUUUGAGAAGUACAACAUUGAUAAUAUCAAAUAAAUUUCAUGAAAUUUGAUGCCUUCCUAGUAAUUUUUGCCUGUUGUGCUUUAUUAUAAAGUUUAAGGUCCAGGACUGCUGAUUCUCAAUCUUACACCUGUUGACCAUAGGCCAGUUUGUUUUAGCUUAUUGUUUCUUAUAUAUGAACUGUUAAACCUGGAGGCUUGGAGGAUAGUUUGGCAGUUUGGUCAUCACUAUUACUCCUUUUUACGGAGAAAGCAAACAACUAUAGGAACCUGCAACAGAAAUUCAAAUAUUGAUUUAUGCAUUUCACAAGUACCAUUCAAUUAAGUAGCAAAAAGGCCCUUAAGCUAAUGUAAUAUUAUAAUAGGAAAACAGAAACAAACCCUGUUACCCCUUGACCCUUGUGCCUUUUAAUCAAGGUUAAAGGAAAACAUAAUCAGGGCCGGCUCAAGACACUUUGAGGCCUUAGGCGAAUAAAAAAAAUGAGGCCUAAUUUUUUUUCAAAAAACUAAUAUUAUAUUAAUAAUAUAAAUACAAAAUUUUACAGUAUUUAAAUAUUAUAAACAUAAAAUCACCCUAAACACACUACUAUAUAUAAACUAGCAUAAUAGCCCGUGCAAGGCACGGGGCGCUAGUUUGAAAUGUUUGUAUGUUACGGUAGACGAAAUAUUGUUUCUUCCAUUUUUUUGUAAUUAUGCAGAAGGUUUGUGAAAUCCCUCUGGCAUCCAAAUUUUUUUGAAAACCGUAAGGGUCAAUCAUCAUUAUGACUGUCUAAAUGUUAUGUAAUAACGAAUGACAUACAAAGUAUGCUCACAAGAAAAUAGGACCUCUGUAAAAACUAUUAUGUUAUAGCAACAUUAUGUCACCUGUUUAUUUGAGGAAUAGAUUUUUUACACUAUUUAUGGACCAACAUGCUAUUAUCCUGAAUUUCAUUUAUUCCUUUCAGAGUGUUAACAUAAUAACAACAAUAAUAACAGCAAGUUGAUUAAUACUUGACUGAUACAUGUGUCCCAAGCGUCUCUGAUUUAAAUAAUAUUUGAGCUGAGUCUGUGAGGAGUGCUCUCCUUAAGAUGAAGUGUGAGCACAUUUCUUGAACAGAACUGGUGCCUCUGAUUUAAAUAAUUUCCGAGCUGAGACUGUGGGGAUUCAAUGGGUUUUGCUCAAAAUAUUGAGAAUUCCAGACCUUCCUUUUCUACCUACUUUACACACAAUUUGUUUCAGAUAAUUUGUGAUUUUGAGUUAUGGAGUCUUGUCGAGGUGGAGGUUUGUAUGUGCCGAGACAACCAGAACAACAGAUAUUUUCCUGAAUAUACAUCAAGGUAUAAACAUGUCAUAUUGUAUCCAAAACAGUUCUAGGUUUAUGCAUAACUCAGGCCUUCAAAUGCAGAUUAAAUCUGUAAAUAAAUCAAAAAUCAUUUUCUUCUCAAUAAGUGUGACACAUAGCUGGUAUGUGAAUGUAUGCUACUAUUCAACCUACUAUGAUUUGUUUAUGAUAUUUAUUUAGUUUUGAGACCUUAAGUAGCAUUAUGGAUCAUAUUCAACUACUUUCACUCACAUUUUCGUUUUCUUUUUCUAAUAUUUUCUUGUCCUUUUAAGGUAUUUAAAAUUGGGAGAUUAAGGUAUAAUUUAGUAUAUAUAUAUUUAUUACGUCCCUCACAUUUUUUUCUAAUUUUUUCCAAUUAUUUGACACAUAUUUUGACGUGUAUAUAAAAUAUAAUUUCAUUAAUUAUUAUUUUUUAGAAAAAUCUUUUCGUAUAAAUGUUUAAAUAUUAAAUUUUCAUUCAAAAAUUCUUUUCUAAUAAUAACUUAUAUAAAGAUAUAAUUUAUUUUAGAAAUAUCUUAAAAUACUUGUGAAAUAAUAUUAUGAAAUUGUAUCAUCAAAGAAAACAUGUACCUUCUCCUUUCCAGAUUGAAGCAGAUGUUUAAGUUGAUCCCAUUAAAAAUGUUUUUGUAUUCUUCGGCCAUGGAUGAACAGUUGUUAUCCCAGCAUUCAGUGCGGAGAUCGGAAAUAAUAUCUGCAAUGAAAAAAAAUUAUAUAUAUCACGUAACAAAUAAGAUGAUAUUGCAAAUUUUACUACACAGUGGUACUAAUAAAGCACCUACGCUGUAAAGGGAUGAAGUNAGACACCUUUCUAUGACUAUUUUCACUUCCCUACAGUAUACAAGCCUACCAUAAAACAAUGAAAUUUAAUUUUGAUAACAUCCUAAUCUCUGACAUAUAACAGAAAUUUAUAAGUCACUUUGUAAAUCCAAAAAUAAUGAGAAACAGUUGCUUCUGUUCAUUAUUCAGCCCAAGUUAAAGUGGCCAAAACAACAAUAAUGCAACUCAAUAAAACCAAACAUUCAAAGUUCAGGUAAAACUAAUCUGAAGGUUUGCUGUCUUGCUUUUGUAUCACAAGCCCAAUAGUGGACACUACGUCGGCCAUUAAAAACCCAAAUAAUUAGAUCAAUCCCAAACCCAUCUGCUUCAGAAAUGAAGGGAAGUGGAAGAGAAGUGUCUGGGGUAGGGGUUGUAAGUAAUGAAUGCCUUAUAUCCAAAGUAUCAGAAUACAUGCAUUAGCACAAUUUUGCAAACACAACACUCACCUAUUACGGUGUAAGAAAUAUAAGACCGGUGAUUAUUUCUUAAAAUUAAUAUCUAAAUCCUAAAACCUAAUUGAAAGAAUGAAUAUUAAAAUGUUAUUUAUGAUAUGGUUUUGGACCUCAAUUUUGAGCCAAGAAAUAGAAAUAACAGCAUUCAUGACGGGGAGAGUACUAUAUAGUAAUCACAAUAAUAAAAGGUUAAUAAUAAGGCAGCUCUAAAAGUUUUAUAGGUUCUUUGUAUAUUAGGCCAGCCAUGAAACAGCCCACCGUCAACAGCCGAUAGAUCAGCGGAAUCGUCCAUAGUGUCUCAACUUCCUUGUUAAUGUUGUUCCUGAUAUGUAUCCCUUGCUAGUCACUAAACAUCUAACACUCUUAUUCAUCAAUAAUAUAUUUUCACCAGCUUGAGCAUAGGCAUGCCAAUUGCAGCUGGCUAAAAUAUGGCAGAAACUAUAACCAGUAGCAACAGAAAUGGAAUAAGAGUUAAUGUAAAAAAAAAUGUUUAAGUUAUGUAGGGGUUACUUUUUUCCUUGAGUUUUACCAGUUACUGAAUUUUGGGUUGAUGGAUAUAAACAGUAUCAGAUAAUUUAUUUGGCUCAAAGCUAAAUAGAGGAUCUACCGUUGUCCCUGACGCUGACAAUAGGGUGCCUUUUCAAUUUGAACUGAAAAUUGUAGGGGUAAAUAUAAGCUGCCUGUAGGAAAAUUGAAUAUAUACCAGUAACUGUAGCGGUUUGAUUUGGUUUUGAAUCCCUAAAUAGGUCUUUAUGUGCCGAAGUUUUCUCAGAUUAGAUUAAAGAGCUAUAAUAUUUUGACAAUCCAUCAGAACUGUCCAGCGCCGUUGGUAAGGGGAAGGUUUUAGUGUGUCAAAGAAAGCUGUGGCAGUUUACCAGUUCAGUUUUAUAGUUGAUCAUUGAAGUUCUAACCUUUAGGCUGGAGUGUCAUUAUUAAUUGGCACCCAAGGAAGCAACAAGGUUGCAAGAAGUUAAACUUACCUGUCCAGGCAUAACCUCCCCAUUUAUGCUGCUUAUGUUAAUACCAGAAUGCAAAGAUGCUUUGUAAUGAGCAUCAACUAUGUCCCGUCCAAAGGCUUUAUCAGCACCAAUACCACAAUAAUAAGGACCCUGAUGUAAUCACAUAAUUAAACUAAGAAUUUGUAAAAUCUACUUGAAGAUAGGAAUUUUUCAUUAGUUUAAUCCAAGUGCAGCAUACAAGGAUCAUGACAAUUUAAGGACCGUGACAAGUUAUUGAUAGAAGCAUAGAAGAUAUUGAACGUAAAGAUAGAUAUAAGCUAACCUGCGGUCCGGAUAUCCUUCGGUGGGCCACCCAAUAGGCUAGGUGACCUCUUUCUUCAAUUGGCAAUACCGAACCUAUUACAAAAAUAACAUUUCCAGAAUAAGUACAAGUCCUGGAAAAUAAGAAUUUCAGUUUGAGUGUUAAAGAUAAAUAUGAAAGACUGAGAAUUUAAAAAGCAUACCAAGGAACAUCAGCUGCAAAUCAGGGUGGCUGAAAAUCUUAGCCGCAUUACAUCUGUUGUUUGUAAGAAUUGGCUCAUCAGCUGGUGUGUAUACCUGUAUCAUAGGGAUUGGACCGAUAAUUAUUGGCUUCACCGGUUCAUCUUGUACACUACAACUUCAAACCAGGUUGUUUGUUUUUCAUAUAAUUUUUUUGUGCAAGUUAACAGUAAAAUGGUUUAGACAAAAGAAAGUGAACAUAGCCUACCAAUAUGUGGUUAGCCCUUCUGAAUAGAUCCUUAGAUAUUGCUUAAGGACUGAUAAAUUAACACAAACAAAAAAGAAAUUACCUACGCAAUCUUAAAACAACAAUCCAAAUUGAAACAAACACAAGAGCACAGUAAGUGACAAAAACUUACUUUACGAUCACUUCACUAUCAUCCCCUGGUGCUUGACCAGUACUUGAUCCAAGUAAUUCCAUUUUGGGAGCUUGAUGGGAUCAUCGACCGGACCAGAAAGAGACUGAAUACAAUCAAAUAUAAGAAUUUCAGAGAAUUACUCUAGCUUAGCCCCUGAGGCCACCAACAACAUCAAUCCUGUUAAGAUGAUUUACAAUUUUUGAGAAUUUUUAUCUGAAUUUAAAAAAAUAUUGUUACCUAUAAAAAGUGUAAGGGUGAAUCAAAAAUUAUAUUUCAAUCUAGUUGUUUUCUUUAGUAGAUUAGGGCGACAUCUCAUGUAACUUUGAAAGUGAAAAAAAUAUACAUACACGUUAGAAAGGAGACCCUCAAAAAUUAAAAUAAAUAUAACAUCACUUUUUGGAAUAAAUUCCCAAAGAAAGCAAACAAACAGAAUUUGAUAUAUAUCUAAAAGUUAAGAAAAUACAAUCCCAUUUAGCACAUAAAUAAAUGUUUAUAUACAGGAAAAAAGGAAACAGAGUCUGAUUACUUCAAAAUUUGGCUGCGUCAUAAAUGAAAUAUUCCCAUACCCAGGCUCAUAGCUCUAAAAAUUAUUUCCAUACUUACUAAGUGAAAUUGACAACUAUAUUUACCUCCGAUAAAGUGAUUACGAUAAAACUAUACUAAUCGGCAACAUUGUUUUCAAGCAAUGUUUUGCCAUCUUUAACUUUUAAGCACUUUACCAUGAUAUAUGAGCAUCUGCUGCGCAGCAGGAUAAACGGCUGUUGCUUUCACAGUUCCUAUGCUUCUCUGCGCAUCAGCAACUUGCACACACAUAAUUAAUUAUAAACUGAUAUUUACAAACCCAUUGUUGCCUCAAAAAGAGGUUUAUUGCAAGUGCAAUAUGUGAAAAUCUGUUGAAUUCAGCUCUAAAUGCAACGAAAAGAGAAUGACUAACAACAAUAUUUAGAACUUGUUUACUAAAAAAUUACAAUAGAAUAUGAAACCAGAGGUUAAUUCAAAAGAAAUUUUACAAAUAGUUGAUCAUCUUGGUAACUUAAACUGUUUGAGAAAAUUGGUUCGGGGAAAUGUAAGACAUGUCACAUAAACCUCCUAAGACUCUUCCUUAUAUCAUCUGUUUCCGAACUGGACAGCCAACAGCCAUGGUGCACCUAUAGUAGGCUCGAGGACACAGGUUUCCUUUAACCAUCUAUACCAGGUAGAAUUAUACAUUGAUUAAGAAAAUUGUGAGAAUUAAAAUUAAAAAAAAAAAAAAAAGAUGAAUUACAGUUAUAAAGUUUAAGGUAAUUAAGGUUAAUCUCAUUUAGAAGCGCAAUGAUUCACAAAGGUUGAUAAGAUUACAUAUGUUUGACAGAGGUUUGGAGAGUUUGAGGCUGGGCUUGGAGGGUAAGUUUAUAGCAUGGGGGUAGAGUAGAGAUUAGAAUACUCUCUCAUUUACACAUUGUGCAGAGUGCACACUUGUGAGUGCUAUCUAAGUGUAUUCUAUUUUGGUUGUCAUGAAUGAAAGCAACACAACAGGGGGCAAUAGUAACAGCCAAAAAUACCAGACACUCCCUGUAGCAAAAAUGAAUAUAUACCAAUAACUGUGGCGGUUUGAUUUAGUUUUGAAUCCUAAAUAGGUCUUUUUGUGCCAAAAUUUUCUUAGAUUAGAUUAAAGAGCUAUAAUAUUUUGACAAUCCAUCAGCACUGUCCAGCGCCAUUGGUAAGGGGAAGGUUUUAGUGUGUCCAAGAAAGUUGUGGCACUUUAACAGUUCAGUUAUAUAGUUGCUUACUGAAGUUCUAACCUUAGACUGGAGUGUUAUUAUUAAUUGGCACCCAGAGAAGCAACAAGGUUGCAAGAAGUUAAACUUACCCUGUCGAGGCAUAACCUCCCCGUUUAUGCCACUUAUGUUAAUACCAGUAUACAGACAUGCUAUUUAAUGAGCAUCAACUAUGUCCCGUCCAAAGGCUUUAUCAGCACCAAUACCACAGUAGCAAGGACCCUGAUGUAAUCACAUAAUUAAACUAAGAAUUAGUAAAAUCUACUUAAAGAUAGAAAUUUUUCAUCAGUUUAAUUUAAGUGCAGCAUACAAGGAUCAUGACAAUUUAAGGACCGUGACAAUUUAUUGAUAGAAGCAUAGAAGAUAUUGAACCUAAAGAUAUAUAUAAGCUAACUUGCAGUCCUGGAUAUCCUUCGGUGGGCCACCCAAUAGGAAAGUUGACCUCUUUCUUCAAUAGGGUGUAUUCUUGCUCGAUACCAAACCUAUCACAAAGACAACAUUUUUUAGAACAAAUACAAGUCCUGGAAAAUACGAAUUUCAGUUUGACUAUCAAAGAUAAAUAUGGAAGACUGAGAAUUUAAAAGCACACAUGGAAACUUCAGCUGCAAAACCAGUACUUGAUCCAUCAAAAUUCCAUUUUGGGAGCCUGGUGAGAUCAUCGACCAUACCAAAAAGGCACUGAAUACAAUCAAAUACACAAAUUACAUGGGCGAUGGCGGUUAAUCAAUAGUGAUUAGUCCAAAAUUACUUUAAGAAUUUCAGAGAAUUACUCUAGCUUAGCCCCUGAGGCCACCAACAGCAUCAAUCCUGUUAAGAAGGGCCAUUAAUAAACCUGUAAAAGGUUACAUAUAUGUGUAAGAUAGACAUCAAUUCUCUUGGAACUCAUUGAGAACCUAUCUAACACAGGGAAAUGUGUUUGCAAAUUAGGGACUUUGUAAGUUAAAAUUUAUUGGGUAUUCAUUAUAAGCAACAGGUGAGGCCUAGUUCUAUCAUUCUUUCCUUCUAUUUAAUUACUUAACAUAUCUAUUUAUCUAGUAUACUCAGUAGUCAACACAAAACUAAAUUCAAAUCCUUAAAAUUCUAGCACAUACACCCAUCCACAAAUAAUAUACCAAAAAUAAAAACAAAAUACAAUGCACGAUGCACUAAACAUAUAGAGUAGAUAUACCUACAGAUAGCCCACCACGCGGUAGAGGAAGAAUACCCGGACCUGAUCCUGCAGAACUGUAAGAAAGAAAAUUUAAGUACAAUGCAACCAAACUAAAACCGAUGAUCACUCGCAUCAAACACCACAAACAUCUUGACAAUAAACUAAGGCGGAACUCAAAAAAUAUCUAUGACCAAAUUCAUUAAACUGCAGCGAUGCAAGAGUGUGUGCAAUAUUGGGUCUGAUUUCUUAAUUUGCCAAGAUAUGCACAAUCAACAUGGUUGAUUAAAACGGUUUGCAGAUUGACGACCUCUAUAAUGAUACCGGGGGGGGGGGGGGGGUUUCAAAAGCAAACGAAACCCGAUCAUCACUCGCAUCAAACACCCAAAAUACCUUGACAAUAACCUAAGGCUGAAGACCAAAAACACAUAUGACCAAAUUCAAUAAACUGCAGGAGUACAAGUGUAUAUAACACUGGUUCAACCCACAAAUAAAGAAAAGGUAUAAACUUACGAACCUUCACAAUCGGCCAUAUAUAUAUAUACAUAUAUAUAUAUAUAUCCGAUCACAACGCAAGCGCUUCAAACCAAGGCCUGUGUAGAGCAAUGGCAUAUAGCAGGUGCUUCCAAUUCACCAAUCACAGAGAUGAGGAACCCAGAUAUUACUGCGGCACACCGCAGGAGAAGAGCAGACAUCGUGUCCGGAACAUUUCAGAGUUGUGCAGCGUCGAACUGUGGCUUGAAAGGCUGUCAGUCUACCACGUUUUCUUAUGAGGAGACAUCAGAUUUGGGCAUAGGACUUUGGCUCGGGCUCAGAAGAUAUCAGGUUUGAGCAGGUUUGGAGCGUAGGCUCGGAUAGGCUUGUAGCUUAUAUAUUCGCUUAGGAAUCAGGUAAUUUAUUUGCUCAGGAGGGAGGCUUGACAUGUACCUGUUCUGCUAUAAUAUAUAUAAGUAGAAGUAGAUUUAAAAUGAAACAGUUACAGAAAAAUUAUUUGUUACAAAAUAGUAUUUUUAUAUCAGGUUUUACCGGUCUUCAUGCACAAGCCGCAGCAACACAAGCAGCAGCAAACACCAGAAGUUAGAGUAGUUUUGUCCACCUUUACUUGUUUCGUCAUAUUAACUCUUCCAAAUUCAUUUUUUUCUUCAAAGAAGUAAUUUAUAAACAAGAAAGUAGAGGCUAGAAUUAUAAACAACAAUUUAAAUAAAACUAAAUUAGUUAUAUAAUAUUCACACACACACACACACACACACACACACAUAUAUAUAUAUAUUUAUUUAUAUAUAUAUAUGUCAAUAUUCUAGAGGGACUCCUUAUAUGGAGUUACAUAGCGCGGCACUAUAUAUUAUCAAUUUUAUUAUAAAUUCUGUUAUAAAAUACAUAUAAAACGUGAUUCUAAUAUAGAAUACUAUAAAAUAUAUCUAUUUUAAGUAAUUUAACACCUUGUGACAUUUUGUUUCUGAUUUGUCGGUCUGUGGCUAUAACUAGAAGAGCUCCCCUUACCAGUACAUAAUCUUAUUAAAUAAAAAUAUAAUAUUUUUCAAUAUAAUAUAAAAUAUAUAUAUAUAUAUAUAUAUAUAAUUUAUUUAGGAUUUAACUUCAAAAUAAGAACUUUUAUUUAGUUAUUAUAUUUUAGUAUAUUCAUUUAUUAAAUCUAAAUUUAAAAAUUAAAUAAACCGAAGAGAAAAACUAUAAAAUUUCUAAUGUUUCUUUUCAUUUCGGGCAACUAAAAUUUAUAUUCACAAGAAUGAGAUUACAUCCACAUAAAACAAUCAUUUACAUAUUUAUUAGGUUAUAGAUUCAAGUAAAUUAUUUAUUAAGUUAGCACAGAAAAUAAAAUAUGAUUAAUAAUACUAAUAAUAGUAUUUUAAUUAUUUUUUAAAAAAAGGUGAUCACACUAAAUUUUUCAAAAAAAUUAGAUAUUAAUUCGUAUCUUAUUUUUUAUUUUUAUAUUAAUACAAUGAAACUUUUUUUUUUCUUAUGUAUACUUAUACAUAUAUACUAGUAAAAUGGGGGCCUCUUGUACAUGGGGGCCUUAGGUCGCCUAAAUGGCCUGUACUAUGAACAAGACUAGGUGGAAUUGUAGUUACAUACCAUUGUUCUAAAAGUUGGUUGGUGAUUAAUUGUAAUUUACCGAACUGAUUAAAUUUAUGAUUAUUUGAUUAAUCAUCCGAGUAAUUUUUGAUCAAUCUAAUUAAUCUCUGAGUAAUCGUUGUUCCGUGUUUUUACUAAUUAAGUCCGAGUUUUUAUUUUUUGCGGUAUCGACACAGGCACACGUUGAAGUAGGGCCGGCAAUUUCGGGUAGUGGGUCGGGUUCGUGUCGGGUCAACAUUCUCGGGUAGUAUUUUUUACCCAACCCGAACCCGACCCGAAAAUUUAAUGGGUACAUGUGACAGCCCCAAAAUUUGAUGGGACGCCAUCACUUGUGUGUUGUAAAUUACAAGAAGGCUAAUUACCUUUAGUAGUAUCUUUAUUCAGAUACGCAACAUUAAGUUCUGUCGAUCAUAUUGAUCUCUCAGUAAUUUUUAAUUUCAAAUUGGUAUUGCUUUGCAAACUCAUAGUUAUACCCUUUGCCUUGAUAUCUAAAAUUUGAUAAAUUCCAAGGUUCCAUGAUUCUUACUUUCCGACCAAUUUUGAGGAUAUGCCAGCCAAAUUUGAACGAGCUAAUGCAACUAACGCAUUUCGAGAUUUCGUAUAUAACUACAACUACAGAAGCGGAUCACGAUGCUACUUGUAAGCAAUAGCAUGCUUUAGUUCUCUCUUCGCUGAUUCCGAGGACGGAAUCCUUAUAAGGGGGGAAGUCUGUAACAACUCGGGUUUUUGACAAUUAUUUAUUAAUUUGGUAUUAAUUUUCUAAAAGAGGAAUAAAUUUUUAUAUUUUAUUCCAAUUUAUUAGUUUUCAAAAAUGAUUUUUAUGAGUUGCUGCAAUUAUGUGAAUAUUAAUAUUUUACGUGCAAAAUGUGAAAUGAUGUAAUUAUUUGGAUUAAUUGUGAUAACUGUUAUAUGUGCACUUUAUUGUUUAUUUUGUUCGAGCGGGUAGAUUAAAAACUCGAUUUAUUUUAUUAUUUUAAUAAAUCGAGACUGUCUAUUAUUUUAAAUCAAACUGUAUUUAUUUAUAUCCAAAAAUUUUAUCCGAUACAAACUACUAAAAUAUUCCAAUUUUGGUAUUUUUAUAUUUCUGUGUGUUUUAAAAGUAUUGGAUGGUUUUGCAAAUGAAUAUUUUUAUUAUUUUUAAUUAGUGAAAACUUCAUUAAUUAUUUGUAAAAUUAGAGGAUGUAUAAAAAUUAUUAUUUUUGCACAUUCUUUGUAUUUCGGAUUUUUAAAGAUUUUAGAAAAAUUUAUUUUAAGUUUUCGAAACUAUUUUCGACUCCCUAAAUUUUAUAAAAUGAUUAAACUAGCAUUCUUUUUCAAAUUGGGGGCUACAAGUUUUAAAAAUAUAAAUAGCCAGUUUCUCUCCUUUUUAUUCACUCACCACGCUGAGCAGAAAGAAUUUGGGGGUUUAGGGAUUUUCAGUCGGUGAUUUCAAGCGAGUAACCGAGGUAACCAAUCGCUGAUUUCCUUUGAUUUCUUCUUGUCUAUAUACGCCCUUAUGUGCGAUUGUAUACUUGUGUGCAUACAUACAUACAUACAUAUUAAUUACUUGCUUGUGAUUGUGCUGUACGGAGAAACAGAGGUGAGGGAAGGUAGGUGGAUUGGAUAUUGAGGGAGGAGGCUAGGCGGGUGUUGUAAAAGGUCGUAGAAAGGCUGCAGAUGUGUAGUAUUGUGUGUGCGCGGGUUUUGACAGAAGUAUGCUGGGCGUGACCCUACUGUUUUGUAUAGGUAGCUGCUGGGUGUGUGUGUUCUGGUAGGCUGUGACUGGUGUGUGUGUGUGUGUUUAUGUGUCGUCGUGUCGUGUUUGCGACGUUGGGGGGCUGGGCUCCUGUUGGUGGCCGGGAGUCGAUGGCUGUAUCGGAGAAGGCGCUGGCCGGCGUUUGAGGCGGAGUCGCGACGGUGAUUUCGCCGGAGCUUCUGCAGGGAGUGGCAAGUUAGUAUCAGAGCCGUAGGUUAAAGUUAUUGAAAUCAGAAUGUAGAUAGUGAUAAGAAUGUGUCGAGUGGAACCUCAUAUAAAGGUAAGUCAAGACUAUUUGGUAUAGUCUUUGUCAAUGGAACUGAGAUUGAGUUUAAGUAUUGAUUUUGAGCAAUCAUUUGUGAUAUCCUAGUUUCCAGUUUGAGAACUAGUGAGUUUGGAUCUCAGGAGAAACAUGAUAGAAUACCUUUAGUUCUAACCUUUUUGAGCUUGAGGUUGACCUCUGUGUAACCAUUGCCAGCUAGACUCGUGGAGAAACCUGUCUAGUCUAGGAUGUUUCUUACUAUCUUUACCACUUCUAGAAUAUUGGGUAGAGGUUAAUCCUUUAUUUUUAUAGAGUGAUAGAAGGAGUAUGAGAUUUGUUGGUUAGAUUGAGAAUCCAGGUGUAUAGUUCUCGGUUUGAGAGCUUAUAUAGAUCUCUUGUCAGACCCCCGGAUUUUGGGGCUGUCACAGUACAGGUACCUAACCCGAACACGACUCGAUUAUAUUUCGGGUUACCCGACACGACCCGAAAUAACCCGAAAUUCACAAGAAAGCGAAGAUCUUUGGUCUGCAAAUUUAAAUUAAAAGCAGGACUACAUCUCCUAACCAUUCACCUCCAUUCACAUCGGAGAGUUCGAAUCGGAACAAGAGAGACUUACCAAUUUCGAAACUGAAAUUCAGUUGAGAGGGGAGUGAGAUUCNGGUGGGGGGGGGGGUGUGGUGGUGGUCUGGUUUUGGAUUUGGAGGCUGAGAAAGAUUAGGGGUUGAGGCGAGGGAGAAACUUGGGAGAUCGGGAGUUAGGAUUAAAGCGGCUGCGUUCACCAAAGGUGAAUAUGUGGUUAGGGUUUUCUUCUUUUGUAUAUUAAAGUAUAAAAUUAUAAACAUAAACAUAUAUUAUAUAAUAUAUAAAAAUGUAUGCGGGUCAAUUUCGGGUUACCCGAACCCAACACGAAAAUAACCCGAUUUUUUCGGGUCAGUUUUGGGUCAACCCGAAAUCGACCCGAACCCGAAAUAUCCUGACCCGAAUUCGUAUUUUGCGGGUCGAAUUCGUGUCGGGUUAUCGGGUCGUGUCUGAAAUUGCCAGCUCUACGUUGAAGUAUUGUGAUAGCCAACUUGUGCUAGCUAUUACUCAAUACAUGUGAGACACUUUAGGCUUACCAACAAUAAAAUGUGGACCAAACCGACAUGCAAGGACCAUAUAUACAGGGCUAGAACACUAGAAUGAAGUCACGAGAAGCCAUAACAUUUGUGUAACUAAAAAAGGUGUUAGGAGUUGGGACUUAGGACUUUUAACUACACAGAAUCAACAUCGACCCCAACAAGGACAAGUCACCACAAACUGAAGUUUUGGAUAAUAUCGUAACUUCAUUGAUGCCUAGUGACUCAGUGAAGUAUGGCGCAUACCUGGAGAUAAUCUCCAGCUAAAAGCGUAAAAAAUAAUAUAUUACAAAUGAAAGAUAUAUAGAUUAUAGUUAUAUAAAAAAAUAUAAAUUAUGUAAAAGAAAAUAAUCAACUUCAACUGGACAUUUUCUUGUAUAUGUCAACCUUCUGAUUUUUGCUAUAUCUUUCGAAUUUUUAGAUAUUUUUAAAAUUAAGAAAAUGAUUCUAAUCAUUUGUUUACUUAUAAUUUUUUUUAAAAAAAUCUCAAUAUAUGCUUUUUACUUUCAAUACUAUAUUAAAAUUUAAAUUAUUUUAUUUAAUAUUACAUAUCAAAUACCUUUAAUUAUAUAUAUAUAUAAUUAUAUACCCAUUUUUAGUUUUUUACUACAUAAAUAAUAAAAAUUUUAAUUACAUAAUUACAUGCUUAUAUCAACUAAAUACAGGAAACGUUUUUAAAGCUCCACUCUAACCGUACGUGUAACCUAGUUCUAUAUGAAUUCUUAUUACUACUGUGUAACUAUAUAAUUCCUUUCAACAGAACGAGGCCCAAGAAAACAUCAACAGCAGGAGUGGGAGCUUAAAUAACCCACCCCCAAUCGCUUGUAUAUAUCUGUACGCUAAGAAAGGUAUGUUUCGAGCAUUAGGUCUUUUCACUUUUCUCAUUUUAUCAGCUCAGAUUUGCCUUGUUUUCUUCAAUUUUGGCCUUUUAAUUCAUUGAUUUUACUUCAAUUGCUGCUUAAGUUCCCCUCUUUUUGCUAGAUUUGGAGCAUCUAUCGGUUCUUUGUCAUGUAUUUACUUGUGGGGAGGAGUCUUUUUCGAUUUAUAUGGAUUGGGUUUGCUUUGAAUUGACUGUUUUAUUGGAGUUCUAGUGAAGUUUGUAUUUUUAUUGUUAUUAUUGUAAAUUUGAUAUUGAUUCAAUGUGUGGUGUGUGCUUUUCACCCUCUUGAUAAUUGAAUUGCUGAAUGGAUGGGAAAGAUGGUCUAAUUACGAUCUGUAGUAUAUUUAGUAGUUGUGCUUGUUCUACAGAUUUGUGUUAGAUAUGGCUUCCCUACGGUCCAGCUCGUUCUCUCCAACUUCUGGCCUAACUUCAGAAGUUGCUGAAGUUGUCUAUCAUAUGCACUUUCGCACCAUCGUUGAGUGCACAUUUCUUUUGAUGAUUCCAAUAUAAAUACCGCUUGUGUAUAUGCUCUUGGCAUCAUAAGUUUUGUUUAUAUUUCAAUAUUUUGUAUACUUGUAUAGGUUACUUUCAAAAUCUUGUGCUUCUAUGUAGGAAACUACAUGCGCAAAUUCAUUUGCACUUUGUUGGUUGUUUCUCUCAUAGUCUCAUUUAUAAAUCAUACUCCCUCUAUCCCCNUAAAAUGAGAAAAGUGAAAAGACCUAAUCCUCGAAACAUACCUUUCUUAGCGUACAGAUAUAUACAAGCAAUUGGGGGUGGGUUAUUUAAGCUCCCACUCCUGCUGUUGAUGUUUUCUUGGGCCUCGUUUUGUUGAAAAGAAUUAUAAUAGUUACACAGUAAUAAGAAUUCAUAUAGAACUAGGUUACACGUUAACCCGUACGGUUAAAGUGGAGCUUUAAAAACGUUUCCUGUAUUUAGUUAAUCUGUAUUUAGUUGCUCUCCUGAUUAAAACUGAAUAUCUAUGUGGAGAUGCGCGCACCCACCCACACACAUACACAAGGAUUUGAAAUUCUGAAUUUGGGUAUACCUACUUUACGAAUUAUGGUUUUUGUUCAAGUUAUUUAUGAGCUGGAUUUUGGAUCUUAAGCUCUGUUAUGUUGUGGUUUUUUUUGUGUUGCAGGAAUGGAUAUGAAUGAGAAAAUAGAGAUAUUGAAAUCAGAAUUUCAAAAGCUGUCAAAGGAUGGACAAGCUUGGGUGCAACAUUUAUCAGUGGAGAUGAAUAAACAAGAGUGGUUUCAGAAGUUGCCCCCUUUUAUUCAAAACAUACCUCCACUUCAACUCUAUGUUGCACUUGUGGUCUUGUUCCUCACCAUGUUUUUCUUCUUUAUAGGUAACCUUAUAUUUUUUCUACUCAUCUUUGUGUUUACACUUCUUUAAAUAUCAUGUAUACACAGUUGCAAACUACUUAGUGGUGAUUUUUUGUAAUCACCUAUGAUUUUUGCUACUGUACCUGGUGACUUGAAGCUGUUGUACAAUGUAGUAUUUCUACGCAACAUGACCCUAUAAUCCUAUAUAUAAAUAUAUGAUGGAUAAUGAAAUUAAAUCAUGAUGCAGGACAAGGGGAAAUAGGGGUUGAACAAAGGGGAUUAAUACCUAUCUCUGCAGAGUCAGUGGAGUACUAGAGUCGCAUAUAAUCAUAAGAUUUAUCCAAUAAUAUAAUUCAUAAGAUGCAGUAAUAUCAGUUUUCAUAUUCGUCUCUGUUCAAUAAUGAACGACUACAUGAGUUUAAAAUCUAAGUAGCAAAAUUGUUACUUGGAAGCCAACUAGCCAAGUAAUUUCGUAAUGUAAAGAAGAGUGAAUAAUGUUAUAUAUCUUCUGUUGAAGGAAACAACCCUUGAAUUAUUCUACAACUAUAAUCUAGAAUCUUCCUAAUAAAUAUACUUAUACUUAAUAUAAAUAAACUACCUAAUGAAUUAUAAUUUUAUUUAUAAAACUGAAUAAUAAUGUAUAAAAAAUAUAAUUAACUUUAUUAUUCCUUGUUCCGCUUCAACUCUGCUUCUGGAACAGGUAUACUUUGCUUGUGCUGAAAUAGAAUUAUUGUAGCAUUAUUAUAUGCAACCCGGUACUUGCCCACAUUAUCACCUUAUAUUCCACUCUUCUGCCUCUCUCAUAAAGCCCAAUACUUUGAUUGGACUUCUAAUCAUAAAUUAGCAAAAAUUUUAAUAUUUUUGAUCAUUAUAUAAACCUUGCACAGUAUAUAAUGUUUUUAAAACAGGUCAAGACUAUGUUCAUUAUGUUAGUGAGCAGUGAGCACAAUGAUACAUUAGAUAGGUGGGGGUAAGGCUGAUGUUAAGCUUCACGGUGUCUUCUUAAUUUGCGCUUGCUGAUAUGUUUAGAAAGGAUUGUGCUUCUAAUAUGGAGCAUAAGAAACUUGGUGGUAUGUACUAGAAAUAAUGUAAAACAGCUAAUGCCAAAACUAAAGAUCAUUCACAUCAUUAUGCACAGUCCAUCUAAAAUAUCCUUGGCUAUUAAUAUAUAGUAACCUUAACUUUGGUCCUGAUAUUUGUUAUACAGUAAAUGUAUAGCUUCUACUGGAAGGCAUCCCGGUAUGUUCAACUUGUUUAGGCCAUUUUUUUUCUGUUCUUUAAUAUCUGGAGCAGAUAGUGGUGGUUUGGUUUCUAUGGGUGCAGAAGCUGAAGGUAGGGCUAGGGGUCUGGGAAAUGGGUGCUAGAGGGGCUAGUGGACCUGGCGAAUCUACUUUCAGUAUCUUGUCUUACAAAAAGAUUACCUUACCUCUUAACAAUAAAUUUGGAUGAUAUUGCAUCACGAAUUUUUCUUGGCUUGUCAUAUAAUGUUCUUUUACUUUGCAGUUCGGUUAUUCAACCGCAAGACAUCUAAUACCAUAUUACUCACUGGGCUAAGUGGAAGUGGAAAAACUGUCCUAUUCUAUCAGGUAAGAACCUAGAGCUGAAGUUUUCACUGCUCUUGUUUCUGACCAGAAUUUUAGUACAGGUUUUUUUUUUUAUUUUCGGUAAUGCUCUUAUAUGACCCAACUUUAAUCAUAUGCCAGCUUCGAGAUGGUUCUGCUCAUCAGGGUACUGUAACGUCAAUGGAACCAAAUGAGGGCAGCUUUGUGCUACACUCUGAGACCACUAAGGUAAACUGGUUUCCCUUUGGUAUAGCGUUGAAACAUAUUUCAAGCAUGUUCUGUCGGUAAAUAAUUCGAGGCCUGAUUGUCAGUGAGUAUAGUAGCUCGCUCUGUUGAUAUGUACAUCUCCAGCAGUGUCUGCAUUAGCUUACGGGUGACAUGUAUUUUAUGGUGCUCCCCUUUUUGUCAUUUGCAGAAGGGCAAGGUAAAACCUGUACACUUAGUUGAUGUUCCUGGACACUCUCGCCUUCAAACUAAACUUGAUGACUUCUUGCCUCAAGCAGCUGGAGUAGUGUUUGUGGUGGAUGCUGUAGAAUUUCUGCCUAAAUCCCGUGCUGUGUCAGAGUAUGUUUGUAUAAAAUGUGUAAGUUUAAAAGUUUGGGUGAAAAUUACCUCUCUAAGUUUGUCUUUUGUAGGUACUUAUAUGACAUUUUGACAAAAGCAAGUGUGGUCAAGAAAAAUAUACCAGUACUUAUCUUAUGUAACAAAGUGGACAAGGUCACCGCACAUACCAAAGAGUUCAUCAGAAAACAACUGGAAAAGGAAAUGUAUGCCCUUGCUUCUAAAGCUUAUCAUGUUUUCAUACUUUUCUUUUUGCUAGUUGACAUGCCAACAUUUCUCAUAAUUUGUGUUUAGAAUAAAUGGGAUGGGAUGAAAUCAAGUUGUUCUAUUAACAGAUACAUAAUAUCUUAUUUCUUGUGUAUAUUGUGAACUUCAUUUCUUCCAAUUUUGAGAUUCUCGCACUGAAAUCCUUCACAAAUUUCGUCAGAAAAUUUCUCACACUAUGGCAUAUCUUGUUCUGACAUGUACAUGCUUUUUUAAUGAAAUAUGUUAGUUUGUAUGAAAUGAUUAAAUGAAAAUGGGCAGGGAGAUGCCAGUUAUGUUUUUUUUUCCAGUAAACAAAGACACUCACAAAUUUCAAUCAUAUUAUUUGAUUUGAAAUGUCUACACUAAUCCCUUUUAGUUUUUCUUCUACUGUUUGAUUAGUUGUUAGCACUAUGCAAGUUUAGAAAUGAAUUGAAAAGUUAUAUUUAAUUGUUUUGCAAUGAUCUGUCAUAUUGUAUAUUUAAUUCAUAUCCGGUCUGAGUGAUUGACUUUGCAUGCAGUUUGAUAUAUGAAGUGCCUACAAAUUGAUAUUUAAUGUAUCUUGCAUUUUGUGGGACACAUUCAAUUGAAUUCUGUGAUUUCUUAGUGCUCUACUUUUCGUUUCUAACAGUGACAAACUUAGAGCAUCUCGAAAUGUGGUGUCCGAAGCUGACGUCUCUAAUGAGUUCACACUUGGUAUACCUGGAGAGACAUUUGCAUUUUCUCACUGUCGUAACAAGGUGACUGUUGCUGAAGCUUCUGGCGGGACAGGAGAAAUAACUCAAUUGGAGCUUUUCAUCCGAGAGCAUGUAAAGCCUUGAGAAUUUCUUUUUAAAUUCAUUUAGUUAAUUAGGUUCCAACAUUAAGGAUUGCAUCAGAACUGUUUAAACUGUGAAAUCAAUGGAUGGAAGGUAUCUUUUAGAUUGAACCGCUUCUGCUUAGUUUUACACCCUUCAACUGAAUUCGAACUUGCUGAGUAACAUGAAUAUUACCAACAUUAAUUAUCUUUGCAUUCUGUUAAUGCAGAGUUUAAGGUUAAGGUAUUGUUUGACAUUGUUUACAGUAUUUUGAUUUUCGGAAACAACAAUUUUAAUGUUUCCUGUUAUCUGGUUGUAUAUUUCCUUUAAAAAUUUUAAAACAGGGUCAAACGCCACAUUGCUUUUGCUUUCUGAAAACUUUUUCUAAUUGUUUUUAAAACAGAACACAUUUGUUUAGUUAUGAAGCCAAGCAACCACCAAGGUUUUUUCGUGUAAGAAAUACAUGUUUUUUACUGCAAAGUUUCCAUUUAUUUUAACAUUUUUUAAUAGCAACAAAAAUUGGAGAAAAGGUCUUAGAUGUCAUAAAACUUAUAGCUAAUGCCCAAAAUAGCAGAGUUCAAAAAAAUGACCCCAAAUAUCAUUUAAUAACAUUUGAUAAUCUAUCGUGAUGGUGUUGCAUUUAAAAUUGAAAAUCCCUGCAAAACACUUAUGAUCUUGCAAUUUAGGAGUAAAACGUUACAUAAAUUAGCGUUUAAGGCUUCUAAAGCUUUAUCAUGCAACUCUUAGGAUUUCUGAACGUUAGAUCGUGUAACGUUAAAACAAAAAAAAAAGAUAGAAGCUACACGAUUUAGCGUUUUAAAUAUAAAAAUUAUAAGUCGUGGCCAUCUUCUUCGGCACCAGCACCGGUGUUUGGGGCCAUUUUCUUACAAAUUGUGAUACUCAAGGCCAACACCCAAAAAUUGCUCAAGGAUUUAAAGUUGAGUCUAGACUAAUGCCAGUACAUUAACCAAUCACAUAUCAACUAGUCUUAUGUAGUACAGUUCAUUUUACUAAAUAUCUAGGCUCUAGGCUCUAUUGCCCUCUUUUACAGAGGAAAAUUUUCCUAACAGCUAUAGGGGAAAAUUGCCCCCUUCUACCCAAGUAAACAUCUUCUUGCAGUAUAGAGGCUCAAUCACAAUUCACAAGUGAGAUAAUUUGUACAGUAUACCUGUAAACAGCACAAAUAUAGAUGUGAGACCAUGAUAUAUACAUAUAUUAGCAUCUCCAACAGUCUCUUAGUUGGCUCCUAAACAUAAUAUAAAAAAUAUGGAUCUUCGCAAUUUAGUACAAAAUUAAGAGUGUGAACUCCAACAAUGCUCUCUAUAUUUAUUCUCCAUUUCAUAUUUUAUUUUUAGUGGGCUCUACUAUGACAAAGAUUUAAAUAGAAAGAGAAGGAAACUGAAAUAAAAGAGAGGGAAAAGUGGGGAUAAUUGGAGGAAAAGAAUUUUUUAUUGUUAAAUAUAAGUUAAGGUACUGUUUGGGGUUGCUGUUGCAGUCAACAGCAACAACAGCUUUUUGCUGAAAAACACGUGAAAAACUGUUUGGUAAAUCUAAAAGCAGCUUUUCCGAACAGCAGCUUUUAGCUGAAAAGCUGCUGUUAGAAAAAGCAGGUCCUCCCAUGCUUUUGGAAAAAGCUGCUUUUCAGCUUUUGCAGAAUGCUAUUAUAGAUUUCAUUAUAAAACCUCACCAAAAUCAUUAUUUUUUUUAUAUUAUAACUCAAAAUAAGUAAAUAUCAAAAAAAUUACCAAACAGUUAUCUGAUUUGUACAACAGCACUUAUUUUACCAGCACUUUUUCUGAAAGCAUAGCAAUUUUUAACAGCACUCCCAAACAGACCCUAAGAGCCAAGUUGCGGCUCCAAAAGAGAGGAGAGAGAGUGAGCUCUUUACUUUUUAAAGAGCCUCUAAGAGUCUCUUGGAGCUCUAUUUUGGACAUGGCUCUUUAUUUUUCUACUUAAGAGCUCAAUUAGAGAGUCUCUUGGAGAUGAUCUGCUACCAUGGUAGUAUGGAAGUGUUCCCUCCUAUAAAAAACAAGGGGCAUAAUUAAUUGCAAGUACAUACCUCCUAUAGAACAUGUGUUUUGUUUUUAUCACUUCCAGAAACAGCAGUGACAACAUCAUCUCUAUCCAAUAUAGAUUCUGGUAAAAAGACUCUGAAAACAGCAUAGUGGUGAUUUAAGCUUUUUUCUCCUUGCAAUCUGUGCAAACUUCCAAGCGCCCCAGCAUUGUGAUUAGGAAAAGCGUAAAAUAUACGCUUAAUCCGCUGAUGAACAAGUGCCAUGGCACACCUGUCAGAUAAACCCACAAAGCAUCAGAAAUCCAAAAAAUAAUUAAAAGAGAGACGGGGAGGGAAACGCAACAGCAACAUCAAACACAACUUGAAGAUAUGAGUUCCUUAAAAGUGCAAAAUAAUUGGUCCUGAAGACAUCUUCCUGGCAAAUUUGUACAUGAUAAAGAUGUCUGACGUUAUGCAUGUAUCGCAACUAAGUUGUCGUCGUUAAUGAUAUUGUGAUACUACUAUGGAUCAUAAUGGCUACAAAGAUACAGUAGUAUGUCAGAUUGCCAAGAAAGGCAUUUUAUACUUGGGCUUCCCUGAGGACAUGUUCAUUGGGAACACAACCUUACAUUUGGCACAUGAAAUAAUUAAUAAACACUCAGAGAAAAGGUGGGUAGGAGAAUCGAGAAGGUUAGUAUAACAUGCAGCCUACAGCAUAGGUAAACCUUUCUUCCAAACUUCCAGUAAAUACUUGAUUUAAGUAUUGAAGUCGCAGCCACAAGCAACUCUUUCUGUAACAAAGAAGUACAUAAGAGAUAACAUGAAGUAUCAGAGAACUUACAUAAUGCAUGGUUCCCAAACAAGGUAUAUGUCAUAACCAGUACAUAAGUAGGGUCUGACUGGCAUGGAACCACAGGCAUUAUGUUCGCUAUUUUGUAUUCCAGAAUCCUCCACCUGAAAGAUCACCUUAAGCUGAGUGAGAAAUUUAAGCACUCCAGUAACUCCAUUUAAAUCUUUCAUUUUAACGGAUUUUAACGGCGCAUGAAGUCAAAUUUAUACUAGGGGUGGCAAAAUCAGACACAACCCGAAACCCAACAUAAACCCCACUCAAAAAAGUACAAAUUAGGGUCAGUGUUUUCAUAUUUCGGGUUGGGUAAUUUUUUACCUGAAAAACUCGGGUCAGGUUCGGGUUGAACCGGUGUAUCCGAACCCAACCCGAAAUAUUUUAAUAUAUAAUAUAUUAUGUAUAAUAUAUAAAUAUACAAUACAUAAAUACAUCCAUUUGUCAUAUUUAUAUAAUAUUUAAAUAAAUUAUCCACUUCAUUAAAUUAUUACUAUUAUUUUAAUAUAGUACAAUAAAAACAUCAAUUCCUAUAAUAAAAAUAAUUAACUUUAAUUAAAUUUCGGGUCAAAUCGGGUCAUUUUCGAGUUAAUCAGGUACUGAAUAGGUUGGGUUCGGGUUAAAUUUUUUAACCCAUUUCGGGUUCGGGUUGCCCCAAAGACUGGAUCCGGUAAGAAACCCUGACUCAUUACCCGAAAUUGCCACCUCUAUGCGAGACUAUUAAUUAAUUCCUUCAUUUCCGCACAAUGUUCUCAUAAUUUAUAUUAUUAUCUGAAUAUUAGAUAUUAAAUUAUAUAGAUAUAAACUAUAUUCCACAAAUUAAAGACGACGCCUAAAAGUUCAUAAAUCUAACCAGAAUAUACCCCAUUUUUCCUACAAACUUGUGUGGAAAAGAAUUGCAUUCCAUCAUAACUACCAGAUCCAAAAUUCUUAGGGAUUAAUACUGCAGAUAUGAGUUUUACUUCUAUAAAAAAGGCCCUUUCAAGUGACAUGGAUAUUCACUUCAUCCAUUACAUUUUACUAACAGAGUAGAAUAUAGUUGUGCAAGACAUAUGAAAUGGCAGACUGAUGCAUAAAAGUUGGCUCAUUAUGUUGUAAGAGGGUCCAAAUUUGAUGCUGUCUAAAUCACUCUACGUUACGAUAAAACAAAACAUAAUAGAGCUUACCUUUGUUUCAGUCUUUUGCUUUUUAGACGGAGAUACUGUAGAAGGUGAAUCCAUAACUUCAGCCUGCCAGCAUUUAUCAACUAUAUGUUCACUAGCAGGGAAGAGAUAUCUAUCUCUGGCAGCAGAAUUCUCGAUAGCAACCAUAGCAGCAUGGUGAAAAGGGUGGCGAAAACAACUUGCUUGGGACUGUUGUUCAGCCCACUGCCAAGGAUGUAAACAAGAAACGCCACCAUAUGUUCUCUUCUGUUCAUUGAAGGAAGAGUUUGAACUUGAAUUUGUAUAGGUUUGCAGUCCAUUACUGAUGGAAGAAGAUGUCAAUUUACAUGGUUCUAGGUACCCUUCUCCAGCACUAUUCCUUGAAGGAUUAUUCUGCGAAAAAACCUGAUCACACGAUCUUGCUACCACUUGAUUAGAUGCUGGAUUAACAAUAACAGCAGCAUUUACAAUCUGCAAGGCAGAAGCAGAUACCAUGUGGCAAAAGAAUAAGCCGUCCACUAAUAAAGGUAAUAAUUUAAACAUGGUAGCUAUGCAUGUUUGACGUUAUCAAGGGUCCAGCUUUCAGUUUUAACUUACAUUUGACUUUUAUAUGGCUCUGCAAGGGACUUUGGUCAAUUUUUUCACGCAUGGGGUUAUAUAUGGACAUUGAAAGUUUAAUAUAGUUUCCAGGAACAGGGUACUUUUAUGAUAUUCAUAAAGUUGACUUGUAUGCAAAUUAAAUCUCUGUAAUAAGAGAAAUUGCAAGUGUAUGCCUGAUUAUCUCAGACUAAAAUGCACACAAAAUACAAAGGGACUUGUUCACUACAUACCUAAUCCUAUAUAUUCAUCUGUUCAUUAUUAAGAGUACGGAAAAGAUAAGGCCUCUUUCUGAUAUAUAAAACUAAAUUAAGGAUUUCAGGUCCAGCCCCUAAGCAUCUGUAAUAUGGUAUAAUUAGUGAUAAAGGUAGAUAUUUACCUGACCAUCAACAGAUUUUGCCAAAUCAAUAGCUAAUUUCAUGAACUCACAAACUGAUUGUGAGUUUUCUUCACUAAAUCCAGUGAUGCCGUCUAUGUUGCUGUGCAAAAAAAUGAAACAAAUACAUAUCAAUUAAUCAGGAUACAAUUUAGACAGUAAAUGAACCUUUUGACAGUUAAAAAUCAGUUCAUCUCAUGUUCAAGUUCAAUUUAAUUACUAAUCUUUGACCUUUUCAGCACUUGCCAGUUACUAAGCAAAACUAACUAUACUGGCAAAAAUAUGUACCGUAUCAUGCACAACUGCAAACCAAAAAUUUGGGUAUAGUAAAACAAAGGUGAAACUAAUACAAACGAGAUACCAAAUGAUAUGUUCAUUACUGAUUUAUUACGCAACCAAUUAAUCAACUGAAAACAUUACAAAGGGCAAGUAACUAGUAAUUCAGCUUAUGACAAACAAGGUCUUGCUAUAUCCGUAGGUGUUUUAAAUCCUAAAAACUUUCUGACAAUAUUUCUUUGAGAACAAAAAAAAUUUCACAGUUAGAGAUUUGAGAAUUAAAGUUGCAGAAGCUAACUGGCAAUACUACACCUGUUGAAAAGGUACAGAUGCUAUACAAUGCUGAUGUUAAUCAUGGGAUUAAGAAAUUUUAAUUACUAGUUAUUUAUGUUUUUAUUUCAGAAAAUAAUUAAUUGUAAUUUGGUGAUAUAUAAUUAUAUUAAUAUGUAUAUAUUCGAAAUAUAUUAGAUUAUAUAAUGGAACAAAGAAAUUCUUUUCUUUAAUACUCACAGCAGUAAAUUAACAAUGGAAAGUAUAUAUACAUAUAGUUUUCUUUCAUAUAGUUUUCUUUUUAUUAGAAAUUUACUUGGUUUCCAACUUCCAAGUAAUAAUAUUUAGAGAAACAGUUGUAAAUUGUAAUCUCACUAUUAGAGAAUAUGAUCACUAUAAUAAAUUUACUGGAUAAAUCUGAAAAUUGUUUGCAUUUCUACUGGUUCUGUUGAAAUGUUCCAUCAAAUUUUCUGCCAACCACCAUUACUUUUAAUAUUUUGAACUAGAAAGUAGGUUACCGAUGUGAUGAAAUACUGCCAGAAUCGUCUAGACAUAAAAAAAGCACUUAUCUCUUCAAAGAGAGUUGUGGUAUAGUUCAUUAGCAAUAUAAAGAUAAAUGGUGAUUCCAAAAAAAAAUUAGCUUAAAUCAACAGAGGCAAGAAACUUAACGCCUAAGAGGAAAAAGUUUAAAAUUUAGAUGAUCCAGCCAAACAAACUGAUACUUUAAGUGAUUUAAUAAUAGCAAGGUAAUUAUAUUUUGUAAGAAACUACUUAGCUAAGAUCACAAACCACAUACUAGGUUGGUGGAUGAUAUGAAGUUGGCCAUAGCUUGCACUGUUCUUCCCAUUCUUCUUUUGAUGUAGCUGCAUAUUUGGAUACCUAACAAGUUGUGACAAAAACAAAGAAACUUACCACUAAUUACCAGAAUAAACUACUAAUACGACAUACAUAAACUACUGAUACGGCAUAAAUCGGGAAUAGAGACUAGAAAAGUGGCUAGAUAAAAAAAACUUAAUUACAAGGUCAAGAAGAUGCAAUAAGAAGUCAGCAGCGAUCAUAAAUUAUGUUCAUCAAGCAUAUCAAUGACUCUUGAAAAUGUCUGUAUAAGGCAGUCAAUCCUAUCAUUUACAAUUAUCCCUAUUUUCAAGCCCUUCCCAAAUCAAUGUGCUUAUGCGUGGUGUAGGAUAAUUACAUGAAUCACAUAUACCAAUGACUACAAGAAAUCAAAAAGACCAGGGUGAUAUGACCACAGAAGGAUCACAACGCUUAUAAUUAUGCAAGUGUGAGCACAAUAUGGCGAUGAAAUCAGUCACUAACUGAAAUGUACUAAAUACAAAUAAUACAUUUUAUCGCUAACCAAAAGCAUAACUAGGGAUAAAACUAAUAUCUCAAGGAACAGCCCGUACUCUGUUAGUAAUCUAAUGGAUUAAAACACUUCAAAGUUCUUUGGACAGCUAAUUGCACGAACAGAUACAACCCUGAAACUAAUAAAAAGAAAAGACGGAAUAUAAAGUAAAAAUUAAAGGGUGACCUACUUUUGUGAUAAAUGUACUCAACUGGUAUGACUUGAUUAGCUCGCCCAUUUCACUGGGUAUGUUUUCCGACUGGUCACUCACAUCAGAAGCCAGACAUAAUAUCACCAAUAACUGAACGGUUCCUGUAGAUUUUUAAAUGCUUAUAGUCACCACCGUAUUCCUAUGGGUCACAACAUAUGCAUGAUCAGACAUAUACUAAAUUAAAUAUUGAAAGAAUGCAGCUCCUGUAUCCUCUUUAUUUUUUAGUUUUUUUUUAUGUUGCAAUUUUUUUGCAUUUGACAUUCAUAAGAAAGCAAGUCCCAUUGGUACUCAAUAACAAGUUAAAAGUACCAAAAUCAAUCGACACAUUUAUCUCCUAGAGCAUAAACAGAUUAUAGAUCCUUACUUUGAUGUUUAUCUAUUAUAAACCCACAGGAAGCAAGGCAUAUGAUAUCGCAUACGUUGGUAUCAGAGUUUAAGCACACCUUCAACACACUUCUUGCAUAUGCGCUUCACAUGGCGAAGAUCUUCGAGUGGAGAAAUCUUAUUCAACCUCCUAAUAACAUUCAAUUUGUUUCACAUGUCAAGCUAUAACAAUCCAAAUUUAAGUAAUAUGCACUUUUUUCAAGUAAAUAUAACUAUGACAAAUGUGCAAUAUGGCAGCAAAUUUCAGAUUUUGGCUUUAGACAAAAAAAAUUCUCUUCUAUUAAUAAAUAAAUGAUCUCAUUUGUCACUUUUUCGGCGCAAAAAAGUAAUUCUUGUUUUAAAUUAUCCAUAUUAAUUACAGACUUUAGUAAGAACUAAUGGCACGAGAUUAAAAUCAUUUAACAGACUUUAGUAAGAACUGAUGGCAAGAGAUUAAAAUCAUUUUUUAAUAGUCUUACAAGUUGUUACAUUGAAGAAAAAACUUUUAAAAUACAAUUUUUUUUGUGAAAUGAAGAGAUUAGGUAAACAUAAAUCAACAAGGACCUAAAAUAACAGUCACAUACCUUAUAAGUGUGUUAGCAUGUUUUGGAUUAAUUACUGUCGCAUAGGCAUUCACUGUACCAGUACAACAACAAAGCAUUAUAAGAAUUCAAUGCAUAGAUAAAUAUACACAAACAUACACACACAACAGAAAACUAUAACUGACCACUACACAUAUUAAAAGACACAAUCCCUUGUCUAAAGUUUCAAUUUGUACUACUCCAAGUCUCCAACAAUCUCGACUGAGAUGGAAAAGCUAAAACAGCCCUUUAGAUGUAAUUAUGAUUUACCAAAGACACACAAAUAUGUUUUAUCAUAUGUUGCCAAAAUUAUCAAGUACAUCAUAAAUGUUUACCUGUGGGUUGCAAAUGUGGUGGAAUAGGUGCCUUGUCUGGAAUGUGAAUAAUUUUCCAAUACUCCUCCUUAUCGAUGUUUCUAUCUGUACUUGGCAUUUACUGAAAUUCAAUAUAUAUUGAAGUCUUAAUUUUCUGAGGAAAAGGACGCUCUACCAAAACAAAACGUUCGGGAAAAUGAAAAACAGCAUACAGCUAGAAGUAUUAGUUGAUAGUUUAAGUAUAACAGUGUUGGUCAAAAUCUAAAGUUCUAAUCAAAACUCCGGGUCAUCUGGAAUCAAGAUUCUAAACAAGUUCCACAGAGCCCGGUGAAAUCAACUAGGACUUGGAUACUUUAGGUAAUUACAACUUCAUCUUUGUCAAAAAAAACAGCAAUGAUGGGUGGUUACGAUAAAGACUAGAGAUUUGAGUUUAAAGAAUCUACUUUAGUGAUUCCACACCCAAUUCAUUUGUACAAUAGCUAUGUUUCAUGAUCAGGAUCGGCUCUAGGGAGUUUUAGGCAUGGUUUAAAAAUAGUUUAGUGGCAUGUCUUCAAAUAAUUGCUAAAAAUACAAGUAGAUAAACUGAAUUUGGUUAAGCAUUAAAAUUCAAAUCAACCAUCAAGAACAAGCAAACUAUUUCCCCUACUUGAGAAAUCCAAACCAUAUAAUUUACACUGGUGAAACAAUACAAUCAACAACUAAGCUAUUAAAAUAGGGAAAUUCCUAAUGGUACCAUUCUAGAAUUGGCUUUUCCAAAUGGUACCAAUGACUAUUUUGGGCUUCCAAGUGAUAACACCCAACUUUUGACUUCAUCCAUCACAUACCACUAUGUUAAUCAAACGUUAAUCAAGCUGUUAAGUAGUAAUUAAAACAAUAUUUCCCUCCAAAAUACUGUUACCAGCAAGUUAAUACAAUAUCCAAAACAACCAACAAGUCUGAAUCAAUAAUGAACUACAAGAGUUUCACAAAUUUCCCAAAAUAUGUUCUAACCAUUUAAAGCAUAAUAAGCAUAAUAAAACAGGUCUGAUUUAAGGCUGGGAUUGAGAUGGUGGACAUUGAGACAUGUUGAUUUCAGUGGACUGUGAUAUGUUGCCCUUCUUAGUCUGAUCAGAAAACCUUUCAAACAUUUUCAUUAAAUCCUUAUCUGACUCUAACUUGUGAUGCUUCAUCAUAAAUGCAUAAUCAAAUGUUGGAUAAGCAUAAUCUAACUUCAACCUCUGUUUUUUCCCUAACUCCUCAUACUCAACAAUAAUGUCCAGCAGUGAGGUUUUAUCUACAUCAACCUUAACCUCUACAUGAGUACCCAUCCAGUGAAAAAUUAAUACUUUCUCCGUCUGCACAUAUGUUGACAAUCAUAUUACACCCAAUGCACCAGUUAACAGUUAUGAGUAUUAUACAUAUCAAUGUAUAUUAUGCAAACCCAAAAAACCUCAUUAAUAGGGGAGUCAAAAAUUGUUCACUAUCAUACAUAAACACAUAUACACUGAUAAACUCGCACAUAUACACAAAUAAACCCUAAAACAAUAAAUUAAGCCGCGAAAGAUAUAUAUGUAUCGAUUAUAUAGAGUAAUUGAAGGUGAAAUGCUACCUUAUACUUUAAUCAGUGUUGAAUUAAGUGGUGAGUGGCUGUAUUGUUCACUAUCUCGAUCGAUCCCCUCUUUCCAUGGAACCCUAAUUCUGUGUGUGUGUUUGGUUCUGUGACAUUAAACUCUCGAACCUGACUAAUGACCCAAAUUCAUGUUUUUUUUACUUUUAAUUCAUUUUAUUUUAAUUACUUUUUUUAAUUAAAUCAUAAUGGAUUAACGUUUUAUUAACCUUAACUAAACGGAGUGGUAUGUGAUGGAUGAAGUCAAAAGUUGGGUGUUACCAUCUGGAAGCCCAAAAUAGUCAUGGGUACCAUUUGGAAAAGCCAAUUCUACAAUGGUACCAUUAGGAAUUUCCCUAUUUUAAUAGCUUAGUUGUUGAUUGUAUUGUAGGCAAUUAGGCAUGCUAUUCCCUUCACAGACUGACAGUAUAGGGACACAACAAUUAUUAAUGGCUACAUUAGUAAUCAACUCAAUGCUACUCUGUUGUGUAAUUCGAAACCUUCACUUUAAAAUGGUCUGAGAUUGUUUCGGUACGAAACUUGUAAAUCUUUUACGGCUCCUUUUGUUGCUCCAUUCUUGUAAAUCUUUUACGGCUCCUUUUGUUGCUCCAUUCUGACAUGUAUACUUGAACUUCUAAUUUUUGAGGAUUACCUCUUCUUUAUUUGAUUUCGUUUUGACAAUUUUACUUCUAAUCAGGAUGAUGUUCCAAAUUAGGCUACCACAAUUCAAAUUUCAAAGGAACCCGGAACCCCCAAUUAUCAAUCUCUUUACACAAAAUCACAAAAGAUACAAAAAGAUUACAGAAUAACAAUUUAUCCAAAAAUCAAUCAAAAUAUCAUACCUUGAAAUUUGGAAAACAAGUGAGAUCGUAAGGCACCGUAUUGAAUCUAGAGAGGGAGUUGUGAUUGUGGGCAGUCAGUGAGGAUGACUUAGGGUAGACUGUGACACUGUUCUUCAGCGUAAGUUGUGACUGGCUUCCCUUUUCUUUUCUUUUUCCCUCUUUGUUAAAUUACUUAAAGUUAUUUAUUUUUUUAUAAUAUUUGUUUUAACUUGUAAAAUUUUAUUUUUAUUUUUUAGUUACUACUUUCUCCGUCCAUUUUUAAUUGUGAAUUUGACUUUUACACUCAAAUUUAAGCUGAUUAAAAAAUAUAAUUCUGCUUAAUAUUUUUAACAUUUUUUUUAUAUGAAUAAAAAUAUAAACUAUAAAUUUUAAUUUAGAAAAAAAAUUGUAAAAUAAUAAGUGAAAAUAUAUUUUUUAAUCACCCAAAAUUACGUGCAAAAAGUCAAAGUGACAACUAAAAAGAGACGAAGAAAGUAUUAAAUUUUAUAUUAAUACUCAUUUCGUAUCUUUUUAGUUGUUGCAUUUGACUUUUGACCAGUCAAAUUGACCAAAGUUUAACUUAAAUUUUUUAAUAUUUUAUCAAUUGAUAAAAUAAAAAAAUAUAUGUCACCAAAUACAGUUUUUAAUCAACUCUAAUAUUUAUUUUGGGUUUUUAAAAUAAUAUAAGAGUGACUUACAAUCUUUGAUCAAAUAAUUGGUCAAUUUGUCCGACAAAAAUAGAAAUAUUAUAAUAAAAUGGGACGAAAGAAGUAUAUAUUAUGGGCAAUGCUAAAGACCCCAAAUUUUUUCCCCAAAAUUUGUUACCAAAUGACGUGGCUAACAAGUGGCGGAAUUUGAUUGGGUGAUUGAUGCAUCUGCAGGGGGUGCCUCAUUAUUAUGGGAAUGAAUGCAACCAAUAAGAUUUCACCACGUCAUUUGGGAAAAAUUUUUGGGAUAAAUAUUUUGUGGUCCCUAGCAUUUUCCAUAUAUUAUAUAGCUAAGUGUAUAUAAUACUUGUGAAAUGCUGCCAUACUGGAAUUAUCGGACGCUAUAAAUUUAUGUUGCCCACUUGCCCUACGUAAACCGGCUUUAAAGUUAUGGAUUUGAGAUGCAAUGAAUAAUUAAAAAAGUAUCGACCCAGCAAAAAAGGUAAACAUUAGAUCGUGGUCAAUAAUCGAGGCUGCUUUAGAAGCAAAUUACGGUGUUCAACGUGGGAAUGUAUAAUGUCGGCCAAUAUUUAGCAAACAAUUAGAAUAAGGUGCGGUUUACACAAGUGAUAGAAAAUAAAAAUUUGAAUUAAAUUUUUUUUUUUUUACAAAUGCAACAAGAUUUCAUUAACUUAAAUAUGAUACAGGUAGGGCUGCACAUGGGCUGGGUUGGGUCGGUUUCGCCAUUCAAGCGACCCAACCCAUUUAGUACGGGUUACAAAAAUUUAACCCAUUAAUCAUAAAAAGAAUUAGAAACCUAACCCUACUAAUUGUAUGACGGGUUGGGUUGGUUAGGGUAGGGUUGAUCGGGUUGAAAAAAUUGCAAGAUAAGAAUAAUCCAAAAUAUGUUUUGCACCAUUUUGUUGUAUACAAUUAGCAAUAACGUAGGACACUGCACCGAUACAAAAUAUCAGGUGCUUUUAGAGUGCAGAUAUUCUCAUCAUACUAAGGUGUACAGCUGAAUCUUAAUACACUAAUAACUAUUAAAAAUCAAGUAUACGCCAUGAUAUAUAAUCAUAAGAACUAGUAAUGUGAGUCGUUUGAUUUGAACUAUAAAGCUUUAUUUCUAAUUGUUUCUGCACACUGCACUACACUCACUGCACAUUCUAUCAUCAAAUAAGUACAUAUAGUUCUGUAAGCAACCAAAAAUAUUCUACUCCCUCAGUCUCUUAUUACUUUUCCUGUUUCUCUCUAGCACGUUUGCCAAUACACACUUUUGAUCCUUAAUAUCAUUAAUUUUGUAUUAAUGAAACAUUAUUAAUACAAAAUUAAUGAAGAUGAUGUACUAGAUCACUGAAACAUUAUUUUUUUUAUUAUAUUUAUAAAACAAAUAUUGUUGGACUUGCUCGAGUGAAAUAGGAAACCGGACACACUAAAUGCGGAGCACGCAGUCUAGGGCGAGUGAGAUGUGACAGAUAGUGUAAUAAGCAAGUUGGAGAUGCUGUGUAUAUAAUUCAUGUCCUUUGUUAUUUUCCACCUUUUGCUUUCUCUUCCCUCCAAUCUCACAUUUUUUCUCCUCUCUCCAUAUAAUCUUGAUUAUUUUUCCCUCCCUCCCUGGAUCUCUAACUCUCUUUUGUCUGAUCAUCACACCAUCAUCUAAAUUUGUAUACAUAUAACAACAACAAAGAUCCUUGUUGAAGAAAAUGACUCCAGCAAAUACAGGUGGGCAGUUUGGAGACACAACUUACACAAAAGUGUUUGUGGGGGGUUUAGCCUGGGAGACGCAGAAAGAAACCAUGAAGAUGUAUUUUGAGCAGUUUGGUGACAUCCUGGAAGCUGUUGUUAUUACUGAUAAGACCACCGGCAGAUCCAAAGGAUAUGGCUUUGUAAGUUUUAUUUUUUCUCUAUCAUAAUUAUUAAUAUAUGUGUACACAUAUAUGUACUAGAGAGAGUGUAAGAUCUAGAUGAUGGGGAUAUUGUUGAAAUUAUAAUCUCAUUUUUGGUGGAUGUUUUUGAUCAGUAUGGUUGACUCUAGUUGUUGUGAAAUCAGGUAACUUUUCGUGAAGCGGAGGCAUCCAUGAGAGCAUGCGUGGAUGCUGCACCUGUGAUCGAUUGACUCGUUCGAGUCCGGAAACAAUUUGUAGCUUUUAAAUGAAGGAGGGCUAAUUGUAAUCUUGCUUCUUUGGGUGUCCAAAGAUCCAAGCCUUCCACUCCAAAACAUGGUACUCAUUCCAAUCUUUUUCGUCUUGGGGUAAUAACACUACUAGAAAAAAGGGCUUAGACAUCGGCUAAAAACCGAUGUCUAUUGAAAACAGGACCGAUGUCUUCGCAUGUGAUGUAAAAGGUAGGGGUCUUAGACAUCGGUUUAUGACCGAUGUCUAGAACCACCUUUCACAGCAGUUCUACUAAAGAACCAGAUGUCUAUGCAUUGAAAAUCAUCUUUUUUUACAUGAUUCUAAUAUGAAAUAUGGUAAUAAUAGAGGCUGAAUAUGAUCUUAAACAUGAGACACACAAGAGAAAAAUGAACACAUUUGCAGUGGAACUGAUGUAAUAUUCAUUUUUAACAUCAGUUACCUAAACUAACCGAUGUAAAUUACUUUGUUUCACAUCAUCUGUUUAAAUUAGACGAUGUCUAUGUUCGUCUUUCACAUCAGUUCUUUAUUUCAGUUGAUGUCUAUAGUUUUCUUUUACAUCAUCUCUUUAUAUCGGUUGAUGUCUAUAGUGUUUUUUUACAUCAGGUUACUUUUAAAUCCAUUGUCUUUCUGUAGUUUAGACAUCAGUUUUUCAAAGAAGUGAUGUCAUUUCACAUUUUUUAGUCCAUGUUCCACCUGCUUAUAUAACAUGCCCAAAUGUAAAAUUAAAAUCUCAAAACAAAUCAACAAUCAAAUUUCCCAAGCAACAAUAUCACCAAUUACCAAACAUAUUUGCAUUAAUCCACCAACUAAUUACAUAAUUCACCAACAAGCAAUACUAGUACUGAUGCCAACUAAUUCAAAUUAUCCACAACACAACCAAUACUAGUAGUACUUCAAUUCACAAGUCUGCAUUGCCAUUAACUACACAUUAUACUCCCAAAAUCAGCAGUAGACUUCUAAACGAAACCUAAAGUCAGAUUACUCCUAAAGUCAUUGCAACUACAUGAAUGAUUCAAUAUGGCUAAGAGCCUCAAACCGGACCUCAUCAAGCUCGGCUUCCGAACAAAUCAGCUUACGCGUCUUAAGAGCCCACUGAAAUGUAAAACAAAUAAAAUUAUAAAUUAUCCAACUGCACACAUAUAUAUAUAUAUAUGACAAUUACAAAAUCUAAGGAAUGUAAAUACCUUCUUUAAAAAUGACAGUUCAUGGUCCAUUAUAAUUUCUCUCAUGUAGCGCAUAACUACAUAGCCACAUUCAAUCCCACCAGGUUGUUUGGGACAUCCCUGUUUAAAAAUAAAAUUAGAAUAGUAACAUACCUAUAUAAUAAUACCGUAUUAACUGAUCCUAAUUAAUAGAAAAAACAAAGGUUAUACCGGCAUAUAUUUGAUACUAGGGGCUUUAUUUCCCCUCCCAGCCUGAACAUUAAAAGUAAUCAUCGCCCUGCAGUCACGUGUGGUGGUGACAUUAAUUAGUGCAAAAUAAACGAUAUUUCAAUAAUUAAAUAUAGCUCUGUAUCAAAUAAUGGAAAUACCUAGUCAGUGCUUUUUCCAACUCAGGAAAAUUAGUUCCUCGAGGCAAAGGAUUGAGUACAAAUAUUUCUCCAGCCCAUAAUAUGACCAAUAUCCAGUGACAACUAUGUUUAUUACAAAAAAAUUUUAAUUAGUAGGAAAAGCCGGUCAGGAUUAGAAAAAUAUCCAAUGGCCAAUAAGGACGGAGUACUUACUUGGUAUUAUAGGGUAGUAGGAAAAGCCGGUCAGGAUUACCCUCUUUCAAACGAUUCACCAAGUUACGUUCAAUAUCUGUACUGUUGGUGAAUAUGGUUGCGGGAUCACAAAAAGCAUACAUUUCCAAUUCGUCAUUGUCACGAACCACCGUAUGCAAGUACCUGCAUUAAAAAUCAAAAAAAAUAUUUAUUUUUCAAAAUAAAUAUGCACACAAGCAAAUAAUAUGAGACAGGGCAGAAGCGACAAGAAUAAAUUGGAAAGAUUACUUACGCCAUGUAUGCAGAUAGUGCACCUUGCCCAAUCAUUUGGAACUCGAGCAAAGCAAUUAUAUUCUCAGCCAAUAUAAAAAUUGUUUUCUCAGCACCAAAAACCUCGGCAUCACAUGGCAUUUGUAUCGAACCCCCGCUGGACUUCAUGAAUGUUGUUGCAUGUUUAUACAACAAGCGAAAGCGCUGUGGAACUUUCUUAUUGAUCUCGACACUCUUAAACAAUCUUUGCACCUUUUCCAACUCAGUUUUAGGUUCUUUUUCUUUUCUCUUUUUUUUCUGCAUAUAUAAAGCAAAUGAUUUCAAUAUAACUUAGACCACUAAUUUUUCUCCUAUUUUUCUGCAAAUAUAAAGAACCUAUAAUCAUGCAUACCUCGACAACUGGGGCAUUUGGGAGUAUGAUCAAGUCUCGGGGCCAUGACACAUAAGACCCAACAGCUUGGUCCACUGUCUCGAUUUCACCCUUUAUGGGGAUUGGAAUCAAGGCGUCUCCUUGAAUUGCGCCAUCCACCGAGACACGAGCACAUCCGGGCUGCAAAGCCACUCCAUGUAUAGACUUGUUCAUGUUUUCAUCAUCAAAUAGCAAGCCAAAUGCCACCUUGUUUUCUAUGGUUUCCACUGCCAACUCACAUUUCUUCGGCCCCUGCACACAUUUAAAUUAAAGAAAUAAUAGGAACAUAGGAGAUACCUUUGACAAACUACAAAAUGCACAAGUUAUAUUACCUUAUUCUCUGGUGGAACUGCAGCAUACUCAAUAAUAGCUACAUCAUCAUCGAGAAGAUUUUUUGCAAUUGCUGGCUUAGUUUUUUCAGGCUUAGCUUUUUGCGCAUCUUCUGCCUUCGAAUCACAACUUGCUUUAUCAGACAACAUAGGAGAUGAAACAUUUGAUUUAAGAAUUGUCCUCAGUUCAGCCAUCUCCUUCCGUGUCUUUUCAAUCUCCUCAGCCAUGUCCUGCUUGGCUUUCUUCAACUCUUCGUCCCUCUCUCGAUCACGGGCUAACAACUCGGCUUUGGUUAUUCUACAGCGCUUUCCAUUCGGUAUGUUGAAGAAUACUGAUGGGCUGACGAAGCUACCAACUCCACGAACCCUUCCUGAAUGUUCGGGAGUUUCUAAGGCUGUAGUCAAUACAUCGUCACUUCCGCAAGGAUUAAAUUCUCCUUUACUUUGCUUCUCCAAUAAAGUAUCCUUUCAUAAAAAAAUUUGCAUUCAAAUUAAAAUUGCAUUCGCAGUGCUGAUUAAUAAUGACUAUGCUAUUUACUUUUUAAAUACUCACAAUUGUUUUACAUAUGUCUUCAAGAUCUGAAUCAACCUCUUCUUCAGGUUUUAGUUUGCGAGCCUUUUUCCACAACACAGCACGAUCAGGAAUUUCUCCAGGCUCCAAAUUUCCAUUCUUUUGCUGAUGAAAAUGAACACAUGAUUAAAGUACUGACAUAGGUAAAAUGAAGCAAUCCAAUUACAAUGUGUAGUUGUUCUUACUUCUUCUUCUAUUAAUCCAAUAUAACCCUUCCUCGACGUGCGGUGAUGGUAUUUUCUAUUUUUCACUCGUAAACUUUGUUUUGCACUAAGUGCCUGCAACAAAAAUUACAAACAAUAUUUGCAUAUUAUGGAAAUAUUACCUGCCAGAAAUGGAAAAAUUAACAAAACUUGUAGAAAUGGAAAGAUGUAAUAUUACCUGCCAGUCCCUAGUGGUCCUCUCAGCAACAAAUUUUUUCCAAGCCUCUUUACCAAUAAAAGCAUACUGCUUUGGAGGCUUUCUUAACUUUUUCUUAUUUCCAACAUUCGGCUUCACGUAAUCCUUAGUUAAAUUCGCUUUAAAUUGUCUCCACUUUGCGGAUGCAGACUUUAGCACCGCAUUCUUGAGUUCCUUGGGAAUUUUGAAUGUGUCCUGCAAUCAACAUUAUUCCGAUCAAAAGCAUAUCCAGCAGCUUAUAUAAUUUAAAAACAUAAGAAUUCAAGAAUUUAGAAACCUGAAUAUCAAGCCAUAAUUUGUCUUUUAAUUCAGCAUCUACACUUGGCCAGUUCGGAUGGUUGAUGGGAAUCAUCGUCCUAGCAAGCAUCCCGGUAUAGGACUGUAGUACGUGCCUAUUCUCCCCGAUGGGAACUCCAAGUGAAUUGCAUGUGACCUUAGUUUUCUUUCCCUGUGCCUUCUUCACUACCACUUUGUACAUAGCGGAAACACCUCGGGCACUGCCAUACCUUUUUUUUGCAGAUUCCGUACUUGUAACUGUUGCUGCUGUUUGUUCUGACAUUUCAGGUUGAGGUUCACUUGAUGCCUUUGCAUUUUCCAUUUCUGCAACACCUUUAUCUAAUUCUUCAUCUCCCUGAUUGGAAUCAGGUCCUUCUCGGAAUUGUACUUUGGAUUUCUGCUUUUUAGGUGUCAUUUUUCUUCUUCAAUCUGAAAAACAAGACCAUAAAAUCAUUAACCAUGGCAUAUUAAUCAAAUAGUAAUGCACAUGUAUUUAUACAAGAAUAUUAAAACAGAUGCAUGAUAGUAAUAUAUUAAAUUGAAUAGCAAAUGUGCAGUAAUAGUUAAAUCAAAACCGAUACGAGAAUUAAAUAGCAGAUGCAUGACUAAAAGUCUAAAACAUCAUUACACAUAUCAAAAACAGAUACAAGAAUUAAAUAACGGGGAAAGACAAUGUGUUUUGGACACAAAUAAAAAACAGAUACGAGAAUUAAACACAUAUCAAUGUUUAACCCAAGUUCCCUCAAUAUUAUUCCUAAUACUAUGCUGAACAUCAUCAGGUACAUCACACGUAGGAAUUUCUGAGCAGAAUGGGGGAUUUUCCAUGAUUGUGUCUCCUAAAUCAUCAUCAUUAUACACCUCUUGAUAAUCUCGGGUGGUAGAGGUUAAUACAACAGACCAUUUGGCAUCGACCGGAUCUUCAACAUAAAAAACUUGUUUAACUUGAUCAGUAGAGACAUAUUUAUCUUUCUUGUGCCCUUGUCGACUUAGAUCCACAAGUGUGAACCCAAGGUCAUCCACCUUUAUGCCUUUGUCAUUGUCUGCCCAGUUACACAAGAACAAUGGGGCCUUGAAUGCAUGAUAAUCCAGCUCCCAUAUUUCUAAAAUCACUCCGUAGAAGGUCAUAUCACUCUCCACGGGAUUUUUAUCCUUGGCACUAGACACUUGGACCGUCUUAGCAACUAAUGACACGCCACUGUUUUGAACAACCCUGACAUGGUCUCGAUCCUUUGUAAAGUAUCGAACCCCGUCAACUAGAUAAGCUUCGUAAGUAAAAACAGAAAAUGAUGGCUUUCCGGCUAGCCAUCUGAUGGUAUCUGAAAUGUCUUGGGGAUUCUUCAUCAUUUCACUACUAACCUACAAAUUGUAACAAACAAAAAAUCAACUCAAUUCUAUAUUAAUUACUACGCAGCCACUAAAGUGUGCACAAAAGGAAACGCUAAAAAAACUAACUUUUUGCUCAAACCAAUCAGCAAAUAGCCGAUUGUGCUCUCUCAAGAGCCAAUGCAGACUUUUCUUUUUUCCUCGGUAUAUUUCCUCUAGAUGCUCCUUAUGCAUUCUGUGAAAAUGAUUAUAAUUAAACAACAAUACAAAACUUGGACAAAAAAGUGAAGAAUUUACAAGGAUAUUAAAUUCUUACACGAUGUAUGGAUGUACUUCAGGAUUGUUUAGAAGCACAUGUAAAUGAGCCUCAUCUCGCUCUUUUUCUUCAAUUGAUUUCAUUAUCACAACAGAUAAUGGACCACUUAGCUUUCCUGCAUCUUUGCGAAUACCAGCAGUGGUGCAACUUUGAUUAACAAACUCUUGGCAGAAUUCUACCGACUCUUCUCCGAGGUAGCUUUCUGCUAUACAACCUUCGGGAUAAUAACGGUUUCUUACGUAACUCUUCAAUACCUUAUUAAACCGUUCAGAAGCAUACAUCCACCUAUAAAACACUGGCCCACAUAACCGUAAUUCCCGAACCAAGUGAACUACCAGAUGUAUCAUUACAUCAAAAAAUGAUGCUGGAAAGAUCUUUUCCAGGUCACACAAGGUCACUAUGACAUCUGUUUGUAACUUAUCUAGUUUCGACACGUCUACAAUUUUGCAGCAUAAAGCAUUAAAAAAGAAACAUAGUCUUAUUAUUGUGACCCUCACAUGUUUGGGAAGAACCGAACGAAUUGCGACAGGAAGUAAUUGCUGCAGUAGGAUGUGACAAUCAUGGGACUUCAUCCCAAACAUCUUCAAUUCAUCCAUCGAAACACAAUUUUUUAUGUUCGACGCAUGUCCAUAGGGAAGUUUCAUAUGCAUUAAUGAUGAUAAAACUACCUUUUUUUCAGCCUUUGACAAAUUAAAAACAGAAGGAGGCAAGUAGGUCUUCCUAACUCCGACUUCAGGAGCUAAAUCAGCCCUGACCCCCAUAUCAAUCAUGUCAAGACGAGAAGCAGCCGUAUCUUUAGACUUAAAUUUCAUAUUCAAUAAUGUGCCAAUCACACUAUCACACACAUUCUUCUCGACGUGCAUGACAUCAAGACAAUGACGAACAUGGUGAAACUUCCAAUAUUCCAACUCAAAAAAAAUCGAUUUCUUCUUCCAUGGACAGUCCACCUUCUUUGACUUUCUUCCUUCCCUCCCAAAUUCAAAUUUAAUCCGUUCUUGCUGCGCUAAGACCUCUUCUCCAGAAAGAGGUUGCCGUGCGUGCCCCAACUCCUGUUCUCCAUUAAAUGCUGCCCGCUGCCUCCUAUAAGGAUGAUUUCUAGGCAAAUAACGUCGAUGACCUAAAUAACACAUCUUCCUACUAUGGCUCAAAUAUUUAGCAACGGUAUCAUCCCCGCAUACUGGACAACACAUAUAACCUUUAUUAACGCAGCCAGACAAGUUUCCGUAGGCAGGAAAGUCAUUUAUUGUCCAUAACAAAACUGCUCUCAAAGUAAAAUAUGAUUUACUAUGCGCAUCAUACACAUUUGGUUCGCCUUCUUCCCAAAGCUUCUUUAAAUCAUCAAUUAACGGCUGUAAAUACACGUCGAUGUUAUUACCAGGCUCAUGCGGACCGGAAACUAGUAUUGUUAACAUCAUAAACUUCCUUUUCAUGGCUAACCAGGGAGGAAGGUUAUAUAUUACUAAAACUACCGGCCAACAAGUAUAUCUGUUUGUUAGUCCAUUAUUAUGUGGAUUUAUCCCAUCUGCCGACAAAGCCAAGCGAAUGUUUUUUGCUUCGCUACCAAAUUCUGGCCACCUAUAAUCAAUAUUUCUCCAUGAAGGCGAGUCAGCGGGAUGUCGCAUCUUCCCGUCUUGUAUUCGAUGCUUUGCGUGCCAAGUCAUUUGUUCGGAGGUGGUAGGAGAUUUAAACAUUCGUCUAAAUCUAGGAAUAAUUGGAAAAUACCACAUGACUUUUGCCGGAACAUUGACUCUUUCUUUACCAUGUUUUCCUACCUUCCACCUAGAUACAUGGCACUUAGGACACUGAAAAACAUCAGAAUAUACACCCCGAUAGAGUAUGCAGUUGUUUGGACAAGAGUGAAUUUUUUCGUACUCUAGGCCUAAAUCAGACAAGGUUUUCUUUGCUGCAUAUGCAUUUUGUGGCAGGACAUUAUCUUUGGGAAGGAGUGAUCCAACAGAAGAAAGCAAAUCUGUGAAUGCACUAUCACUGAUUCCAAACCUAGCUUUCCAAUUAUGUAAUUUCAGCAUCGACUCUAACUUGGUACAUUCGCUACCAUCGAAUAAAGGUUGUUCAGCAUCAGCCAAGAACCUCCUAAACUCGUACGAUUCAUUAUCAUAGUCCCCUGAAUUAUACGCAGCAUCACAAACAUUAACUGUUUCCGAAGCUGAGGCAACGGGGGCAGCGGGGACAGGGGUAGGACCUCGGCAAUUACUAUCAACUACUGACCUAGUCCUAGACUCUUCCUUAUGCCAAAUCCAAUCAACGUACCCUAAACUAAACCCAUAUUCGUACAAAUGACCCCUGAUAAUCUUUACGGGAUAUUUCUUGAAGUUGACACAACGUGAACAAGGACAGGGGAUUUUUUUGGGGUCACAAGAGUUCUCCUCAGCAAAUAUCAAAAACUGCUCGACCCCCAUUUCAUAUUCUAGUGAAUCCCUAUCUUUCGCAAUCCAUGACUUGUCCAUGUUGUCCCCAAAGUACUACCUGAUUGUCAAAUUACUUGUCAAAUAACUUGCUAAAAUUUGCUAUCUAAAAUGACAGAUGGGUUGUGAGUGUGCCUACUUAUUAUCAAAACAGCCUAGUUACUAAGAAAAACAUAACAUAAUAGAACAUAUAUAUAUAUCAUAUCAUAUGAGCACAAACCACUCCAAUAUAAAAUAAAAUACCUAUCCUUAUAAAAUAAUCACUAAGUUGCAGACUUCUGAAUUAAGCAGAAUAGGUAAAUACAAGUAUAUCACCAAUAUACACCUUUUGUUCCAGUCUAAAACAGAGCAUUUUGAUCUGCUUUUUCUCACUGUACACCACCACAUUCAAGGUAAAAUAACUGCUAUAGAUGUUAACCUUAACAUGCUUGUGACAUUUAAAAUAACACCAAUCUAUCUUGCAAAUUAUUCUGAAUUAAGCAAAAAAGGUAUAUACAAGUGUAUCACCUAUAUACACUUCCAUUUCCAUUUUCCAGUAUUAAGUUUAGAAUUAAGGUCUUAACAACAUAGCAAUCAUUUAAACCUCGAAGAAAAUUGUGCACAUUAACAAGACCAAAGAGAAAACAGAUAGCAUAAAAUUGUGUAACACGUAUAAUUUAAAUCCACUUCUCAGUAUACUCCACAUUCAAGGUGAUCUAACUGCUACAAUAUUCUAAUUUUCACAGCUACGACACUGAACAAUAUAAGAACCAGUUUACUGUAAGUUUACUGAACAUAUAUAUACGACAUUGAACAAUAUAAAAUAGCUAUCCUUUGUAAGACCAAAAACAAAGGACACUAGCUAGCUAAUUCAAUAUACAAAACCACUCCAAUCAGUUUAUGAUAAGCAACUACAAACAUACAAAUACAUAUAAACAUACAAAUACAUAUAAACAUACUAUCUCAUUUUCCAAAAACCACAACUACAAACUAUCUCAUUUUCCAAAAACACACACUGAAAUACAUAUAUACAUACACAUACAACCACAAGGAUACCCAAACUCAAGUAAUAAAUAAGAAAUUACCUCCUCCAACUCGAAGAGAGCUUGAAUAGACUUGAACAGAGCUUGAACAGACUCCGAGCUCGAACUCCCUACAAACUCGAACUGAAGUACGAGCACCCACUAAACCCACAAACUCCACACUCGAACUGAACUCUGAGAUCUGUUGAAAAAACGAAUUAAAGAAGCAAAUGAGUAUUGUAAUCGAACAAACAUCAGUUUAUUAGGUACAAAUCAACCUUUAUCGCACAAAUUUAAGGAUGAAAUCGGCCGAAUUGGAACCUAGGGUUCGCUCGCUGAGAAAGGGGGAAGAACGGGGAGAGAGAAUGUAUUUUGUACAAAUGAUUUAAUUUAGGUAGUUUUAUUAGUUUUAUGUCUUUUUCCUUUUAAUUUUAUGUUUAAAGACAGGUGUUGAUGUCUUGUUCAGACAACACAUCAACUAAGCAGCGGGGUUUUAAAGGCGGGGUUUUUUUGUUUGUGAAAAAUUUGGCUAAGUGGGGAAUAGAAGCGGGGAAGCGCGGCCAAUUUUUUAAAAACAUGUUUUAGACAUCGGUUCUACACUAAGAUGAUGUCUAGUUUUUUAAUAGACAUCGGUUUUUAAAAUUUCGAUGUAAAAAAGGGUUUUAACAUCGGUGGUUUUUUUAACCGAUGUCUAAUCUGUGAUGUCUGAUCCUGUUUUUCUAGUAGUGUUAGGUUAAAGUACUUUACCGAGAUCUAUCAUAUUAAGUGAUCAGUUCUCCUAAAACCUGAACGUCAGGGCGCCCAUCUUUGGAAUCUACCACCAAACCCUCUAGCUACUUAUACCUAUAACUUGCCUUUCACUUCAUAGGUCAUAGCUAUUUAAUCAACCUAUAUAUACUCACUUUUCAUGAAUUCAAUAUAAAUGUGUUUGCUUUUGUCUGAUUUGGUAAUGAAGUUGGGGAAGUUAUACCGGAACUUGCAAGUACAUAUCUACACAAGUCCAGGCAGAUUUAAUUGGGAUAUUCCCCUAGUUAAGGAAAAGUAAUUCCCCUCACAGAAUAGUUGUAACUUAUUGUGAAUGAGAAGAAUGAGUGUGGUAGCCCAUUUGCCUAAGAAUUUACUUUACAGCCACAAAUAUGCUUAAGAUACAUGUUAUAAAAAAGCAUGACAGCUCAUUGCACUGUAUAUAUGUGCAAAAACAAGCCCUUUUCUUCUAUAUAAGUACAUAUUAAAGAUUAAUAGUUCCGGUGUAUAUAUUUCGUCAGUUACGUCUUUUGUGAACUUGACCCGUGUAUAUGUAUAAAGAGAUUAUGUAGUUAAUGUAAUGAAGAAGUGAAAUGAUGAUGAGCAGGAGGAGGAGGAGGGAAGAGCUUUAGGGUAAUGAGCGGUUUCCAGGCGACAGGAUUUCAAAGUGGGAUGGGAACAGCUUUUGCUUCACCAACAACCUACCCUCAUUAUGCCAUUCAACAAGGCAUCCCUUACAACCUUUAUGGGUAUUUUUUUUAUUUAUACACUCUCAUGCUUAUUCCUCUUUAUUCUUUAUCUUUCUUGCCCUGCAUGUGCAUUGCCAACCCAUAUACAGUAGUGUUAGCUCAUGCAUGCCUGCUUAACUAUAUAACCCAUGUACAUUCAUUAGAGCUUUUAUUUUAUAAACUUAAAUAGUAAAAAAAUAAAGAAAUGUGCAUACACAGUCUUAAAAACUUUGGUUUAUAUAUGCUCUGCAGAUAUAUUUCUCUGUGGUUGUUGACUGUUUCUGACAAUGGUCAAACUGCAGAGAUGAGGACCAUCUCUAACUUAAAUACAGCUCAUAGUUGCUUAAAGUUGAACAUGCAUGUGCUUCCACCAGCAGGCAGUAGCAUUACGUGACUACUGGAGUAUCAUUAUUACUAUUAUUUCAUUUCUCCAUGCAUAUCCAUUAUCUACUUCCGAUUCAAAUUUAUUACGAAUUUUUAGUUAAAUUGGAGUAUAAUCAGUUAAUUGGUAUAAUAUAUGGGGAUUUUUAAAUAAAUUAGGGAUCUUUAUAAGAACACAGAGCAUGAACAUUAUUAGUUACCUUAUUGUUUCACAAACUUCUUUUUCUAUUAGUUUUCUUCUGCGACAUUGUCUUUUAUGAUGAUCUACUUUUUCUUCUGUUCAAAAUCUCCAGUACUCCCCAUACUCAGCAGACUACACUUAUCCUACGGUUUGUACAAACUCACUUAUCUUUUUUCUUUCUUUUUAUACAUCUGAAGUAAGAGGAUCAAAUACAGUUACAUAAUUAUUUAUUGCCCGUGCAGAAUUACUAUAGUGUGUAUGGAGGGGCAGCUCAUGCUCAAUAUCCCUUGUAUGGAGCUGGGGGUACUGGUGGAAUGAUCACUGGUGCAGCUGCGGCAGCUGCAGCCUUUUACCCUUACUUGAACUUCGGGGAAGGAACCACCGGAGGAACCCCUGCAGGCGGCUAUACUGGAGGCCAAAGCUAUGGAGUUCAGUACCCGCACCAUAACCUCUAUCAGUACUCAUCACUCAACUCCGCUGCUGCUGCUUAUUCACAGCAUUAUGGUGCUCCAAUGUCUCUUGCUACUACUCCCGGAAUGCAAUCAGGUUUGUACAAUUUAAAAUUGUCUCACAAAUGCUUAUCCUCAUCUAAUUCAAGUGGAUAACAAUGCAAAUACAAGUCCUUAGUUCGUAAGGUAUAUAGUUUCGCUUCCAAUAUUGCAAAAUCCUUCUCAGUGGAGACAGUGAUAUUAUUUUAUUGUGUACUAAAGCAGAUGCUUUAACAUUGCCAUAUAUGUUAUUUAGGCUAAGCAGAAAAACUGGCAAGUAAUCAAACCCGCAAACAAUCAUACUGAUCGAUCUAUUUGAAACGAAUUAACAGAGAAACCAAUAAAUUUCUUGUAUCAGCAUGUUGCUCCUUCAAACAUGAUUAUGAUGAAAGGUUUGGAUAAACUUUCUUGGUGUUGAAUUUAAAGGUUUUUCUGUAGCGCAUUUUGCAUUUGAUGUGCUACCAUAUUGACAGUAAUUAAAGGCAAGAAUGGCAAGCAUAAUACAUUGUCAACCUCAUAAUAUAUAUAUUUAUUUUUCCAUUUAACAUUCUAAUGCACACAAAUAUGCCGGAGUCAUGAUUAUAUGUUAAUCUAACACUAAUAUCUUUGACAGUUUGUUUUGCUAUACCGCAGGCAUGACAAUGGCUCUCCCAGCACCAGUUCUGAAUCGCUAGGGGAGAUUCAUCUUCAAAACUAGCUACUCUACAUGCAACUACUUCCCUCAGAAGAAUCUCAGUUGUGAAAUACACAUCAUGAACUUUGGCCUUAACCAUGGUUCUCCAUCUCUUCCCUGAACAUUGAGAACCCCCUAUAGGGGUUACAUCAUAGUUGGAGAAAAACAACUCCACCACUGCUUCUCUUUAUGGAAUAAGGAUUUCCUACAAGAGAAACAAAAAAGCAUAGCAUGCAUGUGCAUUUUACCAUCUUAAGCCAAACAGCUAAGUUGGUUCCAACAUCACUAACUUCAUUUCUUUGCAUUGGAAUGGCUAAGAAAUUAAACCACUUUUGCCAUGGAAUGGCUAAAGUCAAAAGCAGCCCUUUUACAAAAAUGUUUUCUAAAAUCAACUUCAAGUGAAGUGAUAUAUAAUAUAAGCUUAGUACUUCAAAAAUGUUGAUCUUGUAUUGGCUGAUUUUAAACUCUUUCCAAAACUUAUCAUUUAGUAGCUAGUUCAGUAAGUAUUGAGCACAUGGGGUGUCCCAAGUACACUUUGUCUUGUGUCAAUUUCAAUUCUCUCUACUCUUAUGAAUCUUAUAUUGUGAGAGUUUGUCUUUUCUUCCAAACAUUUUGUAAUAUUUAGUAAAUUUUCCCUGAAGGGCAACAAAACUGCAGUCAUCUCUCCUCAGGGCGAAGAAAUGACUGAUUUUUCACUAACUACUGCACUUAAUGUCUUUUUUAUCUCUUGAUCCUCUUGGCUAAACUAUUGGAGUUCUAGCCAAAAUCACCACAACCAUUGGUGGAGGUUUUGUGUUUUUAUAGUUUUCUUUGCAUUUAGCUCUAUUUUAUAUAUGUAAGAGGUCCACUGAUGGCUGUGGAUCUCAUGCGAAUGCAUCCAAAAGUAAUCCUUGAGAGAUAAUUUCAAACUCUUGGGUUAUUUCUUUCUCAUAACAUUUUGAUGAAACCAUGGUUAGGACUCUGGUAACUUCAUCUUCCUCGUCACGGUCUUCUGCUCCUCUUUAUAGAUAUCUCAACCUCCCUCUCAAGAAGUUCAAUUAUAUAAUUGCUUCAGAUGCAAGUACUUUAUGAUACUUCUAAUAUGCACUCUUAGAUCAAGUCUCUGCUUUAUUAAUGCUGUAAGUAGGAUUAUUGAUUAAUGCUGCUUAUCAAAUUUUAAGAAGACCCAUUCUUCUUCAUUCUGGAGUGAUUGGAGCAUGAAUGGUACUACUUUACUUCAUUACUAGCUACUUAAUUAGUUUGUUUUAAAUUAGUACUAAUCUAGCUACCUAGCUAGCACCUGCUUUGCUUAUUCUCUAUGCUGAUCCUUUCAUAUAUUUAUGUUGGAGCUAUUCCUAUAUAUUUACCUCCGUCCAUGUCAAAUACUGCAAUCAUCUUUCUUGAUAACUUAAAAACAUAGACUAAACACAUGCAGGAAGUCAAGAACCCACCUUAUUUUUAAUUAGACUUGAAUUAAUCGACUCUGGCGAUCACCUAAAAAGAGAACUUUUCUUUGUUGUAUAUUUUUUGGAAAAUGUUUCAUGCACAAAAUUGGGUACAAAAUCUUUCAUAAAAUAUGACAUGCAUUGGCAUGAGCUCAAUAUAUGUAUUAAUAACACCAGACAAGUCUGUCUUGAUUUUGACAAGUUUUAACUCUUAGCAUAAGAGGUUGUUUCAUAGAUCUUUAAAGAUAAUAGUGGUACAACUUCAUAGAUCUUUAAAGACCAAGUAAGGAGUUUGUUUUAUAGAUAAUUAAAAACGAAAUAAAUAAACCAAUUUUAUUAUUAGUUAAAUGUAAAGAUUGAAAUGAAGGAGAUAUAUAACUUGUUCAAAUAAAUUAUAUUAUUAGUUACAGCAACAAUACAAGAUCUUGUCAUACAUUUGACAAGCACCACCUCUUGCCUUCUGUUUAAUUAUGCAAUCUCUAUUGCAGUCACCCGACGUAUAUAAUAAACCGCAUGGCCGGUUACAAUUACCCGGAACAGCAUCUGUCAAAACAAAACAAUAUACUCGAAUAAAUGAUAUGCAAAUUAAAACCAAAAUUUGCAGUCGAAAAAAUAAUAAAUAUACCUAGAGGACUGCUUGGAGUUGGGGGCUCUGGCAUCGGAAUAGCAGCAAUGAAAGGCAGGAGAAUUAGAAACACAAUAAUAUACUUUGUAAAGGCCAUUUUGCAGCUUGGUAACAAUGCUUAGCAGAACAAAACAGAUGAUGUAAAAUGAGUUGAUCAAUUGCUUUGAAAAUAGCCCAUCUUGGCUACCCUUUUUAUAGGUUAGGAGUUAUUUUGUGAAAAAUAAGUUACUAUCAUACUUAAAUAUCAAUAUUUAUGUAAGGUAUUUAUGUUUAGGUGCACAAACCGUAACUUGAUGUGUUAUAAUCAUUUCUUUCUACUUUUUUUUUAAAUUAAAUUAAAUUAAAUGUUUGAAUAUGAUGUUAAAUUCACAAAGGUGCGCUCAUUUCUCUAGAAUAAUAAUAGUCUAGCAUGAAAGCGUAUUUUUAACCGACAGAGGUUAUGCUCUCUCGUUAACAUUUAAUUCUCGAAAAAAUGUAAUUUAAAAUUUUUAUUAAUUAUUUAAUUUUUAACUUUAUUGUAUUCUUUUACCUAAGAAAUUUAUGAUAAUAUACUGAAAUUUGAUUAAAUAUUAUUAAACGAUUGUUCAUAUUUCUUUUAGAUAUUUAGUUUUUACAAUAAUUUUUAUAUAUUAUAAAUGAGUUUGAGAAAUGACAUAAAUUUUUUACCAUCCAUCUGCAUGUAUUUAUAAUAUUAUUGUAUAUUAUCGAUGGUAAGUUUACUUUUCAUUUAUUUUUUUGUAAUUAUAAAUAAUAUUAUUCAUAUUUUUAUUCUUCAUUAAUAAAAAAGGAUAUUAAUUGCCUUGUAUCAUGAUGGCUUUUUCAAUUUUUUAGAAAAUAUUAGAAAUAAGAAGACCCGAUCUCUAAUUAUUUAUAUAUAUUUAAAAAUAACUAAUGAAUGAUAAUCUUUCCAAAAAAAAAACACUAAUGAAUGACAAAAUUAUGUACCUUAAACUAGACUACUAAUGAUGCCACCGUUUGUCUAAGAAAAAUUCUACCAUAUCUUGACCCGUUUGUCUCGAGCUUCUUCUACUUAGUAGUAAACUACUUCAAAAAUGUUGAUCUUGUAUUGGCUGAUUUUAAACUCUUUCCAAAACUUAUCAUUAGUAGCUAGUUCAGUAACUAUUGAGGUGUCCCAAGUACUCUUUGUCUUGUGUCAACUUCAUUUUAUCUACUAUUAAGAAUCUUAUACAUAAAAAUGUGAGAGUUUGUUUUUCCUUCCAAAAUUUUUUGUAAUUUUUAGUAAAUUUUCCCUGAAGGGCAACAAAACUGUCAUCUCUUCUCAGGGCAAGGAGAAAUGACUGAUUUUUCACUGACUACUGCACUUAAUGUCUUUUUUUUCUCUCUUGAUCCUCUUGGCUAAACUAUUGAAAUUCUAGCCAAAAUCACAGCAACAAUAGGUGGAGGUUUUGUGUUUUUAUCUAUAUUUCCCUGCAUUUAGGCCUCUUUUUAUAUGUAAGAGGUCCAAAAGUAACCCUUGGGAUAUAAUUUCAUACUCUUGGGUUAUUUCUUUCUCUUAACAUUUUGAUGAAACCAUGGUUAGGACUCUGGUAACUUCAUCUUCCUCGUCACCCGUCUUGUGCUCCUCUUUAUAGAUAUGUCAACCUCUGUCUCAAGAACUUCAAUUAUAUAAUUGCUUCAGUGCAAGUACUUUAUUAUACUUCUAAUAUGAACUCUUAGAUCAAGUCUGCUUUGGACUGUAAGUAGGAUUAUUUAUUAAUGCUGCUUAUCAAAUUUUAAGAAGACCCAUUCUUCUCCAUUCUGGGGUUACUGGAGAAUGCAUAGUACUACUUUACUUAAUUAGUAGCUACUUAGUUUGUUUUAAAUAACUAAUCUAGCUAGCUAGCACCUGCUUUGCUUAUUCUCUAUGCUGAUUCUUUCAUGGCUUAAAUUUAAAAUAACCAUCCAAGUUUGCACAAAUGUACACACCAGCCACCAAACAAAAAAACUCGAUAGCUUGGGCAUCCAGCUUCUGAAUUUGUACAGUACGGCCAUUUCCACAGCUAAUGACUCCGGUUCGUGAGAGAGUGCUUUACACUCUCUGGUUUCUGCAGGUGAAUGGUGAAGAACCUAGUUGGAAACAGCGGUGAACAUGACAACCAUCAAGGUUUGUAGCUUUUUCAUUUAAGUUUCAUGAAUGGAUCAUCUUGUUAUGAAUUUUAAUGCCAAAUGCUCUGGUCUAUCUAUUUGUCUUUGUUAAAUGAAUAAACAAAUGAACACAAACCUGCAUCUUGCAUUUUUAUAAUAGAAAUUUGUAAUCUAAGACGUAAGACCUGCCAUAUUUGGUAGUUCAGGUUUGAAGGUAGCACAAGAUAUUUAUUUGUGUAUAGUGCUUGUUGUUACUGAUUUGAGUUAUUGAGUCGGUGGGCAAUAAUUUACGUACAAGGGAAUGGAUCCACUAGUAUUGUCUUGUUCUAAAAAUUUGUUAUGAUCUAGUUCAAAUUGUAAGGAGAUUUUUGUUUUGACCUGGUAUAAGCCUAUAACCAGUAAUGACUUGAUUUUUGUGUAUCCGGUAAAUUCGACUUCCAAUUUUGAAAACACAAUGCAUGUACUAAAUUUUUGCUACUUGAACCCCAUUAGAUUUAAAUCUUUGGUCCACCCCAGCUUCUGCUAGUCAGUAUUGGUUUGAUUUAUUUGAAUUUAUGAAUGUAGGUGGAAUUGUGAAGAACACUCUUCGUCCCCCCAUUCCAGUACGGUGUGAUAGUGAGUGGAAGAAUUUGAUGGAACAAUGCUGGUCCGCUGACCCUAAUGUCCGACCAUCAUUUACUGAGAUAACUUAUUCUCUACGAUUGAUGUCUGCAAAAUUGCAAGGAAAAGGACCUAGUCUGGCAAGAGAAGCAUAGCCUGAUUUCCUUAUAUAAGCUAUAUGUGCAUCAUGCAAUUGCUUGGAGCUUCCUGGUUUCUGUUUGCGGCUGAGUGGUAGAUUAUUUUGACGAAAAUAAUCAUGUUUCUCUCUGAGGAUUGCAUUCUGAGUGGUCUUUUUUGCUCAUUUCUUCCGGGUUUUUCAUUUGUAUAUUAUAUGCACUCCAUUCAAUUUGCUGGAAAUCUUGGAGAGUAUCAGAGCAGGAGGCCGCCAGCACGUGUAAAUCUCGGAUUAUGAUCUUCUUGCUCGAGUAAAAAUAUGUGUGUAUGUGUAAAUACCCGAGGACCUGAGUUCCACUUUUUGUUUGGUUCAUGUUCACAGUACCUGGUAUCUGUAUGUGAGUUUUUCUCAGUGGUAAAUAUAUAUUUUUUGAUUAAUUACUUCCCUGUGUUUUUUAGAGUGUUUAUGUAUGGCUCAGAUUCUUCAGAAUGACUAAAAAUUGUAUUACAAGUGGAAAAAUAAGGGCAGGAAAACUGUUCGAAAUAAAACAGGCUUCAGAUUAUUUAAUAUCAUGAUUUUUGGAAAAUGACAUGAAUGAAUUUGGUUGGAGUCAACUGCAGAAACAAUUGUGAUGAUUGUUAAGGAAUUAGACUGCUGACGAUAAUUAUAUAAAAAUGAUGCUUACCAACUAAUUUGGCGGUCCAUGUGUUUACCAACUUGCUUUUAAUUAUUUAUUUAUAAAUAACUCAGUCGAUGGCUAAACAAAGCCAUGUAUUAGAUCCUAGCUGCACUGUUCUCUUCGCUUCAAUCUUCUCAGUAAGUCGCAUCUGAGCUACACUGCCUUUCCAAAUCGAUGGUUCUGGCCAAUGUGUUGGGUCUGCUAAAGCUGGAUGCCCAAACUAUCGAGUUUUUUUGUUUGGUGGCUGGUGUGUACAUUUGUACAAACUUGGAUGGUUAUUUUAAAUUUAAGCCUUCUUUCAUAUAUCUAUGCUGGAGCCAUUUCUAUAUAUUUACCUCCAUCCAUGUCAAAUACUGCAAUCAUCUUUCUUGAUUACAGAAGAAUAUAGACUAAACACAUGCAGUAAGUCCCACCUUAUUUUUAAUUAGACUUGAAUUUUCGACUCUGGCGCUCAACUCAAAACAGAGCUUUUCUUUGUUAUAUUUUCCACUUACAAAAUCGGGUACAAAAUUUUUCGUAAAAUGACAUGUAUUAAAGUUUUGAUUGAAAUAGCCCCGUAUAUGCAUUAAUAACACCAAUUAAAGCAUCUCAGCUCAAUAUCAUGUCAUUUUGUGCAAAAGAGAUUUAUCCAAUUUUAUGAAUGUGUAGCUCUACUCAUAUUUUUUUAAUCAAACACACAUGUCUUGAUUUUGACAAGUUUUAACUCUUGACAUAAGAGGUUGUUUUAUAGAUCAUUAAAGACAAGGGAUACAUGAAAGCAUGUCUUGAUUUUGACAAGUUUUAAUUCUUGACAUAAGAGGUUGUUUCAUAGAUCUUUAAAGACAAAAGAGAUACAUCAAAACAUGAAUCGUAUUUCAUAAUCUUUAAAGACCAAGACUAGAGUGUGUUUCAUAGAUCUUUAAAGACAAUAUAAAUAACCAAUUUUAUUAUUAGUUGAAUGUGUAGAUGGGAAUGAAGGAGAUAUAUAACUUAUUCAAAUAAAUUAUAUUAUUAGUUACAGCAACAAUACAAGAUCUUGUCAUACAUCUGACAAGCGCCACCUCUUGCCCUCUGUUUAAUUAUGCAGUCCCUAUUGCAAUCACCCGACGUAUAUAAUAAACCGCAUGGUCGGUUACAAUUACCCGGCACAGCAUCUGUCAAAACAAAAUACUCGAAUAAAUGGUAUGCAAAUUAAAAACUAUUUUGCGGUCGCAAAGAUAAUAAAUAUACCUAGAGGACUGCUUGGAGUUGGGGGCUCUGGCAUGGGAAUAGCAGCAAUGAAAGGCAGGAGAAUUAGAAAUACAAUGAUAUACUUUGUAAAGGCCAUUUUGCAGUUUGGUAACAAUGCUUAACAGAACAAAACAGAUAAUAUAAAAUGAGUUGAUGAAUUGCUUUGAAAAUAGCCCACCUUGGCUACCUUUUUAUAGGUUAGGAGUUAAUUUAUGAAAAAUAAGUUACUGUCAUACUUAAAUAUCAAUAGUUAUGUAAUGUAUUAAUGUUUAGGUGCACAAACCGUAACUUGCUGUGAUAUCAUCGUCUCUUUCUGCUUCACUUCAAAAUUAAACUCUUAAACUAAAUGUUUGAAUAUGGUGUUCUAGCAUGAACACAGCUAUCAGUCAGGACUCUCCAUACCAUAGAAGCUGGGAUGAAGAUCUUAUUAGAGAUAUGUUUAAUGAAAGAGACUCUCGGUGUAUUUUGAACACAGCUCUCAGUCAGGACUACAGAGGAUCGUGUGUAUUGGAACAAGGAAAGUUCAGGCCUUUAUUCGGUUCAUAGUGCAUACAGGUGUUUGCAAGCUCAGAAGGAAAUAUGGAGGGUGGAGGAUAAUGAUAGUGUGUGGCGGAAAAUCUGGAGAAUUAAGGCACCUCCUAAGGUGUUGAAUUUAUUAUGGCGCGCUCUGUCAAAUGUUUUACCAUCUAAAACCAUUUUGCAUCAAAAAUUUGUGCCUAUUGAUCGUAUCUGCCCAGUGUGUAACAGAGAGGAGGAAUCUAUAAUGCAUGCUUUGGUUAGUUGCUCUUUUGCAGAUCAGUGCUGGGACCUUGCUGCUCCAGAACUGAGGCGACAUAACGGAGCUGAUUUUUACACAUGGCUGUCUAAAGCUCUCAGUUUUAGUGAUUUUGACAGACGUGCAGAAAUUGCCCCUGUCUGUUGGGCAAUUUGGAAGGCUCGAAAUAGCCUGGUUUGGGAUCAAAAACACUCUCAGGUGAAUAUUGUUGUCUCAUCAGCAAAGCAGUACCUUGUACAAUGGAAACAUGUCCAAAGUUAUUCAUCAAAGGCUCUAUUCCGGAACUCGAUAGAGGGAGAUUGAGCUUCUCAUUGGGUUAAGCUACAGAUAGACAGAAUCAAGACUUUUUGAAUUUUAGAACACAUUAGAAAUUAGAAGAUCCGUUUUCUCAUUAAACUAAUUGAUAAGUCGCGUUUCAUAGUAAUAUUUAUAAUAUUUUUUAUAAAAUAAGUUCGUAGAUAAAUGAAGUCAUAUCUUACUAUCUUAGUCAGAAUAACACGUACAUGAAUAAAUCAUAUAAUUUAGUGUAUUUAUAUAUUUUAGCUGAUAAGUUUAUUCUUGUGUAAUAUAAUACGGAAUUUGAGAAUGUAAACGAAUUUGAGUAAAUCAAAUUCGUACAAAAUAUUCUACAACUGAAAUUUAAAUUAAAAUAUAAAAUACAUUUACAUAUUAAUUUAGUGAGUUGUUUUAAUUUUUAUUGUUAACUUAUUUUUACGUAUCUAUCCGUCUAGAACUUUUUUUCAAGUAAUUUCGAAUCUAGAAAAUAAUUCUAUUUUUCCUUUGUUGUCAUUCCUACAAUUUAGAGAUUUUCUUUCUAUUUUUAAAUAUUGUCUUUACUACGAUUAUUUAGACCGUUUAACAAAAUGAAGAUCAAACUCUUUCCAUGAAUUUAACACCUCCUUGCAAAUCCUGAACAAGAUUUCAUCAAAACCGGAGGACUAAGCAAUCAGUUGCCACCUCAUAAUUCCUUGGUUCCUGCAUUCUGAGAGGAUCUCCUUUAAGGCCAUACCCUCUAUUUCUGGAAUGAGCCAUCCCUCACUUAACCCCCAGAUGGCAGAUACAAGACCUCCUGAAUGGUCCCGAAUAAUCCCUCCGAAAUCAUAUUUUUCUUAAAUAUUGCAGCAUCAAUAUUCACUUUGAACUUAUUAAGCCCUGGUUUCGACCAAAGCUUAGACCCCUCCGUCAUUUGCCAAGAAUUUACAGACCGAAAAAGAACACGUUUACGGGCUUUCCUCCAUCGUUCAAACAUGAAUAUAUCUUUUCUUACAAAACCUGUGCUGCAGUGCUUCAAUCUAGCAUUCCAAAGUUCCCAACAAAAGAUAAGAGCCCUUCCACGCUCCAUUUCACUCAACCGAGCACAAAUAUUGAAAAAUCAGUCCCCAAACCACUCAAAUUCUCGGCUAAAACUAGGGAUGGGCGCGGGGGCACUUCGGGGUCGGGAGUGCUAUCCCCGACCCCGAUCCCUGAAUUCAAUACCCAUCCCCGACCCCGUCCCGAACCCCGAACGGGGAUUAUUUUCCUCCUUGAUCCCCGCCCCGAACGGGGAACAGGAUCCCCGCGGGGAUUCGGGGAUUUUAAUUUUUAAUAUAGAAAUAAUAACUUUAUAAUAUAUAAUAUAUUUUUAAUAAAAAAACAAACUACUAACUCCUAAUAUACUAAUAAUGUAAUAUUAUUUUAUAUUUUCAGUAUCAAAUCAUAUUAAAAUUAAUUUAUAAUAUAAAUAAACGACAAUUUAAAAUAUAUUAUAUUACGAUAUAUUUAUAAUCAAUCAAUAAAAAUAAAGAUCAUUUUUUAACUUUAAUUAUAUUAUAAAAGUAAUCUAUUUUUAAUAAUAUAUUUAUUAUAAUACAUAUAAAUAUAUUAUUAUUUAUAUAUAUACACAAUCGGGGUCAGGGAUCGGGGUGGGGAGACACCAAUCCCCGAAUUUUUUAUAAUACUUUUCCCGAUCCCCGCCCCGGCCCAGAAAAAUUCCCCGAAUCCCCAACCCGAAAGGGGCGGGGAUCGGAUCAGGGUGGAGCGGUGCGGGGUGAAUAUCCAUCCCUAGGUAAAACCCAGAUCAGCAAUCCUCCAGCAGUUUUGCGCAAAAGCACAAGAUAAUGAAUAAUGAUCAAUUGCUUCCUCCCCUAUAUGCUGAUCCUUUCAGAAUUUCUAAUAUUGGAGCCAUUUCUAUAUAUUUACCUCCGUCCAUGUUAAAUAUCGCAAUCAUCUUUCUUGAUUACUCAAAUACAUUAAUCAAACACACCCACCCACCUUGUUUUUUACCAGACUUGAAUUACCAGCUCUGGCAUUCAACUAAAAGCAGAGCUUUUGCUCUUUAUUUAUUUUUCUUAAUCAAAGUAUUAAACACAUUCACGGACAUGUCUUCAUGUUAAUAAGUUUUAAACUCUUGACAUCACGUUAAAAAAUACUAUUAAAUCAAGAAAUUGUCCAUUCCUCUGUUAUGUAUGAGUUUGUUGAAAUUAGUAAUUCACUUGUCCCAGUUUAAUUACUUUUAACCGUUUUACAUGUAUUUUAAAGUGUAAAAAAAUCACAUCUAAACAUAAUUAUUCUUUGUAAAAUUUAUAUCAAAUAAAAGUUUAUAAGAAUCGAAACUUUUAUUUAGUAUAACAAUUAAAACUUUUUGUUGAAUAUUAUUAUUUUACACUUUACUAUAUAUGUCAAAAGUCAAACAUCAGUUAAAUGAUAAAAAAUCCUACAAAUUUAAAUCUGAGAAACUGUUACAACUUUUCUCGUUAAUAGCAAAUACCAGCCAUGAAUUUACAAUUUGCAAGAACAGUAAAAAGAACAUUACCUAUCAACGCAACAUGGAUACAUUAAUAAGACAGAGCAACAUGAAUACAUUAAGACAGUGAGUAUGUUUCAUAUAUGUUUAAAGAAAAUCAUAAUGACCAGCUUUAUUAUUAGUUAAAUGCAGAAAUGGGAAUUAAGAAGAGACAAUAACUUAUUCAAAUUAUACAUGAUACUAUUAGUUACAACAACAAUAUAAGAUCUUAUCAUACAUCUGACAAGCGCCACCUCUUUGCCUCUGUUUAAUUAUGCAGUCUCUAUUACAAUCACCGGACGUAUAUAAUAAACCGCAUGGUCGGUUACAAUUACCCGGGACAGCAUCUGUCAAAACAAAACAAUAUACUCGCAUAAAUGAUAUGUAAAUCCUAUUUUAUGGAUCAGAAAAUAAUAAAGGUACCUAGAGGGCUGCUUGGAGUUGGGGGCUCUGGUAUGGGGAUGGCAGCAAUGAAAGGUAGGAGAAUCAUAAAUACAAUGAUAUACUUUGUAAAGGCCAUUUUGCAGCUUGGUAACGAUGCUUACCAAAACAAAACAAAAUAUAUGAGAUGAUUUGAUCAAUUGAUUUGAAAGUAGGCAACUUUGACAACCCUUUUAUAGGUAAGAAGUUAUUAUGUGAAUGAUAAAGUUACUGUCAUACUUAAAUAUCCAUAUUUAUGUAAUGUAUUAAGUACACAAACAGUAACGGGCUUCGGUUGAUUUUGGACACACAAUUUUAAGGUUCAUCGACCACAUAUCAACAUUACUUAUAUUUAAAAAUUUUAUUUUUGCAAAUAAAAUUUUAAAUUAAUAUAUUUCAUAAAGAGUGCUAGUGAAGAGUUUUGAUUUUCAAUAAAAAUAAAGCUAUAAUAAUAAAUCCUUUACCCAGUGAACCUUUAUUUUUUACAUAUUUUUGAAUAUUUUGAAUUUAAUGUUAAUCACGAAUUUAUUAUCGUUGUUAUAUGGUAAGUAUUUGUAAACUUUCUAUUAAUGAUGAAUUUAUUUAUUUGAUUGAUAUUCAAAUUUCCUUGAUUGUAGUUUCGUACAGAAAUAAGGUAAGAGUUAAAUAAUUAUUUUAUCAACUUGAUUCAUAUCUAUACGUUUAUAUUCAUAUAUCUGUCUAUUUUUUUCCCCAAAAUAUAUGUUUAUCUAUUUAAAAUUAUUCACUUGCUAUCUUUCUUCAAUUAAGUAUGGAAAGACGUCAAAAACACACUAAAGAUUUUAUUCCUCAAUGUUAUAUUCAAAAUUCAAAAAUUGAAAAACAGAUUUAUCUCUUAAAUUGAGAAUCGUCUUUUCUUAAAAUAUAUUUAAAAGAAAACCCUAGUUUUCUUUUUUUUCUUUUUUCUCUAGCCGCCUCCCUCUUUUCAUCUCCGACGGGCUUCCAUCGGUUUUCCGGUGGAAAGCCCCAAAUCUUUCCGUUUAAUUGCUACUUAUUUGAUUGUUCUUGCUUUUUCAUUGAUUUCUUAAUAAAUCUUCCUUUUUGGGAAAAGUUUUCUUAGAUCUAUAUCACCGAAACUUUCGAUUUUCGUUCUUAUUCGCUUCCAGAGGCCCUUUUGGAUUUGUGAGUAGAUCGAGUAUCUCCUAAGCGUCGUGGUGCAGAUCUAAUUAUUUUAGUUUGUUUUGAUUAUAGUUUGAUUUUUUCCCUAGUGAGAGUGUGUGAUUUUUCUCUCCUUCUUUUGUGAGAGUGGUUUGAAUUCAUCGAUAAAAGCCUUUCGGGAAUUGCAUUUGUGGUUGAUAGCUCAAACGGAAUUUUUGGAAAAGAUGGUGAGCACAGAGCAAGGAUCUAUACAUGUACCAUCGUCAAUUUCAACCUCGCUUAUUUGUCUCAUCUUGGGUAUGAAGACAGACAUAUUAAUUUUUUCUAUGUUUGUUCGACUCGGUCAUUCUUGUAGAUGCCGUAUGACUAUUAUUUAUUAAAUUAUCUCCUUUUCUUCAAAAAAAUAAAUAUAUUUUCAUAAGAUUAUUCGAAAGGAUAAAGCAUUAAUACAUUAAUGAAAGAUGUUAUACUUUGAAAAACUAUGUUUCGACUAUUGUUUUUUGUUAAAUUUGUUUCUGUAUUAUUGUUUUUAUCAUUUUUUAAAUACUUAUUUAAUUAUAAUAAAAAUAAUAUUUAUAUUGUAAAAAGUGAAAUAUGUCCUUAUAUACAUCUUACUAGAUAGCAUUUUAAUUCAAAUUAUUUAAAAAAAUUGUCAGGAAAAUUAAUUAAAAUUAAUAUGAAUUUUUUUAACAUUUAAAUUUUGAUAUCUGAUAAAAAAACCUCGGAAACAUUAUUUUAUUUUCUCGUUGAUGGUGAUAGUUAUUACUCUACAGAGUCAUAUAAAAUUAUAAAAAUAUUAAUGUAUAACGUAUGUGGCUCAUUUCAUUAUUAUUUAUCUAAGAAAAUCAAAAUAAUUCUUUUAAGACUUGACAAAUCUUAUUACUGUUAUUAAAAAAAAUGUUGGGUUAAUGGUCUGAGUUUUGAUUUUUAAUAGAGAGAAGUAAUAGCACAAAGAAGAUGAAAGAAAAGAAAAUGAUAAAUAUAAUAACAAUAUCAAUUAUUUUUAAUUUUCAAUUUUUAUUUUGGAAAACAUUAAUUUUGUAAAGAAAAAUAUAUCUGAAAUCUGAAAUAAAGUUAUUGGGAUGCCUUAUCAUACUUCUCAUGGUGCUCGAGAGGAAAUUAUAUGACUAGAUUGAGUGGAAAUAUUUGUAAAAUAGUUAAAAUCAAAUUUUAUAUCAUUACACAAAAUUUUAUAGUUAAUAAAUUAACAUGAGUUAAAUUACUCAAAAUAGUUUGAGAGCGGUACAACUUUAUUAUUUUAUACUUUGUUAAUAAAUAUAGUCAAUUUUUUCUUUACUUUUUACAUAAAAAAUUAAAUUUUGUAUUCAAACUCAUAUUAUAUUCUUAUAUGCAAUAAGUCUAAGGAGGAUAUUUGAUUGUUAAGUGACUUAAGUCUGGUUGUUUAGUAUACUCACUAAAAAAAACCGGCAUCAACAAUUAAAAGUAAGUAUCAGCAACCGGCAAUCACUUGAUAUUGUUUCUGAUCAGCGAUGGAUUAUAACGACAGAGAUGACAUGUAGUCGCUAAUACUUUUUAGCGACUGAAAAUGGUAGCUAACCCAUAGCUAUAAUAUUUUUUCCUCCAAAAAUGAGCGCUAAAAAUUGCUGUUACAUGCAUUUGCGAUUGAAAUUUAUCAUCUACUGCUGUCCCUAGCUAAAAGUGUCAAGUCAACUAUUUUUUAGCGACCGCAAUCGGUAGCUAGUUAGUCCCCGUAAAAAAUUUGAAAAAAAUGAUGGGAUCAUUAGCCACUAUUUUUUAGCGACCGAUUUUGAUAGUAAAGAGUGUCGGAUAAAUAGAAUAAUAAUAAUAUUGUAUAUAAUAAGAAAAAAUAAGAAUAUUUUUCAAAAUAAAAUAAAAUAUUUUUAAUUAAAUAAUAUAUAUUAAUUUCAUGAGUACCUACAACUGAUAAAAAAUUUAAUCAUAAUUAAUAUUUUAUUUGGAAAAUUCUAUUAAUCUAAUUAAAUUUUAAAUAAAAUAUAUUAAAUUAAUCAUAAUUUAUUUUUAUUUUUCAGACACAAAAUAAAAAUAAUUUUAUUAACGAGAACAUAAUAUAAUUGGGACAAACCCUAAACUAAUAAACGGGUAUAAUUUGUAAUCCAAGUUUUUAGUUAUAUUUUUUGGUUUGGGUAUUGUCCCUCUAAAAUUUCAAGUCUACAACAUGUGGAAGUAUAUUAAUCCUACAUUAUUAAAUAGUUUUAAAUAGUUAAAAUAAUAAUAUCUUAUAAAAAAAUUUAGAAUAAUGUUAAAAAUAAAAUUAUAAAUAUCUAAUUUUGAAUAUCUGUUUUUUUUACAAAACAUUUUUUAACUCUAACAUGCUCUAUUUCUAUUUCAAUACAAAUACUAACCAUUACGUAACCCUUAUCCCUUAUCUGAUAACUCAAUCUGUUCUACAAUAAAUAUCCUUUUCAUACUGUUAUGCCAUAUUUUGGCAUAGCCCUAAAGUGUCUCGGGAUAGGCUCAAUCCUAACAGAACUGCGUGGGCUUGAUCCUAUAAAAACAUAGGUACGCAGGCAUUUUGGGAUAUGAGUCCGAUACACGAGACAAAUCGAGACAUCUCUCAAGCUCAGCUCCUCUUUUUUCCAUAAACCCUAAUCCCGAAACCCACAAAAUUCUUGUUAACCAAAAUCCUCCGUUAACAAUUGGCGAUCGACCACAGUAGGAGAUUAAUUUAUUAUUCGAGGAGGAUGAAUAAUUCAUAGCCAAAGGGGUCAUUUGUUUGUGUCUUAAGAGCAAGUCCAACAGCUGCCCUAUUUAGUGUCUUAAGUCAUAAUAUAGGGCAUUUGAUGAAAAAACUUGAUCCAACAAUGUCCUAGUGAUGCCCUAUAUCACUAGGACAACCCAUUCAAGCCUUAUUUUUGAGGCACUCUCUCUCCUUGCCCUAUCUCAUAUUUUAUAAUAAAUUCUUACCAACACUCUCUUUCUCUCUCUAUUUUAUAUUAUGUUUUAAUGAUGAAAGUAAACUUUUAAUAAUAAAAUAUUAAACAUAUAGUGAAAAUAAGGCACAUUGUUGGAGUUGAAGUCAGUAGAAUAUGUCCUAAACUACUAAGACAUAAUUUUUUAUAUUAUAUUUAGGGCUCCAACUAAAACACUAUUGGACUUGCUCUAAUAGUGCUGAAUGAGCACUCUUCUGAGCGCACAAGACAAUCAGCUUGUUUGAAAAUAAUUCUAAGGUAGGCAGUACGAAUCAGAUACGGCUCAAUGAUUCAGUUUAACAAUUACAACCUAGAGAUUCAGCUGUAAUUUUUCACCGCACAAUCUCGCAUGUAUAGCAAAUAGCAGUAGAUAAUUUUAUAUUGACAUACAUACAAAAGACCACUGUUAUAUUAAAAAGUAACCCACUGAUAUAAGCAUCAAAAUUUUAUAAAACGUGGACGUGGACAUUGGUAUAAAAUUUCAAAGUUUGUGUAAUAUUAUAAUAUCACGUGUUAAUUUAAAAUAUUCUACUUAUAACAAAAAAUUAUAUUUUAAUUUAGUUUAAUUUUAAUUAGUUGGAAACUAAUUGAAUUCAACAUUAUCUUUAAAUGUGAUAUUUUUAUAUUACAGAAAUAUUUUAUGUUUGACACUUAAUUAUUUAGCAAAGUAGAAAUAUAAAUUAAUCUCAUUCAGAUAUUUCAAAAAAUAUUUAUCAAAUGAUAUUAUUGAUUUUGAAUUCAGAUAACUUAUCGAUCCAGAUCAUUCAGAUAACAUAAUCAAUCAGAUAUUUUUAAUUCAGAUUUGCCAAAUGACCCACGGGAAUUGCUGAUUGAGAGACUAAAUAUCAAUUUGUUGGAUUCAUGAUUUACUCGAACGAAUUAAUAUUAAGGAUCGCAUAUCGGGCUUGACAUGACAAAAUUGCAAAAUUGCAAACUGACGAAGCAGACAUGAGACAUGGCAGUAGUUCGUUUACUAAAAACAAUAGGCAGGGGUGAAUGCCUUUUCACAUCAAAAUGGAUCGCGAUGAUAGUGGAUUCAAUCGCACAACAAAGCAAGCCAGCAACGAAACAUACAAUGGGGAGUACUCGCCGAUCAGUUUAGUCCGAAAUUAUAAGAUAAGUAUUAAUUCUUAUCUUAAUAUUUCUGUGAAAUUAAAUAUUAUGUCAUGCAUGCCUUAAUCUUUAUUAUUAAAUAUUGCUAUUAAAAAAUAUUUAAUCUGUGCGAGGAUUAUUUUUAUGCUUGUAAAAUUAUUCGUGAGCCCAAAUUCGGGUAACACAUCUAUUUUUGAAAAAAUCGUAAGAGAUAUUUAUGUUUGGAUGAUUUGUACGUCUUUAAAAUUUUGUACGAGCUGCAUCUCUUAAAAAAAUAUUUAUCAACUCAUUCUCCAAGUGAGAACCGCAAUUUUAAAGGAUUUUAGAAGGGGCAUAUUUUCAAGAAAUAUUCUAUACUGCGACAAUUUUCAAUCACCAUGUUUAUUAUAUGUUUGAUUGCGCUUGUAAAAUAUUUUGCAUAUUGUCGCGGUAAUAUAUAUAUAUAUAUAUAUAUAUAUAUAUCAAAAGAAAAGGUAUUUCAAAUUUGCGAGCUGAACUUGUCAAGUAGGGUAGUCUGGGAAAACUUGUAAGUCUUGCAAUGCUACACUAUCCAAAAAAGAGUCAGCAACUACCGGAUAGAUCGAGCGGAUACAAUCCUUAUUUUAUCGAAAGCCCCGCUCUCUCACGAGCACAGGGGUUACAUGCUUAUCUUAUUGAAGGCCUCGCUCUCUCACGAGCAUAGGGUUAUUUUAUAUGAUCGAAGGCCUGUCAAUGUGUCACACACAUUUGUUCAGGUAUAUCCAAUUGACAAAAAAACUUGUGUCUGCUGCAUCCUGUGUUUCGCUUUGACACUUGAGGAGCGUGUGCGCCAAUUUGGGUUCUAUACAAAUGCCAAGGUCCUAACUUGACAAUAAAGUCCGCAUGGAUUUUCAAUCUAUAUAGCUCGCACUUUUAAAAAUCUUGGCAGAUUUAUAUCCGAUUUUGGUCCUUACAUGAUGUCAUACUUGCAUCUACGCAUAUACUGCUAGCACCAUAAUGUCCAUAUGCUAUACUGAUACUCCCUCCGUCCCCCUCAAUUAUUUACAUUGGAGGGGGACACGGAGACCAAGACAAUGUAUGAAAAAUGAGUAAAGUUAGAUGAAAAGUGGGUAAAGUGGUGGGACCUAUCAAUAUUUAAUAAUAGAUUGAGAUAGUGGAGGAAAGUAGUGGGUGUAAUAGUAGUUUUUAUUGUUAAAUAUGAGAUAGGAGGGGAAGAUAGUGGGUGUAAUGAUGAGUAAAACUUACUAUUUAUAGUAAUGUAAAAAAAUGAGAGGACAUCCCAAAAUAGUAACAGUAGAAAUGAGAGGGACAUAUGGAGUAUUUUAUAUCUAGUUAUUUCAGCGACUAAAGGAAUUUGGAAGCUUAAAGAUUUUUAGUUCUCCACUACAGCAAGCUACACUGAUGAACUGGGGGGUGUUGUUAUGCCAUAUUUUGGCAUAGCCUAUUUUUCUAUUAAUCUCCCAAAUUCUUUUAUUAAUUCAGAUUAUUAAUUAAUUACUUGACCACAAGUAAUUAUCCUCUCUCUGAAAUGAGGAAAGAAUCAACAAUUACAGAAAAUAUCUCCAAACGAUAUCUUUUAAAUCGAGAAAGAUAUCACAACUCGAAGAUUAUAUCAGAUUAAAAUCAAUUAUCUCAGCAUUUAACGUUGCUUAUCCCUAAAGUCUCUCGGGAUAGGCCCAAUCCUAACAGAACUGCGUGGGCUUGAUCCUAUAAAAACAUAGGUACGCAGGCAUCUUGGGAUAUGAGUCCGAUACACGAGACAAAUCGAGACAUCUCUCAAGAUCAACUCCUCUUUUUUCCAUAAAACCUAAUCCCGAAACCCACAAAAUUCUUGUUAACCAAAAUCCUCCGUUAACACAUACAUAUGAAGAUAUGCAAAAUGUGAUAAAUCUGAUUUAAAAUUAACUGAAUAAUAAUCAUCACAUAUUAAUAAAAGAAACAAAAUUAUAAAUAGAUAAUAAAUUAUAAAAAAAACUAAAUUUUUCGUGCAUACUCAGUUGAUUAAUAUAAUUUACUCUCUCCGUCCUUUUUUAGUUGUCACCUUUGGUUUUGUGCCGGUCAAAUUGACCAAAGUUUGAAUGAAAUUUAUUAAUAUUUUAUCAAUCUAAAAAAUAAAAAAAUAUGUCACCGGAAAUAAUAUUUAAUCUACUUUAAGAUGUAGUUUUCAGUUUUGAAAAUAAUGAAAGAGUGACUUAUAAUUUUUGAAAAAAUUUUGAUCAAUUUGACCAACAAAAAUAGAAAUAUGACAACUAAAAAAAAAUGACUAAAAUAUAAUAUUAAAAUUUAAAUAAAAAAUUACUAAUUAUAUACCGUGUUAAAGUCCGGUAUGAAAUAACUGUAAAAGCUAGUAAUAGAACUUCACAAACCGCGGGAACCCUCAUUCCUUUGUCAGUGUUCACUGUUUGCUUCUCGCUUAGAUCAAGAUCAUCAACAUACUCUUGUAGCAGUUAAUUAUAUACACUGAUGUAUGUUUUGACCUAAUUACAGAUCUCGCAUUUUCAUUUGCCUUUUUGUUACUUACGCUUUAGUUAUGAAUCCUUUCAUCUAUUUUCGCUAUUUGAUUCAUACAUUAUUUCUGCCCGUGUCUUUGUUGUGAUUGUGCGUAACUGCGUAUGUAUGUUCAAAUCUCGCAGUAAAUCCUAUAUAUCAAUUUUAACUCUGAUUGUAAACAACCAAUGCAAUGUGAUUGGAUAGUACUCAAUUUUUUAUAUCAAUCUCAAUUGCGGUGGUAUUAGUACCAGUGCUUUUAGAUUUACUUUCUGUGUCGGUAACUUUUAUAUGUAUGUUCGUAGGGAUUUUCUAUGGUGUGCCCAAAGGCACACAAUAGUCCCGAACUACAAUAAAAGUAGCUUCUUUUGAUUGGUGGAUGAAUAAUAAAUGAUAAUGGCCCCCCUGCAUUCACAUCAACUCCACCAAUCAGAAUAAGCCAUUUUUAUAAAAUUUAAUGAUUAUUGUGUGCCCUUGGGCACACAUUAGAAAGACCGAUGUUCGUAUAUGUGGAAUUCUGCGGUUAUCUAUUUGCAUUUCAAUGUACUAAUAAUGUUAACUUCUGUAUUGUGUGUAUGAUGAUGUAGUUGUUCUGUUACUAAUAAACUAAGGUGCUUUAUGUUGUUCGAUCAGAUAAUUGGUGAGAUAUGGACAAAUCUUGCUCUCUGCUUGUUUAUUUUAAUAAAAGGACGUCUGCUCUUUUUAAUGAAAUCAAGGAAGCUUUAGAAGGGCAUGAUGUGGAAGCAAAAGUUGACGCGAUGAAGAAAGCUAUUAUGCUUUUGCUCAACGGUGAAACGCUGCCACAGCUUUUUAUAACAAUUGUUAGAUAUGUUUUACCUUCUGAGGACCACACAGUUCAGAAACUACUGCUUCUUUAUCUUGAAAUCAUUGACAAGACUGAUGCCAAAGGCCGUGUCUUGCCUGAAAUGAUUUUGAUUUGCCAAAAGUUGAGGAAUAAUUUGCAGCAUCCAAAUGAUUACAUACGGGGUGUCACUUUGAGGUUUCUUUGUCGCUUGAAUGAGGCUGAGAUUAUUGAGCCAUUGAUUCAUUCUGUUUUAGUUAAUCUGGAGCAUCGACACCAGUUUAUUCGAAGGAAUGCAAUUCUUGCAGUAAUGGCCAUUUACAAACUUCCACAGGGUGAACAGCUCCUGGUUGAUGCUCCAGAAAUGAUUGAGAAGGUUUUGUCAACCGAGCAGGACCUAUCAGCCAAGAGGAAUGCAUUUCUUAUGCUUUUUAAUUGUGCACAGGAUCGUGCCAUUAAUUAUCUUCUGACCCAUGUCGAUAAAGUAUCUGACUGGGGGGAGCUGCUACAGAUGGUUGUGUUGGAACUGAUUCGGGAAGUAUGCAGAAAAAAUAAGGGAGAGAAAGGAAGGUAUAUAAAGAUCAUUAUAUCUCUACUUAAUGUUCCUUCUGCUGCUGUUAAAUAUGAAUGCGCUGGAACACUUGUGUCUUUGUCAUCUGCACCUACAGCAAUCAGGGCUGCCGCCACUACCUAUUGCCAACUUCUUUUGUCUCAGAGUGAGAACAAUGUCAAACUUAUAGUGCUUGAUCGCCUUAAUGAACUUAAAUCUUCUCCCAGGGAGAGUAUGGUUGAAUUGGUUAUGGAUGUGCUUAGAGCACUCUCUAUCCCAAACCCGGACAUUCGAAGAAAAACACUUGAUAUUGUUCUUGAAUUAAUUACUCCUAGAAAUAUCAAUGAGGUUGUUCUCACUUUGAANUAAUGAAAUCAAGGAAGCUUUAGAAGGGCAUGAUGUGGAAGCAAAAGUUGACGCGAUGAAGAAAGCUAUUAUGCUUUUGCUCAACGGUGAAACGCUGCCACAGCUUUUUAUAACAAUUGUUAGAUAUGUUUUACCUUCUGAGGACCACACAGUUCAGAAACUACUGCUUCUUUAUCUUGAAAUCAUUGACAAGACUGAUGCCAAAGGCCGUGUCUUGCCUGAAAUGAUUUUGAUUUGCCAAAAGUUGAGGAAUAAUUUGCAGCAUCCAAAUGAUUACAUACGGGGUGUCACUUUGAGGUUUCUUUGUCGCUUGAAUGAGGCUGAGAUUAUUGAGCCAUUGAUUCAUUCUGUUUUAGUUAAUCUGGAGCAUCGACACCAGUUUAUUCGAAGGAAUGCAAUUCUUGCAGUAAUGGCCAUUUACAAACUUCCACAGGGUGAACAGCUCCUGGUUGAUGCUCCAGAAAUGAUUGAGAAGGUUUUGUCAACCGAGCAGGACCUAUCAGCCAAGAGGAAUGCAUUUCUUAUGCUUUUUAAUUGUGCACAGGAUCGUGCCAUUAAUUAUCUUCUGACCCAUGUCGAUAAAGUAUCUGACUGGGGGGAGCUGCUACAGAUGGUUGUGUUGGAACUGAUUCGGGAAGUAUGCAGAAAAAAUAAGGGAGAGAAAGGAAGGUAUAUAAAGAUCAUUAUAUCUCUACUUAAUGUUCCUUCUGCUGCUGUUAAAUAUGAAUGCGCUGGAACACUUGUGUCUUUGUCAUCUGCACCUACAGCAAUCAGGGCUGCCGCCACUACCUAUUGCCAACUUCUUUUGUCUCAGAGUGAGAACAAUGUCAAACUUAUAGUGCUUGAUCGCCUUAAUGAACUUAAAUCUUCUCCCAGGGAGAGUAUGGUUGAAUUGGUUAUGGAUGUGCUUAGAGCACUCUCUAUCCCAAACCCGGACAUUCGAAGAAAAACACUUGAUAUUGUUCUUGAAUUAAUUACUCCUAGAAAUAUCAAUGAGGUUGUUCUCACUUUGAAGAAGGAAGUCGUGAAAACUCAAGGUGGGGAUCUUGAGAAGAAUGGAGAGUCACGCCAAAUGUUUAUUCAAGCCAUUCAUUAUUGUGCAAUAAAGAUUCCAGAAGUGGCAAGCACUGUUGUUCAUCUAUUGAUGGACUUCUUGGGAGACAAUGUUGUUUCUGCUAUGGAUGUUGCUGUUUGUCUGCGGGAAAUAAUCGAAACCAACCCAAAAUUGAGGUCUCCUAUCGUAAAAAGGUUGUUUAAAUUAUCAAAACCAACCCAAAAUUGCUUCUGCUAGGUGUUUGUGUGCGAGAAAUAAUCAAAAUGAUGAAGAUCAAUGGUUUUUAAGGAUAUCUGCUUUUAAAAAAUAAGGGUUAGUGUUAAACAGAUAUUUUAUAUUUGUUAUUUAACAAAAAAAUAAGAGUUUAUUUCCGUAAAGAAAUUGAAUUUUAUAUAUUUUUUCAGAAUUAAGCUCUUUUUUCUCAAAAAUAAAUUUUGAGCACUUUUGACCGAUAAGGAAUGGAAGUGCAAAGAUGUGUCAUACACGUAUACAAUUAAGAGUUAAGACCACUAGCCGCGCAUAUCAUAGGCUGCGUAUGGAUGAUAUGUUGUUUCACGGCAGAGCAAUUGGAUGCUCGUAAUCUAAACAUCCAUCUUAACUUCCUUUUGUGGUGCAGUUUGGAAUCGGAAUCACAAAAGAGCGAUUUUUCUAAAACUGAAAAUCGAAACCAACCCAAAUGAAAAUCGAAACCAACCCAAACAUCAUUGGUGCGAUUCGGUUUAUAAUGAACGGUUCCAAUAUCAAAUGAUGCGUUUCGAUUUUCAAACCGUGAAAAAUCCGAGAUAUUAAAAUUCAUAGAUGAACACUUUGGGGCGGAAAACAAAACAAAUUUUACAACCAUCCAUAAAAAGAAACCUUACAUAAAAAAAAUUCUUAGUGUUCGAAUUUUCUCAGCAGAUUCAAUCAACUCCAAGUAAAACACUGCUCCACACUGAUUGUCUUUGCUUAAUCUCAUUUUUGAGCGUCUGUUCCCAAAUAUUAUACAAAUACAUGAAUAAAGCAUUGCAGGGAGUAGGAAUCGUUUCAGCUAUUAUAGAAUUAGAAAGACUGAGGAAUGACCGGCACUAACUGUGUUUACUUGGAUAUAAACAUAAUUAUAUAUUUUAUAAUAGAUAUAAUUUAUAUAUUAUUCUAUAUGUAAAUAUAUAACAUAAAUAAAUAAAUAUAAAAAUUAUUGCAGUUCGAUUUGAUUUGUAUUCGGUUUUAAAAUUUUUAAAAUCAAAAUCAAAUUCAAAAUAUCGGAGCGAUUUUUAUUCAGUUCAAUUUUUAUUUGGUGUGAUUUCAUGUAAUUUUUGGUUCGGUUUCCACUUAUCUGUGACCUUAACAUGUUAUCGUCCGCUUACAUAAAUAAAAAUUAAAUAGAAGCUACAGUUUAGGCUCUAUGGUGAAUUAGUGAGAUAUAGAGCUAAAUAGAAGCUACAAAUGACUUUCACCAUGUCAUGUUCACAGACUGAGAUAUAGAGCUUGAUUGCCGGCUUAUCAUUUACUCCUUCCGUCCCUCUCAUUUUUUUAUACUUUUUUAUUGCUCAACUUGUCUUUUAAAACGCGCCUUGCAGAGACUACAAAUGACUUUCACCGUGUCAUGUUCACGGACUGAGAUAUAGAGCUUAUUGCCAAAUGCUCUUUUGCCGGCUUAUCAUUUACUCCUUCCGUCCCUCUCAUUUCUUUAUACUUUUUUUAUUGCUCAACUUAUCUUUUAAGACGCAUAUAAAAUAUUAUUAUAUUUUAUUAGAGUAUCAGAAUGAGUGUCGAGCCCCGUUCCUAAGAUAAAUAAUUGAGAGGGACGGAGGAGUAUAAAUUAAAAUUCAUAUGUCAAUAAGUUAUGAGUUAAAUUCUGAUUUAUAAGUCAGAAGAUCUUAUUAAUCAGAACUGAUUAUUUGAAAAUUUAAAAUCUCGACCUUUUAGUGAAUUUUUAAAAUUUGAUAUUAAAGAAGUAUAUAGGUUAGUCCGUAUUUUGAUCAUAAAUUAGAAGUGACUUGGCUCAACGAAUAUGUCCUUGCGGCGGCAAAAGGAUUAGAAGUUACCCCACUCGGACGAGGUUUUUGAACAGAACUUCGAUAGGCGCGAGGUGUAAGCACCGCGAGGUGUGAAGCGAUGCAAGUAUAAAUUAUUUUUUUGUCAGUUAUAUAUUGAUCUGUCCUGUAAUGACUUAAAACAUUCACCAUCCGCUUGAAGGUGUGCAAUACGACAUCCAUUUGUGGAAAUACAAAGACAGUGUCUAUCGGUCAUAUCGUGGUAAUUAAGCUAAUCUGUGAAUGAAACAGAUAAUUAUUUGGAAAAUAGGAAAAAACAAUUUACAAUACAAUAUGCCUCAUGUUCCGUAGACAAUAGCACGAAACACGACAAAGUGAGGAGUGAGCUAGAGAAAAGAAACUAAAACACUUGUAUCAUAUUUGAAAAGAGAAGUGUUUUUGCGAUAAAUCUAAAACAUGAAAAAAAACAAUACAAGAUUGAGAGAGAUUGUAAACGACAACUGCCGGACUAGGCAGAAUAUUACCUAAAGGAUAUUAUGUGACAUAAAUUAGUGUAUAUAAGAAGAUGAGCCGUAAUGUCGAUUAAUCGCGGACUUUUAGAAAGUAAGAAAAUGAAGUGGUGGGAGAGUUGCAGUGUAGUGUUGUUGGUGAUGAGCUUUUUGGGUGCAGCUGCUGCACAAAAGGCGACUGUGAGAACGACAUACCAUAUAUAUGAGCCACAGAAGAUUGGAUGGGAUUAUAUGAAGGCAGGUGUGUAUUGUGCAACAUGGGAUGCUGACAAGCCUCUUUCCUGGAGAAAAAAGUUUGGUUGGACUUCUUUUUGCGGCCCUGCUGGUCCUCAUGGUCGCUCUUCUUGUGGAAGGUGUUUGAAAGUAAGUCUCUUUUUUUUGUUCAAUAAUUAAUUUACGAUCUGUUUAGGUGGAGUCAUGAACACAUGCUAAGCAUUAAUUUUUAUUAUGUAUUUAGCUCAUUUUGAUUGGUGUGUUUCUGUAUAUAAGGGUCCAAGUGGGAGUUAACUAAAAUAAGCUGAACUUAUAAAAUUUAGUGAUUAGCUUGUCUCAGUGACAUGUCAUAGAAAAAUAGAAUUAUUUAUUUAAGAACAGGUAGGUUUGUUAAUAGAUUGGAUAUUUGCGAAUUAAUUUAGAUGAAUAUGGAUUGUGUGAAAGAUAUUUGAUCCGAUAAUAGUAUUCCACAUAGAAUUGAAUAUGAAUAUAGGUCGCUACGAUUUGUUUAUUCACGACUUAAUGCGUUUACGGUUUUUCUAGUUGUGCCCAUGCAAAUGCUAGGCACUAAAUUUUAUAAAUUUGACUCUUUUUGAUUGGUUUUUGUUUUUUAAUAAUAGUGGACCCAUGCAUACAACAACUACACCAAUCAAAAUGACCCAAACCCAGGGGCGGACCCAGACAUCAAAUCACACCCGGGCUGGCUGUUCAGUGAUCAUCAUCCAUUGGCCGGUGCUAAUUUAAAAAACUGUAAAAAAAAAACUUCCAUAUUUCAUUUGUAGUUAUAAUAUAUUCUGAUUAUCUGUUUUUACAAAAAUAUUUUUAUUUAUUCAAUUUCAAAUUUAUUUAUUAAUUAUUUUUUUUAUUUGGUAAUUGAUUUUUGACACACAAUUUUAGAUAUUUUGUCUAAAUAGUAAAAUUAAUUAUUUGGGACGAAUUUAUUUAACCUGGAUAAUUUAAGAUGACGUAAUUUUAUGAUUAAUUCUAAAUACUUUUUACAAAGGAAUUAGUAAAUCUUAUAAUUGCAAAAUUUGGAGAUAAUUAUAAUUACAUGAUAUCAUAAAAAAAUUCAAGUUUUCGAGAAUCAUUAUUAAAAUUAGAAAAAACCUAAUAAGUAGUAAAUAUAAAUAAAACACAAAUUAGAAUCUUUAUUUAGAAAUAGAAAUUUCAUAACUAAUAACAAAUGUGUAUAUUAAUAUAUGUAAAAUGAAUUAUAUAAUAAUCUAAUUAAAAAUUAGAGAACAAAUACGUCCUAAAUCAAAAGGGAAAAAGUUCAAAGUGAUUUAUGUUGUGUUUGGUUGGGGUGAAUGAUUCCGGAAGGAAUGGAAUGAAAAAUGAACUAUUUUAUGGAUGAUUUUUAAGAACUUUCAUUCCUUCCUUCAUUCCAUUCCCUACAUCAUAUGUUAGAUGUCACCCCUUCCAUUUGAGAUGGAAUGCUCCAUUCUCUCUCAUUCUCAUUUUCUUCUCAAAUCUCAUCAUAGCAAUUUUGCACUCCUUCAAAAUCCUACAUCAUAUGUUAGAUGUCACCCCUUCCAUUUGAGAUGGAAUGCUCCAUUCUCUCUCAUUCUCAUUUUCUUCUCAAAUCUCAUCAUAGCAAUUUUGCACUCCUUCAAAAUUUUUCAAAACUUUCUUCACAUCUCUAUUAGUUUCAAGUAUUUUUUACUCAUUUCAUUUCAUUCCAUUCCAUUCUCCCCAACCAAACACAACAUUAUAGUUACAGACUUACAGUCUUUUGACACCAACAAUAAUAGAAUAUGUGUUCAACUACAGCUAAUUCUUGUUUCUUUGUGAAUCAAAAUUCAAAAUUGUGAAUCAAAAUUCAAAAAAGUUUACUGGGCUAGCAUGAAGGAACUGCCCGGGCUGAAGUCUCCAAAUCAAAGAAGUUAGUAAUAAAUCUGCUAGAAAGUGAGAAUGUUACCAGGGCUGGCACCAACCCUAGCCCCUUCUAUGGUCCGCCCAUGCCCAAACCUAUAGUGCUCAGUGCCCAUGAACACACAUUAGACAAACUCAUGUGUUUAACAAGAUUUUGUGCCAUGCUUUGAUCAGUUUGUACUUGUGAUUUGAUAUGUUGUUGUAUGCAGCUUACUAACACGGCGACAAAUGCAAAAGUAAAAGUGAGAAUAGUCGACCAAUGCAGCAACGAUGGUCUGGAUUUGGAUGUUGGCAUGUUUCAGAAGCUAGACACUGAUGGACAAGGCUAUGCUCAGGGCCAUCUCAGUGUCAAAUACCAGUUUGUUAAGUGCUGACUUUGUUUCUCUACAUUUAUGCUGUCCUUUCUGUAAUACAAAGAAAUCACCUCAAUGCCAGUUUUUUUCAAGUUUAAUUCACAAGUAUACUCGUGUCUUGUACUAUUCUUGGACUCUUGUGUUUUCUUCAGUCCCCUAUGUUGUUGAUGGCCCAAGUAAUUUUUUUUAAACCAAUUACGAUAUUUUAAUUUAAGAAAUUAAAAUUUGAGGCUAAAUUUUGAUUUUAUGAAUUAAUUAUUUGUCUCUUGAUUAUAUAUUCAAACGCUCGGCUUUUAUCAAAGAGGACUGUUGUUAACUUGUUAUAUAUGCAACAUAAUAACUACAUUUUUUUUAAAAAUUCAAUGACUUAAUUUUUUUGAUAAAAAUUACACGUAAGUUAUAAGUUACUCAUAAAACAAUUUUAUUUUUAUCAUUAGAUUUUUAAUAAUCCACAAGCAGUUAAUAAGUCAAAAUUAUCCAAAUAGACAUUUUAAAUUUCCAAAUAAGUCAUGUUAAGUCCUAAGUCACGUUAAAUCCUAAGACAUAAGCUCAGCCAAACAAUCUCUAGGGUCUGUUUGAGAGUGCUGUUAAAAAUUGUUGUGCUGUCGGAAAAAGUGCUGGUAAAAUAAGUGCUGUUGUAGAAAUCAAAUAACUGUUUGGUAAUUUUUUUAUAUUUACUUAUUUUGAGUUAUAAUAUAAAAAAAUAAUGAUUUUGGUGAUGUUUUAUAAUGAAAUCUAUAACAGCAUUCUGCAAAAGCUGAAAAGCAACCUUUUGUAAAAACAUGGGAGGACCUGCUUUUUCUAACAGCAGCUUUUCAGCUAAAAACUGUUGUUCGGAAAAGCUGCUUUUAGAUUUACCAAACAGUUUUUCACCUGAUUUUCAGCAAAAAACUGUUGUUGUUGUCUGCAAGAGCAACCCCAAACAGUACCUAAAUCAACUUUAUCAUUGAAAAUGUAGCCAAACGACUUCUAAAUCAACUUUCUCGUUGAAAAUCUACUCCUUCCUUCUCGGGAUAUAAUAAUUUAUUGAUUUUUUCCCCACGUAUUGUCUAAAAAUUUUAAUCGCAUAUUUAUAAAUAUUAUUUUUGAUAUUUUAUUUUUGUGAACAAAAGUAUGAUAUUAAUUACUUCAAAAAAAAAGGGUAUGCUGCUAUUAUUUUUAUUUAUAAUUUUUUUUAAAAAGAUAAUUUUAAAUAUUUAGUCAAUUUUUUUUUUUUUUUUAGAGCAAUUUAGUCAAAAUUUUUAAAAAAUCUUAAGAAAAGUAUAAGAGCUAUUCCAUACUAACAUAACAUAGAGAGAGUAAAGAUUACAAACCGGCGAAUCCCUUGUAAAUUAGUUGAAGGCGUGGUAUAAGAAAGAAAACCAGAUCUAUAAUUCCAUAGUUGAAUUCCGUGUGUACACUUCUCCGGCCACCGACAAUCAAUCGUUUGCUUCUCGGUAAUCAUCAACACACUCUUGUAGUAGUUAAUUAUAUACACUGAUGUACGUUUUGACCUAAUUACAGAUCUCGCAUUUUCAUUUGCCAUUUUUUUAAUUACGCUUUGGUUGUGAUUCCUUUCAUCUAUUUUCGCUAUUUGAUUCAUACAUUAUUCCUGCUCUUGUCUUUGUUGUGAGUGUGCGUAUGUAUGUUCAAAUCUCGCUGUAAAUCCUUAUACCUAGAUAUCAAUUUUAAUCUAUUUACACCUAGAUAUCAAUUUUAAUCUGAUUGUAAACAACCAAUGCAAUGUGAUUGGAUAUUACUCAGUUUUAUAUCAAUCUCAAUCGCGGUGAUGUUAGUACCAGUGCUUUUCGAUUUACUUUCUGUGUCGGUAACUUUUAUAUGUAUGUUCGUAUAUGUGGAAUUUUGCGGUUAUCUAUUUGCAUUUCAAUGUACUAAUAAUGUUAAUUUCUGUAUUGUGUGUAUGACGAUAUAGUUGUUUGUUUCUGUUAGUAAUACUGAGGUGUUUUAUGUUGUUCGAUCAGAUAAUUGGUGAGAUAUGGACAAAUCUUGCUCUCUGCUUGUUUAUUUUGAUAAAGGGACGCCUGCUCUUGCUAAUGAAAUCAAGGAAGCUCUAGAAGGGCAUGAUGUGGAAGCAAAAGUUGACGCGAUGAAGAAAGCUAUUAUGCUUUUGCUCAACGGAGAAACGCUGCCACAGCUUUUUAUAACAAUUGUUAGAUAUGUUUUACCUUCUGAGGAUCACACAGUUCAGAAACUACUGCUUCUUUAUCUUGAAAUCAUUGACAAGACUGAUGCCAAAGGCCGUGUCCUGCCUGAAAUGAUUUUGAUUUGCCAAAAUCUGAGGAAUAAUUUGCAGCAUCCAAAUGAGUACAUACGGGGUGUCACUUUGAGGUUUCUUUGUCGCUUGAAUGAGGCCGAGAUUAUUGAGCCUUUGAUUCCGUCUGUUUUAGCUAAUCUGGAGCAUCGACACCAGUUUAUUCGGAGGAAUGCAAUUCUUGCAGUAAUGGCCAUUUACAAACUUCCACAGGGUGAACAGCUCCUAGUUGAUGCUCCAGAAAUGAUUGAGAAGGUUUUGUCAACCGAGCAGGACCAAUCAGCCAAGAGGAAUGCAUUUCUUAUGCUUUUUAAUUGUGCACAGGAUCGUGCCAUUAAUUAUCUUCUGACCCAUGUCGAUAAAGUAUCUGACUGGGGGGAGCUGCUACAGAUGGUUGUGUUGGAACUUAUUCGGAAAGUAUGCAGAACAAAUAAGGGAGAGAAAGGAAGGUAUAUAAAGAUCAUUAUAUCUCUACUCAGUGUUCCUUCUGCUGCUGUUAUAUAUGAAUGCGCUGGAACACUUGUGUCUUUGUCAUCUGCACCUACAGCAAUCAGGGCUGCCGCCAAUACCUAUUGCCAACUUCUUUUGUCUCAGAGUGACAACAAUGUCAAACUUAUAGUGCUUGAUCGCCUUAAUGAACUUAAAUCUUCUCACAGAGAGAUUAUGGUUGAAUUGGUUAUGGAUGUGCUUAGAGCACUCUCUAGUCCAAACCCUGACAUUCGAAGAAAAACACUUGAUAUUGUUCUUGAAUUAAUUACUCCUAGAAAUAUCAAUGAGGUUGUUCUCACUUUGAAGAAGGAAGUCAUGAAAACUCAAGGUGGGGAUCUUGAGAAGAAUGGGGAGUCCCGCCAAAUGCUUAUUCAAGCCAUUCAUUGUUGUGCAAUAAAGUUUCCAGAAGUGGCAAGCACUGUUGUUCAUCUACUGAUGGACUUCUUGGGAGACAGCAACGUUGCUUCUGCUAUGGAUGUUGCUGUUUUUGUGCGAGAAAUAAUCGAAACCAAUCCCAAAUUGAGGGUUUCUAUCAUAACAAGGUUGUUGGACACUUUCUACCAGAUUCGAGCUGCAAGAGUUUGUUCUUGUGCUCUUUGGAUCAUCGGAGAGUACUGCCUUUCGCUGUCUGAAGUUGAGAGUGGCCUAGCAACCAUUAAGCAAUGCCUUGGGGAUCUUCCUUUCUAUGUGGCAUCAGAAGAAGGAGAGACUGCUGAUACUUCACAGAAAUCACAGCAAGUAAGCUCUGUCACUGUUUCAUCAAAAAGANUGAUACUUCACAGAAAUCACAGCAAGUAAGCUCUGUCACUGUUUCAUCAAAAAGCCCAGCCAUACUUGCUGAUGGUACUUAUGCGACACAGAGUGCAGCCUCUGAAACUGCAACCGCUGCUCCUACUGUUGUUCAAGGAUCUUUAAGCACCGGAAAUCUGAGAUCUCUUAUUCUUACUGGUGAUUUUUUUCUCGGGGCAGUUGUGGCUUGCACAUUAACUAAACUUAUCCUCAGGCUAGAAGAGGUUCAACCAUCCAAAGUUGAAGUGAAUAAAGCAUCGACUCAAGCAUUAUUGAUCAUCGUGUCUAUGCUGCAACUAGGACGAUCUUCAUUUCUCUCUCACCCAAUUGAUAAUGAUUCAAAUGACAGAAUUAUUCUCUGCAUAAGAUUGCUAUGCAACACAGGGGAUGAAAUCAGGAAAAUUUGGUUACAGUCUUGUCGUGAAAGUUUCGUUAAGAUGCUUUCAGAUAAACAGCUUCGUGAAACGGAAGAGAUUAAAGCAAAGGCCCAAGUUUCUUAUGCACAACCAGAUGACCUUAUUGAUUUUUACCAUCUGAAGAGUAGGAAGGUUAGAGAAUCUUCAGUGAAUUCCAUAUCAAUUCUGAUUGUCACUUCUCUUACAAUGCAUAAGAAGUUCCUGUCACCCGAAUGACUUUUUUUCAGGCUUCAUUAGAUCUUCUGAGUGAUUAAUAGCAUAAUGAUUAUUCUUUGGUAGGAUAAUAAUGCUAUAAUUUAACCCCAACCACUUGCCAGCAUACUUCAGACGUUAUUUGGAAAUAUUAUGAGUACAAAUCAAUGGUUACUUAUUUCUUAUUGAUUUUUUAAAUGUGUCUGAAAUUUGAGCGCAGCGAAGUUCAUAUACACAGUUUAGUCUUGAUUAACCAGUUUUAUUUGAUAAACAUUACUUUAUUUAUUUUAGGGUAUGAGCCAGCUUGAAUUGGAAGAUGAGGUUCAAGAUGAUCUGAAGCGCGCUACUGGUGAAUUUGUAAAUGAUGGAGAUGAUGCUAACAAGCUGAACCGUAUAAUUCAACUCACUGGAUUUAGUGACCCCGUAUAUGCUGAGGCCUAUGUGACAGUUCAUCACUAUGAUAUUGUUCUUGAUGUUACUAUUAUAAAUCGUACCAAGGAGACCCUACAAAACUUGUGCUUGGAAUUGGCAACCAUGGGUGACCUUAAACUUGUUGAGCGUCCUCAGAAUUAUACUCUAGCUCCUGAAUCAAGCAAACAAAUUAAAGCAAAUAUUAAGGUGUCCUCUACUGAGACUGGAGUCAUAUUUGGGAACAUUGUUUAUGAAACUUCAAAUGUGCUUGAACGGUCUGUGGUUGUCCUAAAUGAUAUCCACAUUGAUAUUAUGGAUUACAUCUCUCCUGCAGUAUGUAGUGAUGCUGCCUUUAGAACUAUGUGGGCAGAGUUUGAGUGGGAAAACAAGGUAUUUACUUCAUCUAAUUUGUCCCAUCUCAUACUUUUAAACCAUAUGAUUUAUAACAGCUUUAUUGAGUUCUUAUGUUAUGCUUGAAAGUUUUCAUAAUCUUAACUUCCCAAUUUAUACAGGUGUAAUUGCUAAAACAAUUGAUUCGGCAUAAUUUCUCCAACUUUUUAGUUUUAGAAAAAUGAUUUAAUGUUUAUCAUACAUUGCUCACUGAACUAAUCGAUGUUGGUAUCUGAAAUUCAUCAUUCAACGAAGCUAAUGAUGAAACGGAUUUGCUUGUCUGCUUUUUUGGGUUUCUAGCUUAUAUUUUGGGAUUAUAUUUUCUGCAUUCAAUUUUAUAAUGCCUUUUACAUUGAGGUAAAUGUGGUCCUGUGUGAGCUACUUUCCCUUUUUGUUGAAACAAGUUUGUAUCUUUGCAGCAGCAUAAUUCUGUAGACAUAUUCAUUACGUCAAGUAAUAGUUGACACUUGACAGUGAAUAUAUUUCAGUCAAUCCUAUAUGUUAUGUUCAUCCAAAGACUAAAGUAACCAAAUCCAGAUGUUCACAUGGCUAUGUCGUAGUGCCAGUCUGCCGUAAUAUAUUAUUACGAAGUUUUACAUUAUUAUCCAGCCCACUCAUGCGGUACCAAAAAAAAGUCAACGUAUCUUCCGACUUGAACUGUCAAGUUCUCUCUACUUGUAGUGUACGAGUACUGUGAUGUUUGAAUUCCUGGCAGAGUCCUGUUUUUAUAAGCGUAUACUUUUUGGUUGGUUAAUUUGAGUCUGAUGCAAUUAUGCAACCACUAUUUCAGGUCGCUGUCAACACUGUUAUUCAAAAGGAGAAAGAUUUUCUUGAUCACAUUAUUAAGGCAACCAACAUGAAGUGCCUUACUGGACCGUAAGUCACUUGUCUUAAACAGCUAGAUAUGUUUUCCGCCUUUCAGAAGUUUACCCUCCCGUUGUCUGAAUUUGAACGUUGGUAGUUUUUAUUUUACACUGCACGUUGAAGAAGUACAAAAGCAAACACUCAUAAUGCCUUUAGUUAGUGUUUCCCGAAAACAGAGCUGUUUUUAUAGACAAUUAGUUUGCCUGUGAAAUUUUUAUAGUAACAGAAAUAGUCAAGGGAACAAUAAUUUAAGUUGUAUAACAAUGGCGAACUUAUUGACUAGGGUAGAGAGUAUGAUCUUACUAGUUACUACCCAAUCUUAAUUUUGGGCGGUGGCUGAUAAGAUAAACUUGUAUUUUUUCUGUCCAGGUCUGCUCUGGAAGGUGAAUGUGGAUUUCUAGCUGCAAACUUGUAUGCUAAGAGUGUGUUUGGGGAGGAUGCUCUGGUAAAUUUGAGCAUUGAAAAACAAGGCGAUGGUAAUUUAAGCGGAUAUAUACGGAUUAGAAGCAAGACUCAGGGAAUUGCUCUAAGUUUGGGGGACAAGAUCACCCUUAAGCAGAAGGGUGGAAGCUGAUCUGGUUCAUGUGAGCAUCCAUUAGUUCAUUCUCUCAUAAUGCUGGCAUGCUUUGCCUAUCUAAAUAAAUAUAUUAAUAUACAUUAUAGUUUAUAAAAAAACCUAUAUUUACUGGCAGUUAUGAGAUCUAAUCAUAUCUGGAUUCCCUUAUAUCUGUUAUUUCUUAUUCUCUGGCCAUGGUGGAUGUGUAAGUUUCUACCAAUCUGGUUUUCAGUUUCUUUUUACAUGCAGUCCUUUUUAUUACAUUGUGGAAUUGUUUCUGAAUUUAGACAUAUGUCAUGCUUUCAGGUGCUACUUUUGAAAAUCGAUAUAUUGUACCAGGCUCUUUCAAAAUACCUUCACACCUUCAGAAUGAUCUUCCAAAUUAAGAUUGAGGACGAAAUGGAGAUUUGUUGUUACUUUGCUUACAACUUGAGAUGCUCGGGAUACAGGCACCCGCAGGAACUAAUUUUUUGCAGAGAAGAUUUUUAAAUUAUAGCAUAUUCGUUGUAGCUGAAGUUGUUCGAGGGCAGUAGUGUCUUCUCCAUAAUGUUAGAAGAUGGGCUUGGACAAUUUUAAUCUCUGUUACUGAUGAUAUUUGUAAUAUUUUUUCUGAUUAGACUAGACAACAACUCUUAAAUGUUUUAUGAAUGUUUCAAUUUACUAUAGUUUUUGUUGUAUACAUAUAUACAUCAACGGAUUUUCAAGUGUGUGUCCAUGAGUACAUAUUAACAACUUUUUUUGUUGAGGUGGAAGGCUUUUAUUGACCAAAACCUCAUUAAUAAUCAUGGCCUGACCAGUAAAAACUCUUCACCUCAACAAAAAACACUUGUUAGCACUUGUUAGUGUUGCCCAUGGGUACACACUAGAAACACCCACAUACAUCAAUUAAGAAAAGAAAAUAUAAAAAUUUGCUAGGGUGAUGAAAUUAGAUCAAGAUAUGCAUAUCAUUCAGCACGGCCAUUUGUAUCGGUAAGCGUUCAAUUAUUACUCUCUCUGGUCCUUAUAAUAAGGCACCAACCACUAAGAUUUUUUGCACACAAUUCUAGGUGCUUUGGCCAUUUAUUUAAAAUUAUUUUUUUAAAAUUUUUCUUUUUUAAAUUAAAAUAUAUGAUAUAUAUAUAUAUAUAUAUUUUUUUUUAAUUUAUAAAAAGAAAAUUUUAAAAAAAAUAAUUUUAAGUGUGCGGUCAACACACCUAGAAUUGUGUGCAAAAAAUUAACCUCAAGCCCGCAGAAUCUGAGUUUCAUACACAGUUAAAUUUCAUACUCUCUCCGUCCCGAUGUUAUUCAUUUUCUUGUUUUAUUUUUCCAAAAAGUAUUAGUUACGUGAAAGUAUAUAGUACUAUCCUUGGUUGACUUGACUCCCGAGUCUCCCGUCCUUGGUUGACUCCCGAGUAUAAACAGUGAGCUUGCGAUCUGAAAGUUGAUCAAGUGCAGAAGAUGAAUAUGUCGGGAGGCACAGAAGGCGAGGUGCAGCAUGAGAUAGUCAUAGUUGGUGCUGGUAUUUGUGGUCUUGCCACUGCUCUUGCCUUGCACAGGUUCUUUCUUUUUUGCUACUUAUCAUGUUCUUUUGAGUGUUAAAGAUAUAAUACGAUCCCGAUAUGCUCUCCUCGUAAUACCUUGACGUUUAAGAUAGCCGAGAGCAGAUAACUUUAUAGUAUUUAUGUUCAUCAUGUUAUUGUAAAAUAGGGUGACAUACUGACAUGGGUAUUGUGAUUUGUUAUUUUGGUGCAGGAAAGGUAUAAAAUGCAUAGUUUUGGAAAGAUCAGAGAGCUUGAGAUACAUUGGGGGAGGCAUUGGCAUUAUGGCAAACGGAUGGCGUGCUUUACAUCAACUCGGUGUUGAUUCCAUCCUUAAACAAACUGCUGAUCCUAUAGUAGGGUGAGUAUAUCCAAUUCUUGCUCAUCAUCUAUAUACUCUUUGUAUAUGCAUACCACCAACUGUAGUGGGCAUACUUGUAAUGUAGAGAUUGCUAACAAGUAACAAGUUCUCUUGAAUUUGAUAGCCCUUUUUUAUCUAAAAAUUGAAAAGAAUUGCUUCAGAAUUUUGAUUAUACUGUGCAAGAUUUUAGAUUUGAUUCCCCUUGUUAUGUAGCCUUUUAUAUUUCAAUUUUCAACAAUAAUAGCUAGGUGCAUUCAAACACUUUUUAUUCAUUAUCACCAGUUGACCAUUUCUGUAUUCUAAUAAUUUGAAUUCACAAGAAACCUUACAAGGUUUUGGAGGAUUAUAUAAAGAUGCAUCUCUUAAAGAGAAAUUAAAUCUUAUGCCUUCCAUUCUAUACUCAUAAAAUCUUAUGCUUUUAGACGGUUUUAUGCAGGUCAAAAGAUAUAUGGCUUGACAAGAACAAGCAGCGAGAUAUGUCAUUCAUGUAAGUUUGUUUGCUCUGCCAUUUUUUAAUAGUCUGAACCUGAUACACAUUGCUUAGAGUUUGCUUAACCAACAAAAACUUAAAAGCAAACAGUGCCUAGCUUAACAAUAAAACACACUUUUGAGUUCAAGUGACCGUUUUCUUUGACUUGGGCAUGAUUGACAAGAAGGUACGGAUCAAGUCUUCUUAUUGCAGUUGUAUAUAUUCUCUAGUGUGGUACGACUAUAUGCUGAAUGAAUAUUUCCUCAUGCAACUGAGGUGAGGUUUAGCAAACGGUGGGUAGUGCAAAAUUUAAUUUGUUGGUACAGCUAGCAGCUUAUGGCUUAUGUAAGGGAAGUAUGCACACUAUUCACUUUAUAUGCCAGUUAAUUGGUCAAGUAAGAGCAGAUCAAAUUGGUGGCUUGCCGAUCCUCUGGCACUCCUCACCUCUACUGUGCCAGAGGCCAUGGGUUUGUGGCUCAGUCGAGGCAUUGUGUGCUCAUAGUUCCAUUUUCAAAAAUUUUAGACCAUUCCAUUUUCUGUUCCACUAUAGAUCAUCAGUUGUAAAAUUGGAUGCUUAAUAUGAUUUAAUAGUAUGCUUGCUAUAAUAAGCUUAAAGUUUGUUUUAAGAAAUAGUGGAUUUCAAACAGCGUAGGAUGUCUUAUUAAUAAUACUACCUUAAGUAGUUAAUACUAAGAAAUAGUGUUUGUUGUCCAUAAAUAUCUGUUUAGCAUAAUAGUAUCAUUUUUUUUUGACUUGGGUGUGACGUUAAAUAAGGUGUUUUAUUAUAUAAUGGUAAAAGCUUUCUGUUUUGACAGGAGUAGCGAGGCUCGUUGCUUGAGGAGAAGUGAUCUCAUCAACACCCUUUACAAUGCUUUACCACCUAAUGUGGUAAAGUUUGGACAUCAAAUUGUCUCUGUGAAACUGGAUCCUCAAACUAAUAAUCCCAUUCUUCAGCUUCAAGAUGGAAAUUCUUUAUCGUCCAAGGUAUUAACCAGAUACAUCAGUAUUAUGCACUACAGCAAUUGGUAUUUAUACAUUUUUUUAAAGCAGUGAAGAUAUGUCACACGUUGUCGAUCCAUUAUUAUUAAAUUCUAGUUCCAGUCAUAUUGUCUGUAAGUGUUCUUGUAGUAGUCAAUUAGUGCUAGAUCUGUUUCUGAGAUUCUUCUUAUUUCUGUAGUCGAUAAAAAUCUUGACACGUUUCGUCAAAUCCACAAAUGGAUAAAACACUUUAAAUCGUAUAUGGUAAGAACUGUGUAAUGUCUAUAUUCCAUUAAUAGGUUUUAGUUGGGUGUGAUGGAGCCAACUCGGUGGUUGCCGAUUUCCUGCAACUCAAGCAUACAAAAGUAGCUGGACUUUGUUCCGCUAGAGGGUUAACCAACUAUCCUAAUGGGCAUCCAUUCACUAAUGAGUUUGUCCGCAUGAAGAGAAACAACACUGCCGUGGGUCGAGUCCCGAUUGAUAGUAAGCUGGUUUACUGGUUUGUUGCUCACCCAUGGGUGCAAACAGGUAAACUCUUGGUUUUCUUUCUUACAAGGUUUGAAGUUAUGUAUGACUGUAUCCCUUUCUGACUAUAGAAGUGACCUUAUUCCUAAUACAGCUUAUAGCUUUGUUGGCUACCAGUUGAGUAAGCUAAUCAUUGCAAACAAAGUAACAAACAGAGGCUAAUGAUGGCUUAUGCUAUUAAAAAAAAAACUGACACUAGUUAUAUUUUGUUAUCCAAGUAUCUUGUUGCAGCGGGCUUGCCUCGUCUUCUUUUCCACCUGUUGAUAUUUGUGCUUUACAUGAACAGAUACCCAAAUUCCUCAAGACAAGGAACUUAUAAGGCAAUACACUCUGCAAUCAGUUAAAAGUUUCCCAAAAGAAAUUGUGGAACUGAUAAAGGACACUGACUACGAGACACUUUCUUUCACACGUAUAAGAUAUCGUAGACCGUGGGAUUUACUACUGGGAAGCUUUCGCAAAGGAACAGUAACAGUAGCUGGAGAUGCCAUGCAUGUAAUGGGUCCAUUCAUUGGACAAGGCGGUUCAGCAGGUUUAGAAGAUGCCAUUGUACUUGCUAGAAACUUGGCCAAGAAAAUGUCGAUGACUCCAACUGAUCCAAGGAGUAUUGAGGAAGCACUGGAUCAAUAUGUAAAGGAACGGAGGAUGAGGAUAGUUCGAAUGUCUACACAAACUUACCUUACUGGUAAACUGAUAACAGAAUCUACUCCACUGCUGGUAAAGUUUGCUUGCAUAAUCCUCAUGAUUCUUCUCUUCAGGGAUGCUAGUGGUCACACUAAAUAUGAUUGUGGAACCCUUUGAUCAUUUGCUGUUAAGCUUACCUAUUGCCUAUAAAAUAAUGCAGUUCCUUAGAGGAAGUAAGUUUAAAUUUAUGAUACUUGGUUUUGCUGUAAUGUAAUACCAUGAGAUUAUGAGAACAUGUUUUAAAUUUAUGCAGAGUGACUUUUUCAGGCAUAAGUACAUAACUCAGAAAUAAUUUUGCCUAUUGUACUAAGGACUUGCAUAGACUAUAUAAUUUUAAUAUUAAACCUACUCUGCAUAAAAAAAACACUACAAUGUAUAAAUUGUUCAUGCAAUUAGACCUGUCAAUCCGGUACACGACAAGAAAACACGACACGAACACGACACGAAAAGUUUGGGUUUGGUUUUCAAUAUUCGGUACACGAACACGAAAAGUUUGGGUUUGGUUUUCAAUAUUCGGUACACGAACACGAAAAGUACACGUUACUAUUAGUGUCGGGUUCGGUUUUUGGUAUAAGUACACAAACGACACGAAGUACACGAACUAAAUAAAUAAAUAUAAAUUAAAAAAUAUAUUAUACUUAUUUAUAUAUAUUCUUUAAUCAAUUUCAGUUAUGUUAUUUCAUUUCUGUUAUCUUAUGAAUUUAUUAUAUGUCUAAUCUAUUGUUCGUCACAGAAAAAUUGUAAAAAUAAUAUAUUUAUUGUGAAAUCCGUGUACUUUCGUGUACAAAUGUGUAUUUCGUGUACAUUACAUCCGGACUGUUCGUGGUACACAGAAGAUACAUGAAAUUUUUCGUGUACUUAACGUGUACGGUUCGUGUUUACACGAAAUAAGUCGGUUCGUGUACGUGUUCCAGAACUGGUGCACGAAACCGAAACAGUUCGGAUUCGGGUUUAGGGUUCAGUACACGAAAACACGAAAGUACACGACACGAACUGUUUGCCAGGUCUACAUAUAAUAGGGGACACAGUCCUAUUUGAAUGAUGUUUUUAAACUCCAUAAUUGGCCUUAAAAGCGUUAGGGAUGACAAUAGUCGGUAUGGUUCGGUUUUAAUGAAAACAGAACCCAAAUCGAAUAGUAUUUUUCAAAACCGAACCGAAUCGAAACCCGAACCAACGUUUUUCGGUUCAGUUCGGUUUAACCGAAACCUGAAAAUUAUAUAAAAUGUAAUAACUAAUAUAUCCAAAAUAUAGGUUCAUAGUCAAGUCUUUUAUUCAAAAAUUAACAUAUCUUCAAAUUAUUACACCUCGCAGCCACCAUCAUAUCACCACAACAUCACCAUCACCAUAAUCAUACGACAUUUUAAUCACCAUAUUUUUAAGACAGAUUUGAAUAAAGUUGUAGGAAAAAAAAGAUUUUAUAGAGUAGGAGGUGUGGCGAUGAAAGGUAGGGCUGUAAAUCGAUACGGACUAUCCGGUGUCUCGGCUCAUAUCCGGCUCGAAAAUAUGAUACAUGUCUCAUAUUCGUUUUGAAAACGAUCCAAAUCUGGCGGAAAAAUUAAGCCCGUAUAACAUAUGAUCCCGGAUACGAGCACACCUAUACCCGCUCAGAUUCGGGCUCAUAUAACUUUUCAUAAUAUGAUCCUACCCGAAUAACCGAAUAUGAUCCGCGGUUCAUAUUCGAUUCAAACUCAUAUACAUAUUAUAUUUUAACACCAUCAUAUUUGCAAGUAAAUAGUUAUCAUUUUAUAAAAUUUUAAUAUCUUAUUUAAGUUUAUAUCUUCAUAAAAUAUGAUUUAUUUAAUGUGAUCAUACUUAUUAUCUUCAUAUAUAUUUAAUAAAUGAUAUAUAUCAAUAUAUAACUAUAAGUUUUAAUUUAAAAUUAUUAUACUUUAUAAUAUUAUGUUUACUUAGACUAAUGAUAGUUAUUUGAACAAAUGAAAUAAUAAUGAUACUUAGUGUUAGUGGAUCAUAUCCGGCUCAUAUUCGAUGGAUCAUAAACUACCCGGUUAAAAAAUAGAAAAUACGAUACUGGAUCAUAUCCGGUUCAGAUCCGAAUCUCAAAUACCCGGGAUCGGUUUAGAUCCGAAUAAAACGAUCCCGGACCCAAAUCUGGACAAGCUAAAAAUAAUAUGAUCCGGUACUUGAGCAGAGGGGUAUCCGGGAUCACCCGGAUCAUUUUACAGCCCUAAUGAAAGGGCGAUGACGGGGAAGGAAGGAACUAGGAACGAUGAGAUGUGGCAGGGGUUAGAGGCCGGGGCUUGGCAUGCAGGAUCGUGAGAUGAGGAUGAAAGUGGGAUGGGCAACUAGUGUAAAAUAUAAAUUUUUUAGUUUCUAAUUUUACUUUUGAUUUUUAUUUGAUAUUCUUAUAUAGAUAUACUUUCAAACGCGUGUAUAAAACUAAAUUGUCGUAAUCAAUCAGAGUUGGUGGCCUGAAGUGAGCAUCUUAUUUGGUGGAUUUAACGAAUUUUUAUUUAACAUCUUAUUUGAAGUAAUCUUUUGGAAAUUUUGUGAGUUUGAUAAGUAUUAUAGCCAUUCAGCCCAAUCUAAAACAUGUACUCAGUACCAGUGGCGGAACCAGGAAUGAAAUUCAGGGGGGCUCGAAUUUGGAAGUGAGAUUCUAAAGAACUGAUUGAAAUUUAAAUACCGAACAUUGAUACCACAUUCAUCAAAGAGAGACGACCAUCUUUCUAGGUUGCAGGUAUUGAUUGGUUAAAAGGCCUCAAAGAGAACGUUGUCAAAAUGCAUUAACAUUAAUACAGCAGUAAGCAACGACGUCGAAAAAAAACUUGACUUAUAGAAUAGCGUUUUUUUACGCCACAUAAUGGCUGUAGACCUCCGAAAAAGCGUAAGCAACCUGUUCCAAGUAACAUAGCUAUUCACUAUUCCUUUCCACUUUCCAAGAUGUCUCCUCCAUGUGUGGCGUGAUAAGAUAAGGAUCACUAAGGGCCCGGUUUGUCCUUCCCGCAAGAAUCCCAUUGCCGGAAAUAUUAAGCCUACUAAAUGCAGGGAGAGUCGGAGAGCGCAACCGAUGAGCAGGUUGUCGCGGAUUCACGGCUAAAUGAACACAGUGAGAAGCUGAGUUAGGAUAGUGUCAAGUGUGUGCGUAUAACUUAUGAGUGUAUGUGUUUGUUAAUCAGACUCUCUUUAGAUUAAGAGCAAGUGAUCCAAAGCAGAGAGAAAAAGAGAGUAUGUAUAAAAUUUUAUUACAAUAUAUAGGAUAGAGUAAGGAGAGAGGGGUGCCUUAUAAAUAAGACUUCAAGAGGUUGUGCUAAUGAUAUAAGGCAUCACUAAAACAUUGUUGGAUCAACAUUUUUUUAUCAAGUGUCCUAAAUUAUGAUUUAGAACAUAUUAUAAGGCAUCUCUUGAACUCGCUCUACAUACCCUAAAUUAUAUUGACAUGAAUAAUUCAGCGGGGGCUGGAAAAAAAAAUAUACACUGUUUUUUAGAGGUUAGGGGGCUUCUAGCAUCCCCUAGCCCCCCUCUGGUUCCGCCACUGCUUAGUACUCAUAAUCUCAUGGUAUUACACUAUAACAAAAUUAAAGUAUUGUGAAUCAAAACUGACUUUGUCCACGGAUAGGGAACUGCAUUAUUUUACAGGCAAUAGGUAAGGUUAAUAACAAAAAUUGAUCAAAGAGUUCCACAAUCAUAUUUAGUGUGACCACUACCAUCCCUGAAGAGAAGGAUCAUGAGGAUAAUACAAGCAAACUUUACUAGCAGUGGAGUAGAUUCAGUUAUCAGUUUACCAGUAAGGUAGGAUUGUGUAGACAUUCGAACAACCCUCAUCCUCCGCUCCUUCACAUAUUCAUCUAGUGCUUCUCCAAUACUCCUUGGAUCAGUUGGAAUGAUCGACAUUUUCUUGGCCAAGUUUCUGACAAGUACGACGGCAUCUUCUAAACCUGCUGAACCGCCUUGUGCAAUGAAAGGACCCAUUACAUGCAUGGCAUCUCCAGCUACUGUCACUGUUCCUUGGCGGAAGCUUCCCAGUAGUAAAUCCCAGGGUCUACGGUAUCUUAUACGUGUGAAAGAAAGUGAGUCGGAGUCUGUGUUCUUUAUCAUUUCCACGGUUUCUUUUGGGAAACUUUUAACUACUUGUAGAGUAUUUUGCCUUAUUAGUUCUCUGUCUUGAGAAAUGUUGGUAUCUGUUUAUGUAAAGCACAAAAAUUAACAGAUAAUUGAAUAGAAAUGUACUAAAACGUCGUUGAAAUAUUGAGAUUAUAGGAGCUGCUCCUCUUUUGAAAUUAUUUUUUUACGAAGACAAGGAAUUAGCUUGUUUUGACAUGAAGCUGUUUCAAUAAUAAAGGGAUUGAAAGUCUUUAGCUUACUGAAUAGAUUGCCAGAAAAUAUGUAAGCUGUUUAGGGAAUAAGCUCACAUUUAGAGUAAAGCAGGGAUACAGGAUUUUAAACCUUGUAAAAGAGAAAAUUAAGAGUUCACCUGUUGGCACCCAUGGGUGAGCAACAAACCAGUAAACCAAAUUACUAUCAAUUGGGAUUCGACCCACGGCAGUGUUGUUUCUCCUCAUACGGACAAACUCGUGAGGGAAUGGAUGCCCAUUAGGAUAGUUGGUUACCCCUCUAGCAGAACAAAGUGCAGCUAGUUUUGUAGGCUUGAGCUGAAGGAAAUCAGCAACCACUGACUUGGCUCCAUCACACCCAACUAAAACCUAUCAAUGGAAAUAUGGAAUAGAUUAACAUUUCACGAGUACAGAAAUUAAAAAAAUCUCAUAAAAUUUCCCUGGCAGUUUAUCAUCUUAUAUAAUUACAUAACAGAUAUAAUCUGGCAUAUUUCCACUUAAGGAGCUCACAGGCUGGAAAGAGAGCUUCUAGCAAUUGAAACAAUAUCGUUGAGUCUAUCAAAUCAUCAUCAAUAGUACUAGUGAAGACUUACACAUGCCGUUGGCCCAUGUACAUUAUAAGAAACUGGAAUAAGCUUCUAUGUAUAUAGUAAAAAAAGUGAACUAUUCCGUUGAUUCACAGCCUUUCUGAAGUCACAGAGGAGGUGUAUUUCGAAAGAAAAGUUGGAUCAAAUGGUAUUGGUUAAAGAAAAGAGUUUACUCAGAAAUAAACCGAUGUAGCACUAAUUGACUAAUACAUUAACAAUAUUUGAUAAUUUGACUGAAACUCAGAAUUUACUAUGCAUGGAUCAACAAGGUGUGACGAAUCUUCACUGCAUUAAGAGAAAGUAUGUAUGCCAAUUGCUAUAGCAAAUAAUACUGAUAUAGCGGGUUAUUACCUUGGCUGUUAUAGAAUUUCCAUUUUGAAGCUGAAGAACUGGAUAAUUAGUUUGAGGAUCCAGUUUCACUGAGACAAUUUGAUGUCCAAACUUUACCACAUCAGGUGGUAAAGCAUUGUACAGGGUGUUAAUAAGAUCAUUUCUCCUCAGGCAACGAGCCUCACUGCUCCUGUCAAAACAGAAAGCUUUUACCAUCAGAUCAGAAAACAUGCAACAUCAAAUUUUAUCACUGUUAAGUCGAUUCAGUUGUGGUGCAUGUCUCACACAGGCACACAAUAUACAAUACUCACAGACUGUCUAUGCAACAUACAAGGAACAGCAUACAGUAUAACUAGUUUACAUCCUUGCAUUUUUUGAAUUUCUUAUUAGAAACAAUUAUAGCCCCAUGGACAUUUUAUCUACACUACUUUGCCCAACNCCUCCUUAACACCGAUAUUUAUUAGAAAACAUUCUAAAUAUGGCGAGUCCAAAAUUGAUUUUACUAAAUACUAGAAAGGACCUAGCAACAUCAAUUACUUAAGUUAACUGUUUAAUAAGACAUCGAAUACUUGCUGUUUAAAUUUCACAAUCUCUUAAACAAAUUAUAAGCUUAUUUUAGUUUACCUGUUGGAACUGAAGAUGCGAAUACUACUGAAUCAUAUUAAGCAUCUGAUUUCACAACUGACGAUCUAUAGUGGAACAGUAAAUCAAACAGUCUAUAUAUAUAUUUUUUUAUAUAAAAAAUGGAACUUAAAAUGAGCACAAAAUGCGUCAACUGAGACAAAAACACUCAGCCUUUGGAAGAGUAGAAAUGAGGGGUACCAGUGGAGCUUCAAGCCACCAAUUUGAUCUGUCCGACUUAACCUAUUUAUUGGCAUAUAAGCUUAAUAAUGAAGAUCCUGUACCAUCGAUUUGAAUCAUCUUGCACUACCCACUGUUGCUAAACCUUACCUCAAUUGGAUGAGAACAUAUUAAUUCAACAUAUUGUAGUGCCACAAUAAGAGCAUAUACAACUGCAAUAAGAGACUCGAUCCAUACCUUGUUGUCAACCACGCCCAAGUCAAAGAAAACGGUUGCUUAAAGCUCAGAAAUGUGUUUUACUGUUAUGCUAGGCACUGUUUGCUUCCAAGUUUAUGUAGGUUAAGCAAGCUCUAAAUAAUAUGUAUCAGGUUCAGACUAUAAAAAGGUACAGAGCGAAUGAACUUACAUGAAUGACAUAUCUUGCUGCUUGUUCUUGUCAAGCCAUAUAUCUUUUGUCCUGCAUUCGACCAGACAAAAGCACAAGAUUUUAUGAAUAUACAAUGGAGGGCAUAACAUGGAGCCCCAUUGCAAAACUAAAAACCUACCAUCUCCUUGUGUUUAGUUAUCUACUUAUUCGUAGAGACCAUAAUGUCGACGCAAUCCAAAAUCUGACUCGAACCUAAUCUUUUCCAAUUUUCAGAUAAGCUACUAGAUACUAUCUAUAAAAUAUGUAGGAGGGUAAAUGGGUAUCAAGUCAAGAAGAAAUUGUUAGCAAUCUCUACAUUACAAGUAUGCCCAAUACAAAAGAUUUCCUACAUGUGCAAAGGAGGUAAAUAUGAUCAAGUCAGAUCAAGACCAAUAAAAAUCUAAAGCAUAAAUUAUACUAAUAGCACCCAACUGUUUUAUGUAUCAGACGGUCGGACCUGUACAAGUCCAAUUGAUCAGCCAAAGGAGCGUUUUAUAACCCCUGUAGAGCCUUGUUGAAAAUCCAAUACUAGAAAAUGAAGCUGCAAGACUCAAUUAACCAAAACAUAACAUAUUAAUUGAAAAAGUUAUUCACAUAGGCUUGCGUUUUCAUUUUAAGUUAAGAACGACACAAAAUUGACACUAACACACCCCGACUCCCAAAAUUAUUACAACUACUUAGUUGGUGAUAUGCAUAUACAAAGAUUAUGAAGAUUAUGACUUAUGAGCAAGAAUUGGAUAUACUGACCCUAGUAUAGGAUAAGCAGUUUGUUUAAGGAUGGAGUCAACACCAAGUUGAUAUAAAGCACGCCACCCAUUAGCCAUAAUAGUAAUGGCUCCCCCAGUGUAUAUCAGGCUCUCUAAUCUUUCCAAAACUAUGCAUUUUAUACCUUUCCUGCAACAAAUUAACAAAUCACAAUAUACCCAUGUCACCCUAUUUUACAAUAACAUGAUGAACAUAAAUAAUAGUAUUAAGUUAUCGGCUCCCGGCUCUACUAAACGUCAAGGUGUUACUAGGAGAGCUUAUCAUGAUCGUAUUAUAUCAUAACACUCGGAUAACAUGAUAAAUAGCAAAAAAAGAAAGAACCUGUGCAAGGCAAGUGCAGUGGCAAGCCCACAAAUUCCAGCACCAACUAUGACUAUCUCAUGCUGCACCUCGUUUUCCGUGCCUCCCAACUUAUUCAUCUUCUUUACUUUACCAAGUUUCAGACCAGAAGCUUACUGUUUAUACUUGGAACCAGGGGCACAUCUAGAAGGGUGAUCAGGGUGAGGACCAGUGAAAACUAUAAUUUUUAUUGCUCUUUAUAAUUUAAAAAUUAUGAUUAAAUCUCUUGUAAAUUUCAGCUCAUUUUGCUAGGAUUUCAUUCCUUUUUGUUUUAAAAUGAUAAAAUAAGUAUAUAUAGAAUAUAUACAUUAAAAUUAUGAAUAUAUAUGUAAAUUUUGAUAUACAUGAACCCAAAAUUUUGAUGGGAUCUUGGAAAUAGUCCAUGAAGGAUGCAAUGGUAUACAUGCUGACACUUAACUAAUAAUAAUUGAGUAUGGGUUACAGUUAGGGAUGUGAAUUUGAAGACGUGAACAGAAUCGUUUUUAAUUUUUUUCUCGUAAAAAUCAAGUGAUCUGAAAUUUUUUAACCGAAUGAAAAAUGAUGUUCAAGAUUGAUUCGUUAAAAAUGAGCUGAAUAUAAAUUUAUUUACAAACAAUUCAAAUCGAGUUAUACUCAAGCCAAAUUUGAACAAAGUCGAUGCGUGCAUAAAUAAUUUGUAUAAAAGAAAAUUUAAUCCUACCAAUUGUCAAUCUUAAAAUGUAAUUUAUAAUUUUACAGGAAGUAAUAAAACAAUCAAGUUGUAAAAUAUGAAUUAAAUUUAUAUCAGAUCAUUAUUAAGUGGCAUAAUAAUAAAUUCAGCUAGGUACAUUGCUGCAUAUAAAGACGAGAGUCUAAUAAGAUAAAAAUUGAUACAAACAUGAAUUACAAGGGACUUAAAAAUUUACGCGUCACAUAAAAUGAACAAUAAGUUAUAUUUGAUGUCAUAUAUGCCAACUGAUUUUGUUAUUCGUCUUAUCUAAAUAUAUUUAAUACCACUUCAGAGGUGGGAUGUAUUUUAUAAUUAGUUGAUAAUGUAAUAUAUUUAUACGGUCAAAAUUGUUAAUUAAAAAUUGGGAUAGAUAAAUUUUAAAUCCUGAUCGAAGAAGCUUUAUGAUCGAAGACAAAAUCACAUUGAGUUACCUCUGAAAACGUCACUCUGCAUAAAUUUAAAACAUGUUCUCAUAAUCUCAUUAUGUUACAUUAUAACAAAAUUAUGGAGAUAGUAUUGUAUCAUGACUUUUAAUAACAAAUUUUGGGAGGAUGACUUUAAUAGAUUUUAUAGACUUUUAAUGAUUCUCGUUGACUUCUUAAGAUUUCAAAACAAUCCAUGACUUCCGAGACAAUGACUUUUAAAAACUUUAACAGACUAUUUUCUUACAAAUUCAUGACUUUAAAAUACUUUGAUAGACUUUUAUUAAAAUCAUAAAUAGCCUCUCUGAAAUCCUCCAGACCUUUUGCUAUAGCCUCUCGAUCUUCUGCUAUACCCAAGUUGGGUGUAUGUUCACAAAUCCGGCGACUACAAAAUUGAGUACAAGGUAUUAUUGCUGUAUUAUAUAUACUAUAAUAUUGAUUACCGAAUCAUAUAUACUAUAAUACUGAUUACUGAUUCAUGUAUACUAUAAUAUUGAUUACUGAUCCAAGUCUUAUACCCAGCAUUUUUUUCUUUUGAAUUGCCAUUCUCUUGACAUGUAUCGCCCAUUUUUCUGUGCAUGCAUAUUGAUACAUAUAUGUGUAUAUGAAGAAGAAGAAAAAAAAAAAACAAGUCACGUAUACAUAUUACUAUUGGCCGAAGCUAGUAGAUCUAUAUAUAUGUAAAAACAAAGAAUGAUAAUAGAGAAUUAUAAUAAAGAAUAAAAUGAACCUUUUUCACAAAGGAUGAAUUGGAGAGACUUUUCGCAGAGGAUGAACCCUAGGUUGGAGCGACCAGUUAAUUGAGAGAAGAUAAAGUCAUGUCAAAUCUUUUCAAGAAUGACCUGACAAUUUUCUAAAAAAGUAUAUGCAAUUUUCCAUAGAAAGUCAUUAAAAGUCUAUCAAUUAUAUAUUUCCACCAAAGUCAUUGAUAUAUUGAAUAACAACUGACUUUUAAUAACUCUUUAAAAGUUGUAAUUCAAUACCUCAAACUUUGAAAGACUUUUUAAAAAUCCUGAUACAAUACCUCUUUACUUUUAAAAAGUAUUUAAAAAUCUUAAUUGAAUACACCUAGAUUUUAAAAGUCAAUAAAAGUCAUUAAAAAUCAUGAUGCAAUACUAGCCCCUAGGUAUCGUAAAUUCAAACUGACUUCCUCUAAGGAAGUGCAUUAUUUUAUAGGCAAUAAUAGGUAAGCUUAACAGCAAAUGAUCAAAGGGUUCCACAAUCAUAUUUAGUGUGACCACUAGCAUCCCUGAAGAGCAGAAUCAUAAGGAUUAUGCAAGCAAACUUUACUAGCAGUGGAGUAGAUUCUGUUAUCAGUUUACCAGUAAGGUAAGUUUGUGCAGACAUUCGAACUAUCCUCAUCCUGCGUUCCUUCACAUAUUCAUCCAGUGCUUCCUCAAUACUCCUUGGAUCAGUUGGAGUCAUCGACAUUUUCUUGGCCAAGUUUCUAGCAAGUACAAUGGCAUCUUCUAAACCUGCUGAACCGCCUUGUCCGAUGAAUGGACCCAUUACAUGCAUGGCAUCUCCAGCUACUGUUACUGUUCCUUUGCGAAAGCUUCCCAGUAGUAAAUCCCACGGUCUACGAUAUCUUAUACGUGUGAAAGAAAGUGACUCGUGGUCAGUGUCCUUUAUCAGUUCCACAGUUUCUUUUGGGAAGCUCUUAACUAAUUGCAGAGUGUAUUGCCUUAUAAGUUCCUUGUCUUGAGAAAUUUUGGUAUCUGUUCAUGUAAAGCACAAAUAUCAACAGGUGGAAAAGAAGACGAGGCAAGUCCACUGCAUUAAGAUCACUUGGGUAACAUAACUAAUGUCAGGCUUUUUUUAAAUAGCAUAAGACAUCAUUGGCCUCUGUUUGCAAUGAUUAUAUCUCUGGACUAAUAGUUUGCACCCCUUCUGUCAAAUUAGAUUUGUUCACUGCCUAGUUCAUUUUGGGGGGACUAGUAAAAACUAAAAACAAACCUUGCACUGUCUAUUAAUUUAAUGGGAAGGAACUAGAACGUCAUUCAAAUGUAGUUCACAGGAUAAUUUAAUGGAUAGUCCGGGGUCCAAGAAAACAAGCAUAGCAGAGAUGUUCUUGAGAUAAUAGAAGCUGUUUUUCUUUUGAAAUAUUUCCUUUGACAAAAGGAAAACAAUGAUUAAGCUUAUUUUGAUAUAAAGAUUUUUCAAAAGGGAGAAAAUCUUUAGCUUACUGAACUGGUAGCCAACAAAGCUAUAAGCUGUAUUAGGCAUAAGGACACUUUUAUAGUCAGAAAGGGAUACAGUCAUACAUAACUCAAAACCUUGUAAGAAAGAAAACCAAGAGUUUACCUGUUUGCACCCAUGGGUGAGCAACAAACCAGUAAACCAGCUUACUAUCAAUCGGGAUUCGACCCACGAAAGUGUUGUUUCUCUUCAUGCGGACAAACUCAUGAGUGAAUGGAUGCCCACUAGGAUAGUUGGUUAACCCUCUAGCGGAGCAAAGUACAGCUACUUUUGUAUGCUUCAGUUGAAGGAAAUCGGCAACCACCGAGUUGGCUCCAUCACACCCAACUAAAACCUAUAAAUGGAUAUAAACAUUACACAGUUCUUACCUUAUAGGAGUAGGAUGUAAACUGUUUUAUCCAUUUGUGGAUUUUACAAAAUGUGUCAAGAUUUUUUAUGACUACAGAAAUAAAAAAUAUCUCAGAAUUCCCAGGCAGUCCAUCAUCUUUAUAUCCAUAAUAGAUAUUAUCUAUCAUAUUCCGACACGGCGAGUUCAAUGGCUGGAAAGAGAGCUUCUAGCAUAUUAAACAAUAUCAUUGAGUCUAUCAAAUCAUCAUCAAUAGUAAUAGCGAAGACUUAGAUACAUUUGGAUAUACCAUGGAACAAACUUACACAUGCAGUUGGCCCUGAUUCUCACAAACUCCCAAUUAUAUUAUAAGAAUAUAAAAUUUCUGUUGAUUGCACAGCAUUGUCAAAUNNNNNNNNNNNNNNNNNNNNNNNNNNNNNNNNNNNNNNNNNNNNNNNNNNNNNNNNNNNNNNNNCCCCCCCCCCCCCCCCAAAGCAUCAUAUCAUUUUCAAAGUCUCAGAAGAGGUCAAAGUUUUUAUUUCGAAUGAACAGUUUGAUCAAAUGGUAAUGAUUAAUGAAUAUAGUUUAUUACUGUAAUGAACAGAUCUAGCACUAAUUGACUACCACAGGAACACAUAUAGACAAUAUGACUGAAACUAGAAUUUAUUAUACAUAGAUCGAUGUGUGACUGUGACAUAUCUUCACUGCUUUAAGAUAAUGUAUAUAUGCCAGUUGCUAUAGUGCAUAAUACUGAUGUAUCGGGUUGAUACCUUGGACGAUAUAGAAUUUCCAUCUUCAAGCUGAAGAAUGGGAAAAUUAGUUUGAGGAUCCAGUUUCACGGAGACAAUUUGAUGUCCAAACUUUACCACAUUAGGUGGUAAAGCAUUGUAAAGGGUGUUAAUGAGAUCACUUCUCCUCAAGCAACGAGCCUCGCCACUCCUGUCAAAACAGAAAGCUUUUACCAUUAUAUAAUAAAACAUAUGAUUUAACUUCAGACCCAAGUCAAACAAAUGACAGUAUUAUGCUAAACAGAAAUUUUAAGGACAACAAACACUAGCUUUAUCUUUAAUAAGUCCAUUCAGUUAUGCAUGCUCCAUACACAUACACACACAAAAUACAUAGGCUCCCAGUAUGUCUAAAACGACAUAUUCAGAAACAACAUACAGUAUAAGUAAAAUAGGUCCUUCCAUUUUUUAAUAUUUUGAAGUAAUUUAUAGCCCCAUGUACAUUUGAUCUUUACUACAUUGCACUUCAGACACAACAGGAGUGUGCGGGGGUCACUCCUAAACGCUAAUAUAUAAUAGAAAAGAUUAUAAAUAUGUAGCGUGCAGAAUUGAUGCUACCAAAUACCAAAAAGGGCUUGAUUUAUUGUAAGAUGCUAAAAUAUUCCUAUUUACUGGCAAGUAGUAACUACUUACGGUAAUACUCCCGCUGCCUUUUUAUAUGGUGCUUUACUUUUGGCACACAGUUUUAAGUGCUUUGACGGGGUAGUUAAAAAUAUUAUUUUAAAAUUUUUCUUUUUCUGAAUAAAUAAAUAUAAUCAAAAUUUUAAUUCACAAAAAAAGUCAACGGUUAAGGGGUGGCAAUAUCAGACACGACCCGAACCCGCAACCCGAUUUACUUAGACAAAACCCGAAGUGACCGGAAAAUCACCCGAUUGACACGAAAUGGACCCGAAAUGACCCGAAAUUAGAAUUUCGUUUCUAAUAAUUUCAAUUUUUAGCUUCAUUCAAUUUUAAGUGAUUUUAGCUUGACCCGAAAUUGACCCGAUUGCUGACACGAACACGACACGUUACCCGAAAUUGCCGUCACAACCAACCUAAAAGAUGUGUGCCAAAAGUCAAAGUGUCGUAUAAAAAAAAACAGAGGUAGUAUUAUCCAUUAGACAUCAUUAGACAUCAGACACUUGCCGUUUACAAUCCACUAUUUUUUAAAACAAACUUUAAGCUUAUUAUAGCAAGCACAUACUAUUGAAUCAUAUUAAGCAUCGAAUUUCACGACUGAUUAUCUAUAGUGGAAAAGAAAAUUGAAUGGUCAAUGUUAUCUUCUAAAAUGGAACUUAAAUAUGAGCACACAAUGCCUCGACUAAGUCACAAACCCAUGGCCUCUGGCACAGUAGAGGUGAGGGGUACCAGUGGAUCUGCAAGCCACCAAUUUGAUCUGCUCGCCACCAAUUUGAUCUGCUCUUACUAGACCUAUUAACAGGCAUAUAAAGUGAAUAAUGUGCAUACUUCACUUUACAUAUGCCAUAAGCUGCUAGCUGUACCAAUAAUUUUAAUUUUGCACUACCCUACCGUUGCUAAACCUCACCUCAAGUUGCAUGAGGACAUAUUAAUUUAGGAUAUUGUAGUGCCACACUAGAGCAUAUACAACUGCAAUAAGAAGACUUGAUGCAUACCUUCUUGUCAAUCACGCCCAAGUCAAAGACAAUGGUCGCUUAAACUCAUAAGUGCGUUUUACGGUUAAGCUAGGCACUUUUUGCUUCUAAGUUUAUGUUGGUUAAGCAAAUUCUAAGCAAUGUGUAGAAGGUUCAGACUAUUAAAAAGUGGCAGAGCAAAUGAACUUACAUGAAUGACAUUUCUCGCUGCUUGUUUUUGUCAAGCCAUAUAUCUUUUGUCCUGCAUACAAGCAUCUAAACCAUAAGUUAUUAUGAGUAUAAAAUGGAAGCAUAAGAUUUUAUUUCUCUUUAAAAGAUGCAUCUUCGUAUAAUCCUCCAAAACCUUGUAACUUUCUAGUGAAUACAAAUUAUUAAAAUACAGAACUGGUCAACUGGCGAUAGUGAGUAAAGAGUUUGAAUGCGCCUAGCUAUUAUUGUUGAAAUAUAAAAGGCUACAUAACAAGGGGAAUCAAAUCUAAAAUCUUGCACAGUUUAAUCUAAAUUCUAAACCAACCUGAUUCAUUUCAAUUUUUUGAAUAAAAAAGGGCUAUAAUGCAUAUAGGCUUGCAUUUUCAUUCUCAUUUUAGAAUGACACUAAAUUGACACGAAAACGCCCCGACUCCCAAAAUUGUCAUGUCUGGACUACCAGAAUUGUGACGCCUAGUUAGUUGGUGAUAUGCAUAUACAAACAGUAUAUAAAUGAUAAGCAGGAAUUGGAUAUACUGACCCUACUAUAGGAUUAGCAGUUUGCCUAAGGAUGGAAUCAACACCGAGUUGAUGUAAAGCACGCCAUCCGUUUGCCAUAAUGCCAAUGGCUCCUCCAGUGUAUCUCAAGCUCUCUGAUCUUUCCAACACUAUGCAUUGCAUACCUUUCCUGCAUCAAAUUAACAGAUCACGCUACCCAAUUGAGCUAAUUUUACUAAAGCAGUAUCAGAAAAACUGUUAAUAACCCUUAAAGUGCCAGGAGGAAGCAGGAUCAUACAUGAUCUUAACACUUGGAGAACAUGAUAAGUAGCAGAAAAGAAAGUACCUGUGCAAGGCAAGAGCAGUGGCAAGACCACAAAUACCAGCACCAACUAUGACUAUCUCAUGCUGCACCUCGCCUUCUGUGCCUCCCAACUUAUUCAUCUUCUUCACUUGAUCAACUUUCAGACCACAGGCUUAUUGUUAGGGCUGUAAAUCGAUAAUGACUAUCCGGUGUCUGAGCUCAUAUCCGGCUCGAAAAUAUGAUAAAUGUCUCAUAUUCGUUUUAAAAACGAUCCAAAUCUGGCGGAAAAAUUAAGCCCGUGUAAUAUAUGAUCCCCGAUACGAGCACACCUAUACCCGCUCAGAUUCGGUCUCAUAUAAUUUUUCAUAAUAUGAUCCUACCUGAAUAACUCAAUAUGAUCCACGGUUCAUAUUCGAUUCAAACUCAUAUACAUAUUAUAUUUUAACACCUUCAUAUUUGCAAGUAAAUAGUCAUCAUUGUAUAAAAUUGUAAUAUUUUAUUUUAGUUUAUAUCUUCAUAAAAUAUGAUUUAUUUAAUGUGAUCAUACUUAUUAUCUCCAUGUAUAUUUAAUAAAUGAUAUAUACCAACACAUAACUAUAAGUUUUAAUUUAAAAUUAUCAUACUUUAUAAUAUUAUGUUUACUAGACUAGAUGAUAGUUAUUUGAACAACUGAAAUAAUAAUGAUAUUUGAUAUUAGUGGAUCAUGUCCGGCUCAUAUUCGAUGGAUCAUAAACUACCCGGUUAAAAAAUAGAAAAUACGAUACUGGAUUAUAUCCGGUUCAGAUCCGAAUCUCAAAUACCCGGGAUCAGUUUAUAUCCGAAUAAAACGAUCCCGAACCCAAAUCUGGACAAUUUAAAAAUAAAAUGAUCCGAUACCUAAGCAGAGGAGUAUCCGGGAUUACUCGGAUCAUUUUACAGCCCUGCUUAUGGUUUAUACUCGGGAGUCAACCAAGUAUAGUAUACACUUUCGCGUAAAUAAUAGAGUACUGGAGUUUGUACGGUUAUAAUGAUUACAGCAAUAUGCGGGGUCCCGUGACUUCAUAAUAAAUACUUCACGGGCCAUGCGAUUUCCAUUUUAUCCCCUCCAAUUCUUAACGUUUCAAAACUUAGCGAAAAUAUUUCACCCUCUCCCACUUUCCUUUAUUUCCGCAUUAGUCAUUACCCUCUCCCACUUUCCUCUAUUUCCGCAUUAAUGUAUUCAAUUAUCUCCCUUAUAUACAUCAAAAAACCAAUAGGUCCCAUCAUUCCACCCACUAUUAUAUCAUUUUACCAUUACUUUAUACAUAUUUUUUAAUCUCCGUGUCCAAAUUAAAUGUAAAUAAUUAGGCAAGACAAGGGAGUACAUCUUUAUACCAACUAUGUGGGUGUUUGGCCCCCUUUAUAAGCCAGACUUCUCGACUUAUAAGUUAGAAACACUUAUUUCGUACCGUUUGUGUAAGAAGUCAAGAAGCACUUAAAAAAAAUUAGGAAUGCUAACUUUUGUUUCAAGGCUUCUACUUAUUUCCCAAACACUUUAAUCACUUAUAAGUCCUAUCUUGCUUCUAACUUCUACUCCACUUAUUUAUUUUAAGCAAUAAGCACUUACUUUAAGCUCACCCAAACGGCCCCUAUUUCUCGGUUCCUUCCGGGGUUCUCGUCCAAUUUUUUACAUUUCAAAACUUACCAGAAAUAGUUAAUGACUCCCACCAGUCCACUUUUAUUCCCUUUUCAUAUUACUUUUACUCUACUACUUCCCCUUUAUACAUUAAAAAUAAAUGACUUCUACCACUUCACCCAUUUUUCUUUCUCUUUUCCGCCACUUUAUUCCUAUUUUUUAACCUCCGUGCUCAAAUCAUAUACAAAUAAAUGACCAGGACGGAUGACCGGUUAAUCCCCAAGCAAGGCUAGUUCCAAAAUGGUUUGAAUUUUAUUAUCCAUUUGGUUAGAGGUUAAAAUCUCGAAAUGCUAUUUUAUGUAGCGUUUCGUGUCAAAACAUUAAAUCAUUAUGAAGUUUAUAAAAAAUAUUAAAUCUAAAUCUAAUACAGUUUAGGUGUUGGCUCUCGUAUCAUUAUAUCCAUUAUUAAUGUCUUAAAUAUUAUGAUUCGAAAAAAUGAACCCAAAUAUCAUUUAUUAACGAUACAGUAGCGUUUUGGAUAUUUAUAAAAAAAAAAACUACAUCUUCUAGGGUUAAAAGACCACAUCAUGUAAUGUUUUCCUAUAUUUUAAACAACAAAACAUUACACGAUUUAGCGUUUUCUCCACAAAUUAAAGACGUUAUAUUAUCGGACGUUAAUAACUGAUUUUCGGAUUUUUUUAACUCUGUUAUUCUGAACAUUACUCUAGACAUUGCUAACGAAUAUUUAGUGUCACUUUCCUCACACUAAUAAUAAUGAGAAUCCUUGUAUACACAUCAACCACUUAAUUAAAAUUAGGCAUAUAUCUGUCAAAGUUAUUUUUAAAAUAAAAUUGAGAACAAAAUUUGCAUUACAAUUUUCUUCACCCGAUUUUCCUUGACAUUGCUUCCGGAUCUUCCUCCUUUUCGUACAAUGCAGCGUCGAUAUUUGAUUAUUUUCUAUGUCAUUAACUUGUGAUAUUUGGGUUUUUUCUCGCUUGAAAACUGUACCUCUGUCCGUUAAAGGGAAAAAAAAUGGAAAAGAAAAUUUUAAGUUCUUGUCCUUUCCUCUCAUUCUUAAACCCAAACUUAUCUUGAAUCAUGUUGGGUUGAAACGAAACAAAGAAUGAGCAUCACAUCUCUCUUAUUCUUCAGUUGCUCAAAAUUAUCAAGAAACCCAAUUCCAUCUCUACGUGAAAUUGGUGGUCCUAUUUGCAAAUGGAACAAAUAUUCACCUACUCAUUGUGUGUCUCUCACUGCCCAAGCUGCUGCAGUCAUGGGGGAGGAUGAAGAUGAUGAUUAUGAUUUACACUCCCUCUUGCAGGUCUACAUUUUCACCCAUUUUUCAUAAUUCACCCUCCUUUUUAUCUUUUACUCCUAUUAAUUACAUGCCUGUGUGAUUAAUUUGUUGAAGCUUUGUAGUUCACAUAAAAAUGACAACAGUACAUGAUCAUGUGUUAAAGCUUAGUAGCUCUAUACCUUAAUUUGAAUUGACCCGACACGUAUUAAUCGAGUAAUUUGAUAUUUCUAUACCCAAAUUUUUAACUGGAUGAUUGUUGUCAUUAGGUAAAACUUGUGUGUUUUACACUCGGGUAUGUUGAACUUUAGUAGCUCUUCAUGAUUUCUAAUUACAGACCCUUUAUAUGUUUUUUAAAGUUGAAAUCCUGUUUUCGAUAUAAGAAUGGUAAACUGAUUUUGCACGUUCAGUUUUAAUAAAAGAUGCGAUUCUAGCCCGACGGGUCCCUAGUGUGUAGAUAGGUAGGUGAUAUCAAUUUGCACUAUGUUGUGUUAAUCUGGAUUCUUUUGCUCGGGCUCUAUGUUUUUUCUGGGGCAUAUGUUUUGAUAAUUCUCUCUGAUUUAUUUUCUCUUUAUUUAUUGACAGAUUCUUCCACGUGAUAUACAUGAAAAUAUUCGUUUGGGAUCGAAUCAAGCUCAACUCUUAGAGGUGAAUGAUGGUGUAUUUAUGCUAUAUAUCUAUAUUAUCUUAUUUUUACCAUUCAAAGUUUGUUGUUGCUCGGUUUUGGGUUUUAGAACUUCACUAAUAGUACUGCAAGUUUGGUAGUCGGUUGGUAUCUGGGUUUUAGUACUUGACUAAUAGUACUAGCUUAUAUUCCAUGUGAUUCUUUUAAUAUUUACUUAAGAUUUUAAUAUUUAAAUUUUAGUGAUAUAGCACAUAUCCUAAUAUUUAAUAUUUGGUUUUGUUUUAGAGGUGAUCUUUUACACCAGUGACAUGUUUUUUGCUCCAACAAUUUACAUUUUUGAGAUGGAUUCAUUCGACCACCCUUGUACAAGGGUUGGUCUAUAUCAGACUUUUGCUUUUGUCGGCUGGGGAAUCAAAAUCUGGAUGAAAUCUACAUUUAUUAUGGAUGCAGAAAAUUAGACCCAUUGUUUAAGUUCCUUAAAUUCUCAAAGGCAUCUAAAACUGGCUUUUUUGUUUACAUAUGGCCAUAUGGGGUCAAAAUGUAAGUUCAAAAAGUUCAAAGCAACACGGAAACACAUUUUUUUAGUUAAAGUAUAUAUUUAUGUGCUGGAUUCUAUUCAAAGUGCAUUCUGUUAAGUUGAGAAUCUUCAAAAUGAUAUUUUUAUAAUUUUAAUUUUCCUACAAUUUAUUCUUGUAUCUGUAGGUAGUACUGGAUCUAGGCCGUUUACCACAAGCACACUAUCUAGGUGUUUCUGGUCGACAGUAUCUAAGAAAUUCUGAGGUGAUUUUUUUUGCUAUUCUUUUUAUAUUUUUUCUGAUAUUAUAAUAACUAAAUAUUGACACAGGCGCAUAAUUUUCUGUUCAGCAACAGUGCUCAUUAAGUCAUUGUCCAUUUUCUAACAAUCCAAGCUUUAAGUUGGUAUCCAGAAACUUACCAUGACCUAGAAUUUUGAUUUAGAAAGAGUCUUGGUUGUUCCCUUUUGGAGCAGUUCCACUUGCUUUCCUGGUGGAUCAUGAAGUUCACUUCACCUCUGUCAUGGUGUCAAUGUGUCACAUCCCCUAACUAGUAUUAAUGUGUGAUCCCUUCUCUAUUAGGUUACAUGUUUACGUCUGCCUUCUGAUCCUUUUAAAUUGUAACUAAUGAAAGAAAAAAUUGGAUAGCUGCAUGGAAGAGAAAUAUAAAAAUAACCACACACAUUUCAUUUUGUUUUAUUUCCAUUUAAAGUGAAAACAGAAGCAGAGGAAAUAACAUAAGUUCUACCUAAUAUUACAAAUGUAUCCUUAUAUAGUCUGUUAAUGUAUAAAAUCAACUGUACCAUAAUUUUAUCUGUUAUAUACUUUUCCGGUCUAGUCAACCAUUUACUAUAGGGAGCCUGUGAAAAGGCCAAUUUUAUUUUCUUUCAUUUCAAAUAUUUGAAAUAAGAGACAAGUGUAGACAGAUUAAAUCAUGUCCUUUCUCGCUCAUUUUUUGUUCCUUAUUCCAACUAAAAAUGACACUGUUUGGGUAAUUGCGGGCCUUGGCCAUGCAUGAAGGACAUGGAGAUUAAUGACCUGGUAAUCUCCAAGAACUAGUUAGUGGAUUUAUAAUUUAUUCAUGUAAUAUCGACUAGUCAGGUGUCAUUACAAGAGUUGGAGCAUGCUCAAGAUGCAGUUGGAGAAUUUGGGGGAGAUAAUAGAGCUGGAAUUACUGGUACCUUGCACCGCAUAUCUGCAAUUAGAAGCAGAAAUGGUUCAUUAGUUGGUUUAACUUGCCGAGUUGGCAGGGCUGUCAGGGGUCAUAUUGCUAUGGUCCAAGAUCUUCUUCAGUAUGGAGAAAGCAUCUUGUUUGUCGGAAGGUUAGUAAUUGCAUAGUUCCUUUUGAAUUUAUUAAGUAAAGGCAUGAACCUAUGCAAGUAUUGGAAUAUAAAGGAAGGAAUUUCACAUCACCUGCCACACCUUCACAAUUGAAAGUAUAUCAGGUAAUAUAUAAUAAACUUGAUCCAGCGAGUGUAUUUACCUCAUGAUUGAAUUAUUAAUAAAAUGGGAUGAAUGCAAGUAACAACAUUAUGUUAACCUUAGCAAGUAGCAAUCACCAAUUAGACAUAUAAAAGGCCAAAAUAUAUAUAAACUUGCAUCUAAAUCCAGCCCCCUCUUUCACAAGAAUUUUAGAUUUCACAGAAGGGAUUUACAGAUGUUUGUUUAAUUGCGUUCUAGUGUUUUCACCACCUCAUUUCUACUAUAUUAGCUUAUAUCAUACCAUAUAUUUUCAGGCCUGGUGUUGGCAAAACUACUGUUAUGCGAGAAAUUGCUCGUGUGUUGUCAGACGAGCAUCACAAAAGAGUGGUUAGUUGCUUAUGGCAUCAUUCUCACCGCCCCUCAACCCCAACCCAAAAAAAAAUAAAAAAUUACAACUACUUUGACAACUUGGUUAGGUUAUUGUUGAUACAAGCAAUGAAAUAGGAGGUGACGGGGAUAUUCCUCACCCAGCAAUAGGAGGGGCUCGAAGAGUGCAGGUUCCAACACCAUUGAUGCAACACAAAGUCAUGAUUGAGGCUGUUGAGAAUCACAUGCCCGAAGUCAUCAUUGUUGAUGAGAUUGGUACAGAAGCUGAAGUUCAAGCUUGUAGAUCAAUUGCUGAGAGAGGGGUUAUGCUUAUUGGCACAGCUCAUGGAGAGCAGCUAGAAAAUAUAAUAAAGAAUCCUACUCUGUCUAGUCUGGUUGGUUUUUAUCUCUGCUGAAACCAUUCUAGCGAAAAAUAGGAAAUAUAUAUUUCAUUAUGUUUUUUACUUCUUUGUCUUCAGAAGUUAAUUGCCAACUUGAAGUCGAAUCAAAAUCUAUUAGAUCAUAUUUUUAAUUGAAUAUCUUGCAUUCGCUGACAAGCUCGAAUACACAUGACUUUGCUACAUCUUAAUAAUUACUCUAUUUGCUAAAUAAUAUAAUUGCCUUUAACCAGACCAACCAAUACACUAUUCACCAUGCUACCGUUGUUACUGAUGCAUCAAGAUGAUGUACUAGACUGUCACAAAGUUUAAUCUUGCUAAAUUCUAUUCGCAAGAGCUAUGACACAUUACAAGGUCUUUUGAAAAUCUUAAUAAUCCAAUUCUUCCAUCCAACUUGUCAGAGUUAAUUAAUUACUUGUGAUGGUAUUCAUAUGUUGUCUUCUUGUCCAGAUCUUUCUUUUCCGCCAUCAGGACUAUAAUCCGGAAAGAAAACUAGUGUGAACUUGUAAAUAACAUACAGUUUUGAGUGUACCCCAAAACUCAGUGCAUACAUGUACAACUUAUUAGAUAGAGUUUAUGUAUAUUGAUUGAUUAACAAAUGCUUGUAACAGUUCCUUUCUCUUUCGCUUACAAUUAUCUGUAUAUGUAAUGGUGAAGCACAAUUAGAUCCAUGCAACAUCACUACCCAGAAUCAUGUUAAUGUUAUAUAUUAGCAUCAAGUUGUGUUUAUUGUCGUGCAUAUUCUGUUGAGGAAAAGAGAAUAUAAAAUGAAGACAUAUAAAAAAAACUUUAGUUCUCUGAUUGCAUUGCUCAUCUCAUCCAGUACAUAACAAGGCUAUUUAUAAUACUGCGAGCAAUUAUUAGACUCUAAUGAGGGGAUACAUAAGCCCACUCGUAAGAAAAUGCAUAGACUAUCUUGAUCCACUAACAGAAUUUCCAAACAACACGCUACUAACUGUUUGACUUGCUUUUGUACAUUUAAUGUUCAGGACCAGUAAGAAAACUACUUUAAAUCAGUUUCAUAAAUAUUCAAGCUUGUCUCUCUGCUUUGUCGAGUGCAAAUUGUGUGAAUCUGAUAACAUUUGUUGUAAAAACACAGAUUGGAGGAGUACAAACUGUGACCUUAGGCGAUCUAGAAGCUCGAAGCAGAAAUAGCAAGAAAAGCAUUCUUGAGAGGAAAGCUCCUCCCACUUUUCCUUUUGUGAUAGAGAUGAGGGAGAGGCACUACUGGAUUACCCAUAGGGUAAAAUAUUCUUAUAUUGUAAACUUUUUUUUCUUAUUUGAGACCUAUAUACAAACAUUCAAUAUCUUCAAAGUAUAAUAGCUUUAUUUAGAUUGCAACCUUUUUUAGGCCUACACUUGCAUUUAGAGUUCUAGAUUUCAGGCUCUCUUAUACCUGUUAGUGUAUCGAUUCUGCUUUGAUUUCCUGUUAGUUAUUAAGGAGAAACCACACAGUGUCGAGGACUAGAUAUAAUGCUGGGAAGUACAAACCUUUACUAGAAUAUCAGAUAGUCUUCUAGGCUAAGCUAUGUCUAUUAGGUGCCAGUGCCAGUUCUAUCCAUGAGCUGCUAUACAUCAGUGCCUUAAUAGGCUCCUCAAAACCAUGAUCUAAAUCACACAUAUCUUGACUAAUACAAGAAAUCUACAUUUUAGGUAACUGAGCCCCUUUGAAUCAGUUAUACAAUAUGGUACAACUAAUUAUUUGCCCACACUGAUUUCCAACACUCUUGUACCUAAUCUGAUAGAGAGUACUGCAGCACCAGUAAUUGACUUGUGAUCUAUGAGUUGUGAUCUAUGAGUAGUAGGAAUAAUAUUCAGGUAUAUAUAUUUAAUACAAAAUGAAUAGGUUCAGAAGGAAUAGAGCUUACUAGAUAAGUAGAUAUCAAGACCAAAUUUCUGUAUGAUGUUUGAAAUACAUUCGGUUGACACUGAACUAGUGAAUAUGCUUGCUUCUGAACAUAGUAGAUUCCUGUAGAACUUUGAGGCACUCUGUAACUUCUUCCACCAAAAAACAAAAAGAAGAUUGGUCAUAUGUAAAAAACACACAGUUCAUUUAUUGUUGUUUCAUUGUGUGCGGUAAUCAUAUUUUCCCUCCCACUAUAAAGUAAUGUGAGGAAUCUCUAGUUAACUGUGCAUCAACAACCAAAUCUAACCUUUUUUUUUUCUUAUUUUCUUUUCAGACAGAAAAAAGUGUAGAUUUCAUCCUUCGAAGCAAAAAGCCACUUGUCGAGGUAAUCUCUACCACAUAUCGUUGUGCUUCGAACAAUAUUGGCAAUAAGAGUACAUCAAAAUGUGAGACUGGCCACAACCUAUAAAAUCGAAAGAAAGAAUUUACUGAAUAUACCAACCAAACGUACCCAGUAUGGCCCUCUUUAGCACAAGUCGAGCCAAAAUGACACGUUUAAAAAGGUCACCCCAUUUUAGAACCUGCAUAACACAUGUACAAUAUGCUUGAGAAUGAAAAACACAAUAUCUUAUACGCAUUUAGCAAGUGUAAGGGCAUUCUUCAGAUGCGCCCGGAACACAUUUUUUUAUGUGUCCCACUUUUUCCCUGUUUACCUACCACAAUAUUCACAUGGUUUUCGGCCAUUAAAAUCCACUCUAGAAGUGGGCUACUUUGUCAGAGAUGCCAAAUUAAUCUUCAACCUCUUAGUUAGGGCAAGUUCAUUGGUGGGCUAUAUCUUGUUUAAAGUUCCAUAUGUAGAUUAUGGAACAAAAGCUAACAUUCACCACUCCAAUGGUGUGCUAUAUUUUGCGCUAAAAUAGCACAAAUGCUAUAAUGUGUUCUAUAUAAAAAACAAAAGAUAGAUGGAGCUAUAUUUGUAAAAGAGGGUGAAAUAGAUAAAAGAAAAGUACUUAAUAGUGUGGGACACUUGGAAGUUAGUUGCAGUAUAUUUGUGUUCAAAAGUAGGCGGCAAGUUCUUGUGUGCUAUAUCGUAAGUUUCCUUCUUUUUUUCUCUCUCUCGAGAUAUUCUCUCUUGCAUGCAGGUUAGGAGGAGAGAUGAGCAGUUCAAUGUUGUUAUUGAGAGAUGGAAACAAGUUGAUUGAUUAUAAUUGUUCCUGUCUCAUUAUUGUAAAUAGUAACUGGCAGUCUUUGUUUUCUAUCGUCACAAAUGCAUUGGAAGCCGAGGACACGGAAAUUUCUAAUUAGGAUUAUCACUACUCAGUUCAGAACGUACUCAGCUCUGCCUGUAUCAUAUGAAAGGUGGAUUCAGUAUGUAUAGAGGCUUGCAUAGAUACAUGUUUUCAAUGAUCGUCUUUACACAUCUGAAAUGUAGUUACAGAGCUUGUCAAUGUAUAUACAACUAGACGGAGAAAUGCUUAUCCUCUCUCGUAGAAGUUUCCCAGCUCCUAAGCUCGGUUCUGGCUGGACAGUAUUCAUCUGACUACUUGAUAUUGGACUUUUUGUUAAAUAGCCGAGUUGUAAUUUAUUUAUUUUUUAAAUAUACAGUGUCAUGUAUGCAAUCUCAAUUGUAACUUUCGUAAUUUGAUAAUCAACUGACUUUAACCGAUGCUGCACCCAAAUCGGACAGUAUUUUUGAAAAUAAGUUUGAAAACAUGAAAUUUUUUUAUAAAUCUUCCGGUACUUUUAUAAGUAGUACUAAUAUUAUUGUAUAAGUGGCAAAAUUGCUGGAACCAUGCAACCUUUACAACUAUCAUUGCAACUUCUACAGUCAUGUUUGCAAACAAGGAUGUAAUAUGUCCGAUUGAUUGAAAUAGUUGAAUCUUUAUUAUUUUUUAUUUUUUUUAAGGUCUUCAUACAUGUAGAUGAAUUGUAUCGAAAAUACAAUAAAUCACAUUUGGGAUAUCUUUCUUUCAGGAAAGUUUAUCAUUUAACCGAAAGUCAUGCAAGCACAAGUCCGGACGCUUAGACAAUAAAGCUUAAAUGAAUGAGAAAAGAAUACCCAAGUCCCGCAAACCUCGCUUCCAAAAGUAUCCUGAAAAAAAAAAAAACAAAACAUAAAUCAAUAUACAAAAUAAUAUAUAUAUAUUUACAAAAUAAUAUAUAUAUAUAUAUAUAUAUAUAUAUAUAUAUAUAUAUCAAUAUACUUAUAUAAAGGAGAAGCAUGGGGCGUUUAGGUGGCGUCUCUUAGAGAGCUCCGUUCUAUUUUUCUAAUUUUUUAAAAUCUUUAGAUGAAAAAAUAUCAAAAAUAAAAACGAUCUUUUUUAGUUUUUUUUUUUUUGAGGAAAGGAUAAUUUAUUAAAUAGGAGAAAUAUCCGAAUACAAAGACUCCAACACAUCUUGCGGAGGAGACGUAAAAAUGUUGUAGCAACCAACCAAACAAGGAAUCCUAGCCAUGUAAUGAGCCACCUUAUUUGCUUGCUUUUUAAUAUUAUGGAGAAUGAAAUCAGCUCUUUGACGAAGCUUGGCACGACAGAAUUCAAGGACAUUACCAACCUCAAGUUGAUAUUCUUUGUUGUACUGCACAACAUCUGUAACAAGUUGUGAAUCACACUCGAUGACUACAUUUUGCACACCCAUAUCCUCCAGCCAUGCUAGUGCCUCCUGCAGACCAAUAGCCUCUGCCUCCAUGACAUUUACCGUACCUGCAUGCCGCAAGUUUUUACCCCUGAUAAACUCGCCCUUAUCAUCCCUCAACACCAUUCCUACGGCAAAUGAGUCAACACCAUUAAAAACAGAAGCAUCUACAUUUAGUUUCACCCAGCCUUCCUGUGGCCGACUCCACCUGGAACAAUCUUGCUCCUCAGUCCUACUAAACCCAGCAGAAUAAAGCUCCUUCCUGUGCAUUGCAGACUGCCAGUCCUCCACUUGUGUCGAACUCAACUUCACAGUAAUAGCAGGCGUAAUACUUUUACCUUCCCAAAGCUUCUUGUUUCUGACAAACCAUAUUCCCCAGAGCACAAUAGCUAUUUUAAUGACUCUGCCUUCCUCUUCCUCACUAAUCUGAUUCAGAAGUCAGGCAGGAGCUGAGUCAACUAACCUCAUAUCAAGAUUUAAACCAGCAGUAGACCAACAUUGUUGAGCAAAAGUGCAAUCAAAUCAGAAUUUGAAUAAAGUUUCAAAAUUACAUUUUUCAAAAUAUCAAAAUCAAAUCAGAAUUUGAAAGUAUCAUCAUAUUUUUGGAAAAAUGUGUAUAUAAAAAAUAGAAAGUAUUUUGAUAACCAGUCUUUUCUCAAUUUAACCCCUAUAAGAGCAUCUCCAACGGCAUUGGCUAUAAUCUUUGGCUAAAUUGGACCUGUAAGACAUUAUGUAAAAUUUGCUGAACCUGUAAGACAUUUUGCUUCAAUGGUACUGACUAUAUUGGUUGGCUAUAAUUUAAAAGUAGUAUGUUAUUAAUAUUUUAAAUUAUUAAAAUAUAAUAUAUCAGUUCAAUAUGGUAAUAAAUGAUGUACAAUCUUCCUACGGAUUUUCUUACAGACCUGUAGAGGUUCGACAAAUUUAGCCAUCCAUUGGAGGUUGGCUAAAUUUAUAGACAACAGCUGAUCAUGAUUGGAGUUGAGUUUCUGGAGCUGUUCGCUAAAUCUUUUUAUUUUAAGUAUGUCAACUCAUCUUUUAGCCAAGGGCUUUAAGUAUUUCAAAACCUGGAAAUGAAAAAAAAUGAUUUAAAUUAGAACUCAAUUUCACCCCCUUUAAAACAGAAUCGCAAACAGGCUAUAGUAUUGAAAUCAGAAUCACAACUAAUAAAUCUUAUUACAAUACAAUCUAAAUUAUCAGAGUAGCUGAUAAUAUUUAAUAAAUUUAUUUUACAUUCGAAGCGAAAUUAAGCCAACUCUAAUUACCACUAAUCACGCAGACAUCUUCCUGAAUACUUUACCUCAUCAUUCAGUUACAACUAAUCACUUGAAAUCCUUGCCUAGCAUUACUCUUACGCGCAACCUAGACAGAUGAAUCAUCUUUAACACUAUCUGAAAGAGGUUAAAAGAAAUAGCAAGAAUGAGCAAAAGAAUGCCCAGCAAGUAUAAUAGUUAAAAAGAAACAGGAGUUAAAGCAGAAAAAGUAAUUGAACUGGAAGUAUACAAAACAACAUGCUUUUAACUUGAAACCAAAACAGUUCAAAAGUAUAUAUAAAUUUCCAAAGCAUUCAGAUAUAUUGGACGUUAAUAGUCACCGUAGAUGAUCAGUCUACAGUAACUUGGACAAUGGUUACGCAUUGCCCUGAAAUAACAUGUUCCGGAACUGAAGCCUAGCUAGGUCCUCAAAUAACGCUGGGCCAUUGCCUUACAAUGGUCCUCUUACGCAAACAAAUAGGCUGGGCCGUUACCGAAUAACGGUCCUCUUACGCAACUCCAAUUAUAUCUGAGUUUUUACUUCCCAGUUCUAAAGAAUUUGCAUUUUUAAGAAAAGGUUUAUUCCAUAGGAAGUAUACUUACAACGGAUAAGCCUUACAACCGAGGAACUAAACCGAGUUAUGAAAUCAUUUAUAGAGAUUUUGAAACCAUAUGUAUCAAUUUGGUAAGUCACCCUUUCCAACUCAAAAUCAUACUUAAGUCAUGCAUUUGUAAUAAGUAUCAGUUUUAAGUAAAGAGUUCUCAGCUUUUAAAUAUAGCAUUUGAACACGAAUACUUGCAGUAAAUACAAGUUAAGUUAAGAGUAGAAUUACUCGCAAGAAAGCUUGAGAGAAAUUAAUCUAUCAAUAUCAUGAUUGAACAAAAUAUCUCACUUGAACAAUAAGUGAAGAGUUAUAGUACUUGCAUAAUAGGGUUUAAAGAAAAUUUCACUUGAACAAUAAGUGAAGAUAUGGAUACUUGCCUCAAUUCUGCUGAUUUUCACACCGAUUAAUUUCUACCGGACUAUCUCACAGCACAGCUUCGUAUUAUGGAACUAUACCUGAUUCAAUUCACAAAGCUAUUCAACUACUUCUGAAUGUCCUUGAUAUACAAGUCUCGGUUGAUUCUCCACGAGUAACACGGUACUUCGGUUGUCGAUGCCGACGGAGUUAACUAAUAUCGAAUAACGUAUAAAAUCCGUAAUUAGCUACCCUUCGUAAAUCCAUAUACAUACCACAUAGUCAGAUAAACACAUAGCACAUAGUUGAACAAUUAACUUUUAUAGCUAUUAAAAGUCAAUAGUGAUAAGUUAACAUAUAACAUGUUUCAAUCAACCAUGUUACCUUAUUCUUAACUAUUUAAUAUCCUUCAACAAGUAAAACAUAUAUAAUUUCUAUCGAAAAUUCGGCAGCAUCUCCUCUAUUUAUCAGACUAUCCACCUGUUUUCCUCUACUAUUCAACAAGUAAUCAACUCAAUCCAACUCAAUAAACCAAUCAUAUAACAUCAACCAUUACUCAUUGAUUGAAUUUAAAUAAUUAGCAAACUCUGAAAUCAUAUGCUAAUAAUUUAACUUUUUAACAAACUAUUUCUCAGAGACCUUUAUAAAUAUUAUACGCAGAGGUCGCGGAAAUUUCAACCCAAGUCAUAGAUUUAAACUUGCAAAAACAAUUCUCUUUGUAACAGCAAAACAGAAUUUUCACAAGUAUGUGCUACCGACAUUUAAACAUUUUUAAUAAAUCAAAAAUACAAGUUUUUCACUUGAAAUUUCUAUGAGACCUCCUUAAACUCGCUGACUAGCUACAAAAUAAGUUUUCACUUGAAAAUCAAAGUUUAAGUAAUUAAACUAUAAUUUAGAAAGUCGAAAAGUGAAGCAGUUUUGUACUCUGCGCAUACCAUACUAAAACUAUCAUAUCUCCUAGCUCGCUAAUCGAAUCGAUUCGAUUCUUUCGCGCACAUAAAGUAGACUCCGAGAAGAUCAUGAAUCUCUGAAAGUCUCAUUUUAAAAAUGAUCUUAAGCUGUUCGAAAAAGAGCUCCAAACAGAGGCAGAGUUGCUGCGAAAACUCAACGAAAAGUGACUCAAAAAUUUAUAAACAAUUUGUACCAACCAUAACCCUUACAAAUUUAUUCAAUUCAAUACAACAAACACAUUACAUAAAAUUUUCUUCCCAACAAAUGCCCCGAAUCUAUCUCCAAUUAAACUCCCUAAUUCAUAUGAACACAUAUACAACAAUUAACUCCCAAUCGAGUAAACAUUAUCACAAUUAGCCUCUAAUCACGUAAUUAAUUAAACUAAUCUCUAGUAACCAAAGCAAUUUUUAACUAAUGCAAAGCAAGUAUACACACACACACACACACACACACACACACACACACACACACACACACACACACACAUAUAUAUAUAUAUGAUAACGCCAAAUCCCGUUCCGGUGCUUCCUCCGCCGUGUACUGGUGUCUUGCGGUGUAGCUGCUGGACGGGUGUCUGCAAAACAACACCGGAGGGGGAUUUGAGCCCCGCGACGCCUUCGGCGUGAGAAUGAGUACAUGCGUCGGAAAAUAGAUAGACGGGAAAUGAGUUAUCUAUGUGUGGUGGGUGAAGGUGUAUGGCUGCUGUGUGUGGUGGCUUAGAGUGUGUGAGAAAUAUGAGAGUGUGGAGAAGAAGAUCCUUAAGCCUCUCAUCCUUGGUCUAUUUAUAGGCCAAGGAUUAGGGUUUAAGGAUGUGUACCUUGGAUCCUGCUGUCCAUCUGUAGGGCUUGGAUGCUUAACACCUAUCCAGGUGUCAGCUAAGGAAUAGUAUUUUGGAGUGUUAUGAGGUUUGUCUUCAUAGUGUCAGUAACUGGCCAUUAGGUAUUGUCCUUGUCAUGUCAGACUGCAGCUUGUUCAGGUGUCGGCUUGGACUCUNUAUUUUGGAGUGUUAUGAGGUUUGUCUUCAUAGUGUCAGUAACUGGCCAUUAGGUAUUGUCCUUGUCAUGUCAGACUGCAGCUUGUUCAGGUGUCGGCUUGGACUCUUGUGUCCCGGUCCGGGGGAAGGGUGGAUAGGUUGUGUUUGGGUCCAGGACCAUCUCCUGGGUCCGGGAUCGUCUCCUGGGUCCGGGAUCAUCUCCGGGUCAUAUCAUGCUCGGGUCCAGAUUAAGCCAAUCUAGGGUCCAGAUUAAGCCAAUCCGGGUUAUACCCUAUCAGAUAGCAGGAGGCUAAGGGAUGGUGAGGGGUGAGGCGUGAGGCAGUGAAGUUGUAAUCGGAGAGCGUGCCGAACGAAUUUGAAGCAAAGUGAAUAGAAAGGGUGCAUACAGUGACUUGGGUACGUGGCACAAGCAUAAGAAAAGAACGCACGUACGUGUAUAAACUUCCAUCAGUUCAAAACUUCAAAUAAGCUGACACAUCGAACAGCCUAUACUCGCUCUUAACUAAUUUACGAAUAUAACUUAUCAGUAAAACUUCUCCCGAAAAUUAUCAAAAUAUUUUUCUAAAACCGGAAAUAUUAUGGAACUAAUAAAAUAAAGAUUUCAGGAUUUAUAAAGCAUUAUUAAAAUUCAUACGCAAUUUAGAAAUUAAUUUUUAUUCAGAAAAUAUUUAAAAGCAUCACCUUAUUGAAAUAUUCAUUUUAAUAUUUUAAAAUUUUUUAAAAAUAUCUAUGAUCACUAUUGAGCAAUUAAAAUAAUUUUUGGGAUUAUAUUUGUAUUUUUACAAAAAUAAAUAUCCAUUUAAGAGGAUAAUAAAUUUUAAUAAAACUGUAUAAUAAUAUCAAAAGCAGGAAUAAAUGCACACACAAACAUAAUCGUAUACAAAUAGAUCAAUUAAAUCUCGUAACAGAUAAUUGCACGAUCAACAGAUAUUUUCCCAUAACCCCGAUGAUCAAGGAAAAUAAUUUAAACAAAUAUUUUUUUUUGAAAUUUAUCAAACUGGAAUAAAAUAUUAAAUUUUAUUCCUCCUUUUUAUAAAAACCAUUAAUAAAAUAUUUUGAAAAAUCCGGGUUGUCACACUUUAGAUGGUUGCAGAUGCUCUAAAUUGAGGUCGGACAUCAUAAAAUUUAGCAUACACAAUUUUUUUUUUGAGCUUAUUUGUCUUCUCCAUCUAAUACAAUAAUGAGUUACACUAUGCUACAUGCUUAGAAUGGCGCUAGAGAUGAUUAGUGGAUAAGAGUAAGAGUUCGUCGGAUGUGGCAGUCGACAAAUCCAAACACGGGAGAACAAUACAGUCUUGAUGGAUGAAAAUGUCAAUAAAUUAACCGUUAGGGAUAUAUGUUUGUUCGUUAUUCUUUUAUAAUAUUUGUUUUGUUUAUCGAACAUAUAUGUUGUUAUAUGAUUUACUUUGUACAGAGGAAAAAAUUAUUCAUGUGACAGUAUCAAAAAAAUAAAGGUUGUUGCAACUUGGAAGCAAGGACAAUUAUAGACCGCGAUCUCAUGAAUUUAAAUUGAUAUUUUUGCGGAUAACCAAUAAAAAAAAAGAAUCACUGAUAAACCGUAAAUGGAUUGGAGUUCAUACGUGCCGAGAUGAUUAAUGUUCGUACAAUUAGAAAAUAAUGUUUAUCCCAUUAAAAUUAAGGAUGGUUUCGGAGUUGCAUCUCAAUAUCUUUCAGGCUUUUACGCACAUAUGCUAAACACAACUGAAAUUAAGAUUUGUCGUGUUUUGAAUCGUUAAUUACAUGCAUAUUUUUAUUUUCAUUUUUUCACUCAUGAAUUAUAGUCAAAUUUUGCAAUUUUAUAUAUUAAUAUUAGUAUUGCGUCGAUAUGUUUAUAAAAUAAAAUUUAUUUUCUUUUAUAAAUAUUAAUUUUGAAUCAUUAAUAUAAUUUUUAUAUGCUUCCGUAAAUUUAUUUUAUUUUAUAGAUAUUAAUAUUAAAUUAUUAAUAUAAUUUUUAUAACCCGCCGGAACGCGCGGCUUUUCUACUUAGUUAAUGUAAAAGAUAGUAAAUCUAAUAAAAACAAAAACGAAAGAAUAUAUAUAUCAAAAUAGAGAGUAAAUAAAAUAAAGUAGAAAUAUUAUUUAAACUCUAACCAAAGGAAAAUCCUUUGGUUAGACACAUAAAAUUUUAAUAAUUUAACAAAGGAAUAAAGAUAAUGUUUAAAACAAUUAAAUACAAUAUAUAUAAUGACCAUCAAAAUGGUAACAAAAGCCAUAAAAUGGCAACUGAAAGCCAUUAACGGCACAAUAAAAUCAUCAAUAAUGACCCCCAUAAAAGAUACUAAAUAUUCAUAAAGAAUAUUUAUCCAAUUACAAUCACGAUCACAAUCACAAUUUAAAACGUAACUAUUAUAAUUAAAGCAAAUAAAGACAAAUAAUGAAUAAUCAAUAAAAAGAUCCGUAAUUAAAGCCACCUAAUUUAAAAUUAAAUUGUUGCCUAAAAAUCAAACAAUCAUAAUAAAUUACGAAUUCAAAAAUAUAACGAUUUCGACCACAUCCAUGAUAAUCAUAAUAACCUACUCAGUGAACUCAAGAAACUCAGUGAGGAAUAAAAUAAAGUUUAAAACAAAUAUUUUUAAAAGGAGUUUUUAACAUAAUUAUAUAUAUAUUAUAUAUAAUGAUCAUCAAAAAGUCAAACAAGCCAUAAAAAUGGCAAUCCAAAUUGGAAAAAAAGCCAUUAAAGGCACAAUAAAGCCAUUAAAAGCACAAUAAAGAAUAUUUAUCGAGUCAUAAUGAUAAUUUAAAAUGUAACUGUUCUAACUAAAGCUAAUCGAGACAAAUAAUGAAUAGACAAUAAAAGAUCUCGUAACUAAAGCCAAUCAAUUUAAAAGUAAAUUACUUCCUAAAAAUCACACAAUCAUAAUAAUUAUGGAUUCAAAAACGUAACGGAUUCAACCACCAUUACAUCGUUCUAACAUAUUGUGAUUUAUAAGAAUUAAAUCGUGUCUCCAUAUCAAAAUAAUACACAAAAAUGCUAACUUUAGUUCACACACAAAUUAAGCUAAAGAUUACUAUGCAAUUUAAUACAUAGUUCCUGACUUGUAAAAGAACAAACACAAUCAAUAAGUAUAAUAAUCGAACCAAAAUUAACUUGUUAAAAAUGAAAUCAGGAUUCAUCUAUCAACAACUAAAACCUUGACCUGAAAAACUUCAGUUACGAAAUCUCUACACAGACUAUGAGACAAAUAUACGUAUUGGGAGCAUACAAUUUCUCUAAUACAGUGGCUUAACAAGUUAACAUUACAAUUGCAUACUUAGUAAUAUAACUAUGGCUUAAUAUUACAAAGUAAUUUGAUCUGGAUAUAACUAUGAAUAGUAUUUACAGCCAAGUCUGAUACAUUAAUUCACAAUCAAACAAGAUAUGAACUGAACAAAAUGGAUCAAGAGACUUGUGUAAACAUUCAAGUACGAUGAAUAAUGCAAAAUCACCCACUUCAAUCAUAGAAUUGAUCACAUGUGAUCGUGUUUCUAAAUCACAAAAAUCGUAUUAUUAUUAUUACUAUCAUUAUUAUUAUUCUAACAAACUCCAAAGAAUUCAAAGGCAAAUCAUCAUGUUAAUGCACAAAAAAUAGGCAACAAAAUAACGAAAAUCACAAUCACUUAUAAGACAAAACAUACUGACCGCAUCGAUGAUGAUGACUAGCUGUGUGCCUUUGCCAUUAAGAAAACAAAACAUACGGGGUUGGAUAAACAUACAGGGUUUCGAUUUUUUUGUAACUAAAAUAACCGGUUAUCAAUCUCGAGUCAUAAUUAUUGUAUUUUGUGUAAAAUCUCAAAAUAAUUAUCAUUAUCCAACAUUAAUUAUUGCAUAUAAUCUCAAAAUAAUCAUUACCCUACAUAGUUGCAAAACGAAAUUUCUAUUAAAUUUUAAACCAAUCAAAUUCCUAGAACCAAUGAAAACUAAAUAGUUAUGUCAAAAAUAUUGUUUUUCACUAUUUAAUAUCAUUAAAUCAAAAAUACAAGUCAUUUCUUCGCAUAUCUCUCAUUCGUAUUUUUCACUUUUCUCUUUUUAUCAUGUAUCCGUCCAUCAUAAUAUUAUGCAUGACAUGUGCGAGCCUUUGCAUUGUAUUAUAAACCGCAACUUGCAAUCGUUGCAAGCAUAAUUCUAGAAAUUACAAUUAUGAUUGCAAAAGUUACAACUAUGAUUGUAAAGGCUGCAACCACAAAUUUAGACAAUUAAGAUGAGUGUUCCUUAAAAUCUGUACUAAUAUCGUAAACAAACAAACACACACACACACACACACACACAUAUAUAUAUAUAUAUAUAUCAUGGAAGGAGAUAAUUGGAGCGAAAAGAAGAUGAUGAAACUUGUCAGAGAAGAUGAAGAUGACGAAGCGUUGAACUUCGAACUUUUGAGAAAGAAUGUGUGAAAAAAAUGAAAGAAGGAGAAAAAGAUCAGUCAUUUAAUAUACAUUGUUGUGUUAAUAAAGAUAAUAAUCAGUAACAAAGGGAGUAUAAAGAGAAUUGGAAAGAGUUGGAGAAGAAGGCGAGGUUGAAAUUUGAGAAAAAUCUUAUAUUGAAAAGUAGUAAAAUAUAAAUUUAAAAUUAAAUCUAAUAAUAGAGAAAAAUAAUAUAAAAUUGAAAUAAUAGACCAAUCACAAUAAUAUUAUAAUUAAAGUUAAACACGUGCGCGCGCGCGCGCAUAUAUAUAUAUAUAUAUUCAAAUUUCACAAUUUUUUACGUGUACAACAUUAUAUUUUCAUCACAGAUUAUUUAACAUCAUCGACCAUCAACGCCAUCAUAUACAUCAUCAAUAUAUCAAAAUUAUUGACAUCAAAUAUGAAUAAAUUAGAUUACCCAAUCUCAAAAAGAAACAUAGAAUCCUUUACUUUGAAAAGUAAUUUAAAUAUGCAUAAAUCAUAAUAAUAUUAGUGUCAUUAUUUUCAAUUUAAAACUCAAUUUUUCUAAAAACCCAAAAACUAGGGGUGUGCACGGGUCGGUUCGGCUCGGUUUCUACCUAAAACCGUUACCGAACCGUGUAUUUCGGUUCGGUUCGGUUUUUAGGUAGAAACCGUAACCGAACCGUUUCAAACGGUUUUUUUCGGUUCGGUUAACCGUGGGUCGGUUUCGGUUUUUUUCCGGUUUUUAUACGAUAAAAAAUUACUAUACAAAUUUAAUACUUUUAUUAAUUUUAGAAAAAUAUUUAUAUACUUAUUAUAUCAAUUUCUCUUACUAAAAUAUAUGAUUAAUAUAUUGUAGCACAUAUGUAUAUAUAAUAUGUUAUAUAUAAUAAUAUAUAAUAAAUGUUAUAUUUUUAUUAUAUAUUAUAUAAACGGUUCGGUUUUUCGGUUCGGUUUUAGGGGUAAAACCGUAACUGUUACCAAACCGGUAUAUCGGUUCGGUUCGGUUACGGUUUUCUCCGGUUUUUGUCGGUUACGGUUUUUUUCGGUUUGGUUUUUCGGUUUUUCGGCUCGGUUUCGGUUUUUCGGUUUUUUUUGCUCACCCCUACCAAAAACUCAAAAACUCAAAACAAAUCCAAACGGAAUUAUGAAACAUACUUAUGUAUCCUUUUCCCUGUGCGAAGCUUAACUAGAGGCACUGAAGCGUAAUUUAGUCUAAAGGUAAUGUAAUGAAUUAGCCUGGUUGUGAAAGAAAGGUGCAGACGGCGGCAACAAUGUCAGUUAGAUCAUGGCGCACGGCGUUUCUAACCUUGAGAGACGAAUCCCUUACUUCGCCGCCGACGAUCUCCCUUCUCCGCCAUAUCAUUUUCUCACAUUCCGAUGCUUUAAUUGCCUCACUGCCUCACUUGUCUCCACAAGAAGUAACUUAUUCAAUACUUCUCUUUCGUCUUUCUUUUUAACUUAUUCAGUUAGUUUAAGUUUCUGUUAGUAGUUUCCAAAUUGAAUUCGGUGAGUGCUUUCUUGUUUCGGAGUUGUUGAUUUUGUUGCUCCUGCUUUGUUUUUAGGUUUCGUCGGAUAUAGUGUUUUUGAUUCAAGCGAUUCGGAUUGUAUCGGCUUCUCAAGAGAAGGAUGAUGAAUUGGUCGAUAUUUUUCGCCACCUCUCUCAUUUGGUAAGAUUCUCUUUUCCCUGGAUACAACCCUCUACAAUGUGAACGCAGAACAAGGGUUUUGAGUUCCACAUUAGUGUAGCACUCAGUUUACCUAUCCUCUUGAGCGUGAAUUGCCACUUACCUAUCUACGGCUCGCUUGUAUAUGUUGCAGUUGUUUUUGGUUUCUUUUACAUAAUAAAUAACGUCUUUUCAGUUAAUUUUACAGUUGUCUUCUUAUAUCCUCACUCUCUACCCAUUACGAAAAUUGGCACAUUGCUUUGGAAAAACCCACCGAUACUUCAGUUUCUUCCUAUUUAGUUAUGGCAUAAUGAUGUUCAAACUUACAAUGUUAUAUUUAUAAUAGCUUGGCUUUAAAUUAAUCAUUUUACUUCAUCGCACUUGUGAAACAGUUUACACAUAUAGUAUUGCUUGUUAAUUUGAUCACAACCACAUUAUCGAUAUCAAGUAUGACUUCUUUAUUUUGCAAAAUGAUUUCUAAAAACUUGAAAUGAAGUUUUGUUGAACUUUGAGAUGUUAUUACUAACAAUUUAGGCAGUUGUACACCACAAACAUGUAAAUCUGUGUAAGGGUAGUACAUACACGAUCAUAUCGACCUGCUGUUAUUGCUGAUCUUCUAGUGACCUGUAAUAAACAUAUUGCAGUUUUAUAUUUUUCUAGUUAAGUUUAUGCUAAAGCUCUUUGACUCUUGUUCUCACCUGAUGACCUGAUGCAGAUUUACACUGUCACUCUUCAUGUUUCUUUUGACACGAGUUUAUCUUCCUGGGAUGUUGUGAUAGGCUCUUACGAGAAACUAGUAGAUGUCAUCCUCAAAAAUUUUGUUACAAAGAAUGGUAUUCUGGGGAAUCCUCAUGUGGUCCAAAUCAUAGAACAAUGUAUUAAAACUCUGCGGUAUGUAUGUCAUCUCAUCUUCUUUCCACAUUGUUAGGCUUUUAAACUAAUUUCAAUAUGCAAUGGUCAUGCUGUAAUGGGGGAGAGAUUAUACGUGCGAGGAACGUUUUUGUUUCUUGUUAGCGCAACCUGAACAAGUCAGUUGCAAAAAAAAGUAUAGUAUGAUAACAAGAUUAUUGUAUACAUAGGAAAGGACUGAUUAAUAUCAGUUUGAGUAUAUUAUGUCCCUCGGUAUCUAGAUAUCUGUAAACUAACUUGAGGGUCGGUAAUUAUCAACUAAAUGAAUCUAAUAAGCAUAUAAAUUAUAAAUUACAAAAACUUAAGUACAUGCUUGUAUGCCUUCCAGUGAUAAAUUUAAAUCCCAUAUGUACAAAAAUAAAAUCAACCAUAUGAACAAUUAUUAUGAUUAAUUGCAAACCAAAUUGAAAAAAAUGGUAAAUAUGAUAUUACUUUUCAAGUAAAGCAAUGAUUUACUUUUCACUAUAUUAUUAUCGUAUUAGCACUGAGAGCAAAUAUCAAAUUGAAAUGUACACUUCAAGCAAAGAAAGUAAUAUUGUUUAUAUUAAACAACGAAAGUAAUAAUGAAUUUUCAAGAUAUAUAAAAAUACAGUGCAUUAUAGGUCUAAAUUUUAUAUAUUUAACAUAUCGUAUAAUUCAAAGUUCAACUUUUGUAUUGAAUUAUAUUCCUAUAACUAUUAUCGUACGUAACCCACAAAGAGAGAAGUGCUGCAUCACAACAGAAGAAAAAAGGCGAAAGAAUAUGAUGAUAUUAGGUGAAAUAAGCAUACCUGCAUAUCCAAUGACGAAAGAUUAGGACGUUCGUCUGACUAGAUCUGUCUUAAUUCGUCAUAUCAUAAUAUAUGUAGUCACUUCUUUUGUUAAUCUGAGAAGUGGGUGGGCCCAGUGCCCAUUCUUCCAAAUAUGUUAAAGUGCCCCUUACUUAUAGAGUCCUCAUCCCAAUGGUUUCUACGAGGGUGAGACUCUCUGCAGUCUCUGCGGCUCAGGCAAUGUGGCGAGAGUUUGAUGCACGAAAAUGUUGAUUAGUCGCUUUGCAUGUCCAUUGGCGAAGUUGUGCUGACACUUAUUUCACUAGAAGCCCCAAGCAACAACAUGCAUGUUUUUUUCUCCUAGGUGCAUCUGAUAUCUGAUAUAUAAUGAAGCAACAUAUUACUGUUUGCUUGCUAUUCCUACACGCAGACUAUAUAUCUGCGAUAAAUAUAUUGCUGUUUUGUAUGGUCUUAUAUGUUAUUAGUCUCCCAUUCUUCCAAAAUACGUGACACAUGGCAUCUGCUUGUAUAAAUACAAAGACAUUUAUUCUGAACCUCAAAAGUGUAUUUUCUUGGUAUUUUGAAACCAUUUGAGGCUUUUAUAAUUUUUGUGAAUAUCGUUGCAGUUAUUAGUACUCCCUCCGUCCCGGUCAUUUCUAUACAGUUUCCUUUUUGGGAUGUCCCAUCAUUUCUAUGCAUUCCUAAAUUAGCAACUUUUAAUAAUGUAAAACACUAUUACACCAACUACUUUAUUCCACUAUCUUCAUUUUAUAAUAAUAUAAACACUAUUACACCCACUACUUUCUCCCACUAUCACAAAUCUGUAAUUAAAUACAAAUGGGUCCCACCACUUUACCCACUUUUCAUCUAACUUUACUCAUUUUUUACACUUUCUUGGUCUCCGUGUUCACACCAAAUGUAUACAACCUGCUGGGACGGAGGGAGUAGCUAAUUGUUAUUUCUCUGUCAAGCCUUAAGCAAUCAAUAAUUAAUGCGACUUUAUGGUGGCUGAUUUUUACCAUUUACACCCAGGAGUUUUUCUGCUUUGUAUCAGAGAACAACUUGGUUAGCAGAAAAUCCUAUACUAUUGAAUUUCCUGCUGAACAUUGUGGCAUGCUUUCAACCUGAGUUAAUCAAUGCAUCUCACUCCAGUGUUGAUUGGAGAAGUAAAUCUGAAAAUGGAAAUCGAGCAUCCAUAGUUGACAGUGUAUGGGAGGUUCAGACAAAAGUCUUCACCAUGAUUAGUGAAAUAUAUUUAAGGGUUGGGAACAUCCUACCGGUAAACCGUUGGCUAUCGGCAGUUGUGGUAAUCAUGCUCUUCUUAUGUGGUGUGAUUGAAUAUAUACAUAUAUACAUGGAAUUCUGAUUGAAAUGUUUCUGUAUUAAAAAUAGGUCUUUCGGAAAAUAAUGGAUGUCCUGGCAGCCAAGGGCUUCCUAGUGGAAGACAAUACUCUGGCCAAGUAUCCUAUUGCCCCUCCAUCAGUAAUAAACCAUAUUUAAGAUACAAUUUUGAGCUUGCAAAUUAAUUAGGGGCGGUGCUUUCAUUUGCAGGUUCUACACUUCACUGCUUCAAUGCUUGCACUUAAUUCUUACAGAUCCAAAGGGAUCCCUUACAGACCAUGUAAGUAAACAAUUGAAGUAUUUUUUAAGAUAGAGACAAGUAUGUUCUGAUUCCUGGCAUACAAUCAAGUAACAAUCUGUCUAUACUUGCUGUGAAGACAAGUAUUGUUCUUACUAAAUGUCUUGUAUAAACAGAUCUUUAAUAUUCUUACAGGUCGCUGGUUUGGUAGCUGCAUUGAAGAUGUUCUUUAACUAUGGGUUUAUUCAUAAACCACAAAUUAUCUUACCUGUAUCUAGUCAAAAGAAGCAAGAUGACACUAAUAAAAGUAAAAAACAUCCAACAAAUUCUGGCCCAUACAAGCCUCCACAUUUGCGCAAAUCAAAAUCAAAUCAGAAUCAUGAAGUUUCUUCACCUGAUCUCAUGUCAUCUGACUCGGAUUAUAGUGACAGUGAUGGAUCACCAAGUGAAGCAUUUAAUAUUUACAGCUCCAAGGCCAGAGUUGCUGCAAUUGUUUGCAUGCAGGUAUUCUAUAUACCAAAAGUUCAUGGUUUAUACCCCAUGUGUCCAGUUAUCUUAUCAAUUCUACAGAAACGUACAGCUUUUAGGUUGGAUCGUUGGUAAAAUAAAAAAUUAUGUGGAUUUCCAUAUUUACCUAUAUUGCUAACUGACUAAAUUUUCUUAUUUAGUGUCAAACUAUAUUCUUGAAUAUAUUAACUUGCUCAAGUGCGUGAAAUAUAGUUGUUGAUGUUUGUCUGCUUUUUGAUGUGGUGAAAGACUCAUAAAAAGUAAACGUGGCCAAUUUUUGUUUAGAUGGAGGCAGUAUCUAAUUUACUAGUUACAUAUGGAACUAUUGGAUUGGCUGAAGCUUAUAUAGGUACCAACUAAGAAGAAAGAAAAAGGGGGAGGGGGGAAUCAGGAAUUUGACAAAUAUCAUAACACGGGGAUACACCAUUUAAAAAACUAAUGUGUACAUAUAUUUGAUGUUAUGCUUUAUAACACUUAUUAACAUAAAUUUAAUCAUUUAAAAGGUGAGAGUUCAAGUCAAAGAUUUAAACAUGAAUUGAUAAAUAAGCUCCACCUUUUACUAAAUAAGCUCCAAUUUUCAUCUUUUAAUAUGUAAAUUACAUUAUCACCCAUAGUAAAAACAAGAUCAAUUAACUCCGUGUCAUGGGUAGUUAUGCAAUAGUCAUCUGAACUGAAGCUUAAACAGUGUAGUUUGGAGCUUAUUUAUCACUAUACUUUUCAAUUUUACUAAGUGAAUUUAAAAAUCACUACGUUUCUAUUUGCCCAUUAUCAAUAUUUUGCUCUCGUGUAAAUAGUUACUAAACAUCAAUUCUGAGUAUGUUUUUGAAUGGCAUAAAUGAAUAUGGGAUUUUGCAAGUACCCUCGGAUAAUCCAAUACAGAGAUAUGAGGGUCCAAGUAUCAAACAUUGUGAUAUAUUGGGUAACUGAAGGUAAGGAAUCUAAAAUAGCCCCUUCUGCUAGCUAUACCACUUUCUCAUUUUUCUUUUUAAAAAUUUUACUUAUCUGACAAAGAGUUCUGGAUUAUUUAAACUGAUAAAGCUGUUAGCAAGAAGGUUCCUCAGUUUUGUUAGAUUCUCUAUCCGUACUAUUAUGUCAGAUCAUUUUGUUUUUGUUAUAUGUAUUUUUUUAAAUUAAAAUAUUUCAACUCUUCUGGUAGGAUCUUUGUCGAGCAGAUCUUAAAUCUAUUACUUCCCAAUGGACAAUGGUUUUGCCCACCAGUGACGUGCUGCAACUCAGGUAUAAUUUUCUCUUUUUAACCUAGCCUAUCCCUGUGUACUCGUGCUAUUGUUUGUUUAACUUUCUGCCAAGUUUUUAACUUGUUAUUGCAUAUAGGAAAUGUGACACAAACUUAAUGACGUGCUUACUCUUUGAUCCUUAUAUAAAGGUAUGUUUCCAUCCUGCAGUUGGUGCUUGAAGAAUCAAUAGCAUUCAUAGUUUAUGGGUUUUUUAAUUUUUGCUGCUCUGUUUUAUACUGUAUUCACUGUUCACGUUAGUUCAAUUCUGGUCCUUUCCUCUAUAAAAAUCUUUUUAAGAAUCUUUGUUUAGCUACUUAUGACAUAUCUUGUAUGUAAACGGAAUAUAUUCGUUUAGCUACUACUGACAUAUCUUGUAUGUGAACAUAGUAUGUUUUAUUAGCUACUUAUGACAUAUCUAUAUUUGGACAUGCAUGUCUCUAUCUUAUCUACUAGGUGCGAUAUGUUUAUGAAAUGCACUUGGCCCAUAGUUAACCUAUUGGUCCUGAUGCAAUUGUAAUCAAACUGCGGGAUAUAAAAAACUAAAGUACGCUAGGAAGAGUUCUGAAAAUAAUAUUUCUUAGGGGAAGGUAAAUCAGUAUAUAGAUAUUAUGGAGUUGUUCCUUUGGAAUAUUUGCAAGAAGUUAAAGUUUACAAUAUAAGGACUUCAAACACAAGGAGAAACCAUGACCCUUGAUUGGCUAGUUUAAAGUAAAGCGAUUUGCGAGUUACAACAGAAUGCAAUAUUUAAUUCAAGCAGUGUUUAAGAUUCAAUCUCUUACUGUUACAGAUAGGCCAGAAGCUACAGCUUUGGGGAAAAGUAAUAUGAAUCAGAUAGUAUGUUUAAACCACCGUCUAUGGGUAUUCAGAGAGUUGAACUUCUAAUCUUGGAAGAAUGAUUUUAAGAAAGAGUUCCUCACUAGUUAGAUUUUCUGUCAAUCUCUUUUCGAAUAUCCUAGUAAACAUUCAAGAUGAUAUGAGUAUUCAUUAUCCAGUUUUUAUAAUAAGCAUCUUCGGACUACUGAUUCAUGUGGCAAUUUCUUUAUUCCAUAGUGGUUAGAUAUCAUCUGGCGAUUUCUAUGUCAAAAUAUGCUGCACUAUAACUAGUCACAUAUAGUACUAGGAUUCAUCCAGUUAAUAAUAUUUCUCAAUCUAAUUUAUGGUGGUAGGAAUAAUAGUAACAAAAAGUUGUCAUACAAGCUACGCUUUAAUGAGUAUAGUUUGUUUGGAACUUUAGCUGUCACAAAAAGUUCAUUGGGUUUUUUGAUAACAAAUUUUACUUUAUGGUCUUCAGGCACGAUUAGCAUGCGCCUCUACUCUUGCAGCAAUGUUGGAUGCACCUGUAUCUGUCUUUCUUCAGAUGGCAGAAUAUAGGGAACCUACUAAACGUGAAUCUUACAUGUCACUUUCCAGUUCACUUGGUCAGAUUCUCGUGCAACUUCAUACAGGUAUUCAAGAUGCUUUAGAACUCCUUUUAUGUGGGUCUCUCUUAUUUCAGUGGAGGCCUUUUGCAUAUUAAUUAGUAUAUAAAGGUUUUGAGUCUUAACUAAUGUUGUUUGGAUAUGUGGUUUAGGAAUCCUGUACUUAAUCAAACGCGAACAACAUAGUAGAUUGGUGGCAUCCUUGUUCAAAGUUCUCGUUCUUUUGAUAUCAUCAACCCCGUAAGCGUAUUAAUUCAUUUUUCCCUAUUAGUGUUCUUUCAGUUUGUCUAGUUACAUAGGUCACCUUGUUAUUGCUAUUGUUAUGGUUUGUCACAGAGUCCGUAAAAAACUCUACAACUAAAAAGCAUAUGCAAUCCCAAUGGUAUAUACUCCCUCCAUCCCAAAUCUUGUCUUAUUUGUGGUCAAAUUGACCAAAUUUUAACUAAAUAUUGCACAUAAAAUAUAAAUAGAGAUGUAAUAAAAUUUGUAACCCUAGAAAGUACAUUUUAUCUACUUUAAUAUCUAUGUUUCAAAUCUGGUAAAUUAUAAAAGGAUAAAAAGUAAAUGGUAGUCAAAGUUCGGUCAAUUUGACCACAAAAAAGUCAAAUGCGACAAAAGAUUUGGGACGGAGGGAGUAUAUCUUUUGGGACAUCUAUUAAGGACUGAUGGACUUUGAAAGAGAAUAUGCAAUCCCAAUGAUAAAUAUAUUUCUUUUUCUGAGACUGAUAUGUAUAAUUGAUAGACAAUCAUUAAUUUUAAAUAUGUUAAUAUGCAUUCAAAACUAAGUAUCCUAGAAGACAAGUAUUAGAGUAUUCUUCCCUGAAUUAGUGUCUUACUCGAGGAAUUCUUAGUUAAUGGUCUACCAAAACCUUAUAUAUUGUUCUCAAAUCGUUUCAUGCCUCUUGUCUAACAUUAUUUCGGAUUUUUUUUAUGGGAAAUAAAGUGAAUUUAAUCUGCCUUGUCUAUAUUAGCUUAAUCGUGGAUAAUAAAUUUACUUAUAUACAUGGGAAUGGUUUAUUAUGUAUUUAUCUUACUUCCAACUGAUAAAAAGUUACUGUCUCUCAAGGUUACUUUUAUUACUUACAAGAAUAAGUGAUUUUUCCACUUCAGUUACUGCAUGUUUGGAUGGUUUUAUAUAUAAAAGCAAACUUAUAAUAUAUGAAUAAAGCAAAUAAGAAGUACUAGAAGUUACAUACAGGAGGGAUCAUAUCCAUUUUUUACAAAACCAAAUUGGAAUUUUAAAAUAUAUAAUUUGAAUAAGUCCUUAAUUUGAUGCAGGAUAGCUUUAACAGCAAUUGCUAUAUGAACUAAGGCCAUGAAAAAAUAAAUCUUGGGUUGAUGAACCGCAAAAGGGAGAUUAAACUAUGGAUCACAACCCAUAAAAGAGACCCAAUUUUAAUAUUCUAUAAUAUUCCAAAAAUCAAGUCUAACUAUAAUAUGUGGGACCGUGGGGUUACAUAACUUGUACAAGAAUAGAAACCCUAAGAUUUGAUAUGAUGGACUAAGGCCCAAUAACAAAACUCCUAACCUACAUAUAAAGUACAAAGACUAGUCCUUAUUUAUCUGUAUAUUAAAUACAUAUAAAUACAUAUAAACUAAUUAAUAGCCUAUAAAAAUAUUCUUCCCUUCCGUUCUUCAUUAUCAUUCCUACUACUUACAAGUCACUUUAACUUUAUACACGAACAGAGUUAUUUUUUACAAAACCAAGCAAUUCAGAUGAUAGUUUACUGAACAUUGCUGAUCAUUGUAUUGUUAUGUGGACUGUGGAAACUAAAAACUUUUAGCGGUCUGCUGUUUGAAUAUUACAGUGUCCGAACUUGAUUUUUUGCUUGUUUCAUCAUGAUGUCAGUGUGCAAUUUUGAUGAAGGCUUCCCGUAUAUACCGUUAAUUCUGAAUCCAAGUUUUAACUAGAAAAUCUAGUAUUUUGGGUUCAUAUACCAUUUUGAUGUCUCGUGUUUAGCUCAAGGGUGAUAUAUAAGCAGGUUUACUAUUGAAACCAUAAGAAGUAAAUUGGUGUGUAUUACUUCAUUUCACCUAAUUGUACUCAUGAUGCAAAGAUUGUGUUGCAAAAUGAUAUAUGCAAUUAUGUAUUGAUAUCCAUAUCUUAAUAUGCAAUUACACAGAUAUUCACGACUGCCUGACGAGUUACUGUCAACAACUAUCAGAUCUCUCCAUGCAACAGUUAGAGAAGGUUAUUUAUUUAAAAGAGAUCACAACAGUGGACUACUGGUUAGUAUUCAAAAUGUUGCUACAAAUCUAUACUCGUACAAGUGGUAUUAAAUAUGGUAAAUUGGGAUGUAACCGCGGCCUAGUGCUCCUCAAUUUUUGGGUUGAUGUCUUAAUGGAAAACGAAGAGGCUGUUUACAAUGAAGUUUCUUUGGAUGACUUAUUAUUCAUUACGUCCUAAUAGCUAUCAACUGAAGUAUGCUUGUAUACCUUUUUUUUCAAGUAUCUGGCCAAACCUCCAUAGAGCCAUCGAAUAUGUACUUAAUUGUAUCUUAGAGACAUUUUCUGAGAUAAAUUUGACAACUUUCCACAUUUAAUUUAUCUGUAUUAAUUGCAUUUCUUAUUAAAGCACUUCUUUUUUAACAAAGUUUCCUUUAGACAGGCAUGAAAAGAACAUUAAUAAAGUAAUCUCCGGCAUUUUACAAUGUAAUCGUUCGAAAUGCCAGCAUAAAGUUGAUUGAAAUAAUCUUGAACGUUAUGUGUUAUCUGAUUUAGAUGUCUUGUUAUUUCGGUAAAUGUUUAUUGAAAUGUAGAAAUUCCUUGCUUGCAUUUGAUCUGGAUUCAUGAAGACAGAUAAAGAAUGAAGCUCAAGUAAUUGAAACUAUAGUUAAACCAUUUGUGGUAAAGUGAACCUGAGAAGCAUGAAACUGUACAGCCCCCCCUCCCCCUUUUCACGAAUCUGGCCAAACCUUUAUAGAGCCAUCUAAUUUGUGCUUAAUUGUAAUUGCAUCUUAGAGAUAUUUUGUACGAUAAAUUUGACAACGUUCCACAUUUAAUUUAUCUGUCUUAAUUGCAUUUCUUCCUAAAGCACUUCUUUUUGAUAAAUUUUCCUUUAGACAGGCAUAAAAAGAACAUGAAAAAAGUAAUCUCCGGCAUUUUACAAUGUAAUCGUUUGAAAUACCAGCAUAAAGUUGAUUGAAAUAAUCUUGAACGUUAUGUGUUAUCUGAUUUAGAUCUCUUGUUAUUUCGGGAAAUGUUUAUUGAACUGUAGAAGUUCCUUACUUGCAUUUGAUCUGGAUUCAUGAAGACAGAACGAAGCUCCAGUAAUUGUAACUAUAGUUUAAUCAUUAGUAGUAAAAGUGAACCUGAGAAGCAAACAUGUAAAUCAUAUAAUUGUCAAGCCUUGCUCAAAAUUAUGAGAGAUAUGAUAUACACAUGAUUGCAGAAAAGCUAAAUCAGUGAACUCAGUUUUCCAAUCUUAAACAAAUACUCCCUCUGUCCCAUGUAACUCUAUAUGUUUCUUUUUCACUGCUCGACACGCAAUUUAAUGCUCUUAUAAAAUAUAGUUUUAUAACUUAUUUUUAAAAUUUUCUUCUUCUGAAUAAAAAUAUAACAUUCAAAUUUUUAUUCAGAAAAGAAAAAUCUUAAAAAUAAGUUAUAGAACUAUACUUUAGAAGAGCAUUAAAGUCCGUGCCGCGUCCCCGUCCCCCAAUGUAUAUAACUCAGGGGGACGGAGGGAGUAGUGCUUAGGUAACAGUUGGAUUCCACUUGUCAAGUCUAUUUUAAAGUAAAAUAAGAACUUGUCUUAGUUAUACUAACAAAAGUCACCAGCUAUUCCCUUUAUUUGAUCCAUGCGAUCGUCUAUCCCUCUCUCGCCCUCCGCAAUGUUUGUACGGGUGUUAUACAUUGAUUUUCCUCAGAAUUAUUUGUCCCUAUGCUUCUGUAGAAGUUUUACAUCCUUUAUCUCGGAAUUACAAUAUAUAUUUUCUACAGGCUGUUGCUAUUAAUUGCUUGACUGUAGCUUUGUCAGUAUCCCCCUCCUCAAAGGUGAAUGAUUUGUUUCUGUCAGAGCUGUCAACAGGUAACUGUUGUUUUUUAAGUUUAUUCUUCAUUUAAAAAGUCAGUAUGAUAAAUUGCCAAACUAUCAUAUUUGUGUGUAUAUAGGGUCACUAGCUACUUCAGAACCAAUCUUUGUUUUGUAUUUAAUUGUUGAAGACAAUGUUAUUUUUAUAAUUAUUUUUUAUAAUGUUUAUAAGAAUGUAAAGCAUUUUGUGAUUUAUAGAAUAAAACUUUCCCCCCAAAGAAAGUAGUAUUCAAUCUCAUAAAAUAAGCAUGUUGUCCUGCAGAUUGACCCCAUAAUUUAUAAUUUACAGAAGACACUAUGUACACAAUAGCAAAUGCGAGCUAUAUAAUCAGGGGCUCAUAUUGGUACUAAUUUCGGAUUCAAAUUAAAGUUCUAAUUUGAUCCUGACCAUAUAUAUAUAGCUCCAGUGAUAUAUUGAUGAUUACAAAGAAGAUCAUACCUGAAUUAGCAAAGUUAUAGUCAUAACCGUAGGUUUUCUGAAGCUGUUUAGCUGAAGAGAAGAUGCCAUGAAUUGGGUUUACGACUAGCUGACUACAAAUCACAUUUUAACAUAUUAAAGUGUGGUACUUAAGAUAGGCACUGAUCUCAGUUAUGCACUAUGUUUGUUUAUAACCGUGGGCUUUUCCUCUUGCAGUUUGUAAUUUGUGAUUUUUGCUGCACAUACAAGUGUCUGUUGUCAGCAUACUCUUUAUAUACAUAUACAUAUACAUAUACAUAUAUAUAUAUGUAUAUGUAUAUGUAUAUGUAUGUAUAGCUUUUGCAUGCAUGCUUUGAUAUUGAAUCAGGUCUUUAUGCUGAUAAUUUUCAGGGUUAUCUGAAUAUCAAGGGAGGUCAGGUGUUAUAUUUACCUUGUUUGGGUAUUCAGAUCCAGAAAUCAAUCCCGUUAUUAGCUUUGAGGCACUACAGGUAAUUUUACUAUAAAAAAAAUCUUUGUAGGAACCAAUAGUGUGUAGCAUAUUAUUUAUGUAUAGGCUUUACAUAUUUAUUUCUGUGAUUUAUAUUAAUAAAUGUAUACUUUUUUUUAAAUUAAUAAUGUAUAUUAUAGCAUACGGUUUAGUAAUUUUGUUAUAUGAUUUUCUAUAAAGAACAUGUUGAUCUGCGAAACUUUGGUCCUUACUUUGCCACUUAACUUAGCAGUAACUUAAUUAAUGAAGUUCUAUUUGGACCCCGGAUCAAUCAGAACGGGACCCAUAGAGUUGGAAAUUUACAUUAGAUUGUUUGCAUUGUAAGUAAGAUAUUAAAUAGUUUCUGAAGAACCAUAAAACUUGGUUCCCAAAAAAAUUAAGUAGAUAGAUAUGUAGGAAAAGAGAAUGUUAAGCUCACACAUUUUUUUCGUGUACGCAUACGCUCAUAUGUAUAUUGGUUAUUUUUGCUGUCCACUUGUCCUAUGAUAAUUUUGGUGAAUAUCCUUAAUAGUGCAGCAGUCUUGGCACACUAUGAGUAGUCUAUUCCUCAUAAUUUUAAAGUAGUCACUGUUUACCGUAUUACUUGUUAUUCUUAGAUACAUCUCAUACGUAGUUUGUUGCAGGCACUUAGAGCUGUUGCACACAAUUAUCCGAAUAUCAUGGUCAUUUGCUGGGAUCAAGUUUCUUUGGUUGUUUCUCGAUUCCUGAGUCCUGUUGUUUCUAAAGAUUCAACAUGGUCCUCGAAGAGCAAUGCUGGACACUCUGCUUCUGCAAUCGAGGAAAAAGUUACUGCUGCUGCAGUCAAGGUGAUUUCUGACCUUCAUAACACAGUAGCUUUAGUUAUGUAUCAUGUAUGUCUAAAUUACUGUUGUGAGUAUAAUUGCUACAAGUAAUUGUUCUUUUAUUAUUUCCAAAGUAGGUGUUCCUACACCACCUUUUGUUUGCGUGAUAUCCUUACUGAUCUGAUUACAGCAGUCUACAUGUAUAUUAUUUGAUUACUGAUUAUUAGUAUUCCAUUUCACAGAUAAGCUGAAUAUAUUUUAACACUUAUAUGAUCUGAUAGAUUAUUCACUAUUCACAUGUCAGUUGUACAUAUUAAUGCAUAUAAUAUUUGUUUUGUAUAUUCAAUUUUAUAAUAGUAACAGUAACAUAUUGGAAUGCAUACUUAAUUAUAUAAUAUAUUUAUAGACUACCUGAUGGCUGGGGAGUAAAAGCAUAAACAGGGAAAUUGAUUUAAAUGACCUAAAUGAGUUGCAAUAUUUUAUAUUAUUUGAGCACAAAACAAGCCAGAGCCCCAUUGAACAGGUUAUGCUUGUAACAGAGGGCCACUAGCAUCGUGGCCUCUGGAACACUGUAAUAAUGUUAAAUCCUAGAAAUCGAACUCCAGAAGUAUAAUUAUUUUUUUGUUGUAGACAUGGUUGUUACUCAUUAAGCAUCUCAUACCAGAAUUUAGUACCUAAAAGUAGUUAUAGUGAGCUAUGUGGAGCUGCCUUUCUAUGUUAAUGCCUUGUCUACAGGUUUUGGAUGAAUGCCUUCGUGCAAUAACUGGAUUCAAAGGAAUGGAAGACCUUUCAGAUGACAAAUUACUUGACAGCCCAUUCACAUCUGAUUGUGUCAAGAUAAAGACAGUUUCAUCAGCUCCAUUAUAUGGUUCAGGAAGUCAAGCUGUGACGAUCGAGGAACUUCAAAUGCCGAGUGCAGGAAGCACUCAGUGGUGUGUCUCUAUCGAUAGUUAUAUGCCUUUGAUUCUGUUACAUAGUUCAUACCUGGUGAGUGAAGACAAUGGCUUUGCAACUUCUCUUCAUGAAUUAUUUUCUUAUAUACUCAUCUGCAUCAUGUAACAACCAACUUCUGGAUUAUUAACAAAAAACCAUGUGACGUGAAAUUGUUUCUUAGUAACGCAUGACACUUUUAGAAGCUGAUUUUUGGAAUGAUUUGAACCACUUAAUAAUCCUGUUGUUGGGUCGAUCAGUAAGUUCUGCUGAAGUUAAAUAGUUGAAAUGUCAAAAAAGAAGAAGUUUACAGCUGAAAUCCCAAAGUUGUUUCUUUAUAUUGUAUUAUGGCAUAAUCUUUUAUUUCAUGUUUACUAAUGGUAGGUGAGGACUGCUGCAGUUACUUGUUUCGCAGGAAUUACUUCUUCGGUGUUUUUAUCUCUUCCUAAGGAAAAACAGGAUUUUGUUCUUUAUAAAUCCGUAAGUCUUAUUCCAACAAAUAGUCGUAUAGUCAAUAUCUUCUUUGUGUUGGAAACAUAACAAAUCCUAUUGAUGUUCUGUUAAACCUCUUUAGAUCAAUGUUGCACUGAAUGAUGAGGUUCCUUCAGUUAGGUCAGCUGCUUGUCGUGCCAUUGGUGUCAUUGCAUGUUUCCCACAUAUUUCUCAGAGGUAUUUAUGCACCUCAGUUUCUUUCGAUACCUGUAAACAUAUAAUUUAUGAUGUGUUAAAUUUGUACAUAGUGCAGAGAUAGUUGGGAAAUUUAUCUAUGCAGCCGAAUUCAACACUCGCAGUCCACUGGUCGCGGUAUUCUUUUUACUUGUUAUCUUGUUCUUUGUUCCUUAUAUACUACUGAUUUGUAAUCAGGAAGGCUAAACUAUAAAAACAAUUUUAGGUGAGGAUUGCUGCAGCCUGGGCUAUAGCAAACAUUUGUGAUUCUGUCCGUCAUUCUUUGAGUGGCUACACCUCCACCCGGUGUUCUGUAGGUAGGUUUGAGCUUCAGAAAGACAGGAUUUUUAACUUGGUGGUGAAUAACUUUUUGGUUCGUUUCUUUCUUUAAUUGCUAAAUUAGAUGCCAAGUGGAGCUCUGAGUUAAUUCCAUUACUGAUUGAUUGUGCAAUGCGGUUGACAAAAGAUGGCGACAAGGUAUGCAUGUGUCUAGCCUUACAGCCCUUUAAGUGAAUGAGUCCUUGUAUUGAUUCUUACAACUUUAAUUACUUGUAAAUUUUUUUGCUACGGAGAGUUUCCAUAAUGGAUGGAUCCCUUGCCCUCUUUUUGUGAGCUAGACUUUGAGAUAAUUGGUUUAGGAAACAAACCUCACGUGAAAUUGCGUAAAAUCUCAUAAAAGACGGUGCAAUAAAGUGUAGCCUAUGUUACUCGGACUCGGGUACGGAGUGUCGGACACGACACAUAUCCGCGUGUCGGACUUGGAAAUUUUGAGAAUUGGGGACACGGGUAUGGGGACACAUCAUAGUACACUGUGUAGGUGUGCGAGGUCUAUUACCCCACAUAGUGCAAGGAGUUGGGGUAUGCAUGUCUAUGUUUUUCUGUAGAAUUGUUCUAGUAAAAUAUUAAGUGUAUUUCAAUGUUAACUUUGAAGAUAACAUCAGAAAUGAAGAUUUAAAAAAGCAUAUGUUAGUUCAUAGUUCAUACUGAUAUAGUAGUUACUGAUGUGUAAAUAUAAUAAUUGCGAGUGCACAAUGUUUAGUUGAAGCAUGAUCUACCAAGACAUAAUCUUCCAAACCCUUACAAUUAUUUAACGUGAACUAGGCAAAUAGUUUUAAGAAGAGACAUGUGUGAUGUGUUAACUAAUUACCACAUGAUAUAAAAACUGGUAAUCCGAAUUCAUUAAUCAACCACAAUUUCUGUUCAACUUGUUCUAAAACUAAUCAUGUAAUUAACUUUCUUCUUUAUAAAACUUAUUAAUAUUAAUUUAUGCGACUGAGUAUUCUGCAACAACUUGUUAUUUAACAAAAACAUAUUAAAAUAUCUAGGGUAAUCAUAGGCUGUAAAAAAUAUUUUCAGAGACAAUAAUAUAUUAAAAUUACUUAACAAUAAAGCACCAAGAAAAAUCAAGCAAUUGAUUAAACAUUUAGUGAGGAAGCAGAGAAUGUUAACUGUUGUUAAUCAACUUCAUCUUCAUCCCAGGGAACUAAAUUAGCUCGACACUCCACUUGACUAAUGAUGUAAAUAAUAUAGAACACGCAAGUAAAUAAAUCAGCUAGAAAGUUAUGUAAGCUACAUAUUAUAUUAGUAUUUUUACAAGUGUAAUAAAAAAAGCAUUGGAAAAGUAAUCAAAAAAAUAAGAAAGUGCCGUUAUUGAAGCUACAAACAUACUUUAUAAGCUGCCAAAAUUUGAAAAUGAAAAAGGUUCUGCUAGAAAACAGUCUGUUUUGAUAAACAAAUAAUAAAUUCUCCAUCCCAGAUCUUAGAUAAUGAAUUGAAUGUGUCUCAAAUACAUGAGAGGAGCCUUAUUUAUUGGAAAUUUAUCGCUUGGGAUUUCUCUUCUUUUCCUUUUCCACCGAGUUUUGACCACCCCUUUACUGUGACACCUUGACUACUGGAACUAUAUAAAAUGGAUUCAGCCUUUUCAUGACUAUUAUCUUUUACUGUCUACCGUUUGAAGAAUUUGUUUCGUUAUAUUUUCAUUCAUGACGUCAGAUUAAAGCAAAUGCUGUAAGAGCACUUGGAAAUCUCUCCCGAAUUGCUCAUUUAACAAGUCAAAGUCAGUUUCGUUCAUGUGAUGGGCAAGUAAAUAUUGCGAGCUUAUCAUUAGUGACAAGUGGGUGUAAUGAGCAUGUGCCACCAAUCACUGGAGAAAUUGUUCAACAAGAGUUUGCGGUUAAUUCAAUUAUGUUAGGAAGGAUGGUACAUGCAUUUCUUUCUUGUGCUAAUACUGGGAACGUGAAGGUAAGUUCAUUAUUAAUCCUGGAACAUAUACCUUAAACUGUAUAUUGGACUAUUCAUUUCUGGGUGAUUUAUAUUACACUCUGGUACUAUGAGCAGGUCCAGUGGAAUGUGUGUCAUGCUUUAAGCAAUUUGUUCCUGAAUGAGACAAUAAAGCUACGAGAUAUGGAUUGGUAAGGCACUUUAACAAACACAAUCUAUAAUUUCUUUUAGGAAUGUUGCAUGUUUAUUUUUUAAUAUGGUAUUUUUUAGAGUUUGAAGGUUCAAAAGUCAACUUUUAAAAGACAAUUGUGGGGAUAGAUGUCUAAAGUUUAAUGGAAUUACUUGAUUGGCGACUAGUUAUUAGAUGUAUCAUUUAUCAAGAACUUCUUAAAUUUUUUUAAUUUAUAAUGCCUAGUACAAUUAUUUAAUGUAGAUUCAGAUGGUGUCUAGUCGUACACAUGCAUAAUGCUAUAUUCAGCGAUAUUAUUUUUAAUAAAAAUUAAUAAUUAAAUUAACUAUAAUUGAGAGUUAAUUAGUUGUAUACUCUAGUUAGUAGAGUUUGAUUUAGAGUUCAAGACAAACUGGGGUGACUACUCUAAAUAGUCGAAUAGUUCUAUAAAUGCAAUCUCUGGAUAGAAUCCUCAAGUUUUCUCAUUUUGCUUUGCCUGUAUUUCUUAAAACGUCAUAUAUAGAUUUCAUGUGUUUCUACCCCAUUGAAACAUUUUAUACAGAUGUAUAAAUAUUUAUUUGGUUUGUGUGGCAAUCUUUUUUCAGGGCUCCAUCUGUGUAUAAUAUCCUUUUGUCAUUGCUUUGUAAUUCUUCAAACUUUAAGAUCAAGAUACAGGCUGCUGCUGCUUUGGCUGUCCCUGCAUCAGUACUUGGUAUUAAUCUGUAACUUCUUAUCCGAAUAUUAUUAACAUUUCAGUUAUGUUUUACCAGUCUGUUAAGUUCUAAUUAAGCAACUGCUUAGUCUAUUAUUAUUAUUACAUUCCUCCCAUUGCUAGAUUAAAGCCCAAGACCAUUUGUCUCUAUUUCNCUACACUCUACAAUUUUAAAAAUACAGACAAAUUUGUAGACAAUGUUUGUAUUCAAACUUUAUAAUUUUAUUUCUGUAAAGGAAUUAGAUACUCUCUCCAUCCCAUUAUAUAUGUCUGUUUGAUAUCUUGCACGUAAUUAAAGUGCAUAAAAAACAUACUUUCGCUUAAUCUUUUUGAAAUUUUCUUUUGUGAAUAAAAGUUUAUAGUUUAUAUAUUUAUUCAGAAAAAGAAAAUUGAAAAAUAAUAAUCAGAAGUAUCUUUUUUAUGCAUCUCAAGUUAUGUGCAAAUAGUCACACUCAGGACAUGUAUAAUGGGACGGAGGGAGUAUUUGUAGAAGUUAUUUCCAUGUUUGGGUGAUGCUGCCUUGAUAAUUGUAGAAAGAAGCAAAAAUUGUGCGUAGAACAUAGGACCCUAGCUCAAGAGUAUAUCUGUAGCCACUGUGAGGUAUCUUGAGUUGUUCCUGUUUGAUCAUUUAAAGUGCAAGCUAUAUACUUGGUGAAUUGCUUUGGCCUUUGGAAGACCUGUACAAACUGUCAGUACACUAUUUUAUAAUAUAAGCCUUUUUUCCUUAACCCUGACUUCCUUGUGGGCAAUUCAUUUUGAAACUUUCGAAUACUGUUGACAAAAAUAUUUCCAAGCCUGUUCUGUGUUAACUUGAUACAUAAAAAAGAAAGAAGAAAAGAGGCGGAGAUGGGAGAUUUACAUGGACAAGAUUAAUAAAAAGAGAAGAAAGAUAAGGGCAAUCUAGCUAGUCUCAGCCAGCUAGUAUAAUAUAUAAAAUAGAGAAAAGAAUUGAAUAUCAUAUAAGAAGUGAAUUUAUAGCCUUUGUACUUGGAUCUUGACUUGGACCUCGAAUGACUAGAUUUUGAGGAAUCGAUCUAGCUGCUUAUCCUAUAGAUAGUGUCGGCAAUCACCUCCGCUAUUUCGGCCGUUGUCGGCAUAACUGCUUCGGUAUUAUACUUACCUAAACACAGAAUUCGUGCCAUGAUUAGCAGACCCUUCUCCAAUGAUCCUGCAAAGCGUUAGCGCUAGCCAGGUCAAUAGUUCAAGUAUCAAUGAAAGUCUCUAUUUCACUUUCAAAAAGCAGCAGUCUAGCAGAGAAGAAAGAAGAAUAAAGUGUCCAAAUAAAAAAGCACACUGUUUUCCAAAAUGACUAUUGCAGCGACACCUAGCAUCUGUUUGAUGUCACGCUUUACAAGACCAAUACAAAUAAGAGUGGGACAAACCACUAUUUGUGAACAGACUCAAAAUGAAAGCCUAAGUUAACAUGUGGGCAGCUGCAUUUACCGAAGACUUCUAUUGCAUACUUAGGCAUGUAUAUAAGAAGACUUUAUGGGGUUCUGAUAUUAAAUUAAAUUUUCUUUAUACGACAACUGUAUGUGUACUCAAAAUACUUAAUAAAGACUUCCAUUGAAUACUUGGGAAAUCAUAUAUGAAGACUCCAAGAUGAUUCAGCAGAGAAGUCGGGAAUACAUUAUAUUCUCAACAUUCUAUCCUGAAAUUCUUUCAAAUAUCAUUGUGUCUCAGUUUUUGCUAAUGAGGAUUGAACACCAAGUUUCACCUCUGCAAUUAGUCGCAAUAUCAGCGAUUCAGCAUCCCGUCUGUGCAGCUUUACUUUGAAUAAUUUUAACUAAUUUAGUAGUCGAAGUGAUGGAUGAUAUCUGCAAAAGGGUGAGGUGUGCUAAAUUCAAUAAAAAUGAUGUGGAAACGGAAGCUAUUAUAAGCACUGAUGUUUUAGAAAACUUCUGAGUGUUGUUUUAAUUAAAUAAAAUAGCAUUUACAUUUUAUGAGAAAGUUUGCAUCUGUUUGAUAUUGCUUAAUGUGUUUGUAGCAAACUAAUAGCGGAUUGGUGCACAUUCUUUGAAUACUUUUUCCGUGUUCCUAUAUUUUUUGACUUUGGCUUUUUGCAAAACCAUGCGCUAUAUGCAGAUUAUAGGAGCUCAUUCACAGAUGUCGUGCGGAGCGUGGAGGAGAUGCUUGAGAAUUUAAAUACACAACAAAUUUCAACACCAUCUAGUUUCAGAUACAGAAUAGCCCUUCAGAAGCAGGUAAAGUUCCUGGCUUUUCAAGUUAUUUAAUCACCUCUGCACAGAAUUCUAUGAAUAAUCUGAUAGAAUCAAUGAAACACAAGCUUUAACACCAGCCAGUGCACCUGGUAUAGUAGUGGUAUACAGAGGCUUAGGAUAUGAAAAUAGGGACCCAGCAGAUCAAGCCUAACUAUCCAAGUCAUAUAUAAUCUUUACAUGUGACUUGCUAUACCAACAAGCUGCUCCUUAAAAAAAUUGAUACAUAUUUAACAUAAUAAGGGCUUUGCAUACUCCAUGAGAAAUACUUAAGUUUACCAGAAAGUGGAGCAAUGUUUUGCAUGAUGUAGCUCCAAGCCCAACUAAAGUGAUACCCAGAGAGCACUAACCAAUGGCCGAAUAAUACAUACUUCUUGCCUUUCAAUAUAUAUGUGAUUAUAGGGCGCAACAUAAACAACGAUUAGAAAAAGCAAUGUUAGUAGUGUGCUAACAAUGUGCAAAGAGUUUAUAUUGAAGGUGUCAUGUGAUUACAUAUUGAAUAGUUUUAGCACAAGUAAAGUCAAAACUUAAGGCAAAUAUCUGUAAUAAAAAUAAUUGAAAAGGAAUCUUGGAAAGAGGAGGAAAAUGGGAAGUAGAAGUAGAAUUACAAUGAAAAAAUGUCAUAUGUGAAGUAAACCAUCUUAAGUAAAAACCAAAUAUUGAAAGAGUACUCUCCGAACCAUCAAGGUGCAGCAUGUCACCAACUCGGGUUGUCACAGUAGGUCCCUAAAGGAUUUAUAUUUUGUUGGUGCACUUUAUGGUAGAAUCUAGACCUACAAGGCACUAAAAGUUGACAAAUUUUUUGACCUUGGGAUGCUACUAGUAGAAAGUCAAGUAAUAUGUAGACUUAAAUGUGUUUCUUGAGAAUGAAUAUUUGCACUUAAAAGACUAGCAGUGUACUGUUACUGUGGUGUUCGACCUCAUUAUAGGAUGGUUAUUUCAUAGGGUAAGUGGAGUGUACAUAAUACCACAUUGAUCUUCUGAAAUAUAAGAUUAGGUCUAAUAUCCUAUGUUCUCUGUUUGUAACUCAGUAAGCAGGUACAACAAAUUAUUAGGAUGUGCCUUAAUAUAACUUUCUAGUUGUUUUCUGUGCUUAAGGUUGUAUCUUAUAGAGGUCAGUGUGUCAUUUUUUUAUGUGAUUCCAGUUCUAAUUGUAUCUUGUCAGUAUCUGUUACCCUUUUUUUCAUAUAAAUGCAUGUAAUGCAAGUCAAGUUAUACAAUCUUGUAAUAUGUAUGUUUGAUUCAAACAGUACUUGUAAGUUAAUUAUGCUAAAGAGAAGUUUCUUGGUAAAACUCCUUAAUUCUGAACAAUUGACCCAUUGGGCAAAGCAAUACAUGUGUUGAAGAAGGCAAUAUUUCAAGUUAUAUGGUCAUAUGAUUGGUCAGAGUAGCAGUAGAUCAAACCACUAAUUUUAAGUUAAAUCAAUUAAACAAGUAUAUGUCUUCUCAUCAUUAUCCUCUUUGCAUUGUUGUUUCGUAAGAAGGCAAAUAUUUUUCUUUCAUUGCUUUCAUACUGUUUAUUCCGAUUUACACUUAAAUUCAUUUGUUGGUUUUUACAGCUGACGUCAACAAUGCUUCAUUUACUAGGCCUUGCUUCAGCUACUGAUCACCAACAUGUUCAUGAGAUUUUGGUUAAAGUAAGCAUAAAUUCAUUUAUUAUAACUGUCCAAUAAUUGAUUUUCUCUUUUUCAUGAGAAUCUACAUAUGAUUUUAAGAUUCUUGAAAAUCGAAUUAAGCUGUCUUUCACAAACAUGUUCAUCCAAUGGUGUACCAUGGAUAAUACUAUUUAUGCCACUAGUUCUGUCAUUAAAGCUGUUGUUUUUCCUGUACAAGUGAAUUUGGUGUUCUGUAGAUUUCCUUGCGCUUAGUACUGAAUCAGAUGGCCAUUUGGGACAAGUCCGUUGAAAGUUCUAAAUUUUGAACCAAGUGAUAGUCAGAUGCACCUGAUUUUAGAUUUUCUACUCUAAAAUCAUCAGAUGCUCUAUUAUGAUUAAACAGUUUUCUUGCUCACUGAUUCUUAAUCUAAUUUCUCUAUAGAAAUCAUCCUUUCUUGAGGAGUGGCUUAGAGAAUUGUGCCUGUCUCUUGGGGAUACAAGCGGAAGUAAUGAGGAUGAACAUUUUUCCACUGAGAUACAAAAGAAAGAAGUGAUUCUUAAAGCAAUAAAAUCACUAGUUGAGAUUUUUGAGGCCAUGAACUAUCAUUCAGUUGCACAAAGAUUUGAGGACUUGGGUAGCACACUGUGAAGACUUCUACUCUGUCAUAAUUCCUUGUGUUAUGUCCGGUGUCCCCGCCCGUCAUCCUCAGUCAGAAAGACUUGGACUGUGCAAGUGAUAUUCUCGUGCCGGCUUAGAAUAUCAAGCCUGGAAGUUUGUCUGUCGACAUCUACCAUCACAGUUGGCUGUUGUAGGACUGGCUUAGUUUCUUAUGUAUCUUUUCUAGAUUGGUUAGUCAUAUAGUGUAGAUUUAAAGUGUUGGCAUAGGGAAAUCAAAAUAGGAAAAUGAUGUAAAUAGUUGUACUUUUUAAUGUACGAUUACCUAUUUGUAUGACAUAAUGAUAAUAUCAAUUUGUUAAAUUAGAUGAAGAAGCCUGCCAAUAUGUAAUCGCUGUGGUCCGUUUACAAAUCUGAACCGAAGAAUGAUAUAUGAGUGAAUUCUUCAUUAUGUAUAUUUUUGCAAUUUGAGAUGUUUACCAUUUUACAUAAUUUCGGCACGGCACUGGCAAUCUGGCAUCAUGUCCAGAUAAAGCUCCCUUGUACGCGUGUACAGUUUAUUAUACGAGGAUCCAUCGUAGCACGGGGUAGCAGACUAGCAGCAUUAUUCUUAUGGUUGGUUUUAUGACGCUAUGUUAGAAAUAAAACAAUCAGCAAAUCAAAUAUUUCCCAGGUAGAGUGGAAGCAAAUCAACCAGGAACUUUGUAAAAAUAACUCUGUAAAGAUAUUGUCCCAUCCAUUAAUGGGCGCUUUCAUUAAUUCCCUUUCAAUUGUUUAUCUUUCAAAUUUUUUAAAAAUAAUAAACUUUCAUAAAAAGAAGAAAAAAAAUCCACAUUUACGGGUCUAUCAAUUAAGUUAAUUUUAAUGAGUCUGGCUACUUAUUCAUUCGUUUCCACAUUUUUCACACAAAUUUAUCAUUUUUGUUUCACAUUAUUUUAUAGACCUUUCGUAAUAUUCAUAAUCCAUGCCUACUUACAAUUUUAAUAAUUGGAAGGUACACCUUGCGUAACAUUCAUAAUACACGUCCAAUUAUAAUGUAAUAAUUGGAUGGGAAGAAAAGAGUCAUAAGUUCGUGUCACUUAAACUUUAGGGAAAUCUACAAAACUACCUACCUUUUCUUUUAUUGUUUUCAAAAAUACUACCUUCCAGAAUUCUUUUUAAAAAUACCUUUUCAUAAAAUCUUUUUUUCAAAAAUACUGUUUGCAACUUUUGCAACCUCAUCUGCAACUCCAGGCGGCGCCAGCCGUGUUGCAACCUCUUUUGCAACUUCAUAUGCAACCGAAUUCCUGAUUUCAAGUUCCAGUUUUCAAAUGUCGUUUUCGACCUCAUUUUCGGAAUCGAUAUAUAUAUGCAUAUGGUUGUAUUCAGUUGCAUAUGGUUGCAUUCAGUUGAUUCUAUUGUAAUCUAACGGCUCCGCCAGGGGCACACCAUACAUCUGUUGUUACUUACAGUUUUCAGUUGCAUUUAGUUGCAACUGAGGUUGCAAAUGAAGUUGCAACCGCGGUUGCAAAAGUUACAACUGCGGUUGCAAAAGUUGCAACUGCCGUUGCAACUUCAUUUGCAACCUCAUUUGCAACUUUUGCAACCUCAUUUGCAACUUUUGCAACCUCAUUUCCAUUUUUAUUUGCAACUUUUGCAACCUCAUUUGCAACUUUUACGGCUGCGCCGCCCAAGGUUGCAAAUGAGGUUGCAAAGGUUGCAAAUCGUAUUUUUGAAAAAAAAUUUUUAUGAAAAGGUAUUUUUAAAAACAAUGAAAAAGAUGGUAGUAUUUUUAAAAAAAUAAUUUUACAGAUGGGUAUUUUUAAAAAGAUCCCUAAACUUUAUCGAUUAUAAAAAAGUUGAAUACUUGUUUCUGAGUUGAAUAUUUGAUAUUCAAAAAAAAUAAUAAAUAGGUCAUAUUAAGUCAUUUUAAGAUGCAGAGUAAAAAAAUUCAUAUAUUUAUAUUCAUAUAUUCCCCUAUACUUGUAUAGUUGUAUUACCUUUUAUUUUCUUUUUUUUAAUAAAACGUGUUUGACAAAUGAAAUUACUGGAAAACAUGAAGUAUGUAAUGAAGUAAUAUGGUGUAAUUAAGCAGGAGUCAGUACAUUUCGUCAAAAAAAAAAAAGCAGGAGUAAGUAACUUAACCAUAAUUAAGCUGAUGGUGGUUGUCUCACAAAAACUAACGACCGCCCAAACGCUGUCCGAAAUCCAAGCAAGCAGUUACGAAUCCAACUGAACAAUUCACAUCCAUUCAGCUUUCAUUUACAUGCACACACACACAAACACACACACACACAAACUAUUUUAUCAUAUUUCCAAGAACCAUUCAUCUCCUACUUUUUCUCUGACUCAUUCAUUUCCCCCAUCAAACAUCCAUUUCAAACUUUCCAGCUCAACUGAGAUGUUGUUCUUCUCAAACCCUAGUUAGUUACUUUGUGUGAAUACAAGGAGAUAUACAUGUUAUGAUGGCAGAUCCCUCACACAAGUUAUACACAAAGUUGAGACUUUGGGAGUUUCCUGAUCAGUAUGUGAUUGAGCCUACUGAUGGCUCUUCCGGUUCUUGUCUGGCCAUCAGUCGUGUUGAUGGUUCGAUGAAUAUGAUAGGUUUUGACUCUGGCUAGCUGCAUUUGUUGUGUUUGUGUAAAUGAAUGUGAAUGUUACAUGCUUAAUUGCUUAUCCUGUGAAUUCUUUGUUUUGUAGAGGCAAUUCCACAUUGUAGUGCCGUUCGAGUGCCUAAGAUUUUAACAAUUUUUGGAAUAGUUGGGAUGCUUAAGCUUUUGGCAGGUAAGUUCAGCAAAUUCGGCGUGUUUUUUGUUUUAAAAUAUGCAUGACUUGUUAUGCCACUUGGAUUGUUGACAUAGUGAUAUGCUUUUAUUUGUGUCUGCUGCCUCUGGCUUUGCCUUUAUUUAACAGUAACGAGCUUGACAUCGAGUGGUGGUUAAAAUGCUGCUAGCCUGUUUUUAGAAUGGUUUAGCUGUGGCAAUGUGGUGAUUUAAGAAUUCCUGAUUGAUCAUGCUUAGUAUUGUUCACAUUCAUCUCUUUCAUACUGUGAUUUAUAAGCAUUAUAUGGUGUCAGAGGUACCUGUGUCGUAAGUUUUUUUGGGUGGAUUGGGUUUUGGGCCUUGAUGAUCUAUCUCAGUUGUAAAGGUGCCUCAUGUGUAGCCUAGUUUCUAGUUGGACGAAUUGGAUCAGAUGGUUGGUGUCUACUUGUUAUGUUGGUACUGUGUUACUAUGUCAGCGUGUCAAUCUGAGUUUAGGCUGCUGUUGCUAGCUGUACAUAUUUGAUCUGUAUAUGCUGCCUAUGUUAAAUAAGUCCUGUCUUCUCUCUUAUUCCAUAUAAUUGGGGUUUAUAGACCCUAUAGAAAAACACAUUGCAUUUGCUGCUACUUGGACAUGAUGCAGAUGAAAGGCCACAUCUUGAUCAAAUUUUAAUACCCCGAACUAGAAAAAGAUAAAGUCUUCAACUACUGAGCAAAGGACUCAAAAGAAUCUGGAUCAUGUUACAGAACUUUAUUGACAUGCUUGUAAAAGGCGCCAUUGUAUAUGAUAAGACAGGAAACCUCGUGUAAUCUUAAAAGCAACGAGUUUAACAUUAGAUAACUGUUUUUUUUUCUAAACAGAGAAAUAAAGAAUCAAAAGAUUUGAGAGACUAAUGACAUAAAAAAAUAAAAAUCAUGGACCCUUAUCUUAGUUGGAAUUUAUUCUAUUUAGGUUCUAUUUAUGACAUUUCUAAAGAACUAUCAUAUAGACUUUCAUAGGUAGUUUUGUUCAAUAUGACUUUCUCUAUUUUCCAUCAUGCCCCGCCCCUUUUCUAUUCGUAUUCCAUUUUAUAUUAACGUCGAUGUUGCCACACCUUCUCUGCUGUUGCAGGAUCAUAUUUGAUAGUUAUUACGCAACGGGAAUGUGUGGGGACUUACUUAGGGCAUCCUUUUUAUAAAGUUACUUCUCUAAAAAUAUUUCCCUGUGACCAUUCUCUCAAGAAUACCCCUACAGAACAGGUAGAUCUUUUGAAGUAGUAGUUAAAUUUCCCUAUAAGAAAGUCAUUUAUAAUGAUUACAUAUGUAUACUAAUCUUUGUCGGAUACACUUUUAUGGUAAAUAUAUACUUAUUUUUACAGAAAAAGAUGGAGACAGAGUUUUCUGCCCUACUAAAUGUUGCAGAGAAGACUCCUGGUCUGUAUUUCUCGUAUGAUGUCAACAUAACCUUGAGGUGAUUAUUAUCUAUUCAUUGAUCAAGUACUUGAUAUGAUUUAGCUCGUUUCUUGGCUGCUAACUUAUAUUAGUUGAGCGUGCUGUUUAUUGGAGGUCAGUCUAGAUGUAGUAUAAUGUGCCAUACCAUUUCAGGUAGUCUUGUAUGAUUCAACAGAUAUAUAGCAAAACAAACCAGAGAGACCAACAAGUAACUAAAUUAAACCGAUGGGGUUGUGACCCCCUCCCUAAACCGCUUAAUACAAUUUUAGUUACUAAGUCUAUAUAAAAUUGAAGCUCCUCGUAAAUCAAACUCACUCUCCCCCUCGCUCUCUUCUCUCUCCUCUCCUCUCCCUCUCCCUCACUUCUCUCACCCCCUCUCAUCCCUCACUUCUCUCUCCCCCUCUCCCUCUCUCUCCCCUUUUUGUUUUAGGGACCAUAAGAGCAACUCCAAGGGAACAUCUCCCUUACCUAUAAUGAGUCUAUGUGGACAAAAAUAGGGGUUUAAGUAAAAAAUGCUCACUCCAACCCUCCUCUCCUUACCUAAAUUUUUUAGGUGAGAGAAAACAAAACCCCUUCUUUAGGGGAGAGAAAAGUAAGCCCCUAUUUCUUCCACCUCAUCUCCCUCGCUCAUUUUCUUUCAUUUUUCAUUUUCCCUCCUUUUUUUUAUCUCCCCAUCAUGGUAGAAGUACUAAUAAAAUAUUAUUUUUUUUCAAAUAUAGGGAUGAUUAUAGGGAAUACCAUUGGAGUAAAACAACAUUUUGGUUACUUAUAUUUUAGGUAAUCAUUAAUUUAUUAUAUUUUAGGGGUUCAAAAUAGGUAACACCAUUGGGGUUGCUCUAAAUCUUCAAUUUGAUUAAUAAAAUCUUAAAAAGUUUCUUCAUCACACACUAAAUUGGUUCGAUAUAUAACAAUAGUAAAUUGCCUUUGGUCAUUGAUGCAAUUGUCGUAUAGUUUAGUGGGGAGUUGUGUAUAUUGUGUGGUCAUUGAAACAACAUUUACUAUCCUUUUAAGGCAUCUAAUACAUAUAUCUAUACCAUAUUUUUAGUAUACUAUAUUAUUAAAGCCGAAAUAUUAAAAAUUUUCGUCGGUCGGUCGGCAUUUGGGCUCGCUUGCGAGUCUUUUUAUUUAUAACAUGUUUUAACGGGUUUUUUGAUAAUAACCAAGGAACAUUUAAACAUCCUCUCUAAAGCAUAUCUCGCGGGCCUAUUAAUAUACAAGUCUCUUGACGACCUUAAUUAUUUCUCCCUCAGUCCUUUUUAGUUGUCCACUCUUGACUUUCAAUGGUCAAAUUAACCAUUUUAUUAUCAAAGAUUUAGGCCAAUUCUUUUAUUAUUUUAAAAAAAUUGAAAAUUUCAUUUGAAAAUAAAUUAAGUUUAAUCAUACUUUGGUCAAUUUGACCAUUAAAAGUCAAAACUGGACAACUAAAAAGGGACGGAGGGAGUAGAAACUUAUUUAACAUACCUAAGAAAAAAUUAUCAACCCAAACUCGCCUAGUUAUUAUUUAAAAAAAAACCUAUUUUAAUUGAAAGACACAUGUUAUUCUACUAUAAAUGUAUUCUCAAUAAAAAAAUAAAAUAUUAAAUAUAUAUAAUAAAAGAACAAAUAUUAUAAGUCCCUCGUACAUUGCACGGGUUAUAAGCUAGUAUGUAUUAAAUAAGAAAACAUGCUCAUAAUGAUUUUUAUCCUUAAAAUUUGUAAGGAACUUCAUUUGGGCAGUUGGGUGCAAAUUUCUUGGCUUCAUGUGAAGUUAGUGGUUGUAAUUUCAAGUGAUUAACAUCUUCCAUUUCGUUAUCACUAUUAUUUUAUCUUAAAAUUUGAUCCCGCUAAGGCCAGAUCUCUAAUGUCUUAACCUUCAAUUUUACAUUUCUAGAGUUAACUUUGCUUGGACUUACCUUCUUGUGUAUUUCCAUUUGUAAUGUUAUAUUACAUUGGAAAAUUUGUGCAUGGCCUUUGUGUGGGUGGAAUGUCGUCCUUCUAAUUGCUCUUAUGAUUCUUCCAACUCUUUCAACUCGCCUUUCUGUUAGGAUUGAGCGAGUUUUGAGUUACAUGCCUAAAGUUAAUUUACCUAAAGAAAAAACUCUUUUGUUAGUUUAGAGAAAUUUUCUAAAUAAGAUUCGCGAGACAUUACUCACAAACAUUUCAACCAACAUUUUGGAACUAAUGGUUGAAUCAUUCUGCCUAAACUCACUCAGCCCCAUUAAUUGUUACUAAAUGGAUUGUGUCUUUGCAGCAUGGGUGUCGCUUUUAUCAGCUAUAGUCCCUUUUUCUUUUUUCGUCCCCUAGUUUAAAAAUCUGGUGAUAUGACUCUGUAUCUAAUUGUGAAAUACUUGUUAUGGUGUAUUUUAAUAAAAGAUAUGAUGAUUGUAUAUCAUGUUUUAGAUGCCUUAUACUUGUAUUUUGUAGUUCACAACGAUUGCAUGAGUUAGGCGAUGAUACCAAAGUGCUGCCUCUGUGGAGACAGGUGCCCUCUCCUUUUUAUUUUUUAGGAUAUAAUAUGGAUUAAUAACUCCAAAUAAAUCUCCUUAACUUCCCUUUAGAGUAUAAUUGUAUGCAUUUUACAUCUUUAUAAUUCGACAUUUACGAAUUUUGAAAAACAUCGAUAUAUUUUUGCCUCAGGCAGAGCCUCGAUUUUUGUGGAACAACUUUAUGUUGGAAGUGCUCAUAGAUCAUAAGGUCUGCUUGCUAGCACUUAAUAUUCAUUUUUGUUAUUCAGAUUUUUCAAAAUUUAUUUUUGGCCACUUGACCAUGUUAUCUUGGUUCUGCAGCUUGAUCCAUUUCUACUUCCUUUGGUCCAAGGGAGUAUCCUGAUAAUUAGCAAAUACACAUAACUCUUAUCUCUAUUAUGUUUUACUCACAGACUUAUAUUGUCCUCAAUUUUGCUCAAUGAUACCUUAACAAGUAAUCAGGUUUUCAAAGCUUUCAAGCUGCAAUUGGGAAAGAUAUUAUUGAUGUUACUCUCAUUGCUAGGAGGUGUACUCGAAGAAAUGGUAAUACCCUAUUACUUGUCUACUCCACUAGAAACCUCCUUGAUAUUAAUUUAGAAACUAGAGUAAAAUAAAUUAUAAAUCACAUCGAAAUAUAGCACAUAUGGUAUGUAUUGAUUGUUGGGAAAUGAUGAAAAAUACAGUAGAGUCAGAUUUCCAAAAAAACUCACCGAUUAAAAUCAAACUAGAAACAGACGGGAUUAUAUGGGAUCAUGUGUGGGAAGGUGUAUUUUGAUUGUGUGUGGUUAGUUAUAGGGGCCAUUAGAUUAGACUCAUCUUGGGCUUAGAUUGGUUUCUAGAUUCUAUUUUAACUUUGGUUUCUAUUUCAUCAUUUGCACACACAUACAUAUAUAUAGGCUAGCGAUCAAAUACAAACCACUAAAUACAAACUUUACAUACAAACCAAGAGAAACUAACCUAAUAUGACAUCAGCCAACCGCUAGAUGCCAUCACCCACCUGCUAUAUGCCAUCACACACCUGCUAGAUGACAUCAUCUACCAGGACCCACACCCGAUCCCACUCAAUCUACCCCAGGUUCAAGACAUGCUCAAGAGCCAACACUUAACCCCACCCCUGCCCACCUAGGCCUUGCGUAGGCCCAACUCGGAGCCCACAAACCUUCCCAUUCUCUUAAAAAUAGUGGUUUCUAUUUAUACUAGCAUAAGACUCUCUCUAUGAAAUAUAUACAGUUUUCUAUAUUGUUCCGUUAGUUAUUUUUGUUUCACAUUUUUUUUCUACUAUAAAGUUGUGCAUAAUUCAAUUUUUCGUCAGUCCUACAAAAUAAGAACUUUUUUAUUACACUUAACGUUGCAUGUACCAAGUGAUACUAGCUUAUAUCCCAUGUGAUGUACCGGUUAUUUUAAAUAUUGGUUAUUUCAUUUGAAUUUUUUUUUUAAUUGGAAUGGGUUGUUAAAAUAAAUAUACCCAUAAAUAUAGAUUAUUAAUCUAAGUAGGACAUGACACCUCCAAUAUUAGUCAAGUACCCUUCCGUCCCAAUUUAUUUGACUUGGCUGACUUUUUUUAAGUCAAAUUGACAAAACUUGUUAAAAAUAGGUAAGUUCAUAUUUAUAUAUAGUUCCCCUUCCCGGUGAACCAUGGAAUUGAUUCCUCACCCCCUUUUUCUCCCCAGCACUAUAGAACUUAUGUACCCUAUGCGAAAAAACAAACAAAAAAGAGGUCAAGGUGUUCUGAAGUUUCUCAGUUUACUUAAAAUGAUUUAUAGAUACUGGUGGGGAUUACCCCAAUGUCACUGAUAUGAUUUUGGACAACUGUUGUCAUUGACCAUUUAAGACUAUGGCAAAUAGAUACUUAUUUGUGCUUAAAAAUUUAUUGUCAUAUAAGGCCAUUAUGGAAGUAUGAAAUAUUUAUCAAUUGCUCUGUACCCAAUACUAACUAACAGCACAUCCAAUUUUACUAAAAAGAUAUUCCCUGAGUAAUAAUAUACUGUGUUUAUCUUUAUUGUUCAUAAUUGUGUUUUCAGUGAUCUAACCAUUGACAUAGCGGAUAGCAAGUAGGCAAUUAACCUGUUAGCAUUGUUGUCUGUCUCAGUUUUCCUCUCUGUCUUCCUCAUGUUAUGUUUAUUUGUAAAGGAACUCGGAUGUGGAGAAGAGGGGCUGAUGCCGACGGGUACGUUGCUAAUUAUGUCGAGUCUGAGCAAAUUAUAAAGUUGAAUGGAUAUAGAGCGUCUUUUGUUCAGGUAACACUAUAUUUCUCUUCCAGUCUGCAUCUCAGAGGCCAAUGCAUUAUUUGUCUAAAAUGAUAAUGCUCAUUUAAAUGUAAGAUCUUUCACAAGAUGUAACAUUACAAAUCGUAGCCAUAAGAACACCAUAUCGCUGUUUUGAAGAAUUCAAAAGGUUACAUGCAUUAAGAUCUGAGAUUGUUAUAUACAGGCUCCCUCAUGUGUAAUAUCUUAGGUGUUGGUCUUGGUAAUCAUUCGAGCACAAGAACUACACUCCUAAACUUUUCCUAAUAUUAAAGAACUUUAUAUAACUAAAGAUACUCUUGUCUUUUUCUUAAUAAAGCAUAAAGCAUUAUGUCGGUAGUUUUCUUGGUAAAUAUCUGUCUGACGCAUUCCAUCAUUAUCUGUCAUAACUCUCUUUGAUCAACCAAGUCGUGCACUACUAUUAUUAAUUUUAUUUGUAUUUGUGUGUUAGUUAGUUAUUGUAUGGAGGUCUAAAAUAAGGUGUUGGUAAAAGAAAUUGACUUUUGGGUCUCAGGCAUAUUAAAAUUUCAGGAAGAACCUUCAAGCAAAAAUGUUGUCACUUUAAACAAUAAUUAUCUGCAGUAGUUGUAAGUAAUAGACAUGCAUGUUAUAUCCCAGAGCACAUAUGCUAUUUAUCCAUAGUGCAAAAAUUAUAUUUUGUCACAUUGGAAGUUGUUUUACCUAGGACUAUAUUGACAUUACUCUGUGUAAUUGUAUGUUUUAUUUCGAUUUAAAUUAUUCCUGUGAUUCCUGUGAUUGAGCACGGUUGGAUAGCUCAGUGGUUAAGAGCUUAUCCUCUGUCGUCCCAGGUCCUGGGUUCGACCCUGGCUCACCUCGAGAAUAUCUUAGAACAGAUACUCAUUUGUAAGGCUAUAAGCCAUAUUUGUCAAAAAAAAAAAAUUAUUCCUGUGAUUUAGGUCUGACUAUAUUUUGAUAAAAAGUUGUGGAUGUCUUUUUGCAGGUUCGAGGCUCAAUGCCUUUUCUUUGGGAUCAGAUUGUUGAUCUAACGUACAAACCAAAGUUUGAGAUCGUGAAGCAUGAGGAAGCAGUGAGUAGCAUUAUAAUCUUCCCCUAGAUAUAUACCAAUUUAUUAAUGUAUCGCCCUCUCAUAUUUUCUUAUGGUCGAGUCUUCUGCAGCCUCGAGUUGCCGAAAGGCAUUUUUUGGAUAUGAGGAAAAAAUACGGGAAUGUGAUAGCUGUUGAUCUUGUCAACAAGGUAGACCAGUAUGCAGAAAACUAUAUAUUUGUGUGUGUGUGGUGUGUGUGAACCUGAGGGUGGCUGAAUCAUGUAUGAAUGUGGAAACAUAAUUAAACAUUGUUUUCCACUCAUGCACCUGGUAAGUGGUGCAUUCACAGAAUCACAUGGAUGAAUAGGCUGAAUCCAUUAUCAUUCCUCUGGUUAUUAAUAAGAACAUACAGUGAAUGCAUACUCUUUAUAACUUUCAUAACUCAUAAGCUUACUGAUAAGGGAGAUGUAUUCUUAUACAGCAUGGCGGGGAGGGACGGUUAAGUGCAAAGUACGCUGAUGUAAUGCAGCAUGUUUCUGGUGACGACGUCAGGUACUUUCUCAUUAAUGGACACAAUUUUCUAUUGCACAGUUCGUUCACCUAUAUUUAUUACUCCCUCCAUCCCGUUUUCUUGUCCAUCUAUCAAAAUCCACCUUUUCUUCAGUUAUAACAGCUAAGCUUCAUGUUACCAAGAAUAUCUACUAUUUAUCAAAAAAAUAAAACAUUCAACAUGUAAUUUCCCAUUAUAAUAAUGUGAACCAUUUUUUGGGAUAAAGAAAUAAGGAAACGAGGACAUUAUAAACAGGACGGAGAUUUUGAAUCGUUGACCUAGUAAGUCUGUUAACCUAUUUGCAGGUACCUGCACUUUGAUUUCCAUCAGAUUUGUGGACAUAUCCAUUUUGAGCGGCUUUCCGUCCUAUAUGAUCAAAUUGAGGAUUUUCUUGUUAAAAAUAGGUAAGCUCAUUUUUAUAUAUGGUACCCCUUCCCAGUGAUCCAUGGAAUUGAUUCCUCACCCCCUUUUCUCCCCAGUACUAUAGAACUUAUGUACCUUAUGCGAAAAAACAAACACAAAGAGGUCAAGGUGUUUUGAAGUUUCUCAGUUUAUUUAAAAUGAUUUAGAGAUACUGGUGGGGAUUACCCCAAUGUCACUGAUAUGAUUUUGGACAACUGGUGUCAUUGACCAUUUAAGACUAUGGCAAAUAGAGUUACUUUUGUACUUGAAAAUUUUAUUGUCAUAGAAGGCCAUUAUGGAUUUGUGAAAUAUUUAUCAAUUGCUCUGUACCUGAAACUAACUAAUAGCACAUCCAGAUUUACUAGAAUGAUAUUCCCUGAGUAAUAAUAUACUGUGUUUACAUCUUGAGUAUUUGCACGUGUUCCGCAUAGGGCACGUUAAACAUUACUGUACAUGUUGGGAUGUAUUAUUUGCAGUUCUUGUGAUGUUAAGGUUUAUAUUGUUGGUUGAAAUUUGUAGGACAGUAGUAGCCUCGACCAAGUAUCAGUUUCAUAUUUCAUGAUAGAAAUUGUACAUCCCAGGUCUAUUAAUUUUGUGAGGCAUUGGAUAUAGCAUUUGCAGGGCAGGGUAAGUACUUAAUGAUCAUUUUUAUGUGUGUAUUAAAAGAGCUUUGCUUGCACCCCUGAAGAAGUCAGUUGCAGGCCUGAUAAUCUUGUUUAGAAGCUGAUGCUAGUCUGGAUAGAUGCCUUUGUUUUUUAUCAACACAAAAGAUACUUAAGUACUCCGUAGAAGAUAUUUCCAGACAACACUUUAAUUUAUAAUUCUAGAUCUAUUCUUGCUUAUGUCAUUACCUUGCAGAUAUAUAAUACCAUAUAUAUAUAAUAUGAAGAGUAUAUUCUUGUUAUUGGUGAACAAUCAAUUUUAAGAUUGUGAUCAACAUAUUAUCGAUCCGCUAGAGAUCCUUUAACCAAAACUAUGCUCAAUCAUGUUUAAUUCUGUACUACUAUCUCUGUUUCAGUCUGUUUGAUACAGCCAUUGAAAAAGUGACAUACAAAGUUGUGAGUAGAACCUAGAGGUGGCCCUCUCUUCCGCAGAAUGAGGGUCUUAAAAAACUCCGUAUUCUCAAGGCAGAAAAAUCUAUAAUAUAUAAUAUCAUACUAUUUUGUAGUAGGCUAAUGCAUUUUGUAUCUUUAAAUAAAAAGAACUAGUUAACUCUCCCAGGCUACUAUUUUGAUGUGAAGCUGUUCUGAUUUGUGGAUUAAAGGCCAAGUUAAUAUUUUGAACUUUGAAGUGAAGCUGCUCUGAUUAAAUUUAAAAAAUAAAAGGAAUGCCUGAGAGCAUCUCUUUUGUGUAUUGCUAUGUACUUUGCAAAAUUAUGAGAUGAAAUUUGUUUAAGAUGUGCCCUGGAAAUCUUCUGCCUUCCAAUGAUUAUAUCCGAAUUCUCUUAUUUAUUUCUUCCCUUCAUAAUCCAUUGUUAGGUACCAUUUGUUGAAUGAUAAAGGAGAGAUUGUUGAGGUACAGAGUGGAAUUGUGAGAACCAACUGUGUUGAUUGCUUAGACCGGACAAACGUAACACAGGUAUUCUCUGCCUUAUUUUGGUGAUGUUAUUGUGUAAGAGUGUGUGAUAUAUACUAGCAUAAUAGCAUAAUAAUUCAGUAUUGGUAUGGUGUUUAAUGCCUGUUGAUAUGUCUAUUACUUGAUUGUCAAUGCAGUAUGUAGCUGAGAGUUUUUUGUUAUUGUUCUACUUGCUCCUUAUGCCGCUUCAGAGUUUUAACAAAAUCUAUAUGGAUGUAGAUAUAUUUUAACACAUCUUUACUAAAAAGCAACUUAAUCUGAAUGUCAAAAUUAUUACUUAUUUCAUUCAUAGAUUGCAUGUAUAUCAUUCUCAAAGAUGAAGUUGAUUAAUGUCAUAUGGGCCUUUGGAGUUUGAGGUGGUGAUAAGAGGAAUUUUUCAGUACUUCCGUUAUAUACACAUGCAAUUGAGAGGUUUCAAGUCAGUAAUAGUUUGCAGAGUUUUUAGAUAUAUCUGCAGAAAACAUGGAAACAUGGUAUUAGGUUACUACAUGCAUUAGAGGUUUUUAUGUCCUUAUCACGGACUAAUAUUUACAUUUCCUCUUUAUGUAUUAGUUAUUGUUUUCUAUAUCUAUUCACUUGGUCCUCUAUGCCACUUCCUUUAUUCAUAUUUUUUUCAAUUUCCUUGCCCCAAAGCCAAUGUUGGGCGAGCAAGAGACAUAAGAUGAAAAAGGAGUUCAUUUUCAUUGUUCGAUAAAAUUUGAGGAAUAUUUAUGGCAUCUAUGUGCCCUUUGAUAAUCUUGAGAUUUAUUUCAGAGCAUGAUUGGUCGAAAGAUGUUGGAGUUUCAGCUUAGAAGGCUUGGUGUCUUUGACGCUGCAGAGACUAUUAGUUCAUAUCCAAAUUUUGAUGAUAAUUAUAAGAUAUGUGAGUUCUAUCUCCCUUCAUCUACACAUAUUUUUACCAAAAUGCAGUUUAAUACUUCUCAGAUAAAUCUAUAUAUUAAUUAGCUCUGUCCCGCACUAUGUAUAUUCCUAGUAUGGGCUAAUCAUGGGGAUGACAUAAGCAUUCAGUACUCUGGUACUCCAGCUUUGAAAGGAGACUUUGUCAGGUAUAUUCAGAUUGUUUUCAGUCUAUGUAUGUCCAUGUGUAUAAAGAAUUUUUGUGCUUAAUCUAGCAGGUCACAGUAAAUCAAAAACUUAUUAGAUAAUUGUUAAAAAUUGCAAGAUUCUUUAUUGUAUAUUACUGUUCCUUCCUCAAAUGAGUUGUCAAACAGCAUGCUGAGCCUGUCAUAACUCGUAUAUAUGAAUAUAAAAAUUCAGAUAUCUAUACCAAUUGAAAAUAACAAAGUAAAAUGCAAUACUAUUAGUCUGUUAGUUAACUAACAACUGUAACGGAAAAUGUCUCCCCAAGUACAUAUAAAUAUAUCUGAAUGUGCUCGUGUUGAUUUGAAAAAGAAGAGUGUAACUGUCAGCUGCAUAUGGGACCUCAAUUGGGUGGUUAUGAGAAAAAAGUCCUGAUGAUCAUUGUUAGGACUUAGGCCUACUACUUGCACAUACUGUAUAUUAUAAUAAGAGAGCAGCCAAUUAUCGAAUCUCAGUUGUCCAUUCCAAAGUCAACCUACAUUCCUUUCUUUGCCUUUAAACUCAUAAGAAUUGCGUUAUCGUAUUCUACUUUAGAGUGAUUAUUAGGAAGUAAAUUCAGGGUGAAAUUUUGAGGGGGCUCGAACCUGUUAGAAGAGAAAUUUGAAACUCCCAAAUCUAUUUUACGCAUCAAGUGUCUUGGGGCAGCCUUGUGGGUGCCAGAUUCUGGUUCAAUCAUGAUAGAUUCAGAAGAGAGAGAGAGAGAGAGAGAGAGAGAGAGUGAGAGAGAGAUGAUGAUGAUGAGUUGCUAAAGUAAAUAACUGAUGUACAUUGCUAACUGAAUUAGAAGAGAUUUAAAGAACGAUUCUGCUCUUAGUAUGCAUCCUUUUAUUAAAUAUAAAGAUUUCUAUCUAAAUCACAUUGAUACUCUUUCNNNNUUUCCCUCCAAUGUAACAAGUAAUAUUUUUCCUGGAAUUGUUUUGUUGAUUCUUAGAUGUGGCCGGCGUACAUUUCAAGGUAUUGUGCAAGACGGAUUUAAUGCCCUCAUGCGCUAUUACCUAAACAACUUUUGUGAUGGUACAAAACAGGUUAGUGUAUUUCCUGACAAAAAAAAACAGGUUAGUGUAUUCUUUACAUCUAUUCAUGUCAUCAAUAUAAAUGUGGCCAGUAAAAUUGUCUUCCAGCUGUUGUACUUCUUGAAAUUAGUCUUGCCAUGUAGCAACAGAAUACUUUUGUUUUAGGCCCUUUUCGAAAUGCAGCGUUUGUUGAUUCUAAGCAAGUUUACCUAUAAACUAUAUCUGGUGUGCAUUUGUAAAAAUAGAAUUGGAUAAUUCCUCUCACCUGUUUGUGUUGCAUGAAUUAUACUGAAAAUGAUGUCAUUAUUUAACAAAGAUAUUCCUCACUACCCUGAUGAUAACCAUAUCCUAAUUUAUCAUGGUGUUAUAAAAAGAAGUCAUUUUUCAUUCAGUUAGUUACUUAUUUCAUCAGUUCCUCAGUCCUGAAGAUAUCUUCAUGUGUAAAUGUGAAGGAUGCAAUUGAUCUACUACAAGGACACUAUAUUGUUUCGGUCGGCCGAGAAACGAUACCAGCAUCUCAUAAAGGAGGCAUCGAGUCUAUAGCUGUGAGUAUAAUGUAGAAAUGUAUUAUAUUAUUACUGUGAUUUUUGGUUUUCCACUGUUGCAUAAGAUGUGUUUCAGCAGUAUUUUCAAAACUACAUAACUUUUUUCCCUUGUCAAGGCCUUUAGUCCAUGUUAGCUGGCCGUAUGAUCACGGAAGUAAAAAAAGAUUCUUUUGAGUUCCUGAAUUCCAAAUUCUAUUGUUCUGAACUUAUUGUGACAUGAAACAUAGGAUUUACUAAAAAUUCACCACUUCCAAAUGUUUAGAAUUUCACAGUUAUUGUAUGACAGACAUCAGCUCAUGAACAUCUCACUAAUAAAAAUAAAGGUAAGAAGAUUUCAAGAGGAAGUUGAGAUGUUAUAUACUUUAUAAUUUAAUGAUAAUUUAUUGAUGGUGACGAAUAUUAUAUCUUUUCAUAAACAUCAAACGAAUCCAAUCAUACAUUGUAUGUAUUUAUUUAAUUGGAUACAAGUCUUUCUUCCUACUAAUAAAAUCCGGCAUACUUUAAGACAUUACUGUGUCCCUGAUCUCCUUCCUCUGGGGAUAGUAAAUGGUGAAUCUUGACUUGGAGUAUUUUUAGUAUUUGCCACAGGCAGACAGAUUACACUAAAUUAAAAUUCAUAUAAAAAAAAAGAUUAUUGUACCUGACCACCAAAUGUGUAGAGGUAUAUAUAUAUAUAUAGGCUCCAAAGUUUUAGCUUACUAAAACAACGUUUUCAUCCAGAUAAAUUUAUGUACGAUCAUGGCUAUGAUAUUCCUGCAGAUUUUGAUGUCUAUGCAUAUCAAGUUUGAAUGAUGCUGCAAUAAUUUAUACCACAAGCAUAGAAGCCUAUAUGUAGAAGAUAUAUGUUAUUUUCUAAAAGAUAUUCAUAUUUUUUCGAUUGUAGUCAUUUCGGCUGGCCUUGUCCCUCGUGCUGAUUGGGUUAUUUUUUGCAAUGAUGUCUUUGAGGCGAGGUAAGAUAUCAAUUUUAAUUUUCAUGUCACUCUUAUAAUAAUUUCUGUGGUUUUGUCACACAGUUGACAUUUUUGAUGGUGUUUCCUAGAACAAUAUCACAAAAUAAACUGGAAUUUUAAGAUUUUUAAAGUCUACAAACAUAUAAAUAAAGGAACUAUCAUGAUUUUUAACAUCUUUCAAACGACUAUAUACCUUGAAAAAAGAGGGAGAUCUUGGCAAAAAUACCUCUUUACUUGUAUGGAACAGGGUGAAGUAGUAUAGAGUAGUUGAGAGGUCUGUGUGCAACUCUUCUCAGAAGGAUAUGUAGUUUAUAUAUUGUUUGGUUCAGUUUUUUUAGUCUAUUUUUAAUUGAAAAAAAUAUGCUCUGCUAGCUCCAACUUAAUAAAUGUAAGCCUAAAAAUCACACAGGAGUGGAGCUCGGUCAACAUAGUGUACCGAUAGUAGGACUAACAAUUUUGUGUUACUAUGCUGUUGGUAUGUGCAUUUUCUUAAAUCAAUGCUACAAAUCAUUUGUUCAUAUCAAUAACUGUAUGUUUUACCAUUACUAUGAGCAAUCUGCUGUGGUAUUUAACAAAUCUAAAUUAUGAUUAGAGGAGGGUUCAAAUCCCUACUGAUACUUGUUUUCCUGCAGUCCGAUAUGAUCUUUGGCAAUUAGUCUUUUCGAUUAUGUGGGCAAGCAUGAGUCUGGCAAUAGCAGCAUUUGUGAAGACCCAUGGCCGUCUUUUUUGUAACCGCCCCAGUCUGCAUAAGCCUCCACGCUAGUAUUAGCACAGGCUGUUUCAUUUACUCUGAAUAUCAGACGGAAUUGUAAGCUUUGGUGGUCAAUAUCUUGUCCAUUUGAAGUAUUAGUUAUAGGUUCUAGUUUCCAUUUCUUAUCAAAUGUCUGAUGAAUCGAAACACAUUUAUUAUCCGUCCCUCUAAAGGAUGCUACAUCAUUUGUAUGUUCAUUUUCCUGUUGAAAAGUAUCGAAGUGUAAAUGAAUAGUUGUUUUUAUCAAUUUUGAACUCCAGUUUGCAUCUGGAUAUGGAUUUUUUUUGUCAAGCAUGCAUUUUACGACAUUGUUAAUCUGUUGUCAUCUUCUUCGGAAUGGUCUAUUGGAAAUUCUCCGAAGUGUCAUGAUAAAUUUCCAAGUAACUUGGUAAUGUGCAGUCAUCAACUUCAUUCUCAUCAGACUGCUGCUAUGUAUUUCAAGAAAUAGUAUUGACAAUAGUGGUAUAAAAAUGACAGCUUGAUAGUUGCAAUUACAAACUGGGGACCAAAGAAUGAUAACACUAACUACUGUAACAUUACAACAAAUAACUAGAAGAGGUGAUGAGUUAAGCCCACUAUAUGCUCUCUCAAUUAAAAAGAUUUUAACUGCUCUUAUCACUUCGUCGAUAUGGACAGAUGAUAACAGGCUGACGAUGAUGAUAACGAUUCUGAUGUGUUGAAAAAUGAAUAGAGCUGCUUUAGUGCUCCUAUUGUCUUACUGUCAUUGAAUUUACCUGUUCCAAAACCUCCACAACUUCUUUCAUGGAGGGUCGAUUUCUGGGUUCAAUUGCCAAGCAUUGUAGUGUCAGCUGAGCAGCUUGUACUGCUGCUUUUGUUGAAUACUGUCCUUGUAUCCGUGCAUCCAUCAUGGUUUUCAGCUUCCUUUUAUGCAAGAGACGGGGCUUCGCCCAAUCUAUUAAAUUAUGCUGGCUGCUCGGACGUUUCAUAUCAACUACUCGUAAGCCUGUCAACAUCUCAAGAAGCACAACUCCAAAUCCAUAGACAUUGCUCUUCACAUAUAAAUGACCUGUUGAUCAUUGUAUAAUGAAUCAGUGAACUAAUGAUUGUAUCAAAAACUAUUAAGAAUGUGCAAGUUCUUUCCAUGUUUUCGUUUGGUUAGCUUCAGCAUUCUGCAAACGGUUAAUACAGGCAGACUACUAAUAGCACUCACCUGUUGCUACAUAUUCAGGAGCAGCAUAACCAUAUGUUCCCAUGAUUCGAGUUGUGACAUGUGAAUCUCCACCCGACGGACCCGAUUUCGCCAAGCCAAAGUCUGAUAUCUUUGGAUUAUAGUCCUUCAUAAAAUAAACUGAAAUUCUUUCAGAAUUGCUCACAAGCUCAUAAAAAAUAUAUUUGUAAAGCUAAAGUUGAAACCACACAAGAUGGGCACAAUGAGAACAUCUAACAAACUGAUUUCUUAAAGUACACAAUUCUCGUCCUUAGAAAUUAUCACAAAAAUGAAAAUAAAAGAUUUUCACACUUUUAUAGUGCCUGCUACCAUCUGUUUUCAGAAACAAGCUUAAUCAUAUACUAAAGGUGUCUUUUAUAUUUCCAUUAGAGAUUAUUUCUGAUGACACAGGGUCUGUUCAAGAUUUAGUUCUGCACCUCUUGUGAAAUACAAAUGAUUUAGACUGUAGAUAUGCGCUUGUCUAGUUCAACCGAGGAUUAGUUAUUUUUUUAGGAGAUGCUCUAAACUUAUGCAAGGGGAAUGACUUAGUUUCUUGAUCAUGCUCCAGGAUUAAAAUUGUUAAAACAAAACUUAAGGGGUACUAAAUCUCCACAUAUCAAGUGCAUUUUUGUCAGAGCACAACAAAUAAGGUGAGAAGAUUUUAUGAAUCUCCAGAUAAAGAUUGCAGCUCGUACUGUUAUGAAUUGAUGAAUUAACAUGGGUAUAAGCAAAGAUUUAGAGAAUAAAUUAUAGCAACUGUAAUCCUUAUUUAGUAGCUAUUUUCUUUUUCCCUCCCUCUUUCUCUAAUAUCGGUUUCUCAUGAUCCAAUUUGUUAUGUCAAAUGCUGAGAAAUGGAUUGUUUAGAAUCUCACCAUAUCAAGCAGUAUGUUGGAGGCCUUAAAGUCUCAGUAAAUGAUUUUCUUUUCUGAACUAUGCAAGAAUUCAAGUCCCCGUGCAGCUCCAAUGGCUAUUUUUAGCCGUUUGUCCCAUGACAGUAUUUCAGUAGCAGAACUCCCUGAACAACAGAAUCCAUCAUUAGAACACUUUAUCAUCAAAGACUCGAUGAAAUUUUUUAUUCUUGCUUGUUAUUAAUUUCACUUCAAGUUCUUACUCCUAAAAAGAUGGUUUUCCAAACUCCCCUUCUGCAUAAACUCAUAUACGAGUACGAGCUCUUGAUCCUCCCCAUAGCUUGACCAAGUUGGGAUGACAAAGAGUUCCUAAAAACUUUACUUCUGACUGCAUUUCAGUGAAGAAGAAACCAAACGGUUAUAAGCAAAAUAUGUCAUCAUCUAAGCCUAGGAAGACAUUAUUUCAGAAAUAUCUCAUGUCAAGCAUACAGGGAACUCUAAUUAGUUAUCAAAUGUUACCUGCCAUUCUUGAAAUCCCUGCACACUUUCAUGGUUCAAUUUCUUGACAGCAACCAUUAUCCCUGAGCCAGCCUUACAGGGCUCAAGCGUGUUCUCAUCCACCCAACCCUUGUAAACUGUCCCGAAACCUCCCACACCUAACACAGUAUCUUUUUUAAAACUUUUAGUGGCAUUCUUCAAAUCCGAAAAGCUAUAAACCUUGAGGUUUAGAGUAGCCAAAAUCUCUCCCAUAGAAGAAGUCCCAGUCCCACAACUUGCUGCCAUGGAAAACUGGCUCUGACUUUGCUGGCCUGCACUGCUGCUGGUGACAGAGGAGCCUCCACCAUUUGUGUUACUCAAUGUCCCUAAAAGUAAUACCAAUUAAUUUGCAUUAGUUCAAGUCAAUUGGAAAAAACUAAUUUAGCAAAAAAAAUUCCAAAUUAACCAGACAGAUGACUUUUAUCGAAACCACAUAAAUCAGAGACCUCGGAGACCAUACAUGUUCUGAAAGCGCGAAUAUUGUUUCGGAAAACAUGUUGUGCACACAUUAUAGCAUAGAACCUCUUUACUAAACACAUGUAUACACUAUCCAAGACAAAAAUGAAGCUAAGGCAAACAAAAAACAUGUAAUAAUACAGGCAGUUAAGGCAAACAGAUAUUCUAAGCUGAAAUACACAGAGACUAACCAGAAGUUGUAGUGUAUGUGGAAGGUCUAGUGGUAUCUGGAUUGGUACUUUGAUUCGAAUAUAUGUUGGAAACAGACUUUUCAGCAGCACCAUGAGAUUUUGAGCUCAUCAAACAAUUACCCAUCUCAACAAUCUCUCUCUGUCUCUCUCAAAAAAUCUCUCUGACAGAAUACUUUGCUGAAUUUAGCAUAGAAGGCAGAGAGAGAGAGAUAUGAAGGAGUUGAAUUUGCUGUAUGAAUGAAAGACUGUAAAGGGAAAAAAGAAGAAAUUUGUUUGCAACUUCCUGGAGCAAUAAAGUAAGAUUUAAUUGAUCAAAGAACAUUCUCUCAUUUAAAUAAACUAGUAAAAGUUAUCACUAAUUUUGCAAAGAUUAUCAUAAGUAUGAGAUAUGUCUGGCUAAACUUGACAUCUUGUAAGCCAGGUAUGUGUUGCACAAUUAGGAAUGCAAGAAAAAACAGUUCAUCUCAAGAAAGUGUUUUGAAUAUGCAGAAGCUUAUCAAUCCUACAAUUGGAAGAAAUGAUAUAUAUAUAUACAUCUAAGCUUGAAUUCACAAAAUUUAACUAACAUUAAAUUACCAUGUCAUUGUAAUAGGAGAAGAUUAUAUAUAUUUUUUCUGACUAAAACGAGGGAUCGUUUUAUUGAUAUAAAAUCAGAAAUACAUCUCAAGAUAUACUAAAACUCAUCAUACUAACCGAAAGGCAUACUUCACCGGUCACAAGACCGAUGCUUGACUAACAUUAGUACACUAUGGCAGGCGCAGCAAUUUUUUAAGGCUUAGACUAUAUGAAAAAGGUACGUAUCUGAUACACUCUUUAUCACCAAAUCUGAUAUAUUUGCGACUUUUUGUAGUUGGAUUGUAACAUAUGGCAUGACGAGGAAAACACAGUAUCACAAUCUCUCCAUUUUCCAGACAUUUCACAGGCUCUAUUAUCUUGUCUGGAACAAUUGCAAGAUUAUGCAGAACAAACUUCUUAGUCCAUGAUUUUUCAUCACCAUACUCACUCAUCACCCACAACUCAAUGAUAUAGGACUUCAUACAAAUGCAAAGACAACCAUUUAGUAGUCCAAGGUUCGAACUCAUAAAAGACUUGAUACGAGGGGGAGUCUGAAUUUGCUUGAAUGCCUCUUCUUCUGCGUUGAAGGAAUAUAAUAUAUGUUUCCUAGGGUCGAUCCAAUGGUAUAAUCCAUUUACAUAAGUAGGAAGCUGGCGUUGUGCUGGGUAAAAAAAAGGGAUUUUUCCCAUGCUCCUCCACGAAUUUGUCCCGAUUGUUUGUAUAUCAACUUCGACUUCUUCCUUAUUAAAUCCCGAAGGAUGAAAAUACAACAACUUGAACUGUUUAGUUUUUGGAACAUAGAGUAAAGCACAAGCCCACCAGCGAUGCCUACUCGCAGUAUCAUCCACAAGAAUGUGCUGACCUGUUACGGGGUUGAAUAUGUGACCCGAUAUUACUGAUAUAAAAUCCUUACCACAUCUAUAUGCAGCUAUACAACCUGUAACACUACAAGUGCUAAAAACUGUGAGCAAAUACGAGCAAGGAUCAGGUAAAUCAUAUAAGAAUUUCAAAGAAAUAUAUAUAUACAUCUAAGCUUGAAUUCACAAAAUUUAACUAACAUUAAAUUACCAUGUCAUUGUAAUAGGAGAAGAUUAUAUAUAUUUUUUCUGACUAAAACGAGGGAUCGUUUUAUUGAUAUAAAAUCAGAAAUACAUCUCAAGAUAUACUAAAACUCAUCAUACUAACCGAAAGGCAUACUUCACGGGUCACAAGACCGAUGCUUGACUAACAUUAGUACACUAUGGCAGGCGCAGCAAUUUUUUAAGGCUUAGACUAUAUNAUCAUCAUACACUAAUUCACUAACGCGACGCUAGCUAGAAUUGUUCUUCACGUCUCUACAAUUUAUAAUAAGCGUUGAGUUACGUAGUUGCGUGGAGAAAGGGAUGCAAUCACCGAGUUGUAGUUUAAUUAGGUUUGUAUUCUUACUUUCUUAGGUUUGAGGAAAAAUAAUGAAAAAAAAUCCUGGUAAAAUAAUGAAUUGGCCCCUUUUUAAAAAAAAAUGGGGUGCUGAGUUUAUCAAAAUUAUUUACACUAACUACAUCAAUCAUCAAUAUAUCAUCAUCAAUCAUCAAUUUUUGGAUGAAAAAUAUUAAAAAUUAGAACUACCUUUUUUAGUUUCGGGUAUAUUAGAAGCAAAUUUCAGAAUUUGAUUUUGUUUAAGAUUAUUUAUGGAAUAUAGUAGUUUUAACUACCUUUUUUAGUUUCGGGUAUAUUAGAAGCAAGUUUCAGAAUCUGAUUUUGUUUCAGAUUAUUUACGGAAUAUAGUAGCUUGAAAGUUUUAAUCUGUUUUUGUUUCAGCUUAUUUAAUUAUGAGAAAGAGUAGAACACACGUCUCUAUGCACCUAUAAAUACCCCUAUUGAUUGUAAGUCUUUGGAUCAUCUAAACAUAACCUUCUCUCUGUCUCUCAAUACUACAACCUCACGGAUUUAAGUUAGAUGUUUUUGUGCACAAUCAAUCCAAAAAAAUUGGCGAAAGGUGACAAUGUAAGAACAAAAUUGGCGAAAGGUGACAAUGUAAGAACAUGAUUAUUUUUCCAAAAAAAACACAAAUAAAAUUAAGAUUCGUCGUGCUUCAAAUUAUUAAUUACCUGUAUAAAUUUAUUUUCAUUUUUUCACCAUGAAUUAUAGUCCAAUUUUGUAAUUUUAUAUAUUAGUAUUUGUAUUACAUUAAGAUUUUUAUAACAUAAAAUUUAUUUUAUCCUAAAAAUAUUAAUGUUGAAACGUUAAUAUAGUUUUCAUAAACAGCCACAAAAUUAUUUUAUUCUACAAAUAUUAAUAUUGAAUUAUUAAUAAUAUAAUUUUUAUAGACUGUCGCAACGCGCGGCUUCUUAACUAGUUUAAACUAAUAUAUAUUUUUUAAAAAGGUCUAAGUAAUUUUUAGUACAUGUUUUAAUACAUAAUCUAAUAAUUCAUAGUGAGUGGUACAAGUUUUGGAAGACGUGAAUUCAUUAGUGAUAUCAUUAUUCAUACAUCAUUAUCUAUCUAAUUUUUUUUAAAAAAAAAAGAUUACAGAGGAGGUCAGGAUUUUUGGGAGAACUAAUAUUAGUAACGUUUUCAAAAUUAUUUAUACUAGCUUAUAACUCGUGCGAUGCAUCGGUCUAAUUGAUAUUUUUAUAUAUUUUUAUUUAUAUUAUAUAAAAUUUAAUUAUAUUCUAAUGUAUAUAAUUAAUAUUAAAAUUAUAUAAUUAAAAUUAUAAUUUGAAUGUUUAUGAUAAUAUAUGACUGAUGAUAUUUGAAAUAAUUAUCUAAGUCCCUAUAUAUAUGUUUAUAAAUAAUUAUAUAAAUAUGUGUUGUUGGUGUGAUUUGUAUUUUUCUAAAUAAUAAUAUAAAUAUAUGUUGUUUGUAACAACCGAGAAAUUUACAAGUACGUAAGCAUAAAAUUAUUUUAUUUACCACGUCAGGAAUAUUAUUUUAUUUUAGAAUUGGUAAGGUGAGGUACGGAAUAUUUUAUUUAAGAGUACGUAGUGGUGUAAUAAUAAGUUUAUGCUGACCGAUAAUUAAUUCACAUAUGUACACUAAUAAUAGAAAUAUUUGACUGGAUAUAAUGAGCCAAUGCAAGGUUAUAAUUUAGUGUCUAGCUGAUAUUUUAGUCACCUAGUAUGAAAAAUAUAGCUGGCUAGCUUAAUUAUUUAUUUAAUGAAAAGAGCUACAUUAUUACCCUCUGAUUUAAUAAAAUUUAUAAAAUAUUAAUAUAUCGUAGUUAGAGCGGAUAUUUUUUAGAAAAACGCAGCGUUUAAUUGUGCGGGCCAUUUAUUUAGAAUUUUGGUUGUACGAAGAAUAUAUGCGGCCUCGAGUAUUUAUUAAGUUACCGGCUCAGGAGCUAAUAUUAUGUUUUGAGCCGGAAUAAUUAUUUUAUCUAUAUAUCUCUUUAAUUAAUUUAGAGAUUGAUCCAAAAAAAUAUUAUAACAAAUAAUAAUAAUAUAUAUAUAUUUUAUUUGAUAAUUUAAAUUAUUAUUUAUUUCAGUUUCGGAAAUUAUUCGAAAAUAAACGAAACGAUACGAGAAUAGGUCGNNNNNNNNNNNNNNNNNNNNNNNNNNNNNNNNNNNNNNNNNNNNNNNNNNNNNNNNNNNNNNNNNNNNNNNNNNNNNNNNNNNNNNNNNNNNNNNNNNNNNNNNNNNNNNNNNNNNNNNNNNNNNNNNNNNNNNNNNNNNNNNNNNNNNNNNNNNNNNNNNNNNNNNNNNNNNNNNNNNNNNNNNNNNNNNNNNNNNNNNNNNNNNNNNNNNNNNNNNNNNNNNNNNNNNNNNNNNNNNNNNNNNNNNNNNNNNNNNNNNNNNNNNNNNNNNNNNNNNNNNNNNNNNNNNNNNNNNNNNNNNNNNNNNNNNNNNNNNNNNNNNNNNNNNNNNNNNNNNNNNNNNNNNNNNNNNNNNNNNNNNNNNNNNNNNNNNNNNNNNNNNNNNNNNNNNNNNNNNNNNNNNNNNNNNNNNNNNNNNNNNNNNNNNNNNNNNNNNNNNNNNNNNNNNNNNNNNNNNNNNNNNNNNNNNNNNNNNNNNNNNNNNNNNNNNNNNNNNNNNNNNNNNNNNNNNNNNNNNNNNNNNNNNNNNNNNNNNNNNNNNNNNNNNNNNNNNNNNNNNNNNNNNNNNNNNNNNNNNNNNNNNNNNNNNNNNNNNNNNNNNNNNNNNNNNNNNNNNNNNNNNNNNNNNNNNNNNNNNNNNNNNNNNNNNNNNNNNNNNNNNNNNNNNNNNNNNNNNNNNNNNNNNNNNNNNNNNNNNNNNNNNNNNNNNNNNNNNNNNNNNNNNNNNNNNNNNNNNNNNNNNNNNNNNNNNNNNNNNNNNNNNNNNNNNNNNNNNNNNNNNNNNNNNNNNNNNNNNNNNNNNNNNNNNNNNNNNNNNNNNNNNNNNNNNNNNNNNNNNNNNNNNNNNNNNNNNNNNNNNNNNNNNNNNNNNNNNNNNNNNNNNNNNNNNNNNNNNNNNNNNNNNNNNNNNNNNNNNNNNNNNNNNNNNNNNNNNNNNNNNNNNNNNNNNNNNNNNNNNNNNNNNNNNNNNNNNNNNNNNNNNNNNNNNNNNNNNNNNNNNNNNNNNNNNNNNNNNNNNNNNNNNNNNNNNNNNNNNNNNNNNNNNNNNNNNNNNNNNNNNNNNNNNNNNNNNNNNNNNNNNNNNNNNNNNNNNNNNNNNNNNNNNNNNNNNNNNNNNNNNNNNNNNNNNNNNNNNNNNNNNNNNNNNNNNNNNNNNNNNNNNNNNNNNNNNNNNNNNNNNNNNNNNNNNNNNNNNNNNNNNNNNNNNNNNNNNNNNNNNNNNNNNNNNNNNNNNNNNNNNNNNNNNNNNNNNNNNNNNNNNNNNNNNNNNNNNNNNNNNNNNNNNNNNNNNNNNNNNNNNNNNNNNNNNNNNNNNNNNNNNNNNNNNNNNNNNNNNNNNNNNNNNNNNNNNNNNNNNNNNNNNNNNNNNNNNNNNNNNNNNNNNNNNNNNNNNNNNNNNNNNNNNNNNNNNNNNNNNNNNNNNNNNNNNNNNNNNNNNNNNNNNNNNNNNNNNNNNNNNNNNNNNNNNNNNNNNNNNNNNNNNNNNNNNNNNNNNNNNNNNNNNNNNNNNNNNNNNNNNNNNNNNNNNNNNNNNNNNNNNNNNNNNNNNNNNNNNNNNNNNNNNNNNNNNNNNNNNNNNNNNNNNNNNNNNNNNNNNNNNNNNNNNNNNNNNNNNNNNNNNNNNNNNNNNNNNNNNNNNNNNNNNNNNNNNNNNNNNNNNNNNNNNNNNNNNNNNNNNNNNNNNNNNNNNNNNNNNNNNNNNNNNNNNNNNNNNNNNNNNNNNNNNNNNNNNNNNNNNNNNNNNNNNNNNNNNNNNNNNNNNNNNNNNNNNNNNNNNNNNNNNNNNNNNNNNNNNNNNNNNNNNNNNNNNNNNNNNNNNNNNNNNNNNNNNNNNNNNNNNNNNNNNNNNNNNNNNNNNNNNNNNNNNNNNNNNNNNNNNNNNNNNNNNNNNNNNNNNNNNNNNNNNNNNNNNNNNNNNNNNNNNNNNNNNNNNNNNNNNNNNNNNNNNNNNNNNNNNNNNNNNNNNNNNNNNNNNNNNNNNNNNNNNNNNNNNNNNNNNNNNNNNNNNNNNNNNNNNNNNNNNNNNNNNNNNNNNNNNNNNNNNNNNNNNNNNNNNNNNNNNNNNNNNNNNNNNNNNNNNNNNNNNNNNNNNNNNNNNNNNNNNNNNNNNNNNNNNNNNNNNNNNNNNNNNNNNNNNNNNNNNNNNNNNNNNNNNNNNNNNNNNNNNNNNNNNNNNNNNNNNNNNNNNNNNNNNNNNNNNNNNNNNNNNNNNNNNNNNNNNNNNNNNNNNNNNNNNNNNNNNNNNNNNNNNNNNNNNNNNNNNNNNNNNNNNNNNNNNNNNNNNNNNNNNNNNNNNNNNNNNNNNNNNNNNNNNNNNNNNNNNNNNNNNNNNNNNNNNNNNNNNNNNNNNNNNNNNNNNNNNNNNNNNNNNNNNNNNNNNNNNNNNNNNNNNNNNNNNNNNNNNNNNNNNNNNNNNNNNNNNNNNNNNNNNNNNNNNNNNNNNNNNNNNNNNNNNNNNNNNNNNNNNNNNNNNNNNNNNNNNNNNNNNNNNNNNNNNNNNNNNNNNNNNNNNNNNNNNNNNNNNNNNNNNNNNNNNNNNNNNNNNNNNNNNNNNNNNNNNNNNNNNNNNNNNNNNNNNNNNNNNNNNNNNNNNNNNNNNNNNNNNNNNNNNNNNNNNNNNNNNNNNNNNNNNNNNNNNNNNNNNNNNNNNNNNNNNNNNNNNNNNNNNNNNNNNNNNNNNNNNNNNNNNNNNNNNNNNNNNNNNNNNNNNNNNNNNNNNNNNNNNNNNNNNNNNNNNNNNNNNNNNNNNNNNNNNNNNNNNNNNNNNNNNNNNNNNNNNNNNNNNNNNNNNNNNNNNNNNNNNNNNNNNNNNNNNNNNNNNNNNNNNNNNNNNNNNNNNNNNNNNNNNNNNUAGUGACGAGCCAGAUCUGUAGAUCUGUGGGAUGCGGAUCUGGGGCGUUACAGGUUUGGUAUCAGAGCUAUAGUUAUAUCCUUAGGAUUUGAGAAACCCUAGGAAUAUAACUAGCGAGUACGACACAAAGUUUAAGAUAGGUACCCUUGUUGAACCUAUCCCGUAUGUUAGAGUACAUACGCAACGGGUUAGUAAACCCUAUGAGUAUACAUAUAUUUUAUAGUUACGAGUAAUCAUAUAACUGGUAAUAAUAAUGUUUAUUUUGUUUUGUAGAUGUCAGGAUACGAGGGAGAUUCCGAUACAGACCUCUCUUCCCAGAGAGAGAUUAGCAGUGAUUCUCCUCUAGAGAUCAUAUCUAUAGACACUGACUCUACUUAUGACAGUGAUCCCUCUAUGGAUGUGAUGAUUAUAGAUUCCAGUGACUCCUCAUCAGAUAUUAUGGUUAUUGACAUCGAUUCUGAUGACUCCUCGAUUCAGAUCAUAGAGCCACCUCCUCCAGAGACUGUCGACCUGGUUUCUGAUGAUGACUUCAUAGAGUUGCUAGAUCUUGAGACCCCAUUACCUGAGUUGACCCCGACUCCUCCAGAUACCGCUCCUGUACCACCUAUUCCUAAGCCAGUUCCUGCGAGGGAGGAGCCUACUAUCCCUGAGCUGCUUAGUCAGUUCGAGCCUACUCCCUAUCUUUACACUUACGACAUUCCCAGAGUUACAGAUCAGUAUCAGUUUCAGACUUUUGUAUCAGCUGCUACGGUGGAUAUCCCUAUACCUCCACCCGUAUCCACUACUCCUCUACCGACUCCUAUCAUUUCUGCAUCACCUUUUACUAUUCCUGUUCAUGCACCCAUGACCGCACCUACCCAGUUUGAUGGACCACCACCUAUUCCUGAUUUCGCUUUUCUACCACCAUAUGAGCACCAGUCACUGGUCCAGAGAUACUUACAGGUGAGAGAUUCUGUCCAGCAGAUGAGGGCUGGUUUCCAGGGAUCACAGGAUCCCCUGUUUACUUCUGCGAGGCCGGGCUUCUUGGCUCGGGACACUGGUUCAGAGAUCAUGUAUCAGAUUGCCAUUUCAGUGUUUCAGGGACUUCGAGCAGACAUGCAUGGAGUUCCGUCUACCAGUUCUGGCCUUGUUAAUGGCCCUAUGAUCUCUAUGAUGGUGGAUAGAGCAUUCCGUGAGUUUCUCCGUCGGGUGUCAGAGAUAUUUUACUAGUUGACUCAUGGUAUAUGUACAGUUUUACUUUUGGGAGAUAACACACGUAGCUGUGUGUAUCUCAGAUAUAGUUUUGAUAUACUUAGUAGACUUGUAGACACUGGAUAGCAUCGACUAGAGUAUCAUGCACUAUCUUUUAUUUUGCUGCAGAUGCUAUAGUAUCGAUCUAUAUACAUAUCUGGCAGUAGUAUUGUAGUUAGGCUGCUUUUGUAUAGUUAUAGCCAGAUUAGAUGUGAUGUGGUAGGAACGACAUGAUCAGAUGUAUUUUUGGUUCUAUCAUGACAUGUACUCUUAAAAGUUUCGGAUAUUAUGACCACCCUUAUGAUGUUUUCACUUAUGAGUUUUGUUGUUGUUACCUUUUUGUUAUCUAUCCUCGACUUGUCAUUUACUUUCAAUCUGUUCAUUAUUGUCAGAUAUUUUGCAUAACAAUUCUCAACCGGAAGAUUUUUUUUUUCCCAAAAACGGGAAUAAAAGAGAAAAAGAAAAUAUUUUCAAAAUGACUAAUUAUUUUUAUUUAUUUUAAAAGGGUUUUCAGCGACACUUAAGUUUUGCAGAUUUCUUUAAAAAGUUUUCAAAAAUAUGCAACUUUGACACAAAAAAUCUCUUUUUAAAUAAGACAUUCAAAUUUAUUUUCAACUUCUGUACUGAGUUUUAAAGAAAUUAAACCAUGUUUUACGUUCAAGUAACCAUGAUUUUUAUACAUUCUGAUGAAAAUUAUUAACAUGUUUUGUCUCUUCUUAAUAGAAUCAAGAUGAGUUCAAGUCCAAAUGACAACCCAGUUGAUGAGCCAACCCCUGAAGUUCCACCGGGAUUCCAACCCCAACCCAACCCUGUUCAAAUGUUUGUUGAUUUUCUUCAACAAAAUCUUCAAGCUAACUCAGAGAGGAAUUCUUCAAGUCAGCUUACUAAACCCACUAUUUCUUUUAAAUCUUUCAAAUCUCUGCAACCCCCAGAAUUCAAAGGGACAGUAGAUCCCGUUGAAGCCAAGAUAUGGCUGCGAGAGAUAGAGAAGACUUUUGAGAUAGUCGGUGUAGAAGAAGAGAAGAAAACUAUCUUUGCCGCUUUUAUGCUUAAAGGUGAAGCUAACUACUGGUGGGAAGCUAAGCGAGUAUUAGAGGGAUCUAGUAUUAUAUCUUGGGCUAGAUUUACCGAGUUAUUUCUAGAAAAAUACUUUCCUAAACAUCUAGAGAAUCAAAUGGAGCUCAAGUUUCUGGAGCUCAAACAGGGGAAUAUGUCUGUAGCUGAGUACGAGGCUAAAUUUACCGAGCUUUCUAGGUUCGUUCCGCAUCAAGUAGAUACGGACGAGAAGAAGGCUAGACGUUUUCAGCAGGGCUUAAAGCCCUGGAUCCAAAAUAGAGUUGCUGUUUUAGAAAUCACUAGUUACGCAACACUAGUACAUAAGGCUUGUAUUGUUGAGUCAGGAAGUGAGCUUUAUAACAAAGAAAAAGGCGAUAGGAAGCGAAAGACCCCACAGAAUAGUCAGAAUUCCGGCAAGAAACCUUGGAACCCGAGUGUGAAGAAACCUUUUAUAAAGAGAGAAGUGCCACAGAAUCGAGAGGGAAGUCAAAGAUUUAGGACUGCACAAACUGCAAAUGUGUUACAAGGAAGACCUCCAUUACCCGAUUGUAAGACUUGUGGAAAGAAGCAUCCACCCCCAUGUUAUCAGGAAUCCACUACUUGUUAUAAUUGCGGAAAGAAAGGUCAUUACGCCUCUGCCUGUAAGGAGAAGUCAAUUACAUGUUUCAAUUGUGGAAGGAAAGGACAUGUGGCAAAAGAGUGUAGACAAACCCAGCAGGAAAGUGCUACACCAAAACUACCUGCACCACCAGAGAUCAAGAGCAACAAGCCCACUGCCCGAACCCUCAACAUGACCCUGAAGGAUGCUAUGGUGGAUAAUGAUGUCAUAUCAGGUACGCUCCUAGUAAACUCUGAAAAUGCCUGUGUGUUAAUUGAUUCAGGAGCAAGUAGAUCUUUUAUUUCUAUUCGACUCAUGAAUAAGUUAGGAAUGGAAUCUGUACCUUUAGGAGAAAUGAUGAAUAUAGAAAUAGCCAAUCAAGAAGUAAUCACGGUAGAUCAGGUGUGUCCAAACUGUGAGAUAUUAGUUCAAACACAAAACUUUGCGAUAGAUCUUAUCCCUAUUAAACUAGGAGAGUUUGAUGUGAUUCUUGGAAUGGAUUGGUUAACAAAAUAUGAUGCGCAAAUAAACUGUAGAAGAAAACGUGUGAGUUUGAAAGGUGCUAAUGGAAAGAAAGUCAUGGUGAGAGGUCAAAAGCAAGUUAGAAAAAUUUUGACAGUUAUCCAAGCAAAAAGAUUUCUUAGACAAGGAUGUCAAGCAUAUUUAGCUCAUGUAGUAGACGUAAGUAAGGCAAGCCCUAAGAUUGAUGAAAUUCAUGUAGUAAAGGAAUACAAAGAUGUGUUUCCUGAGGAAUUACCUGGAAUACCGCCUGAUAGAGAAAUAGAAUUCACCAUUGACCUUGUCCCUGGUACGGCACCGAUAUCUAAAGCCCCUUAUAGAAUGGCACCAGCAGAAAUGAAAGAGUUAGCAACCCAAUUGCAGGAAUUGCUAGAUAAGGGAGUAAUUCGACCGAGUGUGUCCCCGUGGGGAGCCCCUGUUUUGUUUGUCAAAAAGAAAGAUGGAAGCAUGAGAUUGUGUAUUGAUUAUCGAGAGUUAAAUAAGAUGACAAUUAAGAAUAAGUAUCCUUUACCUAGGAUUGAUGAUUUGUUUGACCAGUUAAAGGGAGCAUCCUAUUUUUCAAAGAUAGAUUUGAGGUCUGGAUACCAUCAAUUGAAAAUCAAACCCGAAGAUGUACCUAAGACGGCCUUUAGGACUAGAUAUGGGCACUAUGAGUUUCUAGUAAUGCCUUUCGGAUUAACUAAUGCCCCUGCAGCUUUUAUGGAUCUUAUGAAUAGGGUAUUUAAAAAGUACUUAGAUAAGUUUGUCAUUGUUUUUAUUGAUGAUAUACUGAUUUACUCUAAGACGAAGGAAGAACAUGUUGAACAUCUUAAUAUAAUCUUGGAAACUUUGAGGAAAGAAAAGUUAUAUGCUAAAUUUUCAAAAUGUGAGUUUUGGAUGGAGCAAGUACAGUUUCUAGGACAUGUAGUUUCUAAAGAAGGAAUAUCAGUAGAUCCUGCAAAGAUUGAGGCAGUAUCAAAUUGGGAUAGGCCUAGGACCCCGACAGAGGUAAGAAGUUUUCUUGGAUUAGCAGGGUAUUAUAGAAGAUUUGUGAAAGAUUUCUCUAAGAUUGCAACUCCUCUGACCAAAUUGACUAGGAAAGAAGAAAAAUUUGAGUGGACCCCUAAGUGCGAGGAAAGUUUUCAGGAAUUAAAGAAGCGACUUACAACGGCACCUGUGUUAACUUUACCUGAUGAAACAGGAAACUUUGUGAUUUAUAGUGAUGCAUCUCAUAAGGGAUUAGGAUGUGUGCUGAUGCAACACGGAAAAGUGAUAGCAUACGCUUCUAGGCAACUUAAGGAUUACGAGCUGAGAUACCCUACCCAUGACCUAGAGUUAGCUGCUAUAGUGUUUGCUUUAAAGAUUUGGCGUCAUUAUUUGUAUGGUGAGAAGUGUGAGAUAUUUACUGAUCAUAAAAGUUUAAAGUAUCUGUUUACUCAGAAAGAGUUGAACAUGAGACAGAGAAGAUGGUUAGAAUUGAUAAAGGAUUAUGACUGUACAAUUAACUACCACCCAGGGAAAGCGAAUGUAGUUGCAGAUGCUUUAAGUAGAAAAGAAAGAAUAAAUAUGAUGUCUUUACCAAAGGAAUUGAUUAAGGAAAUGGAAAGGUUAAAAUUGGAAAUUAAGGAUUCGGAGCAUAAGGAGGGAAGGAUUUAUGAGAUGUUAGUACAACCGGAACUAAUAGAAAGAAUCAAAAAGAGUCAGGAAUUAAUGAUUGAAGAAAGACGAUCUGAAUUGACUGGUGAUGAGUACUUAAGUGUUAAAGAUGAAAAAGGAGUUAGGAGGUUUGCCAAUAGAAUUUGGAUUCCUAACCUGAUAGAUCUUAAAAGGGAUAUUCUGAGUGAAGCUCAUGAGUCAAAAUAUUCUAUACACCCAGGAAGCACCAAAAUGUAUCAAGAUUUAAAGAGAAAUUAUUGGUGGCCUAAUAUGAAAAGAGAGAUUGCCGACUGGGUGAGUAAAUGUCUAACAUGUCAGAAAGUAAAAGCUGAGCAUCAACGACCUGGUGGAUUAUUGCAACCACUAGAGAUCCCAGAAUGGAAAUGGGAACAUAUUACCAUGGAUUUCAUAGUAGGAUUUCCUAGGACUCGAGCAAAUCAUGAUGCUAUUUGGGUAAUUGUUGAUAGAUUGACAAAAUCGGCGCAUUUUCUUCCUAUUAGUGAGAAAUAUACCCUCGAAAGAUUAGUGAAAAUGUACAUGAAUGAAGUUGUGUCUAAACAUGGAGUGCCAAUAUCAAUUGUUUCGGAUAGAGAUGCUAGAUUUACAUCAAGAUUUUGGCAAGCAUUUCAGGAAUGCUUUGGAACUAGGCUUAACCUAAGUACUGCAUACCACCCUCAAACAGAUGGACAAAGUGAAAGGACAAUCCAGACUAUAGAGGAUAUGUUAAGAGCUUGUUCUUUGGAUUUCAAAGGAAGUUGGGAUGAUCACUUACCUCUAGUAGAGUUUUCUUAUAACAACAGCUAUCACGCUAGUAUUGGAAUGGCACCUUUUGAGGCAUUGUAUGGUAGAAAAUGUAGAUCACCACUUUGCUGGGAUGAAGUUGGAGAGAAAAAGAUUUUAGGACCAGAACUAGUUCAACAUACCAAACAAUCAAUUGAGAAAAUAAGAAAAAGACUAGUUGCAGCUCAAGAUAGGCAAAAGAAAUAUGCUAACCUAAAAAGGAAUGAGAAAGCCUUUGAUGUAGGAGAAAAAGUGCUUUUGAAAGUAUCACCUUGGAAAGGAGUAAUUAGAUUUGGAAAAAGAAGUAAGUUAAACCCGAGAUAUAUAGGACCGUUUGAAAUUUUGAGAAAGGUAGGAAGUGUUUCUUAUCAAUUGGCCUUACCCCCAGAUUUACAACAUAUCCAUGAUGUUUUCCAUGUAUCCAUGUUAAAGGUUUACAAGACCGACAACCGCCAUGUUUUAAACUACGAGCCAGUAAAUAUUCAACCUGAUCUAACAUACGAAGAGCAACCAGUGGAGAUAGUAGAUUCAAAAAUUCAAGAAUUGAGGAAUAAGAGAGUCAAGCUAGUUAAGGUAAUAUGGCGAAAUCAAGCUGUUGAAGAAGCUACAUGGGAAUUAGAGGAGGAAAUGAGGAAGAAUUACCCAGAGUUGUUCGACACUAAUCGAGAUUCCGAGGACGGAAUCCCUUAAGGAGGGAAGAAUGUAACAACCGAGAAAUUUACAAGUACGUAAGCAUAAAAUUAUUUUAUUUACCACGUCAGGAAUAUUAUUUUAUUUUAGAAUUGGUAAGGUGAGGUACGGAAUAUUUUAUUUAAGAGUACGUAGUGGUGUAAUAAUAAGUUUAUGCUGACCGAUAAUUAAUUCACAUAUGUACACUAAUAAUAGAAAUAUUUGUCUGGAUAUAAUGAGCCAAUGCAAGGUUAUAAUUUAGUGUCUAGCUGAUAUUUUAGUCACCUAGUAUGAAAAAUAUAGCUGGCUAGCUUAAUUAUUUAUUUAACGAAAAGAGCUACAUUAUUACCCUCUGAUUUAAUAAAAUUUAUAAAAUAUUAAUAUAUCGUAGUUAGAGCGGAUAUUUUUUAGAAAAACGCAGCGUUUAAUUGUGCGGGCCAUUUAUUUAGAAUUUUGGUUGUACGAAGAAUAUAUGCGGCCUCGAGUAUUUAUUAAGUUACCGGCUCAGGAGCUAAUAUUAUGUUUUGAGCCGGAAUAAUUAUUUUAUCUAUAUAUCUCUUUAAUUAAUUUAGAGAUUGAUCCAAAAAAAUAUUAUAACAAAUAAUAAUAAUAUAUAUAUAUGAUUUAUUCGAUAAUUUUAAUUAGUAUUUUAUUUCAGUUUCGGAAAUUAUCCGAGAAUAAACGAAACGAUACGAGAAUAGGUCGAGCCGAGCGGAAGUUGGUUUCGGUUAAAUGAACCUUGGAAAGUGAGCCAAGGAAUAAAAAUUUGGGGCACUGGAAGUUUUUGAGUAGUGGCCAAGUAAGUUGAGUGGCCACCAAGUAGUGCACGCAUAUUUAGGAUAAUUAAUUAAAUAAUUAGAACUUAAGUGUAAUUAAGGGAGCCUAUAAAUAGCAAGCCUAGUCAAUAACAUUUUUUUUGGGAAAUUUCCAUCCAGGAGAAACACAGAGCUAGCAUACAGAAUUUUCAGUAAGGUAUUAACCCAUACCUCAUCUUUUCCUUAAUUAUGGAAUUGAUUGAGUUUAAUUUAAAUAAUUGUUUAUUGAAUAUUAAACUCCUGUGGACCAUUUUAUCUACUGCUUUUGCCUUGAUAAUUGAUAAUCAAUAAAACCAGUACAUAUAAAUCAACACAUAACGUCAUGAAUUCCACCCAAAUAUUUAACAAUUAGGGUUAGGGUUCUUAAUUAAAAUUGGGUUAUUUGGUUGAUUGGUGAAUAAUUGAAUGUUGGGGGAUUGAAUUUGAAUUGAAGUGGUUUGGUGGAGCAGUGGAGGCGGAGGGAUUGGAAUUGGGUGGAAGGGGUACUGCCGGAGGGGAGGAGAGGCUGAAGCUCGCGUCGGCAACGCCGACGGAGCUCUGCCACGGUGUCUGGGAGUGUUCGAAGGGGGGGGAAGAAGUCGGUGGUGUGCUGUGGCGAGGUGGAAGAAUGGUGGGGCGACCCGGCUGAAGGUGGGGGAGGGGGUGAGUCGAGCCGUAGAGAGAGAGAGAGAGAGGACAGUUGGGGGAGGGGAGAUCGAAGGAGAGGGGGGGGGAAAUAUACGAGUUUACGGCGGAGGAACGGCUGUGAAACAGCCUGCGAUGGCCGGAACGCCGCCUUCCGUGGCGGUGUUGUUUCAAGGCGAAGAGAAAACAGAGCGAGAGAGGGAGAGAGAUUGAGAGAUGGCGAGAGAGAGGGAGAGAACGAGUGGGAGAGAACGAGCGAGAGGGAGGAAGAAGGGAAAAGGGGGAAAGAGAGAGAGAGAGAGAGCGAGAGAUUGAGAGAGAAAGAGAGGCUGGGGAGAUAUGGAGGAAUAAGGGAAUUUUGUGAGAAAAUUAUAUUAAGGGCAAUAAAGACUUUUCACCAGCUGAGUUAUUUAAAUUAAAUAAAUAUAAAUUAUUAAUUCUUUUUAAAGAUUUAUUAAAUAAUGGUGUUGAAUAAAAUUAUUAAGUCGGGUACGGAAGGCAAGUGUUAAAAAUGUGUUAGUAAGCGGACAUAAUAAUAAAAAGGCCAUAUGUAAAUAAAUUAAAAGUAGGAAGUAAUUUAUAUAAUAACUAGGCUAUAGAGUAAGAUUAAUUUGUGGGAUUAUAAAUUAAGAACUUUAAUAAAUAAAUGAGUUAGUCAAUAGUCAUUGGGGUGGCAUUGGAAGGUUUAUACUAAAGUAAUUAAUUAAUAUUCUGGGUAAUAUAUUUAAAAUAAGUUGGUACCCAAAGACAAGUUGGUAACUUGAGGUGUAUUAUUUGUCAAAAUUAGUGACAAUAGGACAAGUGGCUUUAUUAAUAGUCAAAUGAAUAAUUACUAUUUAAAUAAUGGAAGACUAAUUAUUACUCAACCUUAAUGAAGCAUAAAUUUUUAUAAUAUAAAGAUAAUAAGUUGAAGUAUAGCGUUAGUCAAGAGAUUACAAGAAAAAUUAGUGAAAAUAUUCAUAGUAUUAGAUUAUUAAAUUCUUUUAGAUAAAUUUCUAAACCACGAUUUUGUGUGUUGAAUAGAAUACCUAUUUAAUAUUUGGAAAAGCGGAGCCACUAAUUAUAAAGCUAAGGACGCCAGGCAAGUUCGCUAUUUUCUUUUCUCCAAUAUGACACAUUCUUGUGUAUUUAAUAUUUUAAAUGUGUUUGUUAUUGACUUGACCGAGUUGAUAUCAAAUAUUAGUGACAAACCGGAAAAUCUUAUUCAUUUCGGGUUCUUCUUUUGUUCGGAAGUAACCGCUCCUAAUAAUAUUCAAUACCUCUCCGACAUUGUGAAAUCUUGAAACUUCUUGACUAAUAAAUAAAGGAUGCAUUGUUCGCAUUCCUUAGACGAAGUAAUGUGCACUCGGAGGAUUCUGGUUAAGCUGGUCAACACGAAUUUAUUAAAUUCGUGGAAGAGAUGAUAAUUUAUUGACUGUCUGCUGUGUGUGGAUAGUCUAGGGUUACAAAUGUUAACCCUUAUGCUAGCAAAAAUAGAGUGUGAGGUGUAUCUUGUGCAGUGACGAUCAGACUGCAAAGAUUACACAGGGGGACGGGAAGCACGAAAUGGUUAUGAUCGGACCAUGUAGUGUUACCGAAAGGUGGAAGACCAGCCUUUUCUUAUUUUUGAAAUUGUUCUGUUAGUUGGCGUUAUCUGCUUCAUUACUUUGUUUUGAAAUGCCUUCGAUGUUUUACUCGAUUAUUCUGCUAUUUGUUGUUAUGUGCUAUGUGAACUUGCUGAGCAAUGUGAUUGCUCAUUCUUGCAUCUACUUUAUAUUAUUUUAAGCAGUAAAAAGCGAGUAUGGCACGACUAAGGAGAACCGCCCGGAAACGGGUACUGGCAAGGGAAAGGAGAAGGCGCAUCACCCAAACUGAGGCCGCUAGAUUACGCCGCUUGGUAGUAUUAUCAAUAGUUAUUAUAGUCUGUAAUUAGACCUCCCAAUAUGUAAUCAAGUUAGACUUGGAAAUGAUGUUAUAAGACGAUCGACCCUGGACUUGUGAGGCGAGAGUGUUUGUUGUAAGAUAUUAUUAAGUAAUGCAAGUGUUGUUUGAUCCAGAUGCUUAGUGACGAGCCAGAUCUGUGGGAUGCGGAUCUGGGGGCGUUACAUUGUUGGUAGGAUUCGAACUUGGAAAUAUAUUUAAUGUAUUAUAUUAGUAUUUUGAUAUAACGGUUGUGAUCAUUUGAUCAAAAAAAUCCGACAGUCGAGAUCGAAAGGACUAAGCUAAAAUUGAAGUUAAUCAACUACAAAUUAUACUCAUGUUUAGUUAUUAUAAUUUAAUAUAGAUUCUUGAUGUAUUUAAUAAAUGUUUAGGGCUUCAAAACAACCCUCCAACAAUAGAGGUUUAGCCAAUCAUAGUCAUAGUAAAACACGUAAGAAUCAUAAAAAGAAUAGAAUACGAUACAAAGUGUCGAUCCUUUCUCUUCUUCUCCGUGGCUCUCCUCAAUAGCACGUAUGUAAUUCUCUAUCUAUUAAUAUCUAAUACAAAAGUGUUUUUAUUCUAAUAGGAAUAUACAAGGCAAUUCCGAAACUGAAUGGGUUUUCAAAAGGUCAAAAUUCGCAUAUAAUGAAAUUCCUAUUAUUUUUAUUCUAAUAGGAAAAAUAAUGAAAAAAAAUCUAAUCAAAACGAAAAAAAAAUCCUGGUAAAAUAAUGAAUUGGCCCCUUUUUAAAAAAAUGGGGUGAUGAGUUUAUCAAAAUUAUUUACACAACUACAUCAAUAAUCAAUAUAUCAAUAUAUCAAUAUACUUAUAUAUAUACUUAUAUAAAGGAGAAGCAUGGGGCAUGUAGGUGGCGCCUCUCAGAUCGCUCCGUUCUAUUUUUCUAAUUUUCUGGAAUUUUGAAUGAAAAAUAUCAAAAAUUAGAACUACUUUUUUUAGUUUCGGGUAUAUUAGAAGCAAGUUUCAGAAUCUGAUUUUGUUUCAGAUUAUUUAUGGAAUAUAGUAGUUUGAAAGUUUUAAUCUGAUUUUGUUUCAGAUUAUUCGCAGCAGAAGCACGAAGGUCAUACUAGUUCCAUGGGUAUUAGAUACAUCAGAGAUUGGCUCUAGUACAAGUGGGAGAUUGUUAGUAUUGAUGUCCUAGAGACAAUACUAUUGUGUUCUAUCGUAGACAUUUAUGGAUUAUGUUAUAUUGAUUAUGGAAUAAAUAUUUAUUGUGUCUUUAUUUACUGCGUAAUAAAUUGAAAGCAUAAUAAAUGUCCUUGGAAUAUUAUAUGUAAUUCUAUAUCUCUAAGUACGUGACUUAGAAAUGAGAUUAUGAGAAUAAUAUCAAUAUUCCUAAAUGUCCCUAGUCGAGUAUCAUUGUUAAGGGACAAUAAUGAUGCAUUAAGACUAGUAUGUUUGUUGACUGAUGAUCACAUCUCAUUGAUCAUAGGUAUAGUGAUGCUAAAGUCAAGAACAUAAGUGCAUGUAUCGACACAUGGCACUGGAAUGACCCACCGUGAGAUUUUACAUGUUAAUAAGUGUCAUUAGAAAUUCUCACUGUGAUAAUGAUGUAAUGAUCCUCUGACUUGAUAUCAUUAUAUUUCUAUAUGAGAAUUAAUAUACUUUGGUUGCACUAAAAGUUACCUUUGAUCGGGUGAUGAUGAAAUGUACAUUGGGUAUAUUAUGAAUCGUAUGAGAAAUAUGAAUGAUCUAGAAAGGAUUUAACCCUCCUAUUUUAGGAGUGAUAUUAUUGGCCUCUUGAUUGAGUGAGACUAUAAAAUGCAUGGCCGUGCUCAAAUAUUGAUUUGUUUAAUAGUCUACUCAUUGAUCAAGGAAAUUCGGAUUAGACGAUGAAGAGGAUGACACAAUACAUGCCUUGAGUUUGAUCUAUAAUAUAAGGUUAAAGGGAUUAUAUUACAUUGUACAUUAUUCACAAAAGGUUUAAUUGAAUCACCAAUUAUUAUUAUUACUUGGGUAGCAAUGAUGUAUUACUAGAUGCCGCUCAUUGUUUAUAAUUUUAUUAUUGGAUAUUAAAAUUAUUGCCAACGUAAUAAUAACCUAAAGGGUCACACACUUAGAACAUUUAAAGGAGUUUUAAUUUAAAUUCUGAAUUUAAAUUAAAUGGUUAAGUUCGAAAUAAAUUAUUUAAUUGAGCCGGUCUUAAUUAAGUAAUUAGAAUUUCGAAUUUAAUAUUAAAACCAAAAUCGGAUUAGGUUUGGAGAAGCCCAAAUCCGAUUAGGGUUUGGCCCAUCUAUCUCUCUUCCCUAUAAAUACAUAAUGAUGUAUUGUUUUAGGGUUAAGUAACAUAAAAUUCGUUUUAUUAUAAAACCCUAGCAGCUCUACAUCAAGAGAGGCUAGAGAGAGAGAGAGAGGCUGCAUUCGGCUAGUACCGGCUCCGGUGAUCUUUGGCGAUCAGACGUUCGUGUGGACUGCUUAGAGACGCGAUCCUUAGACGAGGGCUGCGUGGUGAUUGCUUGUUCCGGACCUCCAUCUUUCGCUAACGUAAAGCUUCAACAAGGUAUUAUUUCGUAUCUCCAUGAUCAGCCGUUCUUUAUAGAUGGAUCCUCGGGUUAGGGUUUCGGAUUUUUUUUAUUUUACGUCGAUUAUCCGCUGCGUUUGUUGCCCCGAAACCCAACAAAAUACCCCUGUAAGAUUUUGGAUCAUCUGAACAUAACCUCCUCUCUCUCAAUACUACAACCUCACAGAUUUAAUUUAGAUGUUUUUGUGCACAAUCAAUCCAAAAAAAUUGGCGGAAGGUAACGAUGUAAGAACAUGAUUACUUUUUAAAAAAACACAAAUUAAAUUAAGAUUCGUCGUGCUUCAAAUUGUUAAUUACCUGUGUAAAUUUAUUUUCAUUUUUUCAUCAUGAAUUAUAGUCCAAAUUUGUAAUUUUAUAUAUUAGUAUUGGUAUUACAUCAAGAUUUUUAUAACAUAAAAUUUAUUUUAUCCUAAAAGUAUUAAAGUUGACACGUUAUAUAGUUUUCAUAAACAGCCACAAAAUUAUUUUAUUCUACAAAUAUUAAUAUUGAAUUAUUAAUAUAAUUUUUAUAGGCCGUCGCAACGCGCGGCUUCUCAACUAGUUUAAACUAAUAUAUAUUUUUUUUCUCAAAAAAAAAAACAACUAAUAUAUAUUUUUUAAAAAGGUCCAAGUAAUUUUUAGUACAUGUUUUAAGACAUAAUCCAAUAAUUCAUAGUGAGUGGUAUGAGUUUUGGAAGACGUGAAUUCAUUAGUGAUAGCAUUAUUCAUACAUCAUUAUCUAUCUAAUUUUUUUUUAAAAAAGAUUAUAGAGGAGGUCAGGAUUUUUGGGAGAACUAAUAUUAGUAACGUUUUCAGAAUUAUUUAUACUAGUUUAUAACUCGUGCGAUGCAUCGAUCUAAUUGAUAUUUUUAUAUAUUUUUAUUUAUAUUAUAUAAAAUUUAAUUAUAUUCUUAUGUAUAUAAUUAAUAUAAAAUUAUAUUAUUAAAAUAAUAAUUUGAAUGUUUAUGAUAAUAUAUGACUGAUGAGAUUUGAAAUAAUUAUCUAAAUCCCCAUAUAUACAUUUAUAAAUAAUUAUAUAAAUAUGUGUUGUUGGUGUGAUUUGUAUUUUUCUAAAUAAUAAGAUACAUAUGUGUUGUUGGUAGGAUUCGAACUUGGAAAUAUAUUUAAUGUAUUAUAUUAGUAUUUUGAUAUAACGGUUGUGAACAUUUGAUCAAAAAAUCUGACGGUCGAGAUUGAAAGGACUAACCAAAAAUUAGGGUUAACCAACUACAAAUUAUACUAGUAUAGAUUCUUGAUGUAUUUAAUAAAUAGUGAAGAUAAUUUUGAAAAUAGAAUCUUCAUAGACUAGGGGGUGUAUUAAAUAUGGAUUUCGGAGGAUCGAUAAUGAAUCUAUGAAUUUUGAAUGAUUGUUACGGAUUUUAAUUCCACACGAAUUUUAGCGAAUUUGACUUAAAAUCUCAUAGAAUUUUACUGAUUUGAUUAGAGAUUUGGACAAAUCCUCCAAAAUCUCAUGGAUUUUGAUAAGAUUUCAAAAAACAUAAAAUACACUACGAAAUCCAUCAAAAUCUAUCAUUUUAUCGAAUAUAAAAAAGUCCAUAAAUUUUUGAAUACCACAAGAUUUGAAUGAAUUGUUUAAAAUCCAAAUUGAAUACCAUCAUAUUUCAAUGGACCUUUUCAAAUUUGAAUUGAAUAUCUUCAGAUUAUAAAAGACUUUUUUCAACCUUUAUUGAAUACCACCAAAUUUUAAUGGAUUGUUUAGAAUCCAAAGCGAAUACCUUGGAAUUUUAAAAAUUCAAAAAUAUUCUAUAAAAUUCUAAUUGAAAACAUUCUCUAUGAAGUGUGCUAAAUAUAUCUCGUCAAAAAAAAUGUGCUAAAUAUAUCAUGGAAUGAAAUGUAUUUUCCAUUCUUUUGUUAUUAAUUCCUUUUAUCUAUUAUAGGAAUAUAAUUUCAAAAAUUUGGACCCCACAAACUUGGGCUGUGGGCCUUUACUCUUCAAAACCAUGCUCACAACCGGAUCUGUUUAUUGUUGGUCUUCAAUAAUAUUAUUUUUCAAAUAAAAUUAGUAUAAAAAAAUUAGUUAGAAACUUGCAAACCAGCAGAAAAAACAAACUGACUAGGAAAACAAAACACAAAACCUAGGAAGCCGCCUCUCCUCUCUUCCUCCUCCAUAAGGGUUUGUCCUUUUUCAAGUAAAUCGAGGGGUUUCCACUGACUCUCGUUAAUUUCUUUUCAAAAAACUCAAUCUUUUGGGUGUUUGUGUGUCUCUCCUCUUGGAGUGUGUGGUUGUAUCUCUCCUUUUGGAGUGUUUGUUAUGUCUUUGUUUAGUCAUGAUUGGGUUUAUUUCGUGUUGGAUCAGUUGAAAACGAGUUUAUUGAUAUUUUUGGUGAUCUACAAAAACUGUAUCGAAUCUGAGACGGUGGUGAUUAUUGCAAGAGCUCACCUUUCACAAUCAAAUAUUGUUCAUCAUUCACGGGUUUAUACCUUUGGCAUGUCUAUAGCUGGUAUCCGGCAUGUAGAUAGCUGGGGUGCCUUCGGCAAGUCUAUCGCUAGUAUCCGGCAUGUAGAUAGCUGUGGUGCCACUUCUCCAAUAUCGAUUUAUGUGAUUGGUGUUUCUGAACAUUGGGCUAUCAAUAGUUUUAUGUGAUAUGGUCAAUUGCGAUGUUACUGUUUCCAGAGAUUUUGGUGCAAUUUGGAUCGCUUGGGAUAUCUUUGAUUUCGUUCUUAGCUUCAAGAAUUUUUGAAUUCUAUCUGUUAAACGAUCAGGAAACAAAUCAUCUAAUUGUUUUUAGCAUGCUAUUUGUUUUGCCACCUGGUUGUAUCGACACCCGACUGUAUUAUAUUAGUAUUUUGAUAUAACGGUUGUGAUCAUUUGAUCAAAAAAAUCCGACAGUCGAGAUCGAAAGGACUAAUCUAAAAUUGAAGUUAAUCAACUACAAAUUAUACUCAUGUUUAGUUAUUAUAAUUUAAUAUAGAUUCUUGAUGUAUUUAAUAAAUGUUUAGGGCUUCAAAACAACCCUCCAACAAUAGAGGUUUAGCCAAUCAUAGUCAUAGUAAAACACGUAAGAAUCAUAAAAAGAAUAGAAUACGAUACAAAGUGUCGAUCCUUUCUCUUCUUCUCCGUGGCUCUCCUCAAUAGCACGUAUGUAAUUCUCUAUCUAUUAAUAUCUAAUACAAAAGUGUUUUUAUUCUAAUAGGAAUAUACAAGGCAAUUCCGAAACUGAAUGGGUUUUCAAAAGGUCAAAAUUCGCAGUUGACUUUCUCCCCUGUUCCUGGGCUGUUUCAGCGAACUUUUGACAUCUGGACCCAUCUAGAAUGAUAGAAAAUUAAAUUAUCUUCGCGUGGGCUGUUGAAUUGCC
rnacentral:lncRNA from 1 species